CUGGAGCAGCUGAGCCUAAUCUGGCCCUGCGUCCCUGUCUUCGGCGCGAUGUUGCCCAUCUUGAUCAUGGCGGUCGUGAAGGCGCUGCUGAACGCUGCCGGGUUCGAAGCGAAGUUCCGGACAGUGUUGUCAGUGGUGUCGUUGUUGAACAGCACCUGGUCCGAGUGCAGGAGCCCCCUCUGUGACAUGAGGUUGGUGUAGUAGGCGUUGUCGAACGCGUUGGGGGUCGUCGUGUCCAGGUUCGCCAGGCUGCCGUCACCGGAGCCCACUGUCUGGGGCAGUUGGCCCUAAGCGACGCCGCAUAGGCCGCACUGAUGUUGGUGUCACCGCCGUAGAUCCGAGCCCGGAAGGUCGAGCACUGCGCCUGGCCGAUGGUGUGCGCGCCCGAGGGGGCCACCAUGUCGACCGUAUUGAGUCCGCCCUUCCUGAGGAAUGCUGCCUCGAGCUCUGAGCGGCUAGAAUUAAAGCCUGGAAGUUCGCUGUUUGCCUCUGCCUCGUUUGCAUCUAUGGAAUCUCUUCUCCCCAAAGGGACUGUCCAUGACGGGCCCCGAGCUGCACGCGAAGAAUUCAAACAAAAGGCAAACAAACGGUUAACGAUGGUGUAAAAGAUGCCGAGCAUCCAGUCGAUGAUCUACAUGAUCGUAAGAUGAUAUUCUUACGGCGACGACGGAGUCGCGGGCGGCGACGGUGAGGAUGUCAGCGCAAGAGACGGUCUGAUUACAGAUGGCCUCGAUCUGCGUCUUGAUGCUGUUGAUGACGCCGAAGCCCCUCAGCGACCCCGCGUUCGGGAUAGCGUUUUGUUCCAUGCCAGACAGCAGAACAGACGCGUCGCAGCCCUGCACAUCACAUACGCAUAGUGUUCAGCAUUCAGCAAGCAAAACCGAUAGAAAACCGGGUACGUGACGGCUAUCAGGCCAUGCAUGCAUGUGGCCAACUUACUUGAACGAAGCAGUCGUGGAAGUGCAGCCGGAGCAGUGACGCGCCCAUCCGAGGGUCGCUGCUCACGGCGGCCAUGACGCCGCUCUUGAUGGUGGCCAGAGCCCUGGGGCACGACGUGUCGUAGAACGUCGGCGACAACUGCCCCGACGCCGCCGUGGCCAAAGCCACGAGCACCACCAGAGAAAUGCAGGACGCUGAGGCGGCCAUGGUUAGCUAACUAGCUACAAGAGCUGAAGAGCAAAGCCACGCCUGCUUACUAGCUACCUGCACUUCUUACUGGAGCGGUGGUGACUUGGUGGCUUGUGCAAGAGAGUAGUGCAUCGCAUGCAUAUUUAUAGCCAAAGAUUCAGCUCACGUGCAUAUGCAGAUCGCCCACGGUCUCCUACUAAGGAUAGAGCUUCCAACAUUCACUUUAUGCAUGCAUGCAUUGCAAUUAAUGCAUUCGUAAAUACAAUUUUCUGAGAAAAACAAGAGCAUUAAUUGGGUGCUUUUGCAAACUACAAAAAAUAUUCCACCACUCAUCGUCUAUCUUGGUUGAUGAGAUUUUUGAAUUGAGCCUUAUAAACCGAAAAUGAGGGAGUAGAUGGCAUAUUGGCAUCGAUCGACAAGCUUAUUUGGAAGGAAGGGUCGCGCAUGCAUCCAAGGCUUAGGCUGCGGCAGCUUCCAGCUUGAGUCGCUACUCGCUACCGCCAACACCAACCUGGCCAACUUGAGCGAUCUCUCUUGGAGUUUAUCGGGCAGAUAUAUGCAAAACAUUGAACGAUCUCUCUUUUUUCAUCAGUUCCAUGCUCACGGACGCCUGGAGCCAUGUGUGCGUGGACGCCAACCGUUUGGCCUUACGUACAUACGAAUAGUAGAGUCAGCGUUGUUCCAAGGCGAUUCACCCUCGUUUUGACCGGUGCGCAGUCAUCUUGCGCUCCCGUCGCCUUCGGCCCACACGAGACAAUUCUGCAGCUGGGACGCUGAGAGGUGAGCCUAGCUUCUCAAACGCACGGUGGGAACGGUGAGGCAGAACUGAGGCCGCACAGCCGUAGACCGGCACCGACGGAUGUUUAGGCCGGCCCUAACGUGGCCCGGUCUACAGGCCGGACGAAUUUUCUUAGGCUUCCUUGCCUCCGAAGAAUUGCUGGUUAGAUUUGAGUUUCUGAAGCAUGGGGGAGAUGGACACCGGAAGAUUGAGGCGCCAUCGGCCGUGUGCAUUUUUUUUGUCUAGAAACUGUAACUACCAUUGGUCGAACUUUGCUUGCUAAGUCGGUCAAUUCCUCCUAAGCAGUGUACUCCAUCACGCCUCUCAUCGUCCCGCUGAGCACGCUCUAAAACCUCAACAAAAUUGAGCGGGCUUUUCUUUGGUCUGGCUCCAACAAGACCACCAGCGCUAAGCACAAUGUCAAAUGGGAGAUUGUAUGCUGCCCGAGUGAGUACGGUGGCCUUGGCGUUCUAAACACUCAAAUUUGUGAGAGCUCUGCGUCUUCAUUGGCCAUGGUAUGAAUGGAAAGGGCCCAACAAGCUGUGUGUGAGGCUUGAAAAUCCAUGCACCAAGAAAGACCUAGAUUUUUUAUAUGCUUGCACCACUAUCACCGUGGGCAAUGGCGCAAAGACACCAUUUUAGGACUCCCCAUGUCUCCUUGGCCGUAAGCCAAAGGACAUCACACCUUAUCUUUGAAGCUUCGAGAAGGAAGAAUUUAAAUGAGAGUGAAGCCCUUAAAGAUAACGCUUAGAUCCUCGAGAUCAAACAAAACACUAUCGUCUCCAUUGCCCACAUCUGGGAGUUUUUUACUCUUUAGACGCAUGUGCAUGACUUCCCUCUUGAUGACCUCGUGGAGGAUGACAUUCUCUGGAAGCACUCUAAUGAUUAGAUCUAUUGGGCAGUCAUCUUGCGCUCCCGUCGCCUUCAGUGAGCACGAGAUAAUACCUCAGCUGGGACGCUGAGAGGUGAGCCUGGCUUCUCAAAUGCACGGUGGGUAAUGGUGAGGCAGAACUAAGGCCGCACAGCCAUAGGCCAGCACCGACGGAUGUUUUAGGCCUGAUCUGUAGGCCGGACGAAUUUUCUUAGGCUUCCUUGCCUCCGAACAAGUGCUGGUUAGAUUUGAGUUUCUGAUGCAUGGGGGAGAUGGACACCGAAAGAUUGAGGCGGCAUCGACCGUGUGUAUUUCCUAUUUCCAGAAACUGUAACUACCACUGGUUGAACUUUGCUUGUUAAGUUUGUGGUUUCCUCCCAAGUUGACCGGUGUACUCCAUCACGCCUCUCACCGUCCUGCUGAGCACACGCUCCAAAACCUGAACAAAAUUGAGCGGGUUUUUCUUUGGUCCGGCUUCAACAAGACGAUCGGCGCUAAGCGCAACGUCAACUGCAAGAUUGUAUGCUGCCCCAGUGAGUACGGUGAUCUUGGCGUAUGUCCUAAACACUAACAAAUUUGUGAGAGCUCUGCGCCUUCGUUGGUCAUGGUAUGAAUGGAAAGAACCCAACAAGUUGUGUGUGAGGCUUGGAAAUCCGUGCACUGACAAGGACCUAAAUUUUUUAUAUGCUUCCACCACUAUCACCGUGGGCAAUGGCACAAAGACAUCAUUUUGGGACUCCUCAUGGCUCCUUGGGCGUAAGCCUAAGGACAUUGCAUCGCAUCUUUGAAGCCUCAAGAAGUAAGAAUUGAAAGGUGCAUGAAGCCCUUAAAGAUAACGCUUGGAUCCUUAAGACCAAACAGAACACUAUCAUCUCGGCUGCCCACAUUGGGAGUUUUUUUCCCUUUGGAGUUUGGAUGCUUGUGCAUGGCUUCCCUCUUGAUGAACUUGUGGAGGAUGACAUUCUCUGGAAGCACUCCAAUGAUGAAAUCCACCCGGCGUCCACCGCAUAUAAAAGCAUAAUUUCUUGGGAGGACUCUUUCCCCGAUGGAUCCCGUGACAUGAAAGGCUUGGGCUCCACCAAAAGUCAAUUUCUUUUCUUGGCUCGCGAUCCAACACCGGAUUUGUCUUGAAUGUUUUGCACUACCUCCGUCCUACUUUAUUCGUCACCUUCAUGUUUUGUGCCAAAUUUUGACUUUAAAUUUAACUAACAAAAUAUUAAUGCAUGUCACUAAAAAUAGCAACAUUGAAAACUAUGUACAAAUACGAAUCAAAGGAUGUAAUUUUUUAAUUAUGGCAUGCAUUCAUAUUUUGUUAGUUAAAUUUAUGAUCAAAAUUUGACACAAAAUAUAAAAGGGGCCUGUAAACCAGGACAAAGGUAGUACAUAGAUAAGAGUCAAUUACACCAGUGGUGCUAGAACUUGGCGCAAACGGUCACUUUAGUGCUAGAACUUGCGGGAUACAUUAAAGUGGUGCAAAAACUUGGUUUGGACAUGCAAAUAUGGUGCAAAUCUUGUUUGUAUACGGCCGCAACACUGACGAGGCAUGGCAUCGUGGCAUAGGGCCCGCUGUCAGUGACUGCAUAGUGAAGGCUGGGCAUGUGGCGUGCUCUUUUUGCAAAAGCACCCUUAGUUAUUUAUUUAUUUUUUCUCACGAAAAGGCACCUGUUAGACGUGUGGCAUCUGGUGGGUCUCACUUCUCAGUAAAACAUCGCAAUUUUUGUUAGAAUGAAAAAUAUGAUGCAGAGGGAUUCAUACUGGUGACCGUGGUCUAACCACAGCGCGCGGCUAACCACCCGCCCAGAGUUCACUUGCUGAUGCAUAAGCAUACACAAGUUUUAUAUCUUUGAAUUAAGUAAUAUAAAUCAACAAUUUUAAUCUGUAAAAGUUUCGCCCGUGGGGUUUCGAACGAACUACCCAUAAAACCCAUUAACAGUCACGUAAAUGGCGAUCCAUAGAGUGAGCCACGUCAUCAUAGGCGAACUGUUGUGGGAGGCCAAUCGGGAGAGAGCUUUGUGCCCGGCCAAUUGCGUUAUCAUGCGUGAGAAGAAGAAAAAAGCGAUAGAAAAAAUGCCGCUAGAUAGCACCUCCUUGUGAUUGGGCACAAUGCCUUUGUAGGGAAGCAAACUCUUUUCCUCCGAUCCUGCAGCCUUCCUCAUCCCUCUUCCUCGAUCCUCCCUCCACCACCAGCCGCUGCUACCGCUCCUCCAUGGCUCAACCCCUCCUCUUCGUCCGAUGGAGGUGACCGACUUUGCUCCGUCUCGAGCUGCUCGUUCUCUCCUCUCCCCCGGCGACCAGUGCAGGAGAGAGAAGAUGAGAGAGGAGGGAGAGAGAAGGAAGGAGAGGAGGGAUAAAGAGAUAGGAAAGAGAAAAGGGAGGUACGACGGCGGACGGGGUAGGUUCACCGGUCGGCGCCGGCAAGGUCGGGCGUGGUCUCGGGGUCGGUGGUGGCUUGAUCCGCUCUUGGAUCGGGGGCCUCCCGUCCGCGCCGCAGCGUCGCUGGCAUGGAGGCCCGGGCUCGGGCAGCCACUGUCGUGUCGGGCGUGCUGGUGAGGUCUCUAGGGACACCAUGGCCCCAAUGUAAACGGCAACGCGGCCGCCCCAGAGGAAGUCAAAGACGAAGGAUCACUGGCAGUUUGAUCGAGUUCAUCUUCAUCCUACAGGUGGAUCCAACAAGUUUGAGUGAGUAAUGCUACUAUUCUUCUCUUGGCUGGUGUUCGUGCUCUGCUUUUGGGCAUUAUUGUUUCUCAUUUGAUGCUGAUGCAGCAGCUGGAGACACAGAAGAAGGGAGGCAGGUUGUAACGCCCCGAGACCGACGCUCCAGAAGACUUCCAGCUACUCCGAGUUUCGUCGUGUGAUUUGUUUUGUUUGUUGCAUCAUUUGCAUUGCAUCAUGCCAUCAUGUCAUUUAUUUUUUUAAACCUCAACUAAUAAAUUGUAUGGAUUUUUCGAUCCAUUUAAAUCGAGGGACUCACAUGGUGACUUCUCUUUAUAACAUAUCCUCCGAUAUUAGGGAGCUAUAAUAAAAUAUUCCAUUGUUUCGGAAUCACCAAAACACACUUGCAAAAUAAUUCCCCAUGCCUUUGACCUCAAACAUUGUCCAAUAAUUUAUUUCAUCAUUUUCCGGAGCUCCACCAAAAAUCCGAACAUUUUUUGACCUUCCUUUCAUCAAGUCCUAGUUCAAACCCAUUUGAAUUUCAAAUGAGUUUGAAUUUAAAUCUUUCGAUCAUGCCCAUUUCUAUUUUUCUCGGAACAAACUCAUUUUUGCGAGUCCGGGAAAAUUACCCCCAUGCCCAAAUUCUUGUCCACUCAUUUCUUUUCUCUCCCUUUCUUUCUUUACUUUUCUGUUUUUGGAAGAGUUUUGAAGAGAGAGGGAGAAGAGAGCCUUGCAGCCCAGCCGGCCUCUUAGGCCCGGCCAACCUAAGCCGGCCCAAGGCCCAGCCGGUGCCCCUCUAACCCUAGCCGCAGCGCCCGAUCCCCAUCUCUCCCUCUCGUCUCCCUCUCCUCCCUCGCGCCGCCAGAGGAGCCCAUCUCCUCGAUCUUCCCCUUCCCCUCCUUUGCGCCCCAUCUCUCGCUCGAUCCCGCACGCAGGAGCCCCACGCCCGAUCCCCAUCAUCGCCGUCGUGCCCCGUCCACCAGGAACCGCAGCUCGCCGCGCCCUGCUUCUCCUCCCCUUGCUCCCGCGCUCCGCCCUUGCCGAAGAAGAGAACCAGGCCGGAGCCCCGUUGGCCUCCUCCGCGAGCUCGCCUGCCCGCACGGCCAUGGCGCCGCCGGCCUCCUUGGUUCACCCGCGCCCCGCUGCCGAACCUUCUCCGCCUCGCGCCUCCACCUCCGUCGCCUGCACCCGUUCCCCUCGCCGGCUUGCCGCCUCCAGCCGCUCCUCUGCAGCUCCUCGCGCCUCCGCCUCGCCCCUCUCAACCUCCUCUCCGAGCAGGAGCCGCCUCCCCUGCUGCGCGCCAAGGCCCACGCCGACCACUUCAUACUUCGCCGCCCUGCUACCGCUGCAGUCCAGCCGCGCCUCUUCUUCGUGUCUGUGACCUUCUGUCGUCGUCCCCAUCGACCCGUUGGACCCCGCUGCCUCCCGCAUCUCCUCGUCGCACGCUGCGACCACCAGGAGCUCCGCCGCGCCCCGAGCCUCCUCUGCUCGAGCUCCACCUCCUACGCACCCCGAUGGCACUGCUGCCAUCUCUGCUGCUUUGUGCCGUUGGCCAUGCUUGCCUCGGGCCCCGGUGUAGCCUCCCCGUGUUCCUGCAGUCACCGCUGACCUCCUGAAGAUCAGGACCCGAGACCCGGGCGCUCCGCUGCUAGUUCCGUGGACGUCAAGUACAGCUUCGAUGACCCUGGAUGUCUACGAGCGUCAAGUACCACUACAACCCAUGUUCGACCACGUGGAUUCGCCAAGUACACCACCACCAAGUCCGCACGGGAGCCCGAACGACUACUUCCACGACGAUGCGAGUACAAGUACCCCUUCGGAUCGCCAAGUACAUCUACGGCCGUGUACCACUACUUCCUCUACCCUCGACCCUAGAGCAUGCGAGAACGACAACUUCCACUACUACCGUCGCCGUGUACAACUACUUCCUCUACGUCGCCACGUGAACGUCUACCUCCACUACGGCCGUGAACGACUACUUCCUUCGCCGAACGAGAACCGUCCCGAUUGCUCGCUUCGAAGGUAUAACCACCGAAACGACCGCCGUGGACCGAAUGCAUGUUGUAUGAGAUGCCCGUGUUUGCACCAUGUCCGAAUUGUUCCUUGCACGUUCGCCGUAAGCCAUGCCACCAUUAUGUGGGACACCCGGAAUCCGGGAUCACCCCACCAUCCAUGCACGCAUCCGCACGCCUCCUUUUGCACCGGUAUCUCUGUGAGCUACCGGAACCGAUAUGUUGCCAUGGCAUCAUUUUCGGAUAUGUUGCCAUGGCACCAUUUCUGUUUCGCCGCCGUGGCACCCUUUUCAUUCCGCCAUGGCGACUAAUGCUUUAUAACAUGCUUAUGUUAACGUUUUUAUAAAAUUGCAUAAAACUUGUAUAUGUCAUCCGCAUCAUGAUAACAACAUUUAAAAAUGUUUAAACUUGUUGUUGCAUUAAAUUGCUAAAUGCAUAUGGGGAUUUACCGGAUUUGUUGUUUUUAUAUCCGGCCCCAUUUAAAUUGUUUAGAUGGUAUUGUUAGUUUAAUUAUGCCUCACCUCUUGCCAUGUUUAACAACAGUUAAUAUUGUUGGAUAGCAUAACCGAGAGAGAACUAAAUAAUUGAUGUGGUGUUUCGUCAAUAUGCAACUCCGUUGCAUAUUGAGCUCCACUUAAUUUGUAAGAUAGUUUGUUGCAUUUUGCCAUGCCAUGCCUCAUUAAAUCGGACAUGCAUCAUACUUGAUUGUGCAUCGUGCCUUGUUUAUGCUUGUGUGUUUACUAUGUUGUUUGUUUCUUUCCGGGUUGUUUCUCUCGUUAGCUUCGGUUUCGUUCCGGAGUUGUGAGGAUCCGUUCGUCUACGACCGUUUGUCUUCUUCUUGGACACGUUCUUCUUCCAUGCGGGAUCUCAGGCAAGAUGAUCAUACCCUCGAAAUCACUACUAUCUUUGCUAUGCUAGUUUGCUCGCUCUUUUGCCAUGCCAAUGCUACGAUGCCUACCAUUUGCUUGUCAGCCUCCCAAAUUGCCAUGUCAAACCUCUAACCCACCAUGUCCUAGCAAACCGUUGAUUGACUAUGUUACCGCUUUGCUCAGCCCCUCUUAUAGCGUUGUUAGUUGCAGGUGAAGAUUGAAGUUUGUUCCUUGUUGGAACAUGGAGAUGUUGUUCCUUGUUGGAACAUGUUUACUUGUUGGGAUAUCACAAUAUAUCUUAUUUAAUUAAUGCAUCUAUAUACUUGGUAAAGGGUGGAAGGCUCGGCCUUAUGCCUGGUGUUUUGUUCCACUCUUGCCGCCCUAGUUUCCGUCAUAUCGGUGUUAUGUUCCCGGAUUUUGCGUUCCUUACACGGUUGGGCUAUAAUGGGAACCCCUUGACAGUUCGCCUUAAGUAAAGCUCCUCCAGCAAUGCCCAACAUUGGUUUUACCAUUUGCACUAACAACCUACCACCUUCCCUUGGGUUCUGCANNNNNNNNNNNNNNNNNNNNNNNNNNNNNNNNNNNNNNNNNNNNNNNNNNNNNNNNNNNNNNNNNNNNNNNNNNNNNNNNNNNNNNNNNNNNNNNNNNNNNNNNNNNNNNNNNNNNNNNNNNNNNNNNNNNNNNNNNNNNNNNNNNNNNNNNNNNNNNNNNNNNNNNNNNNNNNNNNNNNNNNNNNNNNNNNNNNNNNNNCUCUGAGUGUUGGUCCGAACUGAGCUGCCUGCGGGGCCACCUCGGGGAAACUUGAGGGUUGGUUUUACUCGUAGCUAGUCUCAUCUGAGUGUGCCCUGAGAAAGAGAUAUGUGCAGCUCCUAUCGGGAUUUGUCGGCACAUUCGAGCGGUGUUGCUGGUUUAGUUUUACCCUGUCGAAAUGUCUUGUUGUAUCGGGAUACCGAGUCUGAUCGGAGUGUCUCGGGUGGAGGUCUAUUCCUCCGUUGACCGUGAGAGCUUGUCAUGGGCUAAGUUGGGACACCCCUGCAGGGUAUUAUCUUUCGAAAGCCGUGCCCGCGGUUAUGUGGCAGAUGGGAAUUUGUUAAUGUCCGGUUGUAGAAAAUCCGAAGUUGACCUUAAUUAAAAUACAUCAACCGUGUGUGUAACCGUGAUGGUCUCUUUCCGGCGGAGUCCGGGAAGUGAACACGGUGUUGGAGUUAUGCUUGACGUAGGUUGCUAUAUGAUCACUUCUUGAUCAUACUUUUAUCGACCGUGCUUUGCCCUCUCUUCUCGCUCUCUUUUGCGAUUGUAGCCACCAUAUAUGCUAGUCGCUUGCUGCAGCUCCACCUCAUUACUCCAUCCUUCCUAUAAGCUUAAAUAGUCUUGAUCUCGCGGGUGCGAGAUUGCUGAGUCCCCGUGGCUCACAGAUACUUCCAAAACCAGUUUGCAGGUGCCUAUGUUACCGAGCAGGUGACGCAACCAAGCUCAAGGAGGAGCUCGAUGAAGAUCUUGCCCUUUGUGUUGUUUCGUUUUAGUUGAUCAGUAGUGGAGCCCAGUUGGGGUCGAUCAGGGACCUUUGUCGCAUUUGGGGUUCUUCUUUUAUUUUGGUUCCGUAGUCGGACCUUGAUUGUAUCUGGAUGAUGUAAUGCUUUAUUCAUGUAAUUGUGUGAAGUGGCGAUUGUAAGCCAACUAUGUAUCUCUUUCCCUUAUGUAUUACAUGGGUUGUGUGAAGAUUACCUCACUUGCGACAUUGCUUUCAAUGCGGUUAUGCCUCUAAAUCGUGCUUCGACACGUGGGAGAUAUAGCCGCAUCGAGGGCGUUACACAGGUGGAGCAGUUGAUGGAACAGGAAGAGGACAUCAUGGUAUUUUCAAUCAGCAUCUGCACUUCUCCUUUUUCUUCUUUGUUUAGGUGUUUCAAAUCUCAAUUCAUCGGUUUGGAACUUGGACCCUCGGAACUCAUUUUUCAGUUCUUACUAAAAUCCCAAUUUGGUUGUCUUAUAAUAUUUUACUUCUCUGAAUUUUCUCUUUCGCCUGUUGGUUUAGUUGUUCUGCAUGCACUUGGCCCCAAAUCUUUUAACUUAGUUGGUCACAACUCACAGCUGGUGUUUAUCUUCUUAGGAUCUACCUAGCUGAGGAUGGCAUGCUGGCACAACAACAUGGUCCUAUUGGGGAUGGUGAAGAAACAAACCCCACUGUCAGUUCUCCAAACCCUACUGGGGAUGAUGCGCCUCCUGCUCUCGUCCUCUGUUCGUCCGUCCACCUCGCUCCAGCCGCCGCCUCUCGUCCUCGGUUCGUCGUUCCGCCUCUCUCCACCCGUCGUUGCACUGCUUCUGUAGACCACCAUGAAGGUGAGAUUGCCCCUCCCUUACCCGACAUUCUUCCCUUUUCGGAUCUAUUGCUGCUGUGCUUACUGGUCGUGGAUGUUCUGUCGUUGUAGGUGGUUGUUGGUUGAGUGUGAGAGCUGUAGUUCUUCGUCGAUCGCUGAUCUUGUUCGUCAAUGAAUUCUGCGGCUGUCAUCGUCACCAAGGUAUGGUUUGUGGUCUACUGAUGCGUAUCCAUGGAUGUUUCUGUGUCGAUUUUUGGUUCGUGCCUGUGUAACUCAUGAACUGUUUGAUCUUAUGUCCUCUCACUGUGGGACGUUAAAUUUGUUUUUCUUUUUUCAGAAAUCGCACUAAUUGGUUCGUCGUCAGAUUUGCCUUGCUGUUUCUUCUGCUCAAACGAUCAUCUUUGUGUUGAGGUUCGAUUUUCAGCACUUUUCCUUGCCGCUUCAAUUUAUUGUGCUUUUUCUUGUAUGAGAUUUCAAGCAAGCUUGUUGAGUUUGUCCUUCUUCUUCUUCUUAGAGAAUCUGAGGAGAAUUGUUAUGUGCGAGUGUACAAACAUAGAUUUGAAAUCAAUUCUGCUGUGUUAUAUGCUUUAAAACGAGAUGUACCUAACUGAACUUGUUUGUGCCGUUUAAAAUUCAGUUAUGUGCAAAGAAACAGCAAAUAGCGGUUUACUGUAACUUUUCUUGUAUGAGAUUUCAAGUGAGAUUGUUCAGUUCGUUAUUCUUUUUGUUCAUAGAGAUUCUGAGAAAGAUUGUUAUGUGCCACUGUAUAAAGAUGAAUUUGAAAUCAAUUGAGCUGUGUUGUAUGCUUUAGUAGGAAAUGAACUUAACUGAACUUGUUUCUGGCGUUUAGAAUUCAGUUAUCUACAGAGACACAACAAAUACCAGUGUAGUGUAGCUUUUCUUGUAUAAGGUUCCAAGCAAUAUAGUUCGGUUAGUUCUUAUUUUUCUUCUUAGAGAUUUUGAGCAAGAUUGUUAUGUGUGAUUGUGUGAAGGUGGAUUUCAAAUCAAUUCUGCUGCGGUGUGCACUUUAAAACAAGAACUGAACUUGCUUGUGCCAUUCAAAAUACUGAUCUACAAAGAAACAACAAAUAAGUUGCCAGUUUUAGAAGUGGUGCAACAGAUAGUUUGUUAGAUGAUUGAGACAGCUACAAGGUCAUUUGACUCUCCAAUCGUUCAAAUUUUCAUCCAAAAGUACAGAUUCGCUGCUCAUAGACCACAUGAAUCGAUUGACGUCGUAUGUGCUAAAUGCACAUUAAGAUUCAGUUUCGCGUACUGUUUCAGUUACAUGAAUAUUUUUGUCAUCAAUACAUCCAUUAUAUAUUAAUCUACUCCCUCCGUCUCAAAAUAAGUGACUCAACUUUGUACUAACUUUUCCAUUUUGCCUUCCUGAUUGUACUAUGCUCUAUCCAUUUUGGCUUACAUUUUGCCUUCCCGGUUGAUCACGUACAUGCUUACCUGUACACAUAAUUCUCAUCACUCUUUUUCAUGAUUCUCGACAUCGCAAAAAAUAAUAAAGAGCAAGUAAUUUGAUAAUAAUAUGUACCCUGAAAGCCACUCUUCUUCAUGACUAUAUCGUUGUCAUCGGAUAUUAUAUAGAUGUUAAGACUUUUGUUCUUAGAGAUUUUGAGCAAGAGCAAGUAAUUUGAUAAUAAUAUGUACCCUGAAAGCCACUCUUCUUCAUGACUAUAUCGUUGUCAUCGGAUAUUAUAUGGAGAUUAAGACUUUUGUUCUUAGAGAUUUUGAACAAGAGCAAGUAAUCUGAUAAUAAUAUGUACCCUAAAAGCCUUGUCAUCAGAUAUUAUAUACAGAUUAAGACUGCAUAUCGAGGUCAUUUUAUAAGAUUUUGAGUUCCAUCUUUAAGGACAAUUUGCAAUAUCAUGUUUACUACGUCUGUAAUACUCUUACUGCUGUAUUGGGUGUUGAAAUGAACUAACUGAUAUUGAAUGUAAUGUAGAAUCUUAGUUAUCAUAGUUACACUAUGGAAUUAGGUCAUUGUUGCUGAAUAUGGUAUGUGCUUCUCAUGAGUUGGUUGCUUUCAAUCACUUAAGUUACGGUAUCUUUUCUCAGGAAUUGGCGUCAUCAAUUGAUACUCGAGUUUACCUUGUUAUUUGAUCUGGGCAUAUCGACUCUGCGGUAAGGUGUGCUUGCCACUCAUUUUAUCUGGGUUGAGUUACUUGUGCUUGGAUUGUGUGUGCUUACUCACACUUUUUUUCUUUCACCGGCUGUGAUAUUUAUAUGCAUAAAAAACAGAGAACAUGAAUUCCACUGAUCCUGAUUUCGAUCAUGCUGCUGCACGUAGUCGAACUGUUUCCCAACACCGUAACAGAGUGGCAGCACGUCUUGCCCUAUUCCAAAGUGCGCUAUGGUUUGACAUGAUCAUAGGUUAUUCUUGUCCUUAUAAUAUUACGUUCUGUGUGAUGUGAACUUAUGUGCAAAUGACUUGUUUAGGCGCCUUGAAUUCUGUACCCGGAUCAUUGUCCUCUGGUGCAAAUGGUGCAUUUAUGGGUAUGGAUCAUCAACAUUCUAAUUCAAGCCUAUUAUGGUAGUGCCCUUUUAACGUAUAUUACGCCAUAGGAGGUGGUUUCUUUCCGGUUGUCUCGCAUACAUACAUACAGCUAGUUAAGGCGCCGUCAGCGAAUGCAAAAGAGAAAAAUGCGUAUCUGGCGUCGAACAGGUCUGUCCUGCUUGUGUCGCCUUGCGAUCAAUUGUAAAAACAACACCUAGGUCAUUAUCGAACUGUGCUAAAUUAGUUCUUCCGUUUGUUUGAAAGUUACCCCUACCAGACUACAUCUACCACACGCUCUGUUUUCUUCUGAUUACACAGAGUUUUUAAAAGGUAUUUUUGUAGUCAAGGUCAUAUACCUUAGAAACUUUCUGAAAACAUCUAAUGCAUUCUCUCUACAGCAUCGUAUAAAAAGAGGUCGUAUCUGGGAGCGCCUGAGUACACAUGCCAGUUCUAUGGCGCCGUGUUUUGGUUCCGCGAGAGAUGUAAGAAAGAAACGUGUGUGCCUGAGCAUCGUAUCAUAUAUAACCUAUGCUGCAAGGGCGGUAAAGUGUCAAUGCCUGCUUUCAGAAACCCACCACUUUUUCUGUCAGAACUACUUAGGUUUGAUGGUGAUUCACGUUCUAAGCAAUUCUUGGAUAAAAUCAGACAAUACAAUUCCCUUUUUGCUUUCACCUCCAUGGGAGCAGGUAUUGAUAAACAUAUUAACGAAGGUGGUGGUCCAUAUGUAUUUAAAAUUCAUGGUCAGGUAUAUCACCGUAUUGGAUCGCUUCUGCCAAAUAGAGGUGCGACUCCAAAAUUUGCCGAGCUAUAUAUUCAUGACACACAAAAUGAGGUCUCAAAUCGAAUUAAUGCCGUGAUGAACGAAGAUAGUGAAAAAGACAGUGGUAUUGAUAGAGACAUAGCUGAUGGUUUGAUGAAGAUGCUUGAUGAGUUUAAUCCUCUUGUACGGACAUUUAGAAUGGCUAGAGAUUGACUUGAAAACCAAGGCGAGGAAAGAAUUGCUAUUAGAAUAGUUGGUGCGGAAAAAAUGAUUCGGUGCAAUAUAAUCUCCCUGCAUGCACAAUCAACAAGACGUUUACCAAACCAGGCCAGCGCAUGGUAUGCUCAAAUGCACAGCCUAUUCAAUAUUUACUAAGUUCAUAGUAUACCAAAUUGUAUCUCCAUACUGUACAAGUCCCACUUUUUAUUGUCUUUUUAACAGAAAAGAUGCUGCUUGAUUUUAACCGAGCAUCUCUGCUUUUAACUUUAUCUUUUCAACAACACUACUAAUGCUUUAAUGGCACGCGCACACUGUAUAUGAAAAUGACAAAUUUGCCUUGUGUAAGCCCAAUUUUCUUUCAUCACCAUUCUUUCCCACUCUCAUACUUUGUUAUACUCAAUGAGAUUCAUUCAACUCACUUUUAAAAUAUUACUCUGUAGUCGACCAUUCAAUUACAAGCACAUUUAUUUUUACUUCUUCAUCUUCCUUUACUUCUUCACUCUUUUCAUGUGCUUCAUCAGCCAUUUUACAGAAUAUACAGUGUUGUUUUGUUAUGCAUUUUAAUUACCUUAACUGUUGUAAGUUUGUGAUGAUACAAAGGGAAGUUGCAUACAUAUUUUCUUAUUUAUACUAUUCUUCUAUCCAUGCUUAAGAUAUAAAAAAUCUUGUUCUGUUCAUACUACUUAACAGUCAGCACUUUAGUCAUCUUACAAAUACCAAUUAUGUUCCCCUUCUCACUGUAUAUCAGAUAGAUCAACACCUGGUCUGUUGUUAUUUUUCUCCUGCCCCUUUUGAAAUUUCUACUUUAUCUUUUCUAGCUUACCAUUUUUCAUUCCUUUGUUAUCUAUUCAUACACUAGGCUGUACAUACUCAAAUCAUCAAUUGGACACCAGAAAUAUUGACUUCUCUUUGCUCUUUCAUCAGCCAUUUUACUUGAGCAUUCAUAAAUGUGGGUCCUCAAGAUAUGUACUCACUAACGAUACUUUCCUAUCACCAUUAAUAUCAUUAAUAUCCAUAGAACACGCUCCUAUCUUCCAUAUCACACAACAAUUUCUGUCCAUGUAAAUAACUUGCUUUCUUUUACCAAUAUUUUCAGGUUAACUAUACUGAAGAGAACCUGCUCGACUACAUUGAUCCAAACAAUGAUACACUCAUGGUCAGACUUGCAGACGACCAUCUGCUCGCCGAAUGUCGCAUCAUGCUAGGAACUGACAAGAGGGCCACUACAACCACCAACAUUCGUGAAGGAGACAUCUGUGCAUUUCGUUUCAGGAUCACUUCAAAGGGCCGCCUGGUUCUCACCGUGCACCGCCUCUAGAUGCACCAUCGAAGACGCUGCAGCCCAUGUGUGACUGUGUCAAUAUAAUAUAAUAUAAUCCUAUGAUAACCUAUGGUUCGCUUUUGGGCAUCAUGGUUGUCACUAUUCUUUAUAGUAUAUAUUUCUAUUUCUCAUAUUAAAUUUUUGUUAACUAAAGCAAGCAUCCCAAACGCUAACUAGAAUAGAAAAGAGUGUUAAAGGGGCGAGUACAACCAGGCACCGCCCAGCUCCCCCUCAAGAGGCGCGCCACGGGCGCGCCCCAACACCUAGUGUAAACACAAGUAGGAGGGCGUGCCACUCCAACUAUGGACUCUCACAUGUUUUUUUUUGAGACAAAUGGAUUCUCAUGUGUCAAUUUUUUUGGGAGGAGUGUAAAUAUAAUUGUUACAGUACAUGUCUAUAACAGAACGUGCUCCAGGGCUACAAUUUACCUGUAUAUUAUUACAAUUUACAUGUCUAUAACAGAAUAUGUAUAAAAUUUGUAAUUAUAAAUAAUAUACAUAUAAAUAAAUAUAUAAACCAAAAAAUGCUCACCUAUUAAUUUAAAAUCCAUCAAAUUAAAUUAUGAUUUUUUUUAUAAUUUUAAUUUUUUGCAUAUGAAUUGAAUAUCAAAGUAAUUUUAGAAAAUAUUUGUAUUAAAUAAAUUAUGCUAUAAGUUAAAAAAACUAUUUUUUAUAAAAUAACUAUGUUGUAUAUAAAAUUGUCCAAGAUUUAAUCUGUUUAUUUUGUUUUAUAAGUGUUCAUGCAUUUUUUAUAAAUUUUGUGUGUUUCUAUAAAUUAUAUUUGCAUUUCUAGAUUAAUUUAAAUAUAUGUAUGAAGAAAAUUUAGCCAAGUGUGCCUCAGACUGCAGAUUCUCAAAUGAAUAUGUAUUUACAAUACAAUUUACAUUUUUGAGGCUAAAAAUGAAAAAGGAAAAAACUAACAUGUUUAAGGCACGAAAUGCUAGUGGUUGUAUUGCUAGGUCCUGCUGGUGGUAAUUGUCAGGCCGCUAGUACGAAAUCCCACGGCGGUAUCUUUUUUGUCUUUUCAAAUUUACAUUUCUUAUUUUAUGUUCCCUGUGUUUUUUUUCCUUCUUCUUAUUUUACAAUAUUUUAGGUCAGGAUGUAAAAGGCUUAAUAUCAUUAUAUGACAUCGAUUGUUAUUUGCUGGGUUGGCUACCCGCCACACUCCGUUUGACCCAAGCGUCACUGGUUCGAGUAAUGCGUAUAGAAACGAUAUUUGCACCGUAUUUGCACAUUCGAGCCAAGUUUUUGCACCACUUCGAUGUAUGCCACAAGUUCUAGCACUAAGGUGAUCAUUUACGCCAAGUUCUAAUACUACCGGUGUAAUUGACUCAUACCUGCCCAGCUCGGCACGAUGCUAAAGUCCUUUUUUUGGGGUUGGGUUUGCCAAAAUAAUUAACUGCUCUUGGUGUACCUACUUGCAUGAUUACCAAGAGAACCCUUUCAUACAGCUAGUCGACAAAAGGCAGUAAUGCUACAUUCAUGGGGAGGUUUUUUACAGACUUCACGUGGUAGCAAAUGUGAAGGCUGAAGGCUUAAGAUUGGGUUUAACGGGUGGGAAGAGGCCCACCCCUGGUGAAAAUCAGGGGGAGGGGGGCUAGUUUGAUUAGAUGGAACAAGCCCGUAUUAGUCCCCUAAAGGCCCAUGAGUCUAGCAUUCUUGCGACAAAAUGUAUUACGGCAGUUGUCUUUUUGCUUGUCCCAUGCUGGAUAUGACGGCCAAUUUAAUUUCUUGGACUACAGAGUAGUGUUCUCGAUGGCCAACUCUUGAUGGUCCUCAAGCUUUUGGUUUUGCAACUAGACCUAAUAAUAUAUAGAAAUAUGAGUAAUUUCAAUUUUUGCCCUGUCAGCUUUUACUCCGUUUAGGAAAGGUUUUCUACUACCUCUAUAAAAUUUUAUAAGUCGUUUUAGCUCAUUUAAUGAGUUAAAUGACUAAUAAAAAUUUACAAAGGGAGUAGCUUUUACAUCACUUAGUAAUCUAUGAGGUGGGUCUUAAAACGUGUGUGAAAAACAAAUUGUAACAAUAUCUUUUUUCAAAAUCUUCUUAGUUGAGACGAACAACUCAACUAAAAAAUACUUUUUACGUUACAUCGUACUACCUAAUAUGAUGGGUAGUAUUUAAUUGAUCAAAUGAUCAACAUAGGCUGACUCGGGAUUUGGCUCAAGGACAUAUUGGUAAUUCUUUGUGUGGCACCGCUCCUGUAUGAUGCCAAAAGCGUGAGCAAUAUAAGAGGAGAUCUCCGCUUCGGCGCCUAGGGCAUCUCCGACAAUGUCCCGCAAAUUUGCUCCGGCAUUCGUCCACAGUAAUGGGACCAGUCCGCUUAGGGCAUUGUAAUUAAUGGUAGAAAAAAUCCAGUCAUUAUGCACCCAAUAUUAGGUACACACAAUGCAUCAGCAUGACAACAGUGCUCUCAGGUUCUGACGGUUAUUUUAGAGGAUGAUGAUACAACAUAAAAGUAAAUAAAUAGUUCCUUCGCAGAGGGAAGCAGUGAUUUGCAGCUGUGCCAGAGCUCAAAUUUUUUAAAACAGAUGUAAAUGAUAUUUUGAGACAUGCACCCUUCUCAUUUACUUCACGACUAUCAAUUAUCAAUAUCUUCCAUACUAAGCACGCUAGUGGCGGUUCCCAAGCGAUAAAAGUAAAUGUUUUGACUCCAUUGGGAGUUUUUGUUUGAUUAUUUGUAAGCUUUUUCUAUUUGCAGUUUGGGUCUGGCCAUCUCUAUUGCCGUCAUUUUCUCGUGCGAUGGCGAGUGAAUAAACACUCGACCUGAGAAUAAUUCGCUUAGCAUGGAAGAUACCGACCACCUUCUGUCGUUCCAUGAAAGAUCCAGACACACACAAAAAGAUAUUUAUUUGAAGUUUAUAGAGGUGGCACAUGCAAAUUUACUUAGGACGGCAGGGUAAUACCGCAUAUAGGUAGGUAUGAUGGACUCAUCUAGAAUAAUUUGGGUUCAAGGUUUUAGAUGUACAAGCAGAAUUCCCACUUAGUACAGGUGAAGGCUAGCUAAUAGAUUGAGAAGCGGCCAGCUAGAGAGCAACAACGGUCAUGAACAUGCAUCAUGCAUAAGUAACAUUGGACACUAGCAUGAGUAGGAUAUGAACACCAAGAACAUAAAUAUCAUAGAUGCUAUGUUGGUUUUGAUUCGACUACAUGCAUGAACAUGUGCCAAGUCAAGACACUCAAACAUUCAGAGGAGGAUACCAUAUCGUCAUACUACAUCACAAUUAUUUUAACGCAAUGUUGAUAUCCAAGAUAAGUCAUUAUCCACUCCCAACUACUUAUGCAUGGCAUGAGAAACUAUAAUAUCUAAUUGUCAUUGCAAACAUGUUUAAUCAUAAUAGGCUGAAUCAUAAAUACUAGGUUAAACAUAUUUACAAAAGCAGAACAAGUCGAGUUCAUACCAGUUUCUCUCUGCCACAUCCAGUUCAUCAAAUAUUGUCAUUAUUGCCUUUCACUUCCAUGACCGAACGAUGUGAAAAUAAUAAUAGUACAAGAGUGCCGUGGACUAAGCUGGAAUCUGUAAACAUUUUAUUCAACAAGAGAAGACAAGGUAAAAUGAGCUCUUUGUUAGAUCAACAAUAAUGCAUAUGAGAGCCACUCAACAUUUUCAUCCUGGUCUUCUCCUCGAUAUGACUCAAAAGAUGGAAAAAUAAAUUCAGAGAAACACACUGAAAUAUUUUUGAAGUUUUUGGUUUUCUUGAACAAGCAAAUAAAAGGGAAAAGCAAAAACGAGAGAAACUAUUUACACGGGAAAGCUCCCAAGAAGCAAAAGAAGAGCAAUGAAAUCUUUUGGGGUUUUCUUUUUAGUACUACUCACUACAACUAUUUUUUUUGGUUUUUCUAAGGUUUUUCAAACACACAAGAAGAAAGCGAGAAAAUAAAUCUAACAUGGAUGGUACAAUGAAAAAGUGUGGACACCGACAACUAGAAUGAAAUAUAAAAACAUGAAUGUAAUGUUGGUGGAAAACACGUACUCCCCCAAGUUUAGGCUUUUGGCUUAACUUGGUAAUCAGUCAGUAGCCUGGAUAGUAGUCAGAGUGGUAGCUCACGAAGGCUCUCUGUGCGGACACCUCGGCCUGUCGUGCUGCCUCAACCGCCUCAUUGUGGGCUCGGGCCUCGCUCUCAAGAACAGAAUACCUCCCCUUGUUGUGAUAAUCAAAGAGAGCGGGCGUAGGCAAAUAUGUGUAUACCACAGAUGCUUGGUUAAACAACAAUUUAUAGGUGAAAUUAUGAAUAUCUCCUUUAAGGAUCUUAUGAUGUUUCAUAGCAUCAAAAUCUAAAUACUGCGUGGGUAGGAUAUGGUCAAAGGGCAAAGGUGAAACACCCAGCUCUCUUGCUAAACGCAUGGCAUAAAUUCCAUCAUAGAAAUAGACACUAUUAGCGUUGUGUUGCAGUUUGCGUGCAACAAUCGCUCCAAGAUUAUAACUCCUAUCACCGAUGAGAGCGAUGCGUAAAAGGCUCAAGUCUGGAGCACAAAGUGUACUACAAUCUUGUUUGCCUACAAUACAAUUCGCAUUGAAUAAAGCAAAGUACUGAAUUGCGAGAAAAUGAAUGCUCUUUAUUCUACCUUGCGUCACUCCCCUCGUCUCACCGUACCAAAGACUAGUUAAGAAUGAUUGGUACUCAGCCCUUGGCGGUUCGUCAAGCGAACCCCACAAUGGGAGUUUGCAGUGGUGAGCAAAUAUCUCUUGUGAUAUGAUAAAUGAAUUUUCAUACAGUUUAAAUGACACCCUAGACUCACAAGAAUGAAAUUUAAAUCCUUUGACAAAUGAUUCAGUGAGGGUGUGGUGUUGAUCGCACUUAUCUGAAAUGUAGGGACCGUGACCGGCAUUGUGAACAUAUUGCUCAAAUUCCUCCUUAAUGCCCACACGCACCAUAUAACCAUCGCAUGGACAUAGGCAUGUUUUGGUGGCGGCAUCUCGAAUGGAACUUUCACUCGGUUCAACAUAAGACCGACGAGUAGAGUUGUCACUAGAAGCUGCCCUCGAGAAUCUCCUCCUCGAAGAACUCCUUCCAAAUAGGUUCAUCAUGUUCGCAUACAAUUUUCUGAAAUUUUUUGGGGUGACAAAAAUUCAUCAACAAAAUUUUACAAGAUUGAUAGCAACUACUCAUAGGGAUACAUAGAAGCCAUAGCAAGCAUUCUAACUACUUAGAACUAUAAGAAUUCAACAUGCAAGCUCAUCUACAUAAGCACCAAGAGUAGCUAAUUAUUCAAAAUGUAAACCAUUAAAGAAAAAACUAAUUGGAAAAAUGGAGGAGUCACAUACCAAGCUACAAUCCCCCGAAACAGUUUUGGAAACGGAGCUUCGAGCAAAGAGAUCGAAAUCCACGGGUUUGAGAGCAAGAACACGAGAGAGAGCAAUGGUGAAUUUUUCUGGAGGUAGGUGAUGAUGUGGUGUGAAGAGAUAAGUGAGGGGAGCCCACGUGGGGACCACAACCCACCAGGGCGCGCCUGGGGGUCCUGGCGCUCCCAGGUGGGUUGUGCCCACCUGGUGCACCUCCCUCUGAUAUUAUUUGCACCAAAAAUUCUUAAAUAUUCAGAAAAAAUCGUAUUAAAUUUUCAGAGCAUUCUGAGAACUUUUAUUUUUGGGUCUUUUUUUAUUGCACGGGAAAUUCAGAAAACAAACAAAAUAUAGAAUUUUAUUUUAUUUAACUAAUAAAAACAGAAAACAAAAGGUAGGGACAAAAGGUAGUGCUUACUAAAUUCAUCAACUUCAUACCUCUCAAAAAUGAUCCAUUAAUAUGGUUGAUCAAGUCUUAUUAACAACUACUUUCGAUUAGCAUGAAACCGAAGAACUUUCAUAAAUCACUAAGUUACCUCAACGGGGAUAUGAAUGUCCCCAAAAAUAAGCAUUUCAUAUUUCUUUUUGGCAGUAGGUAGAGGUAGUUGAAAACUUCCAAUAUUGAUUUUUCAAUCAGGGGGUUCCGGUAACCUCCCGGUACUCCGAAAAAUACCUGAAUCACUUCGGAACCAUUCUGGUGUCCGAAUAUAACCUUCCAAUAUAUCGAUCUUUACCUAUCGACCAUUUCGAGACUCCUCGUCAUGUCUGUCGUCUCAUCCGGGACUCCGAACAAACUUCGGUCAUCAAAUCACAUAACUCAGAAUACAAAUCGUCAUCGAACGUUAAGCGCGCGGACCCUACGGGUUCGAGAACUAUGUAGACAUGACCGAGACACAUCUUCGAUCAAUAAUCAAUAGCGGAACCUAGAUGCUCAUAUUGGCUCCUACAUAUUCCACGAAGAUCUUUAUCGGUCAAACCGCAUAACAACAUGUUUUUAUUCCCUUUGUCAUCGGUAUGUUAAAUUACUUGCCCGAGAUUCGAUCGUGGUAUCAUCAUACCUAGUUCAAUCUCGUUAUCGGCAAGUCUCUUUACUCAUUCCCUAAUGCAUCAUCCCGUAACUAACUCAUUAAUCACAUUGUUUGCAAGGCUUAUAGUGAUGUGCAUUACCGAGAGGGCCUAGAGAUACCUCUCCGAUACUCGAAGUGACAAAUCCUAAUCUCGAUCUAUGCCAAAACAAACACCAUCGGAGACACCUGUGGAGCAUCUUUAUUAUCACCCAGUUACAUUGUGAUGUUUGAUAGCACACAAAGUGUUCUUCUGGUAUUCGGGAGUUGCAUAAUCUUAUAGUCAGAGGAACAUGUAUAAGUCAUGAAGAAAGCAAUAGCAAUAAAACUAAACGAUCAUAAUGCUAAGCUAAUGGAUGGGUCUUGUCCCAUCACAACAUUCUCUAAUGAUGUGAUCCCGUUCAUCAAAUGACAACACAUGUCUAUGGUUAGGAAACUCAACCAUCUUUGAUUAACGAGCUAGUCAAGUAGAGGCAUACUAGGGACACUCUGUUUGUCUAUGUAUUCACACAUGUACUAAGUUUCCGGUUAAUACAAUUCUAGCAUGAAUAAUAAACAUUUAUCAUGAUAUAAGGAAAUAUAAAUAACAACUUUAUUAUUGCCUCUAGGGCAUAUUUCCUUCAGCUGGAUAUGAUGAAAGCCCAUGACCGGGUCAAGUGGAUAUUUCUGAAGCAAAUGCUUGGGAAAUGCGGCUUUUAACCAGCCUGGAUUGAGAUGAUCAUGAGAUGUGUGACAACAGCAAGUUUUAGGGUUAAAUUAAAUGGAGACCUCUCAAGGUGUUUUUCUCCCUCGAGGGGUCUGAGGCAAGGUGAUCCUCUAUCCCCUUACCUGUUCCUCUUCUCUGUGGAGGGUUUCUCAGCUCUCUUAAGAAGGCACAAAGAGAAAGAAAGAUAAAAGGGGUGAACUUUGGGGGCACUGGCCCUCAUGUGACACACCUCCUUUUUGCUGAUGAUAGCAUUGUAUUUCUUGAGGGAACCAAAGAAAAUAUGGACACACUCAAGGAUAUAUUGCAGCAAUACGAGAGAGCCUUCGGACAAAGUGUCAAUAUGCAAAAAUCAUCUAUCUUCUUAGGGAAGGGGUGUCAAGAAGACAAAAAAGCGGAGUUGAAAACUGCUCUCGGGGUACAAUCUGAAGCUUUGAGUGAAAGGUACUUGGGUCUACCAACACUGGUUGGAAGAUCAAAAGAUGGAACCUUCAAGUAUUUGACUGAGACAUUAAAAGGAAAGGUGAGUGGGUGGAAGGGGCAAGGUUUGUCCAAGGCUGCAAGGGAGGUUCUUGUCAAGUCCGGCCUCCAAGCAGUACCCGCUUUCACCAUGAGCCGCUUUCGCCUCACAAAGAAGAUGUGCGGGAACUUGACAUCCAUCUCUUCGAAAUUCUAGUGGGGCGUGGCUAAUGGUGAGAGGAAGGUACAUUGGAUCUCCUAGCAAAAGAUGUGUGCAGCAAAAAGGGAUGGCGGAAUGGGGUUUAGGGAUCUCAAAGUUUUCAACCAAGAUUUGCCUGCAAAACAUGCUUGGCGAAUUCUCCAUACCCCUACCUCUCUUUGUGCAGGGGUUCUCAAUGCAAGGUAUUUCAAUGAGGACUCGAUUCUCACAGCAUCCUGCCCCCCAAUGGCGUCGUAUACUUUCAGAAGCAUAUUACAUGGGAGGGAUCUGCUUAGAGAGGGGCUGAUAUGGCGCAUAGGCGAUGGAACACAGGUCCGCAUUCAUCACACAAAUUGGAUCCCGAGGAGCAGCAGCAUGAAGCCGUUGCGGCAGAUUUAUAUGUCGGGUGUAACAAGAGUUUCCCACCUUCUCUCUGCUGAUGGGAAGAGCUGGAAUGUGGGCAGACUAGAAACAAUGUUCUCACUAGAUGAUGGGAAAGACAUCAAGCAAAUUGCGGUGGGAGGACCGGGCCAUGAUGAUUACCUAGCGUGGAACUUUACAAAGAACGGGUGCUUCACGGUGAAGUCUGCAUAUCACAUGAAAAUGGCUAUGCUAAGGGCGGGGACCGGACAACCGGAACCCUCAUCUUCAGUUGCAAAGCAUCGUGGCUUCAUGUCUUUAUGGGAUACUCAAGCGCCGACAAAGGCAAAAAUCCAUAUGUGGAGACUCAUCAAAAAUGGCUUGGCCAUCGGAGCCGAACUGCAUCGUCGUCGGAUAAAACCCGGAGUUUUUUGUGUUGCCUACGGCCGGGAGGGAAUAGUCCAUCACAUGUUUUGGUCGUGUCAGCAUUCAGUACAAUUUUGGCAGCUCCUACAAUUGGAGAUGGGAGUAUCGGUGGCGAUCCCACCGGUCCAGAUAGGCUCCCAGAGUGAAUUGGCUAGCUGGCUUAUUGACUAGUUUUCCGGCGCUUCGGGUGAUGAGAGGGAGGUGAUGAUACAUGCGACUUAUGUAUUAUGGCUGGCACAGAACGAGGCGAGAGAUGGGAGAAGGAUUGCAGCCCCACAUGAAAUCAUAGCUACGGUUGUAGCUCACGUGCAGGAGUGGAAGGAGGUGCACUCAAAUCAGAGACAACCUGCGAUGCUGACGCCCCGUCCAAGAUGGCAGGCACAUGAAGAUGGUUGGCUCAAAGUCAAUGCAGAUGGUGCAGUGUCAAAGAAUGGAGACAAGGGAGGAGGUGGAGCGGUGGUGAGAGAUCACUAGGGUGCUUUCAGGGCGGGCAUGAGCCACUUUUUCCUGAGUAUCACUGACCCAGAAGCUACGGAGAUUAUGGCGUGUAAAAGGGCACUGGAGCUUGCAAGGGAGGUGGUGCCAGGAAGAGUUCAUGUAGAACUAGAUAGCCAGAAUGUGGUGCACAUGCUAAAUCAACCAUCAAAGAACCUGGGAGCUGCUGGACCCUGGGUGGAGGAGAUUAAAAGCCUCUUAUGUUCUUUUGAGAGUUUUAAAGUGUCUUGGGUUGGAAGAUCCGCUAAUGUUGCCGCGCAUAAAUUUGCUGGAGAUGAACUAAAUAAGAUUUGGUUGGGGGCUUCCUUGGAUUUUGUUCUUGAUGUAAUCUUGGAAUACAUUCCGAGCUUCGUUGGUUAAAUAAAGCGGCAGUAUUACCCUAAAAAAGAUCAUUCUAUUUUUGACCAUAAUGUCUAGCCACCUUUGUAUACACAAGCUGUAUGUAUGCGUACACAAACCGAUCAGCCAGAGCGCACAGCCCCUCCAUCUUGAGCUGGCCCAUUUUUUCCUUUUUUAUUUUUAACCUUCAAAAAAUAGUUGAAGGAGAUAGGAUUCAAACUCCCAACCUCUUAGUUUAAUCUUUCCCUAAUAUUAAAGGGAGGAUUGUUUCUCCACCUUUUUUGUCCAUGGUGGGGCCAUCAGUUUUUUCGUCCGUCUUGGGUGCCUAUAUGGCUAUAUGUCCCUAGCCUUGGUUGGUCCUCCGUUUUUAUAAGAAGAAAAAAAGUCUGAACUGGAAAAAACAAACAUGCAAGGCGGGAUUCAAUCCCUGGACUGCUUGGUUGGUACUCGCGCUGCCAACCAGCUCAGCUGUGCUGCUGUUAGUGCUUAAAUUAAACACCUCCACCUUUCGAUAGAGGAGUGGGCGUGCGGAAAUAAGGUACUACAAAAGUCAUGCGAGGAGGGUUACAUAAUUUUUUUGAGGGGCGGAUUAGGUACUUAAUAUCGUUCACUACAAUGAGGCCAGCCCAACUAAUCAACCACUUGGCCUUAACCCGUUUAACAAUGCAGCCGCAUUUAAUUCAUUAUUGGCCUCAAAUUAUUAAAUAGUCCCAUCUUGUUUUCUUAUAUUCAGUCCUUCUAAUUUAAAUAGUAUCUCUUUCAAGUUCCUAGGUAUUAAGGAAGUGUCCCGGGAAUCAGUAAGGUUGAAUGACAAGGGAUGAGGAAUGGAAAAAACUUUGGCCCAGCCACCUGAUGCAACCAUUCGGAAGGCGGCCGUUUGGUCAUUUACUACCACUGUCGUUAUUUGGCAGUCUUUACGAGAUAUGAGAUUUCGUUCGAGUCCAAACUGUUACUUUCUUUGGUAGAUUUAUUCAUUAUUCUGAUCCGUGUUUGACUCUUUCAAAUGAAGUGCACUAAAGUGGUUGUACUAGCUAUGUGGUUUGUUUUCACUAAUGUGUAUUUGAACCAUUGAAUAUGUUUAACUAUAACAGUUGCGGUAUGAGAAAGACAUGCAUAAAAAAGUGAUUGAUUAAAUGGUCUAUGUUGUUCUUCUCACUAAUUUGACUUUUUGUUUAUUUAAAUCCUUCAUUUUUAGAAGAGAAUUAAAUAGAUGUUUCACUUGAUUUUAUGUGUUAUUAUUGGGCUAGGGUCAUAUGAUAUUUUAUGUAGUUUUCUUAUAAAGAAUGCUUUUAUAUUUUUUCCUUCUUUCCACCGUCACUCUGAAUAUUUGGAUGUACUGAAUAAUACGUCUUUUAUUUUCAAACUUUUUGUCUCAGUGGUAACAGCUAAUCAAACUUUUGCUCACUUUAAGAAUAGUUAUAUUAUUAUUUCUCAAUUCAACCAUAGCUGACAUAAUUUACAUUGUUCACUGUAGCAAAAAAAAUAGGUAGAUAUUUAUCAGUUUAGAUAUAUUCUAUUCUUUAAGAUCAGGCUUGGUAUGGGGAUAACUUUUUCCAUUGCGACACACCGUAAGGUCUUUCGAAAGUAGCAUGCUAGACUCUGAUGAUGUAGCUCGUUGCCUUGAGAUUGUCAUGUUUGUUGUCAUGUUUGUCGUGAGGUGGACAAUGUGACCAUGAUGGCCAAGAGAGUGGUAACAUGGAUAGGUCACUUGGAGCGUGCGAGGAUUUUCUUUUGUCCCGUUGCAACGCACGGGCAUAUGUGCUAGUUCCACACAAUGUAACCAACUGGGAAAGCUAAGUUGUCAUGCGUAGGUACUUCUCUUACCCUUUUUGUUGUCCAUCUUCUCAGUCGUUUUUUUGUUUUGUUUGGCCAUUUUAUUCUUUGGUUUUAUUCUUUUUUUAUUUUUCUUUGUAAAACACGCUCGUCCCCGUGUUAACAAAACGAGUCACACGCGUGACGUUAAACACACACAGUUGACACAAAAAAAAUAUUAAAUACAAAAGGUGAGCGUGUUUCAGUAAAUCAAUGAAGGAAAAGUCCGCAUGCAUAAGAUGGAUGGAUGAUCCAUUCCAUGUUGUCUAUACACAUGACGUACAGGUUCUCAUCGCAUCAGUUGCCAUAUCGGUCCUCAGAAAAAGAAUUAAAUUAAACGCAAAACAAAUAAUAAGACGUGUUUCAAGGAACGAACGAAAACGUAUACUGACUGGGCAGUGCUUGGUUUCAAUGUAGAUUUUACUAAUUUAAAUGCUUCGGUUAUUUGCAAUUUUUGUUAUUAUCAACCAACAUUAACAUUUUUUAUGUCCUAAUCAUUUCUUGAAAUUUGUCAACAAUUUUAGAAUUUUAAAUUGUGUAUAAUUUUUUUGUAAACUUGAACACUUAUUCUAGAUUUAUUAACAAAUUCGCAACAAUUUUAGAAUUUUGCGUGUGGAACUGCCAAGGGCAUGCCCACAUGCUGGCAAAAUUUGAUGUCAUUUCGUGUGUCAACAAAUACACCAUGUUCUACCGGGACCGUUCAGGUCUGCCGGUAGGGCAAGUCUCACAACACUUUUUUCACCUCACCAAACAUAACCAAUUUUCCCCCACACAAUUGCAUCACCAUGGCCAGCGGGCAUGCAAACUUUCGUUCAUUUCCGGCAUUCUAUGCAUUUUCUAUGGAUUUUCCCUGUGAAAAAUCCCUAAACACAGGGCGGAUGUGACACAACGUGCGUUCGGUGUCCGAAUUCGUUCAUUUUUUUGCGUUGGGGGCUUCUCACAUGCUGGCAAAAUUUGGUGUCAUUUUGUGCAGGGCAACAAAUACACCAUGUUCAACCGGGAUCGUUCGGGUAUGCCGGUAGGGCAAGUCUCCAAUCAGUUUUUUCUCCUCCACCAAACGUACCUAAAACUCUUCCACACAAUGACAUCACCAUGCCCAACAUGCAUGCCAAGUUUUGUUUCUGACAUUCUAUGCAUUUUCUAAUAUUUUCCCGGUGAAAACCCCUAAAACAAAGGGCGGACGUGACCCAACAUGCGUUCGCUGUCUGAAUUCGUUCAUUUUUUUGCGCGGGGGGCUGCCAUGGGCAUGCGCACAUGCUGGCAAAUUUCGGUACCAUUUUGUGCAUGGAAACAACUACACCAUGUUCAACCGGGACAACUGGGGUCUGUCGGUAGGACAAGUCUCGAAGCACAUUUUUUCACCUUCACCAAACGUACCCAAAUUGUUUCCACACAAUGGCAUCACCAUGGCCAACAUGCAUGCCAAGUUUCGUUCAUUUAUGCCAUUGUAUGCAUUUUCUAUGGUUUUUUCAGUGAAAAAACCUUAAAUAAAGAGGUUGGACGUGUUGCAAAGUGCUCGGCGUUAGAACUUGUUCAUUUUUUCGUGGGAGUGGAGCUGAUCCGGUGUUGCGCGGGGUCCCAACAUCACAUAUCCGUUGGUGGUGAUGUGCCAAUCCUUCGGCAACCACGCCGACGGUGGAGCGAGCAACCCGCAGUGGCUCAACUCCGCCUGCAGCCACGAGAGAGUCGACGACCAAGAUCAAUUGUCGCCACUAUCAGAUCCGGAGCGAGCCAUCGAGAACAGAAGGGGCGACUGGGGAGGACCGGGGCGACGGUGGAAAACCGGGGCGAUGGGGGACCGAGGAGGAGGAGGAGGAGGAGGGGGCGAUGUUUGACGGUUGUCCGGCCCCGGCUUUUUAUAGACGGCGGCUGUGAUGGCAAUAGGUUGGUAGGCGCUGCAUCGGUGGGAAUGCGGGGCCAGGCGGCGCGACGCAACGACUUAAUGGCGGGGCGGGCAAGGUGGCAUGUGGCAGCGAAAGUGGCGCGGUAGGCGAGGCAGGUGUCGUGGAUCUAAGACUGACAGUAGAAUGGGGUAGGUAUGAGGAGGCAAGAUCCUAGCUAUGGCGAAGUUGUACACACGAGUUUUACGAGUUCAGGCCAUUCGUGGAGGAAGUAACAGCCCUACGUCUCGGUGCCCAUAGGCGGUCGACUGGAUUAUGUAUGUGUGUGUUUACAGGGGGUGCGAACCCUUGUGCCAGUGGAGGGAGGUGGCUUAUAUAGAGUGCGCCAGGACCCCAGCCAGCCCACGUUACAAGGGGUUUAAGGUACAUCAAGAGGGGGGCGUUACUGGUAAUGCUAGCAAUUAAGUGACAUAAAUGCCUAUUAAGUCUAUGGAGUAAACGUCCGACCGUUGUCGUGCAGAGUGACUUCAGGUCUUUUGUCUGUCGAGUGAUAAUUGUUGUGGUCGAGUGACUUUGAAUCUUCCGAGUGGAAUGCCUUGUAGUCGAGUGGAUGAUGCUAUCCCUUGAAUGCUUCUGGUUUUAAGAUGGUGUCCUAGGGGAGGGUGUCUAGGUCAGGCCUAUGACCUACCCUAGGUACAUAGCUUCAUCAUUAGCCCCCGAAUGGAUCAGGGUUUGAGUGGCGAAGGAGUUGAGAACACCUCCGAUUCAAUUUUCGUGCUUCAGAAGCGUCUUAUUGGGACCAAAUGAGCAAUCAUGAUGACUUCAACUUCUUUUUCAGUCGCCUGGAUCCAUUCUUGGUUCUUCCGAGUGAACUUUUACUACGAUGCUUCGAGUACUGAUAUGAGAAAAAUCUUCCGUCUGACAGGUUGCUCUGCUGCUCACGGAUAUUGUGGGAUUCGAAUUUUGGGGAAGCGCGCGGGGCGGAGGAGGUCGCAGUAAUCGGACGGGAUUAGGCAGGGCCGCCCCGAUCAUCGCGCCACCUUUUUCGCCACGUAUCUCGCGCGCGACUGUUGCGGGAUUUGAUAGGAUCGUCCGGACCCACACACUACUAGGAAAAAGCCUAUACACAGAAUCUUACCAGCAGUGCGCUUUAAAAUCAGGCGCUACUGCUAAGUAGCAGUAGCGCGGGCCAUGGAAACUCGCUGCUGAAACAAGUUUAUCAGUAGUGCGUGCACUCCAAGAAGCGCUACUGCUAAAAUUCCCACGACGCCGCCGCGAGGCCAAUUAUAGCAGCAACGCGUUAAAAUAAACAGCGCUACUGCUACGUAACAUAGCAGCAACGCAUUCAGGCAAUAAUCGCUACUGCUAAAUUAACUACAAAAAUCAAUGAGCAUUCAGCGCAUUCAGCGUAACGUAGCAGCAGCGUAUUUUUAUGUCUAUGUCUAUUUUUACAUACUGACACAUAGCAGUAGCGCGUUCAGGCCGAAAGGCGCUACUGAUAGGUACUUUAGCAGUAGCGUGUUUAUCUAUAGCGCGCUACUGCUAUUCCAUUCCAUCUCCCCCACUCACUAGCCUCAUCCACAGAUCACACUCACACACACUCACGGUCUCCUCCUCACCCCCCGCGCCGCCGGUCCUCCCCCGUCGCCCCUCCCCCGAUCUGCGCCGCCGUCGCCUCAUCCUCCUCGCUGGACUCGGUACCGGCCUCCUCCUCCGUCCUCCCUCCACUCGUCGCUGGCCGCCCCCUCCUCGCUCCGCCUUCCUCCUCGAUCCGUCCUCCCUCCACUCGCCGCCGGCCGGCCCCUCCUCGCUCCGCCUUCCUCCUCCGUCCUACUAUCUUCUCCCUCCUCGAGUCGCCCCUCCUUGUCCCUCCUCCCUGAUACAUUUUGAUUUAGUAGGCUUUCAUAUGUAACAUUUUGAUUUAGUUGAUAUGAUUCAGUUGAUUAGUAAGCUAGUUGAUUUAGUUGAUUUAGAACAUUUUGAUUUAGUUUAUUUAGUAGGCUAGUUGAUUUAGAACAUUUUGAUUUAGUUGAUUUAGUAUGCUAUUGGAUUUAGUAUGCUAGUGGAUUUAGUAUGCUAGUUGACUUAGUUGAUUUAGUAUGCUCGAUUUAGUUUUUUUGUAAUAAGUUAUUUUUUGGCAAAAUGUAGGUGCCAAUUUAGUUAAAUUUGCCACUUGUUUCCUGUGAAGUGAAUCGUUAAUCCUUUGCUCAUAUUGCUUUAGGAAAAUGGCGCCACCACCAGCACCACUAUGUCGACUGUGCAAGUCAAGGUGCGCCAGCAGCCUUGCAACUGGCAAGCUGUUCGACAUCUACUUCCAUCCGAGUUUUCGUCAUGCGGCAGUAAGAAAUUAGAUGAAAUGUAACAACUAUUUUAUUUUUAGUGUUGGCAUUAUUGCAUUGUGUCAUUUUGCUUUUCUUACACAGAUCGUCCCAUGCAAUGUGAGGUUGAAAUUCAACAAGCUGACAGGAGACACUGUGAUAUUUGAGGCUCCUGGGGGGCCGUACACUAUGGAGGUCGAGAAAGGACGCAAUAUGUCGCAGAUUGGAGGAGAUGGAUGGGCCCGUUUCCUCGCUCGCAUGCGUCUUACUGGUGGUGAGUUGAUCAGAUUCUCCUUCAGAGCAGAAAGACCCAAGCUGCUUGUCAUUUAUAUCAACCUGGUGGAAGAUGAUGAAGAUAACGAAGAUGAUGAAGAUAAUGAGGACCCACUCAAUGAAGAUGAUGAGAAUCCACUUCAUGAAGCCAUCAUAGCUCAAAGAAUGAGGCUGAGCGAGGAGGAGGUGUGCAACCUAUGGGACAUAAUUCCGCCACGUGAUGACUUUGUCGGGGUGCCAUUCGUAACCCGCCUGACAAGUACCAUGGUCGAUCGGCAUGAAAUGGUAUGUUAUACGUACUGCAUGUAGUAAUUUGAUGAUAUAUAUGCUUUAUUGUUAUACUUACAAAUACAAAUUAUCCGAUUAUAUGCUUAGUGAAUCCGAUGAUAUGCUUAGUGUAGAGUCCAAUGAUAUGCUUUGUGGAAUCUAGUCGAUGAUAUACUUUAGUGUAGAGUCUGAUCACAUGCUUAUUAGUGUAGAAUCCAAGGAACUAUUAAUAGUGUAGAUAAUCCAUAUAUAUACUUAUUAGUAGAAUUCAUGAUUAAUUAGUACAAAUGCGUAGUACUGUGUCUUUUGAUAGUGUAGAAAUCUAGACUUCAUAGAAAUAUAUUUGCAAGAGUAUGUGUGAGGCUAUUUAUUAAUUGAUAUGUUUUUCUUAUUCAAAUAUUGCCAAAGAACCUAUCUGUGAGUUGUGGUAUCGAGCCUGAUGAAGAAGGCUCAGUUGGACUACGCCUUACCGCAAGGGGCUCCAUCAUCACAUGUACUUACCGCAUGGGCACAGAUGGUCGCACACACUUGAACUCGGUUGGGUGGAAGAGAUUCCUCGUUGGCAAGAAUCUUCGUGCUGGAUAGGCCAUCCUAAUUACUAUCAGGAACACCCACCGCCCAGGCUUGAGGAUGAUGAUCGUCGUCGAUAUCAUCUAGAACUACAUAUGUGUGUGUGGCUAUAUCAUCUAGAACUACAUAUGAUGAUCAUCGUUGAUAUCAUGUAGAACUACAUAUGAUGAUCGUCGUCGAUAUCAUCUAGAACUAAAUAUGAUGAUUGUCGUCGAUGUCACCUUGUACUGCUUGAGGAUGCAUGUUGAGUAUAUAUGAAAUUGUUAUCUAGUACUCCCUCGGUUCCAAAUUACUCGUCGUGGUUUGAGUUCAAAUUUGAACUAAAACCACGACGAGUAAUUUCGAACUGAGGGAGUACUACCUAGUACCUAUAAUGCUUUAUGAAAUUGAUAUCUAGUAGUACCUAGUAGUACCUAGUAUCUGGAAAUUGCAGUGUAUCGAAGCUGGAAUGGGAAAUGGUGAAAGAUAUAACAGUAGCGCUGGACCGGGAAAUCGCUACAACUAAGUAAUAGCAGCGCGUUCCUGAAAAGCGUUGCUGCUAUAGUCAAUAGUGGUAGCGCGGGUACAGGCAGCGCUACUAAUAAGAGUUAGCUGUAGCGCCUUAUUGGUAGCGCGGGCACCCGCGCUGCUGAUAGGCCUAAAACCCGCGCUGCUGCUAGCCUUUUCCCUAGUAGUGACAGGUCAGCCACUCGGAAACGGCCUCAUAUAAGGUGCCGGAUUGGGGUUUUUUGCACAGUGCAUUCCCAUUCUCCCCCGCCUUCUCCGCCUCAUCCAACUCUGCUCCCGGCGCCGCCGCUCUGCUCGAGCUCCGCCCGCUGCAAUGGGGAAGUGAUGUCUACUACACAACCUUCUUCUUGUAGACGUUGUUGGGCCUCCAAGUGCAGAGGUUUGAAGGACAAUAGAAAAUUUCCCUCAAGUGGAUGACCUAAGGUUUAUCCAUCCGUGGGAGGCGUAGGAUGAAGAUGGUCUCUCUCAACCAACCCUGCAACCAAAUAACAGAGUCUCUUGUGUCCUCAACACACCCAAUACAAUGGUAAAUUGUAUAGGUUCACUAGUUCGGUGAAGAGAUGGUGAUACAAGUGCAGUAUGGAUGGUAGAUAAAGGUUUUUGAAAUCUGAAAAUAUAAAAACAGCAAGGUAACUAAUGAUAAAAGUGAGCACAAAUGGUAUUGCAAUGCGUUGAAACAAGGCCUAGGGUUCAUACUUUCACUAGUGCAGGUUCUCUCAACAAUAAUAACAUAAUUGGAUCAUAUAACUUUCCCUCAACAUGCAACAAAGAGUCACUCCAAAGUCACUAAUAGCGGAGAACAAAUAAAGAGAUUAUGGUAGGGUACGAAACCACCUCAAAGUUAUCCUUUCUGAUCGAUCUAUUCAAGAGUCCGUAGUAAAAUAACAUGAAGCUAUUCUUUCCGUUCAAUAUAUCAUAGAGUUCAUACUAGAAUAACACCUUAAGACACAAAUCAAUCAAAACCCUAAUGUCACCUAGAUACUCCAAUGUCACCUCAAGUAUCCGUGGGUAUGGUUAUACGAUAUGCAUCACACAAUCUCAGAUUCAUCUAUUCAACCAACACAAAGAACUUCAAAGAGUGCCCCAAAGUUUCUACCGGAGAGUCAAGACGAAAACAUGUGCCAACCCCUAUGCAUAGGUUCAUGGGCGGAACCCACAAAUUGAUCACCAAAACAUACAUCAAGUGGAUCACGUGAUAUCCCAUUGUCACCACAGAUAAGCACGUGCAAGACAUACAUCAAGUGUUCUCAAAUCCUUAAAGACUCAAUCCACGGAAUAGUGGGAGUAUCAUAAGAGACUUGAAUACUAUAAAUUGUUUUCACAUUAAAAGAGUAAUGUUCAAAAAAGGGGUAAUCAUAAUCAUGACAAGUUUUAUAAAUAUAAUCAUCACUACUUUUUAUAGCAUACAUGUCAUCACAAUAAUCAUCAUAAGUAGCAACUUUGUUCUCAUCAUAAUCAAUUGAAACCUCUUGCAAGAUAGUGGAAUCAUUACUAAAUAAAGUCAUGACCUCUCUAAAUCCACCUUGAUAAUUAUCACAAUAAGAUUCAACAUCCUCUAGAAUAGUGGGAUCAUUACUUCCUAAAGUUGACACUCUUCCAAACCCACUUUCAUAAUUAUCACAAUAAGAUUCAACAUCCUCAAAAAUAGUGGGAUCAUUACUUUCUAAAGUUGACACUAUUCCAAACCCACUUUCAUCAAUAUAAUCAUCAUAAGUAGGAGGCAUUCUAUCAUCAUUAUAAAUUUGCAUAUCAAAACUUAGGAGACUAAAAAUAUCAUCUUCAUUAAACGUAGCGUCCCCAAGCUUGGUACAAAUAUUAAUUGCAAAAAAUAUAUUCUCAAAAACAUCAUCUUCAUCAAACAUAACAUCCCCAAGCUUGGGCCUUUUCAUAUCAUAAGCAUAAUCACUCUCAUCGUUAAUAGUAUGGAUAGCACCAAUAGUAUAGCAAUUAUCAUCAUCACAAGGAGUAAUAGGAGCAACAUUAUUUGGGAGAGAUACCUUUCUACCUUUGCUUCUCCGUCUUUUCUUUUUCUUCUUCACAUCAUGUGUGGGUUCAACCCUCUUUUUGGAGCUCCUUAUUAAUGAGAUUGGUUGACUAGAGGGCUCCUCCUCGUUACCUGAUUCAUCAUAAGAAUAAUAGGAGGAUAUUGGGAAGUCUCUUCCCUUUCAUUAGUAUUCUCUUCAUCUUCUAUUUGUUUUCUUUUCUUUAUGUAAUUGGCAAUAUAAGGAUUUUCAAUACAAUUCACCGCACAAUACAUAUAAAUUUCCUCUAGAUCAAAAUCAAGAAGUUUAUCAUGGGCAAAUACUAGAAGAUAGUUAGUUAUAUGUUUCAUUUCUUCAUAACCCAUAAGAAAACUAAGUUCAUUAUGAUUUGCAAGGGAAAUCAAGUCAUCACAAUUUUUGGAAACGAUUAGAUCAUGAAACAAUUUGCAUCGGAUGGUUAAAUGACCACGUUCAUUGCAAAGUUCACAAGUACAACUAAGAAAAUUUAAAUUUUCAGCACAAACAUCUAGCCUUUCUUGCAACCAUUUAGUUUCUAAGUACUUAUGCCUCUUGCAAAAUCUAUCUUCCCUAAUUGGUGUGUACUUGCAAACUCUAUGCACUCCACAAAAAUUGACAUGCUUAUAAGAGACAUUCUCAUCAUGACUAGUGUAAUCAUCAUUAGUACUAAGGAUAUUCAAAGAGUUCAUACUAAUAACAUUGCAAUCAUGCUCAUCAUUCAAAGAUUUAGUGCCAAACAUUUUAAUGUAUUAUUCUUCUAACACUUCGGCGCAAUUUUCCUGUCCAUCAUACUCAUGAAAGAUAUUAAAAAGAUGAAGCGUAUGAGGCAAACUCAAUUCUAUUUUUUUGUAGUUUUCUUUUAUAAACUAAACUAGUGCUAAAACAAGAAACAAAAAGAUUCAAUUGAAAGAUCUAAAGAUAAACCUUCAAGCGCUAACCUCCCCGGCAACGGCGCCAGAAAAGAUCUUGAUGUCUACUACACAACCUUCUUCUUCUAGACGUUGUUGGGCCUCCAAGUGCAGAGGUUUGUAGGACAGUAGCAAAUUUCCCUCAAGUGGAUGACCUAAGGUUUAUCAAUACGUGGGAGGCGUAGGAUGAAGAUGGUCUCUCUCAAGCAAUCCUGCAACCAAAUAAUAAAGAGUCUCUUGUGUCCCCAACACACCCAAUACAAUGGUAAAUUGUAUAGGUGCACUAGUUCGGCGAAGAGAUGGUGAUACAAGUGCAAUAUGGAUGGUAGAUAAAGGUUUUUUAAAUCUGAAAAUAUAAAAACAGCAAGGUAACUAAUGAUAAAAGUGAGCACAAACGGUAUUGCAAUGCAUUGAAACAAGGCCUAGGGCUCAUACUUUCACUAGUGCAAGUUCUCUCAACAAUAAUAACAUAAUUGGAUCAUAUAACUGAAGGAAAUAUGCCCUAGAGGCAAUAAUAAAGUUAUUAUUUAUUUCCUUAUAUCAUGAUAAAUGUUUAUUAUUCAUGCUAGAAUUGUAUUAACCGGAAACAUAAUACAUGUGUGAAUACAUAGACAAACAGAGUGUCACUAGUAUGCCUCUACUUGACUAGCUCGUUAAUCAAAGAUGGUUAUGUUUCCUAACCAUGGACAAAGAGUUGUUAUUUGAUUAACGGGAUCACAUCAUUAGGUGAAUGAUCUGAUUGACAUGACCCAUUCCAUUAGCUUAGCACCCGAUCGUUUAGUAUGUUGCUAUUGCUUUCUUCAUGACUUAUACAUGUUCCUAUGACUAUGAGAUUAUGCAACUCCCGUUUGCCGGAGGAACACUUUGUGUGCUACCAAAUGUCACAACGUAACUGGGUGAUUAUAAAGGUGCUCUACAAGUGUCUCCAAAGGUACAUGUUGGGUUGGCGUAUUUCGAGAUUAGGAUUUGUCACUUCGAUUGUCGGAGAGGUAUCUCUGGGCCCUCUCGGUAAAGCACAUCACAUAAAGCCUUGCAAGCAUUGCAACUAAUGAGUUAGUUGUGAGAUGAUGUAUUACGGAAAGAGUAAAGAGACUUGCCGGUAACGAGAUUGAACUAGGUAUUGAGAUACCGACGAUCGAAUCUCGGGCAAGUAACAUACCGAUGACAAAGGGAACAACGUAUGUUGUUAUGCGGUCUAACUGAUAAAAGAUCUUCGUAGAAUAUGUAGGAGCCAAUAUGAGCAUCCAGGUUCCGCUAUUGGUUAUUGACCGGAGACAUGUCUCGGUCAUGUCUGCAUUGUUCUCGAAUCCGUAGGGUCCGCACGCUUAAGGUUUCGAUGACAGUUAUAUUAUGAGUUUAUGCAUUUUGAUGUACCGAAGGUUGUUCGGAGUCCCGGAUGUGAUCAUGGACAUGACGAGGAGUCUCGAAAUGGUCGAGACAUAAAGAUUGAUAUAUUGGAAGCCUAUGUUUGGAUAUCGGAAGUGUUCCGGGUGAAAUCGGGAUUUUACCGGAUUACCGGGAGGUUACCGGAACCCCCGGGAAAGUAUAUGGGCCUUAGUGGGCCUUAGUGGAAGAGAGGAGAGGUGGCCAGAGAUGGGCCGCACGCCCCUCCCCCCUUGGUCCGAAUAGGACAAGGAGAGGGGGCCGGCCCCCCUUCCUCCUCUCUCUCCUCUUUUCCCCCCUCCGCGAAUCCUAUUUCAACUAGGAAAUGGGGGAGUCCUACUCCCGGAAGGAGUAGGACUCCUCCUGGCGCGCCACCUCUUGGCCGGAAAGCCCCCCCUCCCUUUUGAGCCUUUAUAUAUGGAGGCACGGGGCACCCCUAGAGACACCAGUUGAUCCACGUGAUCAUAUUCUUAGCCGUGUGCGGUGCCCCCUUCCACCAUAGUCCUCGAUAAUAUUGUAGCGGUCGGGCCGUGGAGACGUACGACUACAUCAACCAAACGCUUCCGUUGUCAAUCUACAAGGGUACGUAGAUCACACUCUCCCCCUCUCGUUGCUAUGCAUCACCAUGAUCUUGUGUGUGCGUAGGAAUUUUUUUGAAAUUACUACGAAACCCAACAGUGGUAUCAGAGCCAAGUUUUAUAUGUUGAUGUUAUAUGCACGAGUAGAACACAAGUGACUUGUGGGCGAUAUAAGUCAUACUGCUUACCAGCAUGUCAUACUUUGGUUCGGCGGUAUUGUUGGACGAAGCGGCCCGGACCGACAUUAUGCGUACGCUUACGCGAGACCGGUUCUCCCGACGUGCUUUGCACAAAGGUGGCUAGCGGGUGACAGUUUCUCCAACUUUAGUUGAACCGAGUGUGGCUACGCCCGGUCCUUGCGAAGGUUAAAACAGCACCAACUUGACAAACUAUCGUUGUGGUUUUGAUGCGUAGGUAAGAUUGGUUCUUGCUUAAGCCCGUAGCAGCCACAUAAAACUUGCAAAAAAAUAGAGGACGUCUAACUUGUUUUUGCAGGGCAUGUUGUGAUGUGAUAUGGUCAAGACAUGAUGCUAAAUUUUAUUGUAUGAGAUGAUCAUGUUUUGUAACCGAGUUAUCGGCAACUGGCAGGAGCCAUAUGGUUGUCGCUUUAUUGUAUGCAAUGCAAUCGCGCUGUAAUGCUUUACUUUAUCACUAAGCGGUAGCGAUAGUCGUGGAAGCAUAAGAUUGGCGAGACGACAACGAUGCUACGAUGGAGAUCAAGGUGUCGCGCCGAUGACGAUGGUGAUCACGACGGUGCUUCGAAGAUGGAGAUCACAAGCACAAGAUGAUGAUGGCCAUAUCAUAUCACUUAUAUUGAUUGCAUGUGAUGUUUAUCUUUUAUGCAUCUUAUCAUGCUUAGAUUGACGGUAGCAUUAUAAGAUGAUCUCUCACUAAUUAUCAAGAAGUGUUCUCCCUGAGUAUGCACCAUUGCGAAAGUUCUUCGUGCCGAGACACCACGUGAUGAUCGGGUGUGAUAGGCUCUACGUUCAAAUACAACGGGUGCAAAACAGUUGCACACGCGGAAUACUCAGGUUAUACUUGACGAGCCAAGCAUAUACAGAUAUGGCCUCGGAACACGGAGACCGAAAGGUCGAGCGUGAAUCAUAUAGUAGAUAUGAUCAACAUAGUGAUGUUCACCAAUGAAACUACUCCAUCUCACGUGAUGAUCGGACAUGGUUUAGUUGAUUUGGAUCACGUAAUCACUUAGAGGAUUAGAGGGAUGUCUAUCUAAGUGGGAGUUCUUAAGUAAUAUGAUUAAUUGAACUUAAAUUUAUCAUGAACUUAGUCCUGGUAGUAUUUUGCAAAUUAUGUUGUAGAUCAAUAGCUCACGUUGUUGCUUCCCUGUGUUUAUUUUGAUAUGUUCCUAGAGAAAAUUGUGUUGAAAGAUGUUAGUAGCAAUGAUGCGGAUUGGAUCCGUGAUCUGAGGUUUAUCCUCAUUGCUGCACAUAAGAAUUAUGUCCUUGAUGCACCGCUAGGUGACGAACCUAUUGCAGGAGCAGAUGCAGACGUUAUGAACGUUUGGCUAGCUCAAUAUGAUGACUACUUGAUAGUUUAGUGCACCAUGCUUAAUGGCUUAGAAUCGGGACUUCAAAGACGUUUUGAACAUCAUGGAGCAUAUGAGAUGUUCCAGGAGUUGAAGUUAAUAUUUCAAGCAAAUACCCGAGUUGAGAGAUAUGAAGUCUCCAACAAGUUCUAUAGCUAAAAGAUGGAGGAGAAUCGCUCAACUAGUGAGCAUGUGCCCAGAUUGUCUGAGUACUACAAUCGUUUGAAUCAAGUGGGAGUUAAUCUUCCAGAUAAGAUAGUGAUUGACAGAAUUCUCUAGUCACCAUCACCAAGUUAGUAGAACUUCGUGAUGAACUAUGAUAUGCAAGGGAUAACGGAAACGAUUCCCAAGCUCUUCGUAAUGCGGAAAUUGACGAAGGUAGAAAUCGAGAAAAACAUCAAGUGUUGAUGGUAGACAAGACCACUAGUUUCAAGAAAAGGGCAGAGGGAAGAAGGGGAACUUCAAGAAGAACAGCAAGCAAGUUGCUGCUCAAGUGAAGAAGCCCAAGUCUAGUCCUAAGCCUGAGACUAAGUGUUUCUACUGCAAAGGGAUUGGUCGCUGGAAGCGGAACUACCCCAAGUGAUUGGCAGAUAAGAAGGAUGGCAAAGUGAACAUAAGUAUAUUUGAUAUACAUGUUAUUGAUGUGUACUUUACUAGUGUUUAUAGCAACCCCUCAGUAUUUGAUACUAGUUCAGUUGCUAAGAUUAGUAACUCGAAACGGGAGUUGCAGAAUAAACAGAGACUAGUUAAGGGUGAAGUGACGAUGUGUGUUGGAAGUGGUUCCAAGAUUGAUAUGAUCAUCAUCGCACACUCCCUAUACUUUCGGGAUUAGUGUUGAACCUGAAUAAGUGUUAUUUGGUGUUUGCGUUAAGCAUGAAUAUGAUUUGAUCAUGUUUAUUGUAAUACGGUUAUUCAUUUAAGUAAGAGAAUAAAUUGUUGUUCUGUUUACAUGAAUAAAACCUUAUAUGGUUACACACCCAAUGAAAAUAGUUCGUUGGAUCUCGAUCGUAGUGAUACACAUAAUCAUAAUAUUGAAACCAAAAGAUGCAAAGUUAAUAAUGAUAGUGCAAUUUAUUUGUCGCACUGCCGUUUAGGUCAUAUUGGUGUAAAGCGCAUGAAGAAACUCCAUGCUGAUGGGAUUUUGGAAUCACUUGAUUAUGAAUCACUUGAUGCUUGCGAACCAUGCCUCAUGGGCAAGAUGACUAAGACUCCAUUCUCCGGAGCGAGCAACCGACUUAUUGGAAAUAAUACAUACUGAUGCAUGCGGUCCAAUGAGUGUUAAGGCUCACGGCAAGUAUCGUUAUUUUCUGAACUUCACAGAUGAUUUGAGCAGAUAUGGGUAUAUCUACUUGAUGAAACAUAAGUCUGAAACAUUUGAAAAGUUCAAAGAAUUUCAGAGUGAAGUGGAAAAUCAUCGUGACAAGAAAAUAAAGUUUCUACGAUCUGAUCGCGGAGACAAAUAUUUGAGUUACGAGUUUGGUCUUCAAUUAAAACAAUGUGGAAUAGUUUCACAAACUCAUGCCACAUGGAACACCACAGUAUAAUGGUGUGUCCGAACGUCAUAACCGUACUUUAUUGGAUAUAGUGCAAUCUAUGAUGUCUCUUACCGAUCUACCACUAUCGUUUUGGGGUUCUGCAUUAAAGACAGCUGCAUUCACGUUUAAAAGGGCACCAUCUAAGUCCGUUGAGACGACACAAUCUGAACUGUGGUUUGGCAAGAAACCAAAGUUGUCGUUUCUUAAAUUUUGGGAUUGUAAUGCUUAUAUGAAAAAGUUUCAUCCUGAUAAGCUCAAACCCAGAUCAGAGAAAUAUGUCUUCAUAGGAUACCCAAAGGAGACUAUUGGGUACACCUUCUAUCACAGAUCCGAAGGCAAGACAUUCGUUGCUAAGAAUGGAUCCUUUCUCGAGAAGGAGUUUCUCUCAAAAGAAGUGAGUGGGAGGAAAGUAGAAAACUUGAUAAGGUAAUUGUACCAUCUCCCUUAUUGGAAAGUAGUUCAUCACAGAAAUCUGUUCUUGUGACUACUACACCAAUUAGUGAGGAAGCUAAUGAUGAUGAUCAUGUAACUUCAGAUCAAGUUACUACCGAAUCUCGUAGGUAAACCAGAGUGAGAUCCGCACCAGAGUGGUACGGUAAUCCUGUUCUGGAAGUCAUGUUACUAGACCAUGACGAACUUGCGAACUAUGAAGAAGCGAUGGUGAGCCCAGAUUCCGCAAAAUGGCUUGAGGCCAUGAAAUCUGAGAUGGGAUCCAUGUAUGAGCACAAAGUAUGGACUUUGGUUGACUUGCCCGAUGAUCGGCAAGCCAUAGAAAAUAAAUGGAUCUUCAAGAGGAAGAUGGACGCUGAUAGUAGUGUUACUAUCUACAAAGCUAGAAUUGUUGCAUAAGGUUUUCGACAAAGUUCAAGGUGUUGACUACGAUGAGAUUUUCUCACUCGUAUCGAUGCUUAAAAGUCUGUCCAAAUCAUGUUAGCAAUUGCCGCAUUUUAUGAAAUCUAGCAAAUGGAUAACAAAACUGCAAUCCUUAAUGGAUUUCUUAAAGAAAGAGUUGUAUAUGAUGCAACCAGAAGGUUUUGUCAAUCCUAAAGGUGCUAACAAAAUAAGCAAGCUCCAGCGAUCCAUCUAUGGACUGGUGCAAGCAUCUCGGAGUUGGAAUAAACGCUUUGAUAGUAUGAUCAAAGCAUAUAGAUUUAUACAGACUUGCCGUGAAGCCUGUAUUUACAAGGAAGUGAGUGGGAGCACUACAACAUUUCUGAUAAGUAUAUGUGAAUGACAUAUUGUUGAUCGGAAAUAAUGUAGAAUUAUUCUGCGAAGCAUAAAGGAGUGUUUGAAAGGAGUUUUUCAAAGAAAGACCUCGGUGAAGCUGCUUACAUAUUGAGCAUCAAGAUCUAUAGAGAUAGAUCAAGACGCUUGAUAAGUUUUUUUUUCAAUGAGUACAUACCUUGACAAGAUUUUGAAAUAGUUCAAAAUGGAACAGUCAUAGAAAGGGUUCUUACCUGUGUUACAAGGUAUGAAAUUGAGUAAGACUCAAAGCCCGACCACGGCAAAAGAUAGAAAGAGAAUGAAAGUCAUUCCCUAUGCCUCAGCCAUAGGUUCUAUAAAGUAUGCCAUGCUGUGUACCAGAUCUAUUGUAUACCCUACACUGAUUUUGGCAAGGUAGUACAAUAGUGAUCUAGGAGUAGAUCACUGGACAGCAGUCAAAAUUAUCCUUAGUGGAAUAAGGAUAUGUUUCUCGAUUAUGGAGGUGACAAAAAGGUUCGUCCUAAAGGGUUACGUCGAUGCAAGUUUUGACACUAAUCCAGAUGACUCUAAGUCUCAAUAUGGAUACAUAUUGAAAGUGGGAGCAAUUAGCUAGAGUAGCUCUGUGCAGAGCAUUGUUGACAUGGAAAUUUGCAAAAUACAUACGGAUCUGAAUGUGGCAGACCCGUUGACUAAACUUCUCUCAUAAGCAAAACAUGAUCACACCUUAGUACUCUUUGGGUGUUAAUCGCAUAGCGAUGUGAACUAGAUUACUGAAUCUAGUAAACCCUUUGGGUGUUGGUCACAUGAAGAUGUGAACUAAUCACAUAAAGAUGUGAACUAUUAGUGUUAAAUCACAUGGUGAUGUGAACUAGAUUAUUGACUCUAGUGCAAGUGGGAGACUGAAGGAAAUAUGCCCUAGAGGCAAUAAUAAAGUUAUUAUUUAUUUCCUUAUAUCAUGAUAAAUGUUUAUUAUUCAUGCUAGAAUUGUAUUAACCGAAAACAUAAUACAUGUGUGAAUACAUAGACAAACAGAGUGUCACUAGUAUGCCUCUACUUGACUAGCUCGUUAAUCAAAGAUGGUUAUGUUUCCUAACCAUGGACAAAGAGUUGUUAUUUGAUUAACGGGAUCACAUCAUUAGGUGAAUGAUCUGAUUGACAUGACCCAUUCCAUUAGCUUAGCACCCGAUCGUUUAGUAUGUUGCUAUUGCUUUCUUCAUGACUUAUACAUGUUCCUAUGACUAUGAGAUUAUGCAACUCCCGUUUGUCGAAGGAACACUUUGUGUGCUACCAAAUGUCACAACGUAACUGGGUGAUUAUAAAGGUGCUCUACAGGUGUCUCCAAAGGUACAUGUUGGGUUGGCGUAUUUCAAGAUUAGGAUUUGUCACUCCGAUUGUCGGAGAGGUAUCUCUGGGCCCUCUCGGUAAUGCACAUCACAUAAAGCCUUGCAAGCAUUGCAACUAAUGAGUUAGUUGUGAGAUGAUGUACUACGGAACGAGUAAAGAGACUUGCCGGUAACGAUAUUGAACUAGGUAUUGAGAUACCGACGAUCGAAUCUCGGGCAAGUAACAUACCGAUGACAAAGGGAACAACGUAUGUUGUUAUGCGGUCUGACUGAUAAAAGAUCUUCGUAGAAUAUGUAGGAGCCAAUAUGAUCAUCCAGGUUCCGCUAUUGGUUAUUGACCGGAGACAUGUCUCGGUCAUGUCUGCAUUGUUCUCGAACCCGUAGGGUCCGCACGCUUAAGGUUUCGAUGAUAGUUAUAUUAUGAGUUUAUGCGUUUUGAUGUACCGAAGGUUGUUCGGAGUCCCGGAUGUGAUCACGGACAUGACGAGGAGUCUCGAAAUGGUCGAUACAUAAAGAUUGAUAUAUUGGAAGCCUAUGUUUGGAUAUCGGAAGUGUUCCGGGUGAAAUCGGGAUUUUACCGGAUUACCGGGAGGUUACCGGAACCCCCGGGAAAGUAUAUGGGCCUUAGUGGGCCUUAGUGGAAGAGAGGAGAGGUGGCCAGAGAUGGGCCGCGCGCCCCUCCCCCCUUGGUCCGAAUAGGACAAGGAGAGGGGGCCGGCCCCCCUUCCUCCUCUCUCUCCUCUUUUCCCCCCUACGCGAAUCCUAUUCCAACUAGGAAAGGGGGGAAGUCCUACUCCCGGAAGGAGUAGGACUCCUCCUGGCGCGCCACCUCUUGGCCGGCCAGCCCCCCCUUUUUGAGCCUUUAUAUACGGAGGCACGGGGCACCCCUAGAGACACAAGUUGAUCCACGUGAUCAUAUUCUUAGCCGUGUGCGGUGCCCCUUCCACCAUAGUCCUCGAUAAUAUUGUAGCGGUGCUUAGGUGAAGCCCUACGACGGUAGAACAUCAAGAUCGUUACCAUGCCAUCGUGCUGACGGAACUCUUCCCCGACACUUUGCUGGAUCAGAGUCCGGGGAUCGUCAUCGAGCUGAACAUGUGCUAGAACUCGGAGGUGCCGUAGUUUCGGUGCUUGAUCGGUCGGGCCGUGGAGACGUACGAGUACAUCAACUAAACGCUUCCGUUGUCGAUCUACAAGGGUACGUAGAUCACACUCUCCCCCUCUCGUUGUUAUGCAUCACCAUGAUCUUGUGUGUGCGUAGGAAUUUUUUUGAAAUUACUACAAAACCCAACAAUAACUUUCCCUCAACAUGCAACAAAGAGUCACUCCAAAGUCACUAAUAACGGAGAACAAACGAAGAGAUUAUGGUAGGGUACGAAACCACCUCAAAGUUAUCCUUUCUGAUCGAUCAAUUCAAGAGUCCGUAGUAAAAUAACAUGAAGCUAUUCUUUCCGUUCAAUCUAUCAUAGGGUUCGUACUAGAAUAACACCUUAAGACACAAAUCAACCAAAACCCUAAUGUCACCUAGAUACUCCUAUGUCACCUCAAGUAUCUGUGGGUAUGAUUAUACAAUAUGCAUCACACAAUCUCAGAUUCAUCUAUUCAACCAACACAAAGAACUUCAAAGAGUGCCCCAAAGUUUCUACUGGAGAGUCAAGACGAAAACGUGUGCCAACCCCUAUGCAUAGGUUCAUGGGCGGAACCCGCAAAGUGAUCACCAAAACAUACAUCAAGUGGAUCACGUGAUAUCCCAUUGUCACAACAGAUAAGCACGUGCAAGACAUACAUCAAGUGUUCUCAAAUCCUUAAAGACUCAAUCCGAUAAUUUAACUUCAAAGUUAAAACUCAAUCCAUUACAAGAGAGUAGAGGGGGAGAAACAUCAUAAGAUCCAACUAUAAUAGCAAAGCUCGCGAUACAUCAAGAUCAUACCACCUUAAGAACAUGAGAGAGAGAGAGAGAGAUCAAACACAUAGCUACUGGUACAUACCCUCAGCCCCGAGGGUGAACUACUCCCUCCUCAUCACGGAGAGCGUCGGGAUGAUGAAGAUGGCCACCGGAGAGAGAUCCCCACCUCCGGCAGGGUGCCGGAACAGGUCUAGAUUGGUUUUCGGUGGCUACGGAGGCUUCUAGCGGCGGAACUCCCGAUCUAUUCUCGUCCUCGAAUUUUUUAGGGUAUAUGGGUAUAUAUAGGAAGAAGAAGUACGUCGGUGGAUCUCCGGGCUGUCCACGAGGCAGGGGGUGCGCCCCCCACCCUUGUGGGCAGCCCGGGACACUCCUGGUCCAUCUCCGAUACUCCAUCGGCUUCUUCUGGUCCAAAAAUAAGUUCCAUGAAGUUUCAGGUCAAUUGGACUUCGUUUGAUUUUCCUUUUCUACGGUACUCUAAAACAAGGAAAAAACAGAAACUGGCAUUGGGCUCUAGGUUAAUAGGUUAGUCCCAAAAAUCAUAUUAAAUAGCAUAUAAAUGCAUAUAAAACAUCCAAGGUUGAUAAUAUAAUAGCAUGAAACAAUCAAAAAUUAUAGAUACGUUGGAGACAUAUCAGGAAGGAGAAGACGGUGGCCUUAGAGCGCGCGAAGAAGGCGACGGCGAAGGCGAAGGGGAAGAAGUCCAGCCAGGACGGAUCUUCGUCGAGGUCUGGCCUGCCGCGCGACUGGAUCCAGGGCGACUGGAUUCGGUCGACGAUUCGUCAGGACGACAUCGAUGAUCUGGUCGAGGGGGGACUGAUUCCCCAUGAAUCGGCGUGGCUCUCAGAGGGCGAGACCGAACCGCAUCCGCGGGAGGGUGAGUGCGUUCUCCUCGCCACCCAUGUUGAUCGCAGAUUUUCUUUGCCUCCGCAUCCUUUUUUCCAAGGCUUCUUGAACUUCUUUGGAGCACAACUCCACCAAUUUUCUCCCAACACCAUUGUGUACCUCGCUGCCUACGUGUCCAUGUGCGAGAACUUCUUAGGUUGUAGGCCGCACUGGGGCCUUUUCAAGCACAUUUUCAUGUGACGUUCCCAGUCGGUCAAGAAGGCCAACCCGGGUGAUGAGAGGACGCACGUGAUCCAGAUGUGCGGGGGUCUUGGGAUUCAAAUGAGAGGUAAAAGCACUUUCCCAGCCAUGAUCCUUCCCGAGUGAGUCCGAGGAUGGCAGUUGACCUGGUUCUAUUGCAAAGACCAGCCGACUCCAGGUCAGUCGACCAGACUUCCUCCCUUCUCCAUGGCUCAGGUCGAGAAGCCCUCCGCCUUGAAAGUGAUCCCGAAGGAGAAAGCGCAGGUGAAGGUGUUGGUCGAGCGGGUGGUCCAACUCGUUCGUGAUGGCGUGACUGGUAUGGAUCUGUUGGAGGUCUUCCUCAAACGACACAUUCAACCGCUUCAAGCCUGUGACCAUCCGAUGUGGAUGUAUUCGGGUAUUGAGGAUUCCACUCGGAUCCAUCCAGAAGAGGUCGAUGAGGACACGAUGGAGAAGUGGCUAAGAGGUAUCACUGGCAACAAAGAUAACUCCAGGGGUAUAGGAGAGUCCCUCCAUUCGACAACUCGCGCCAACCAGACAAGGUCCAACUCUGAACUGCCGAGUGUUCUCUUGAUUUGUCAUGUAACUGCUUGUUGUCAACUGACUGAUUUUUGCUUCGCUUGUUGUCUUUUAGGCCCUUACUGAGAUGUACUCGAUGCCCAACGGGGAACAGGAUCCGGAGGGGGAGGCGAGCGGAUGGGAGAGCGGCGAGUGGCAAUCUGAUGAAGAGGAGGUCGAGGAGAGCGACGACCGAGUGAUGAAGAAGAGGUCGACUCAGCUCCCCGUAGGAAAAAAAUGGUCCAAGUAGGCUCACGACCCGGCAAGCAUCCAUGACAAAGCGACCGUACCGACUGGACAGUCAUCGAAGCGCCCUGGGACGUCUUCUCCAGUGCCGACUGAGAGGACACUUGAAGCAACCGAAAGCUGCACUGUCUCUAGCACAGACUGAAAAGGCGCCGACACAACUGAAAGUUGCAUCGUCAAAACCGCCAAAGGCCUUGCCCAGGAUCAAAGUGGCCAUUCCUACUGUUUCCACGUAAUGAUCAGACCUGAUUUCUUCGUUUAGUACGAGUCAAAUUUUGGUCGACCCACCGUGAUAGGCAUGACCGACUGAAUCUUGAAAUUUACAGUGCUGCUACCUCCGGGACUUCCACCCACAGUAUGAAGAUGAAGAAAUUGAAGACGCAGUCACUUCCAACCCGGGUAUAACUUCUCGUAAUCCUGUCUUCAGUUACUCGGUCGAUUGAAUUCUGACGAUUAAUCUGGAGUCGACUGAUCUUUCUGCAACUCCUGCCAAUGUCAUUGAGCUUCCAGAUGACGACGAGUACGUGCCACUGAGGUCCAGGAGGAACAAAAAGGCAUCAGCUGGCAAGACAUCCCAAUCGGUGCUGGCGGCAGAGCCAGAGGUUCAACAGCCUGACAAUGUGACUCGGGCUUCUGUUACUUUUGCUGAUCCAGUAUCGAGUGAACGCCCCACAUCGUUGACUGUGCCAGAGCUUGCUUCCACCGUCCAGCUUCAUGACUCGGAACUUCCAGCUGCUGCGUCUGGACCGUCAGUCCCAUUCUUCACUACUCAUCAUGUUCCGGAAAGCCAGGCGGACGCCGCUGCAGAAGUCAUUCGUCAAGCUGGCCUAAUGAUGGAACGAGUGAAGGUGGUUCACGAAAACAGUCAGGCUGCUUACGACGCCAGCGCGGCCCUUUGAGCCAAUGUCCAGGUAAGUUGGCUUUGGACUGAACUUAUUAUGUUAGGAUAUGCUACCUGAAAACUUUUCUCCAUGCAAUCUCUUGUUAUCCUGCACUUCGCAUCUGCGCACCAGUGGGUGUUUGGCAUCUUUGUUAUUUUCACUCUUCCACUCGAUCUGGGCGGGCCAUGUUGAGCGGAAUCUGAACCAGUGGGGGAAUGCUAAGUGCACCCACUAGGUGUAGUCCCCAAGACCGUAGUCGACUGCUGGCAGUCGGUUGGGGUCUGAGUAUUUCUUUCUCUUUUUUUUCUUCCACUCGGUCUGGAUGGACCAUGUCGAGUGGAAUCUGAAUCAGUGGGGGCACGAUAAGUGCACCCAAUGGGUGUAGUCCCCGAGGCUACUGUAGAAUGUUUGAUUCUGCAGUAGUCUUAAAGUUUUAUUCACUCGGAAGUAAAUAAUCUUUGAUCUUCGAGUACAUGUCUUUUGCUCAUUGUAGAAAUCCUGUGCACUUAUCUCCAAGUUCGAUGAAUUCGAGGAAAAACAGAGACAACUCAACCUUGACUUGGAGCUGGCCCAUCAGAACUUGAAAAAGGCUAAAGAUGAACUGGCUGGUACUGAAGGUAACGACCCAUCGACGGUUUAUUUUGACUUCUGUUAUUUCUUCGUUCUUCUGUCAGACCCAAGUGUAUAUCUUGCAGAGAAAAUGAGGCUGGCUCUGGCGAAGAAGGACCUCGAUCUUGCAGCUACGCAAUAGGAGGCUCAGGAGAAGACUGCACUUGCUGACAAAAAGCUGGCUUCGGUCGACGCAUUAGAGGAAGAAAUCACCAAGGUGAAGACGUCUCUUACCGAGUCCAACUGAGAGGUGACUCGUCUGAAGAAGAAUAAGGUGACUCUGAACGAGCAACUGGAAAGCACGUCUCGUAGGAGAAACGACCUGGAAGCUUAUCUGAAAGCACUCGCCAAGAAGCUCUUCCUUAUGCUCGAAGGUACUUUUCUUUAUCCGACUGAUUCACUGUUUGUAAGUCAUCAUGAAUUGGUCGACUCACUAACUCCUUGAAUCUGCAGAAUUCUGCCAAAACUUUGAAGAAGAAACCGGACUGAUCGAGACAGGCUUGGACCCUACCUUUCUCCAGUCGGCGAUGAGGCUGCCAUGAACGUGCUCUGACUGGAAUCUCGUGUUGCCAGCGUUACAAGAUAUCUUGCUCGCCUGAAGGUGGCGAUGUCGUGCAUUGAUACAUCACUCUAGCCAAGGGCAACGUUUCAAAAUUACCUCGAGUCUCUGAUGACUCGACUCAACGAGGUUCCUAGUCGAGUGCAGGAAUGGAAGAAGUCUUCUGCCCGAUGUGGUGCUGAUGUGGCUCUGUCGCUGGUUAGGGUCUACUGCAAAGAAGCUCGAGAAGAGAAGCUGGUGGCGAUCAAGGUUGCCAACACCAAAAGGCAUGACUUCCAAUCCUUCAUGGAAACCUUCAUUGCUGCUGCCACUCGGUUCGCUGACGGAAUUGAUCUAGACGAGUUCGUCGAGCCUGCAAGCCCUCCUCCUGUGGAGUGAACAAACUUUAUACCUCGCCUUAAAUUUGCCUCGGAAUUACGAGUGAUUUUGUAACCGUUAAACUCCUUCGGGCUUGAUGCCCAAGUACUUUUAUCUUUGUUCUGGAACUUUAGGAUUUAUCUGAACUUGGUUUAUCUUCUGAAUGUGCUUGCGUUUGCCUUCGAGUGGAACUUGUUCUUCACUUGGAAUAUUCUUUGUACUUGAGAUGCAGUUCUGAGGAAGAUACCCCAGUCGACCUGCACCUCGUCGUCCUUGCAGAUGAGGAUGGAGCACACGUUGUAUUUGUGGCGUAGCUCCGAGGAGAAGGUUGCAGUCAACCUGCACCUCAUCGUCCUUGCGGAUGGGGAUGGGGCGCACAUUGUAUUUGUGGCGCAGCUCCGAAUAGAAGGUUGCAGUCGACCUGCACCUCAUCGCCCUUGCGGAUGAGGAUGGAGUGCACAUUGCAUUUGUGGCGCAGCUCCGAGGAGAAGGUUGCAGUCUACCUACACCUCAUCGUCCUUGCGGAUGGGGAUGUGUUUCAAACUUAGGCGAGUACUGGACUACAGCUAAGCCCCCGAGUGUGAGGGGCUUGCUCACCACUCGGUAGGAUUUUUCAAACUUAGGCGAGUACUGGACUGCAGCUAAGCCUCUGAGUGAGAGGGUUGCUCACCACUCAGUAGGAUUUUUUAAACUUAGGCGAAAUGGAUUCGCAGCUAAGCCCCCGAGUGAGAGGCUUGCUCAUCACUCGGUAGGAUUUUUCAAACUUAGGCGAAACGGAUUCGCAUCUAAGGCACCCACUGGGGGAUUUAGAACAUAUAAAAAAGGAACAAUAUCAUUUAAGAGACUGUAAAACUAUGUCUUUGAUAAUCAAACUAAAGGGUGUUUCUUAUUACAUCUCAACAGUCUGAAUGCUUAAGUGUAAAAGGGGCGGAGCAGCUCCGCAUUCCAAGCACGUGGCUCGUCUUUCUUGUGCUCGACAUUGUAUUGUUGGAAGUAUGCCCUAGAGGCAAUAAUAAAAUGGUUAUUAUUAUAUUUCUUUGUUCAUGAUAAUUGUCUAUUGUUCAUGCUAUAAUUGUGUUAUCCGGAAAUCGUAAUACAUGUGUGAAUACAUAGACCACAACACGUCCCUAGUGAGCCUCUAGUUGACUAGCUCGUUGAUCAAAAGAUAGUCAUGGUUUCCUGACUAUGGACAUUGGAUGUCAUUGAUAACGGGAUUACAUCAUUAGGAGAAUGAUGUGAUGGACAAGACCCAAUCCUAAGCAUAGCUCAAAGAUCGUGUAGUUCGUUUGUUGUAGCUUUUCCGAAUGUCAAGUAUCAUUUCCUUAGACCAUGAGAUUGUGCAACUCCCGGAUACCGUAGGAGUGCUUUGGGUGUGCCAAACGUCACAACAUAACUGGGUGACUAUAAAGGUACACUACAGGUAUCUCCGAAAGUGUUUGUUGGGUUGGCACGAAUCGAGACUGGGAUUUGUCACUCCUUAUGACGGAGAGGUAUCUCUGGGCCCACUCGGUAAUGCAUCAUCAUAAUGAGCUCAAUGUGACCGAGUGGUUGAUCACAGGAUCAUGCAUUACGGUACGAGUAAAGUGACUUGCCGGUAACGAGAUUGAACGAGGUAUUGGGAUACCAACGAUCGAGUCUCGGGCAAGUAACGUACCGAUUAACAAAGGGAAUUGUAUACAGAUUGAUUGAAUCCUCGACAUCGUGGUUCAUCCGAUGAGAUCAUCGAGGAGCAUGUGGGAGCCAACAUGGGUAUCCAGAUCCCGCUGUUGGUUAUUGACUGGAGAGUCAUCUCGGUCAUGUCUGCGUGUCUCCCGAACCCGUAGAGUCUACACACUUAAGGUUCGGUGAUGCUAGGGUUGUUGAGAUAUUAGUAUACGGUAACCUGAAAGUUGUUCGGAGUCCCGGAUGAGAUCCCGGACAUCACGAGGAGUUCCGGAAUGGUCCGGAGGUGAAGAUUUAUAUAUAGGAAGUCAAGUUUCGGCCAUCGGGAAAGUUUCGGGGGUAAUCGGUAUUGUACCGGGACCACCGGAAGGGUCCCUGGGGUCCACCGGGUGGGGCCACUUAUACCGGAGGGCCCCAUGGGCUGAAGUGGGAGGGGAACCAGCCCCUAGUGGGCUGGUGCGCCCCCCUUGGGCCUCCCCCUGCGCCUAGGGUUGGAAAUCCUAGGGGUGGGGGCGCCCCACUUGGCUUGGGGGGCAAGCCACCCCCUUGGCCGCCGCCCCCUUGGAGAUUGGAUCUCCUAGGGCCGGCGCCCCCCUAAUGACCCUAUAUAUAGUGGGGGGAGGGAGGGAAUCCGCACCCUAGCCCCUGGCGCCUCCCUCUCCCUUCUGUGACACUCCUCCAUCUCCCUGAGCUUGGCGAAGCCCUGCCGAGAUCGCCGUUGCUUCCACCACCACGCCGUCAUGCUGCUGGAUCUUCAUCAACCUCUCCUUCCUCCUUGCUGGAUCAAGUUGGAGGAUACGUCUUCCGAACCGUACGUGUGUUGAACGCGGAGGUGCCGUCCGCUCGGCGCUAGGUCAUCGGUGAUUUGGAUCACGGCGAGUACAACUCCAUCAACCCCGUUCUCUUGAACGCUUCCGCCCGCAAUCUACAAGGGUAUGUAGAUGCACUCCUCUCUCCCUCAUUGCUAGAUGACUCCAUAGAUUGAUAUUGGUGAUGCGUAGAAAAAUUUAAAAUUCUGCUACGUUCCCCAACAGUGGCAUCAUGAGCCAGGUUUAUGCGUAGUUUCUAUGCAUGAGUAGAACACAAAGCAGUUGUGGGCGUGGAUAUUGUCAAUUUGCUUGCCGUUACUAGUCUUAUCUUGAUUCGGCGGCAUCGCGGUAUGAAGCGGCCCAGACCGACCUUACACGUAUGCUUACGUGACACUGGUUCCACCGAUUGACAUGCACUAGUUGCAUAAGGUGGCUGGCGGGUGUCUGUCUCUCCCACUUUAGUCGGAUCGGAUUCGAUGAAAAGGGUCCUUAUGAAGGGUAAAUAGAAAUUGGCAUAUCACGUUGUGGUUUUGGCGUAGGUAAGAAACGUUCUUGCUAGAAACCUAUAGCAGCCACGUAAAAACUUGCAACAACAAUUAGAGGACGUCUAACUUGUUUUUGUAGCAUGUGCCGUGUGAUGUGAUAUGGCCAAAAGGAUGUGAUGAAUGAUAUAUGUGAUGUAUGAGAUGGAUCAUGUUCUUGUAAUAGGAAUCACGACUUGUAUGUCGAUGAGUAUGACAACCGGCAGGAGCGAUAGGAGUUGUCUUUAUUUAUUUAUGACAUGCGUGUCAACAUAAACGUCAUGUAAUUACUUUACUUUAUUGCUAAAGCGUUAGCCAUAUUAGUAGAAGUAAUAGAUGACGAGACAACUUCAAGAAGACACGAUGAUGGAGAUCAUGGUGUCAUGCCGGUGACAACGAUGAUCAUGGAGGCCUGAAGAUGGAGAUCAAAGGAGCAAAUGAUAUUGGCCAUAUCAUGUAACUAUUUGAUUGCAUGUGAUGUUUAUCAUGUUUUACAUCUUAUUUGCUUAGAACGACGGUAGCUUAAAUAAGAUGAUCCCUCGUAAUAAUUUCAAGAAAGUGUUCACCCUAACUGUGCACCGUUGCGAAGGUUCGUUGUUUCGAAGCACCAUGUGAUGAUUAGGUGUGAUAGAUUCUAACGUUCGAAUACAACGGGUGUAAGCCAGAUUUACACACGCAAUACAUUUAGGUUGACUUGAUGAGCCUAGCAUGUACAGACUGUUGGGUUACGUAGUAAUUUCAAAAAAAUUCCUACUCACACGCAAGAUCAUGGUGAUGCAUAGCAACGAGGGGAGAGUGUGAUCUACGUACCCUUGUAGAUCGACAACGGAAGCGUUUGGUUGAUGUAGUCAUACGUCUUCACGGCCCGACCGAUCAAGCACCGAAACUACGGCACCUCCGAGUUUUAGCACAUGUUCAACUCGAUGACGAUCCCCGGACUCCGAUCCAGCAAAGUGUCGGGGAAGAGUUCCGUCAGCACGACGGCGUAGUGACGAUCUUGAUGUACUACUGUCGCAGGGCUUCGCCUAAGCACCGCUACAAUAUUAUCGAGGACUAUGGUGGCUGGGGGCGCCGCACACGGCUAAGAAUAAGAUCACGUGGAUCAACUUGUGUCUCUGGGGUUCCCCUGCCUCAGUAUAUAAAGGACCAAUGGGGGGGGGGUGCGGCCGGCCUAGGAGAGGCGCGCCAGGAGAGUCCUACUCCCUCUGGGAGUAGGAUCCCCCCCAAUCCUAGUUGGAUUAGGAUUCGCGGAGGGGGGAAAAGAGAGAGGGUGGCCGGCCCCCUCUCCUUGUCCUAUUCGGACCAAGGGAGGGGAGGGGCGCGUGGCCCACUUUGGGCAGCCCCUUCUCUUUUCCACUAGGGCCCACUAUGGCCCAUAUAGCUCCCGGGGGGUUCCGGUAACCUCCCGGUACUCCGGUAAAAUCCCGAUUUCACCCAGAACACUUCCGAUAUCCAAACAUAGGCUUCCAAUAUAUCAAUAUUUAUGUCUCGACCAUUUCGAGACUCCUCGUCAUGUCCGCGAUCACAUCCGGGACUCCGAACAAACUUCGGUACAUCAAAAUGCAUAAACUCAUAAUAUAACUGUCAUCGUAACCUUAAGCGUGCGGACCCUACGGGUUCGAGAACAAUGUAGACAUGACCGAGACACGUCUCCGGUCAAUAACCAAUAGCGGAACCUGGAUGCUCAUAUUGGCUCCUACAUAUUCUACGAAGAUCUUUAUCGGUCAGACCGCAUAACAACAUACGUUGUUCCCUUUGUCAUCGGUAUGUUACUUGCCCGAGAUUCGAUCGUCGGUAUUCCAAUACCUAGUUCAAUCUCGUUAGCGGCAAGUCUCUUUACUCGUUCUAUAAUACAUCAUCCCGCAACUAACUCAUUAGUUGCAAUGCUUGCAAGGCUUAAGUGAUGUGCAUUACCGAGAGGGCCCAGAGAUACCUCUCCGAUAAUCGGAGUGACAAAUCCUAAUCUCAAAAUAUGCCAACCCAACAUGUACCUUUGGAGACACCUGUAGAGCUUCUUUAUAAUCACCCAGUUACGUUGUGACGUUUGGUAGCACACAAAGUGUUCCUCCAGCAAACGGGAGUUGCAUAAUCUCAUAGUCAUAGGAACAUGUAUAAGUCAUGAAGAAAGCAAUAGCAACAUACUAAACGAUCGGGUGCUAAGCUAAUGGAAUGGGUCAUGUCAAUCAGAUCAUUCACUUAAUGAUGUGAUCCCGUUAAUCAAAUAACAACUCAUUGUUCAUGGUUAGGAAACAUAACCAUCUUUGAUUAACGAGCUAGUCAAGUAGAGGCAUACUAGUGACACUUUGUUUGUCUAUGUAUUCACACAUGUAUUAUGUUUCCGGUUAAUACAAUUCUAGCAUGAAUAAUACACAUUUAUCAUGAGAUAAGGAAAUAAAUAAUAACUUUAUUAUUGCCUCUAGGGCAUAUUUCCUUCAGUCUCCCACUUGCACUAGAGUCAAUAAUCUAGAUUACACAGUAAUGAUUCUAACACCCAUGGAGCCUUGAUGCUGAUCAUGUUUUACUCGUGGAAGAGGCUUAGUCAACGGGUCUGCAAUAUUCAGAUCCGUAUGUAUCUUGCAAAUCUCUAUGUCUCCCACUUGGACUAGAUCCCGGAUGGAAUUGAAGCGUCUCUUGAUGUGCUUGGUUCUCUUGUGAAAUCUGGAUUCCUUUGCCAAGGCAAUUGCACCAGUAUUGUCACAAAAGAUUUUCAUUGGACCCGAUGCACUAGGUAUGACACCUAGAUCGGAUAUGAACUCCUUCAUCCAGACUCCUUCAUUUGCCGCUUCUGAAGCAGCUAUGUACUCCGCUUCACAUGUAGAUCCCGCUACAACACUUUGUUUAGAACUGCACCAACUGACAGCUCCACCGUUUAAUGUAAACACGUAUCCGGUUUGCAAUUUAGAAUCGUCCGGAUUAGUGUCAAAGCUUGCAUCAAUGUAACCUUUUACGAUGAGCUCUUUGUCACCUCCAUAUAUGAGAAACAUAUUCUUAGUCCUUUUCAGGUAUUUCAGGAUGUUCUUGACCGCUGUCCAGUGAUCCACUCCUGGAUUACUUUGGAAACUCCCUGCUAGACUUAUAGCAAGGCACACAUCAGGUCUGGUACACAACAUUGCAUACAUGAUAGAGCCUAUGGCUGAAGCAUAGGGUACAUCUUUCAUAUUCUCUCUAUCUUCUGCAGUGGUCGGGCAUUGAGUCUUACUCAACUUCACACCUUGUAACACAGGCAAGAACCCUUUCUUUGCUUGAUCCAUUUUGAACUUCUUCAAAACUUUGUCAAGGUAUGUGGUUUGUGAAAGUCCAAUUAAGCGUCUUGAUCUAUCUCUAUAGAUUUUAAUGCCUAAUAUGUAAGCAGCUUCACCGAGGUCUUUCAUUGAAAAACUCUUAUUCAAGUAUCCCUUUAUGCUAUCCAGAAAUUCUACAUCAUUUCCAAUUAGUAAUAUGUCAUCCACAUAUAAUAUCAGAAAUGCUACAGAGCUCUCAUUCACUUUCUUGUAAAUACAGGCUUCUCCAAAAGUCUGUAAAAAACCAAAUGCUUUGAUCACACUAUCAAAACGUUUAUUCCAACUCCGAGAGGCUUGCACCAGUCCAUAAAUGGAUCGUUGGAGCUUGCACACUUUGUUAGCUCCCUUUGGAUCGACAAAACCUUCUGGUUGCAUCAUAUACAACUCUUCUUCCAGAAAUCCAUUCAGGAAUGCAGUUUUGACAUCCAUCUGCCAUAUUUCAUAAUCAUAAAAUGCGGCAAUUGCUAACAUGAUUCGGAAAGACUUAAGCAUCGCUACAGGUGAGAAGGUCUCAUCGUAGUCAAUCCCUUGAACUUGCCGAAAACCUUUUGCGACAAGUCGAGCUUUGUAGACAGUAAUAUUACCGUCAGCGUCAGUCUUCUUCUUGAAGAUCCAUUUAUUCUCAAUUGCUUGCCGAUCAUCGGGCAAGUCAACCAAAGUCCACACUUUGUUCUCAUACAUGGAUCCCAUCUCAGAUUUCAUGGCUUCAAGCCAUUUUGCGGAAUCUGGGCUCACCAUCGCUUCUUCAUAGUUCGUAGGUUCAUCAUGAUCUAGUAGCAUGACUUGCAGAACAGGAUUACCGUACCACUCUGGCGCGGAUCUUACUCUGGUUGACCUACGAGGUUCAGUAGUAUCUUGUUCUGAAGUUUCAUGAUCAUCAUCAUUAGCUUCCUCACUCACUGGUGCAGGUGUCACAGAAACAGUUUUCUGUGAUGCACUACUUUCCAAUAAGGGAGCAGGUACAGUUACCUCAUCAAGUUCUACUUUCCUCCCACUCACUUCUUUCGAGAGAAACUCCUUCUCUAGAAAGUUUCCGAACUUAGCAACAAAAGUCUUGCCUUCGGAUCUGUGAUAGAAGGUGUAUCCAAUAGUCUCCUUUGGAUAUCCUAUGAAGACACAUUUCUCCGAUUUGGGUUCGAGCUUAUUAGGUUGAAGCUUUUUCACAUAAGCAUCACAGCCCCAAACUUUCAGAAACGACAACUUUGGCUUCUUGCCAAACCACAGUUCAUAAGGCGUCGUCUCAACGGAUUUUGAUGGUGCCCUAUUUAACGUAAAUGCGGUCGUCUCUAGAGCGUAUCCCCAAAAUGAUAGCGGUAAAUUAGUAAGAGACAUCAUAGAUCGCACCAUAUCUAGUAAAGUACGAUUACGACGUUCGGACACACCAUUGCGCUGUGGUGUUCCGGGUGGCGUGAGUUGUGAAACUAUUCCGCAUUGUUUCAAAUGUACACCAAACUCGUAACUCAAAUAUUCUCCUCCACGAUCAGAUCGUAGAAAUUUUAUUUUCUUGUUACCAUGAUUUUCAACUUCACUCUGAAAUUCUUUGAACUUUUCAAAUGUUUCAGACUUAUGUUUCAUUAAGUAGAUAUACCCAUAUCUGCUUAAGUCAUCUGUGAAGGUGAGAAAAUAACGAUAUCCGCCAUGAGCCUCAAUAUUCAUUGGGCCACAUACAUCUGUAUGUAUGAUUUCCAACAAAUCUGUUGCUCUCUCCAUAGUACCGGAGAACGGUGUUUUAGUCAUCUUGCCCAUGAGGCACGGUUCGCAAGUACCAAGUGAUUCAUAAUCAAGUGGUUCCAAAAGUCCAUCAGUAUGGAGUUUCUUCAUGCGCUUUACACCGAUAUGACCUAAACGGCAGUGCCACAAAUAAGUUGCACUAUCAUUAUCAACUCUGCAUCUUUUGGCUUCAACACUAUGAAUAUGUGUGUCACUACUAUCGAGAUUUAAUAAAAAUAGACCACUCUUUAAGGUGCAUGACCAUAAAAGAUAUUACUCAUAUAAAUAGAACAACCAUUAUUCUCAGAUUUAAAUGAAUAACCGUCUUGCAUCAAACAAGAUCCAGAUAUAAUGUUCAUGCUUAAUGCUGGCACCAAAUAACAAUUAUUUAGGUCUAAUAUUAAUCCCGAAGGUAGAUGUAGAGGUAGCGUGCCGACUGCGAUCACAUCGACUUUGGAACCGUUUCCCACGCGCAUCGUCACCUCGUCCUUAGCCAAUCUUCGCUUAAUGUGUAGUCCCUAUUUCGAGUUGCAAAUAUUAGCAACAGAACCAGUAUCAAAUACCCAGGUGCUACUGCGAGCAUUAGUAAGGUACACAUCAAUAACAUGUAUAUCACAUAUACCUUUGUUCACCUUGCCAUCCUUCUUAUCCGCCAAAUACUUGGGGCAGUUCCGCUUCCAGUGACCAGUCUGCUUGCAGUAUAAGCACUCAGUUUCAGGCUUAGGUCCAGGUUUGGGUUUCUUCUCUUGAGUAGCAACUUGCUUGCCGUUCUUUUUGAAGUUCCCCUUCUUCUUCCCUUUGCCCUUUUUCUUGAAACUAGUGGUCUUGUUGACCAUCAACACUUGAUGCUCCUUCUUGAUUUCUACCUCCGCAGCUUUCAGCAUUGCAAAGAGCUCGGGAAUAGUCUUAUUCAUCCCUUGCAUAUUAUAGUUCAUCACGAAUCUCUUGUAGCUUGGUGGCAGUGAUUGGAGAAUUAUGUCAAUGACGCAAUCAUCUGGAAGAUUAACUCCCAAUUGAAUCAAGUGAUUAUUAUACCCAGACAUUUUGAGUAUAUGCUCACUGACAGAACUGUUCUCCUCCAUCUUGCAGCUAUAGAACUUAUUGGAGACUUCAUAUCUCUCAAUCGGGCAUUUGCUUGAAAUAUUAACUUCAACUCCUGAAACAUCUCAUAUGCUCCAUGACGUUCAAAACGUCGUUCAAGUCCUGAUUCUAAGCCGUAAAGCAUGGCACACUGAACUAUUGAGUAGUCAUCAGCUUUGCUCUGCCAGAUGUUCAUAACAUCCGGCGUUGCUCCAGCAGCAGGCCUGGCACCCAGCGGUGCUUCCAGGACGUAAUUCUUCUGUGCAGCAAUGAGGAUAAUCAUCAAGUUACGGACCCAGUUCGUGUAAUUGCUACCAUCAUCUUUCAACUUUGCUUUCUCAAGGAACGCAUUAAAAUUCAAUGGAACAACAACACGAGCCAUCUAUCUACAAACAAGCAUAAACAAGCAAGAUACUUAUCAGGUACUAAGUUUCAUGAUAAAUUUAAGUUCAGUUAAUUUACUUAAAGAACUCCCACUUAGAUAGACAUCCCUCUAAUCCUCUAAGUGAUUACGUGAUCCAAAGCAACUAAACCAUGUCCGAUCAUCACGUGAGAUGGAGUAGUUUCAUUGGUGAACAUCACUAUGUUGAUCAUAUCUACUAUAUGAUUCACGCUCGACCUUUCGGUCUCCGUGUUCCGAGGCCAUAUCUGUAUAUGCUUGGCUCGUCAAGUUUAACCUGAGUAUUCCGCGUGUGCAACUGUUUUGCACCCGUUGUAUUUGAACAUAGAGCCUAUCACACCCGAUCAUCACGUGGUGUCUCAGCACGAAGAACUUUCGCAACGGUGCAUACUCAGGGAGAACACUUCUUGAUAAUUAGUGAGAGAUCAUCUUAUAAUGCUACCGUCAAUCAAAGCAAGAUAAGAUGCAUAAAAGAUAAACAUCACAUGCAAUCAAUAAAAGUGAUAUGAUAUGGCCAUCAUCAUCUUGUGCUUGUGAUCUCCAUCUCCGAAGCACCGUCGUGAUCACCAUCGUCACCGGCGUGACACCUUGAUCUCCAUCGUAGCAUCGUUGUCGUCUCGCUAAGCUUGUGCUUCCACGACUAUCACUACCGCUUAGUGAUAAAGUAAAGCAUUACAUCGCGAUUGCAUUGCAUACAAUAAAGCGACAACCAUAUGGCUCCUGCCAGUUGCCAAUAACUUGGUUACAAAACAUGAUCAUCUCAUACAAUAAAAAUCAGCAUCAUGUCUUGACCAUAUCACAUCAUAACAUGCCCUGCAAAAACAAGUUAGACGUCCUUUACUUUGUUGUUGCAAGUUUUACGUGGCUGCUACGGGCUUAAGCAAGAACCAAUCUUACCUACGCAUCAAAACCACAACGAUAGUUUGUCAAGUUGGUGUUGUUUUAACCUUCGCAAGGACCGGGCGUAGCCACACUCAAUUCAACUAAAGUUGGAGAAACUGUCACCCGCAAGCCACCUAUGUGCAAAGCACGUCGGGAGAACCGGUCUCGCAUAAGCGGACGCGUAAUGUCGGUCCGGGCCGCUUCGUCCAACAAUACCGCCGAACCAAAGUAUGACAUGUUGGUAAGCAGUAUGACUUAUAUCGCCCACAACUCACUUGUGUUCUACUCGUGCAUAUAACAUCAACAUAUAAAACCUAGGCUCGGAUGCCAUUGUUGGGUUAUGUAGUAAUUUCAAAAAAAUUCCUACGCACACGCAAGAUCAUGGUGAUGCAUAGCAAUUAGGGGAGAGUGUGAUCUACGUACCCUUGUAGAUCGACAACGGAUGCGUUUGGUUGAUGUAGUCGUACGUCUUCACAGCCCGACCGAUCAAGCACCGAAACUACGGCACCUUCGAGUUUUAGCACAUGUUCAGCUCGAUGACGAUCCCCGGACUCCAAUCCAGCAAAGUGUCGGGGAAGAGUUCUGUUAGCACGAUGGCGUGGUGACGAUCUUGAUGUACUACUGUCGCAGGGCUUCGCCUAAGCACCGCUACAAUAUUAUCGAGGACUAUGGUGGCUGGGGGCGCCGCACACGGCUAAGAAUAAAAUCACGUGGAUCAACUUGUGUCUCUGGGGUUCCCCUGCCUCAGUAUAUAAAGGACCAAGGGGGGGGGGGUGCGGCCGGCCUAGGAGAGGCGCGCCAGGAGAGUCCUACUCCCUCUGGGAGUAGGAUCCCCCCAAUCCUAGUUGGAUUAGGAUUCGCGGAGGGGGGAAAAGAGAGAGGGUGGCCGACCCCCUCUCCUUGUCCUAUUCGGACCAAGGGAGGGGAGGGGCGCACGGCCCACUUUGGGCAGCCCCUUCUCUUUUCUACUAAGGCCCACUAUGGCCCAUAUAGCUCCUGGGGGGUUCGGGUAACCUCCUGGUACUCCGGUAAAAUCCCGAUUUCACCCGGAACACUUCCGAUAUCCAAACAUAGGCUUCCAAUAUAUCAAUCUUUAUGUCUCGACCAUUUCGAGACUCCUCGUCAUGUCCGUGAUCACAUCCGGGACUCCGAACAAACUUCAGUACAUCAAAAUUCAUAAACUCAUAAUAUAACUGUCAUCGUAACCUUAAGCGUGCGGACCCUACGGGUUCGAGAACAAUGUAGACAUGACCGAGACACGUCUCCGGUCAAUAACCAAUAGCGGAACCUGGAUGCUCAUAUUGGCUCCUACAUAUUCUACGAAGAUCUUUAUCGGUCAGACCGCAUAACAAAAUACGUUGUUCCCUUUGUCAUUGGUAUGUUACUUGCCCAAGAUUCGAUCGUCGGUAUUCCAAUACCUAGUUCAAUCUCAUUACCGGCAAGUCUCUUUACUCGUUCUGUAAUACAUCAUCCCGCAACUAACUCAUUAGUUGCAAUGCUUGCAAGGCUUAAGUGAUGUGCAUUACCGAGAGGGCCCAGAGAUACCUCUCCGACAAUCGGAGUGACAAAUCCUAAUCUCGAAAUACGCCAACCCAACAUGUACCUUUGGAGACACCUGUAGAGCUCCUUUAUAAUCACCCAGUUACGUUGUGACGUUUGGUAGCACACAAAGUGUUCCUCCGGCAAACGGGAGUUGCAUAAUCUCAUAGUCAUAGGAACAUGUAUAAGUCAUGAAGAAAGCAAUAGCAACAUACUAAACGAUCGGGUGCUAAGCUAAUGGAAUGGGUCAUGUCAAUCAGAUCAUUCACUUAAUGAUGUGAUCCCGUUAAUCAAAUAACAACUCAUUGUUCAUGGUUAGGAAACAUAACCAUCUUUGAUUAACGAGCUAGUCAAGUAGAUGCAUACUAGUGACACUUUGUUUGUCUAUGUAUUCACACAUGUAUUAUGUUUCCGGUUAAUACAAUUCUAGCAUGAAUAAUAAAUAUUUAUCAUGAGAUAAGGAAAUAAAUAAUAACUUUGUUGUUGCCUCUAGGGCAUAUUUCCUUCACAGACAUGGCCUCGGAACACGGAAGACCGAAAGGUCGAGCAUGAGUCGUAUAGAAGAUACGAUCAACAUGAAGAUGUUCACCGAUGUUGACUAGUCCAUCUCACGUGAUGAUCGGACAUGGCCUAGUUAACUCGGAUCAUGUUUCACUUAGAUAACUAGAGGGAUGUCUAUCUGAGUGGGAGUUCAUUGAAUAAUUUGAUUAGAUGAACUUAAUUAUCAUGAACUUAGUCUAAAAUCUUUACACUAUGUCUUGUAGAUCAAAUGGCCCAUGCUAAUGUUGCCCUCAACUUCAACGCGUUCCUAGAGAAAACCAAGCUGAAAGAUGAUGGCAUCAACUAUACGGACUGGGUCUGGAACCUGAGGAUCAUCCUCAUAGCUGCCAAGAAAGAUUAUGUCCUAGAAGCACCGCUAGGUGACGCACCCAUCCCAGAGAACCAAGACUUUAUGAACGCUUGGCAGUCACGUGCUGAUGGUUACUCCCUCGUUCAGUGUGGCAUGCUUUACAGCUUAGAACCGGGGCUCCAAAAGCGUUUUGAGAGACACGGAGCAUAUGAGAUGAUCGAAGAGCUGAAAAUGGUUUUCCAAGCUCAUGCCCGGGUCGAGAGAUAUGAAGUCUCCGACAAGUUCUUCAGUUGUAAGAUGGAGCCAAAUAGUUCUGUCAGUGAGCACAUACUCAAAAUGUCUAGGUUGCAUAACCGCUUGACUCAGCUGGGUGUUAAUCUCCCGGAUGACGCGGUCAUUGAUAGAAUCCUUCAGUCGCUUCCACCGAGCUACCAGAGCUUUGUGAUGAACUUCAAUAUGCAGGGGAUGGAAAAGACAAUUCCUGAGGUAUAUUCAAUGCUGAAAUCAACGGAGGUGGAAAUCAAAAAGGAACAUCAAGUGUUGAUGGUGAAUAAAACCACUAAGUUGAAGAAAGGCAAGGGUAAAAAGAACUUCAAGAAGGACGGCAAGGGAGUUGCCACGCCCGGUAAGCAAGCUGCCGGGAAGAAGCCAAAGAAUGGACCCAAGCCCGAGACUGAGUGUUUUUAUUGCAAGGGAGGUGGUCACUGGAAGCGGAACUGCCCCAAAUACUUAGCGGACAAGAAGGCCGGCAACACUAAAGGUAUAUGUGAUAUACAUGUAAUUGAUGUGUACCUUACCAGUACUCAUAGUAGCUCCUGGGUAUUUGAUACCGGUGCGGUUGCUCACAUUUGUAACUCAAAGCAGGAGCUGCGGAAUAAGCGGAGACUGGCGAAGGACGAGGUGACGAUGCGCGUCGGGAAUGGUUCCAAGGUCGAUGUGAUCGCCGUCGGCACGCUGCCUCUACAUUUACCUACGGGAUUAGUUUUAAACCUCAAUAAUUGUUAUUUAGUGCCAGCUUUGAACAUGAACAUUGUAUUAGGAUCUCGUUUAAUUCGAGAUGGCUACUCAUUUAAAUCCAAGAAUAAUGGUUGUUCUAUUUAUAUGAGAGAUAUGUUUUAUGGUCAUGCUCCGUUGGUGAAUGGUUUAUUCUUAAUGAAUCUCAAGCGUAAUGUUCCACAUAUUCAUAGUGUGAAUACCAAAAGAUGUAAGGUUGAUAAUGAUAGUCCCACAUACUUGUGGCACUGCCGCCUUGGUCACAUAGGUGUCAAACGCGUGAAGAAGCUCCAUGCAGAUGGACUUUUGGAGUCUCUUGAUUACGAAUCAUUUGACAUGUGCGAACCAUGCCUCAUGGGUAAAAUGACCAAGACUCCGUUCUCAAGAACAAUGGAGCGGGCAACCAACUUAUUGGAAAUCAUACAUACUGAUGUGUGCGGUCCAAUGAGUGUUGAGGCUCGCGGUGGCCAUCAUUAUGUUCUCACCCUCACUGAUGACUUGAGUAGAUAUGGGUAUGUCUACUUAAUGAAACACAAGUCUGAGACCUUUGAAAAGUUCAAGGAAUUUCAGAGUGAGGUUGAGAAUCAACGUGACAUAAAAAUCAAGUUCUUGCGAUCAGAUCGUGGGGGAGAAUACUUGAGUCACGAAUUUGGCACACACUUAAGGAAAUGUGGAAUAGUUUCACAACUCACGCCGCCUGGAACACCUCAGCGUAAUGGUGUGUCCGAACAUCGUAAUUGCACUCUAUUGGAUAUGGUGCGAUCUAUGAUGUCUCUUACCGAUUUACCGCUGUCAUUUUGGGGCUAUGCUUUAUAGACUGCCACAUUCACUUUAAAUAGGGCUCCGUCGAAAUCCGUUGAGACAACACCGUAUGAAUUAUGGUUUGGGAAGAAACCUAAGCUGCCAUUUCUAAAAGUUUGGGGAUGCUAUACUUAUGUCAAGAGACUUCAACCUGAAAAGCUCGAACCCAAGUCAGAAAAAUGCGUCUUCAUAGGAUACCCUAAAGAAACUAUUGGGUAUACCGUCUACCUCAGAUCCGAAGGCAAGAUCUUUGUUGCCAAGAAUGGAUCCUUUCUAGAGAAAGAGUUUCUCUCGAAAGAAAUAAGUGGGAGGAAAGUAGAACUUGAUGAAGUAUUACCUCUUGAACCAGUAAGUGGCGCAGCUCAAGAAAAUGUUCCUGAGGUGCCUGCACCGACUAGAGAGGAAGUUAAUGAUGAUGAUCAUGAAACUUCAGAUCAAGUUGCUACUGAACUUCGUAGGUCCACAAGAACACGUUCCGCACCAGAGUGGUACGGCAACCCUGUCUUGGAAAUCAUAUUGUUAGACAACGGUGAACCUUCGAACUAUGAAGAAGCGAUGGCGGGCCCAGAUUCCGACAAAUGGCUGGAAGCCAUGAAAUCCGAGAUAGGAUCCAUGUAUGAAAACGAAGUAUGGACUUUGACUGACUUGCCCGAUGAUCGGCAAGCCAUAGAAAAUAAAUGGAUCUUUAAGAAGAAGACAGACACGGAUGGUAACGUAACCAUCUAUAAAGCUCGGCUUGUCGCAAGGGUUAUCGACAAGUUCAAGGGGUUGACUACGAUGAGACUUUCUCACCCGUAGCGAAGCUGAAGUCCGUCCGAAUCAUGUUAGAAAUUAUCGCAUUCUAUGAUUAUGAGAUAUGGAAAAUGGACGUCAAAACGGCAUUCCUUAAUGGUCUCCUUGAGGAAGAAUUGUAUAUGAUGUAGCCGGAAGGUUUUGUCGAUCCUAAGAAUGCUGAUAAGGUGUGCAAGCUCCAACGCUCGAUUUAUGGGCUGGUGCAAGCAUCUCGGAGUUGGAACAUUCGUUUUGAUGAGAUGAUCAAAGCGUUUGGGUUUACGCAGACUUAUGGAGAAGCCUGCAUUUACAAGAAAGUGAGUGGGAGCUCUGUAUCAUUUCUCAUAUUGUAUGUGGAUGACAUACUGUUGAUGGGAAAUGAUAUAGAAUUCUGGGAAAGCAUAAAUGCCUACUUGAACAAGUGUUUUUCAAUGAAGGAUCUUGGCGAAGCUGCUUAUAUUUUAGGCAUCAAGAUCUAUAGAGAUAGAUCGAGAUGCCUCAUUGGUCUUUCACGGAGUACGUACCUUGACAAGAUAUUGAAGAAGUUCAAAAUGGAUCAGUCAAAGAAGGGGUUCUUGCCUGUAUUGCAAGGUACGAGAUUGAGCACGGCUCAAUACCCGACCACGGCAGAAGAUAGAGAAAAGAUGAGUGUCGUCCCCUAUGCCUCGGCCAUAGGGUCUAUCAUGUAUGCUUUGCUGUGUACCAGACCUGAUGUAAACCUUGCCGUAAGUUUGGUAGGAAGGUACCAAAGUAAUCCCGGCAUGGAACACUGGACAACGGUCAAGAAUAUCCUGAAGUACCUGAAAAGGACUAAGGAUAUGUUUCUUGUUUAUGGAGGUGACGAAGAGCUCGUCAUAAAGGGUUACGUCGAUGCUAGCUUCGACACAGAUCUGGAUGACUCUAAGUCACAAACCGGAUACGUGUAUAUUUUGAAUGGCGGGGCAGUAAGCUGGUGCAGUUGCAAGCAAAGCGUUGUGGCGGGAUUUACAUGUGAAGCGGAGUACAUGGCAGCCUCGGAGGCAUCACAAGAGGCAAUCUGGGUGAAGGAGUUCAUUACCGACCUAGGAGUCAUACCCAAUGCGUCGGGCCCGAUGACUCUCUUCUGUGACAACACUGGAGCUAUUGCCCUUGCCAAGGAGCCCAGGUUUCAUAGGAAGACCAGGCAUAUCAAGCGUCGCUUCAACUCCUUUCGUGAAAGUGUUCAAAAUGGAGACAUAGAUAUUUGUAAAGUACAUACGGACCUGAAUGUGGCAGAUCCGUUGACUAAACCUCUCCCUAGAGCAAAACAUGAUCAACACCAGAACUGCAUGGGUGUUCGGUUCAUCACAAUGUAACUAGACUAUUAACUCUAGUGCAAGUGGGAGACUGUUGGAAAUAUGCCCUAGAGGCAAUAAUAAAAUGGUUAUUAUUAUAUUUCUUUGUUCAUGAUAAUUGUCUAUUGUUCAUGCUAUAAUUGUGUUAUCCGGAAAUCGUAAUACAUGUGUCAAUACAUAGACCACAACACGUCCCUAGUGAGCCUCUAGUUGACUAGCUCGUUGAUCAAAAGAUAGUCAUGGUUUCCUGACUAUGGACAUUGGAUGUCAUUGAUAACGGGAUCACAUCAUUAGGAGAAUGAUGUGAUGGACAAGACCCAAUCCUAAGCAUAGCUCAAAGAUCGUGUAGUUCGUUUGCUGUAGCUUUUCCGAAUGUCAAGUAUCAUUUCCUUAGACCAUGAGAUUGUGCAACUCCCGGAUACCGUAGGAGUGCUUUGGGUGUGCCAAACGUCACAACGUAACUGGGUGACUAUAAAGGUACACUACAUGUAUCUCCGAAAGUGUCUGUUGGGUUGGCACGAAUCGAGACUGGGAUUUGUCACUCCGUAUGACGGAGAGGUAUCUCUGGGCCCACUCGGUAAUGCAUCAUCAUAAUGAGCUCAAUGUGACCAAGUGGUAUGCUCCGUUGUGGAGCACUCUGGUGAUAAUGAAGGGGCCUUCCCAAGUAGGAGCGAGCUUGUGUGGUUUCUGCUGAUCCCCCUGAAGAACCAAGUCUCCUUGAAAUGCUCGACCCCUCAUGUUUCUAGCGGGGAAUCGAUGCAGGUCUUGCUGAUAAAUGGUCGACCGGAUCAGGGCCAUCUCUCUUUCCGCUUCGAGGAGAUCCAUUGCGUCUUGCCGAGCCUGUUCUGCUACAUCUUCUGAGAAAAGCUCGACUCUGGGUGCGUUGUGAAGCAAGUCACUCAGAAGAACAGCUUCAGCUCCAUAAACCAGGAAGAAUGGAGUUCGGCCAGUCGACUGAUUAGGAGUUCUCCUCAAGCCCCAAAGCACUGAUGGAAGUUCAUCGACCAAGGCGCCUGCCGUGUGCUUGAGAUCAUGCAUCAGUCGGGGUUUCAGUCCUUUGAGAAUCAAUCCGUUUGCUCUUUCAACUUGUCCAUUAGACUGGGGAUGGGCGACUGAAGCAUAGUCGACCCGAGUGCCUUGGGAAGCGCAAAAGGCUCUAAACUCAUCAGAAUCGAAGUUCGACCCAUUGUCGGUGAUGAUGCUGUGCGGAACACCAUAUCUGAAUGUUAACUCUCUGAUGAAACUGGCCGCAUUACUGGCUUCAAGACUUGAUGGGUUUGGCUUCAAUCCAUUUGGUGAACUUGUCGACUGCCACGAGUACAUGAGUGAAGCCACUCCUACCCGUUCUCAUAGGUCCCACCAUGUCCAAACCCCAAACAAUGAAGGGCCAGACGAGUGUAAUGGUCUUCAGGGCUGACGCAGGCUUGUGAGACAUGUCGGAGUAAAACUGGCAACCUUCACAUUUGUCGACUAUUUCUUGUUCCAUCUCAUUUUCCCGUGGCCAAUAAAAUCCUGCUCGUAUGCUUUGGCCACAAUGGUCCGAGAGGAUGCAUAGUGACCACAGGUCCCCGAGUGGAUGUCGUUGAGGAUCACUUGACCUUCCUCUGGUGUUUUGCAUUUCUGGCUGACUCCAGAUACACUUUCUCUGAACAGCUGCCCUCUUAUCACAGUAAAAGCUUUGGAUCGGCGGACGAUUUGUCGGGCCUCUUCUUCAUCCUCUGGGAGUUCCUUCCUAAGGAUGUAUGCGAUGUACGGCACUGCCCAGCCGGGAGUGAUGACCAAAACCUCCAUGAUCAAGUCGACCACAGCCGGGACUUCGACUUCAGUCGGAUCAGUGGCGCUCUUUGGUUGCGAGGGCUCUUCCAUGAAAGGAUCUUCCUGGACUGAAGGUGUAUGAAUAUGUUCCAAAAAUACAUUACUGGGAAUGGCUUCCCUCUUGGAACCUAUCUUCGCCAAAUCAUCCGCUGCUUGAUUUUUCAGUCGGGGUAUGUGAUGGAGUUCUAAACCCUCAAACUUCUUCUCUAACUUUCUCACUACAUUGCAGUAGCCACUCAUAGCCGGGCUUUUGAUGUCCCACUCCUUCAUCACUUGAUUCACCACCAAAUCUGAGUCGUCGUAGACCAUGAGGCGACGGACGCCGAGUGAAAUGGCAAUACACAACCCAUACAAAAGUGCCUCAUAUUCAGCUUCGUUGUUGGAGGAAUCAAAAUGAAUUUGGAGAACAUAGCGGAGCAUGUGGAACAUCCUUCACAUCCCACGUCGUCAAAAUCGCAAACGCCUGAGCUAUACACUUCCGAUAUUGGACUAGAAAACAAAUUGGAUUCCGAUAUUGGACUAGAAAACAAAUUGAAUUCCAAACAUAUGAAGGACCAGUCAGGAGAUAGACAUACAUUUGUGUCGCAUUAACAAAAGGUUUUACAAAUACAUCUAAUGUCCAGCGGGUAUUCUUCACCUCACGUCGUUAAGGGCGAGGUGAUGAUGUGUGUUGGAAGUAGUUCCAAGAUUGAUAUGAUCAUCAUCGCACACUCCCUAUACUUUCGUGAUUAGUGUUGAACCUAAAUAAAUGUUAUUUGGUGUUUGCGUCACCUCGGGGGGAUACCAAUACUGCCCUAGCACCAGAACCAUUCAGCAUCUUAGAUCCAUCAAAGAACAUGGUCCAAUGGUCUGAGUGAAUCUGAGUCGGCAGUUACUGUUCGAUCCACUUGGCGAGGAAAUUUGCUAUUGCCAGGGACUUUAUAGGUUUCUUUGCCUCAAACUUGAUAUCCAAGGGAAGGAGUUCAAUCGCCCAUUUUGCCACUCGACCAGUUGCAUCUCUGUUGUUCAGAAUUUCUGACAAUGGUGCGUCGCUGAUGACUGUAAUGGAGUGAUCAGAGAAAUAAUGUGCAACCUUCUUCAUGGUCAUGUAAAUCCCAUAAACAAGCUUCUGAUAAUGUGGAUAUCUUUGCUUGGAUGGAGUUAAAACUUCAGAAACAUAGUAUACUGGGUGCUGAACUUUAUAGGCUUUUCCUUCUUCCCGCUCGACCGCGAGUACUGUACUGACAACUUGUCCAGUGGCUACAAUGCAAAGCAGUAAAGGCCCUUUGCUGAUAGGGGCAGCAAGCACCGGCUGGGUGGAAAGCAGGGCUUUGAGAUCUGCAAACGCUGCAUCAGCUUCAGGAGUCCACUCGAACUUGUCAGAUUUCUUCAUCAGUCGAUAAAGAGGCAAUGCCUUUUCACCGAGGUGAGAAACGAAUCGACUCAAGGCGGCCAAACAACCAGUAAACUUCUGGACAUCAUGCACGCGCACAGGGCGCUUCAUCCGGAGUAUGGCACCAACUUUCUCUGGGUUCGCUUCGAUCCCUCGUUCAGAAACAAGGAAACCGAGUAACUUUCCGCCAGGAACUUCGAAUGUGCACUUUGAUGGGUUAAGCUUGAUAUCAUAUCUUCUCAGGUUGGCAAAGUUUCAGCAAGGUCAGUCAGCAGGUCGGAACCUUUACGCGACUUGACCACAAUGUCAUCCAUGUAUGCUUCCACAUUCCGAUUGAUUUGAGUGAGCAGACACUUCUGAAUCAUCCUCAUGAAUGUGGCCCUAGCGUUCUUGAGACCGAAUGGCAUGGUGACACAACAAAAGCACCCGAAUGGAGUGAUAAAAGCUUUUUUUAUCCCGUCGGGUCCGUACAGUCGGAUCUGAUGGUACCCGGAAUAGGCGUCUAGGAAAGACAAACGCUCACACCCCACAGUUGAAUCGACAAUUUGGUCAAUGCGGGGGAGAGGAAAAUGAUCUUUCGGGCAGGCCCAAUUGAUAUGCUUGAAGUCAAUGCACAUGCGAAGUGAGUCAUCCUUCUUGGGGACCAUAACAACUUUGGUGAGCCACUCGGAGUGGUAAAUCUCUCGGAUGAACUCAGCUGCCAGGAGCUAAGCCACUUCCUCACCAAUUGCCUUUCUCUAUUGUACGGCGGACCGUCGGAGAUGUUCCUUGACUGGUUUUACUUUCGGGUUGAUACGUCCAUUUUGCAUCAUGCUUUUAUAUCGAUAUUUAUUGCAUUAUGGACUGUUAUUUCACUUUAUGUCACAAUACUUAUGGCUAUUCUCUCUUAUUUUACAAAGUUUACAUAAGGAGGGAGAAUGCCGACAGCUGGAAUUCUGGGCUGGAAAACGAGCAAAUAUUAGAGACCUAUUCUGCGCAACUCCAAAAGUCCUAAAACUCCACGGAACAUCUUAAAAUAAAUAAAGAAAAAUCCUCGCCAAAGAUGAAGGCCAGGGGGCCCACACCCUGCUCACGAGGGUGGGGGGGCGCGCCCCCCCUCCUAGGGCGUGCCCCCCUACCUCGUGGGGCCCCUGGUGGAUCUCCGACGUCCAUCUUCUCCUAUAUGAAGUCUUUCGAUGAGAAAAAAAAUAACAAGGAACCUUUCGGGACGAGACUCCGCCGCCACGAGGUGGAAUCUUGGCAGAACCAAUCUAGAGCUCCGGCAGAGCUGUUCUGCCGGGGAUACUUCCCUCCGGGAGGGGGAAAUCAUCACCAUCGUCAUCACCAACGCUCCUCUCAUCGGGAGAGGGAAAUCUCCAUCAACAUGUUCACCAGCACCAUCUCAUCUCCAAACCCUAGUUCAUCUCUUGUAUCCAAUUCUUGUCUCAAAGUCCGGGAUUGGUGCUAGUAGGUUGCUAGUAGUGUUGAUUACUCCUUGUAGUUGAUGCUAGUUGGUUUAUUUGGUGGAAGAUCAUAUGUUCAGAUCUAAUAUGCAUAUUAUUACCCCUCUGAUUAUGAACAUGAAUAUGCUUUGUGAGUAAUUAUGUUUGUUCCUGAGGACAAGGGAGAAGUCUUGCUAUUAGUAGUCAUGUGAAUUUGGUAUUCGUUUGAUAUUUUGAUAAGAUGUAUGUUGUCUAGCCUCUAGUGGUGUUAUGUGACGUCGGCUACAUAACACUUCACCAUUAUUUGGGCCUAGAGGAAGGCAUUGGGAAGUAAUAAGUAGAUGAUGGGUUGCUAGAGUGACAGAAGCUUAAACCCUAGUUUAUGCGUUGCUUCGUAAGGGGCUGAUUUGGAUCCAUAUGUUUCAUGCUAUGGUUAGGUUUACCUUACUACUUUUGUUGUAGUUACGGAUGCUUGCAAUAGAGGUUAAUCAUAAGUGGGAUAUUUUUUCAAGUAAGAACAACACUCAAGCACCGGUCCACCCACAUAUCAAUUUAUCAAAGUAUCGAACGCGAAUCAUAUGAACGUGGUGAAAACUAGCUUGACGAUAUUCCCAUGUGUCCUCGGGAGCGCUUUUCCUAUUAUAAGAGUUUGUUCCGGUUUGUCCUUAGCUACAAAAAGGAUUGGGCCACCUUGCUGAACUUUAUUUACUUAUGUUACUUGUUGCUCGUUACAAUUUAUCUUAUCAGAAAACUAUCUGUUACCACUUAUUUCAGUACUUGCAGAGAAUACCUUGCUAAAAACCGCUUAUCAUUUCCUUCCGCUCCUCGUUGGGUUUGACACUAUUACUUAUCGAAAGGACUACGAUAGAUCCCCUAUACUUGUGGGUCAUCAAGACUCUUUUCUGGCGCCGUUGCCGGGGAGUAUAGCGCCUUUGGUAGGUGGAAUUUGGUAAGGAAAAAUUUAUAUAGUGUGCUGAAAUUUACUGUCACUUGCUACUAUGGAAAGUAAUUCUCUGAGGGGCUUGUUCGGGGUAUCUUCACCCCGUCCAAUAGAGCAAAGAGUUUCUCCUCAACCUACUGAACCUAUUGAAAAUGAAACUCCUUUUGAAUUUCCUUCGGGUAUGAUGGAAAAACUGCUAGCUAACCCUUUUAUAGGAGAUGGAACAAAGCAUCCUGAUGAGCACUUAAUAUAUGUGGAUGAAGUUUGUGGAUUAUUUAAGCUUGCAGGUAUACCCGAUGAUGUUGCUAAGAAGAAGGUCUUCCCUUUAUCUUUGAAGGGAAACACAUUGAUAUGGUAUAGGCUAUGUGAUGAUAUGAGAUCAUGGAACUAUAAAAGAUUGAAGUUGGAAUUUCAUCAAAAGUAUUACCCUAUGCAUCUUGUUCAUCGUGAUUGCAAUUAUAUAUAUAAUUUCUGGCCUCGCGAAGGAGAAAGCAUCGCUCAAGCUUGGGGGAGGCUUAAAUCUAUGUUAUAUUCAUGCCCCAAUCAUGAGCUCUCAAGAGAAAUAAUUAUGCAAAGUUUUUAUGCUCGGCUUUGUGAAAACAAUCGCACCAUGCUUGAUACUUCUUGUGCUGGCUCUUUUAUGAUGAAGACUAUUGAAUUCAGAUGGAAUUUAUUGGAUAGAAUUAAACGCAACUCUGAAGAUUGGGACCUCGACGAAGGUAAGGAGUCAGGUAUGACACCUAAGUUUGAUUGUGUUAAAUCUUUUAUGGAUACCGAUAUUUUCCGUAAGUUUAGCACUAAAUAUGGACUUGACUCUGAGAUCGUAGCUUCUUUCUGUGAAUCUUUUGCUACUUAUGUUGAUCUCCCUAAGGAGAAGUGGUUUAAAUAUCAUCCUCCCAAAGAAGUAAAAGUAGCUGCACCUAUUAAAGUUGAAGAAAAGACUGUCACUUAUAAUGAUCCUAUUGUUCCUACUUCUUAUGUUGAGAAACCACCUUUCCCUGUUAGAAUAAAGGAUCAUGCUAAAGCUUCAACUGUUUUUUGUAAAAGCAAUAUUAGAACUUAUACACCUCCUGAGCAAGUUAAAGUAGAACCUAAUAUUGCUAUUGUUAAAGAUCUCUUGUCUGAUAAUAUUGAUGGGCAUGUUAUUCAGUUCGAAGGUGAAACUGCUAGAAUUGCUAAACCUUGUGCUAAAGAUAAACAUAGACCUGUGGUAGGGUGUGCCUGUUAUUUCUAUUAAAAUAGGAGAUCAUUGUUAUCAUGGCUUAUGUGAUAUGGGUGCGAGUGCUAGUGUUAUACCGCAUACUUUAUACGAAGAAAUUAAGAAUGAAAUUGCACCUACUGAGUUAGAAGGUAUUGAUGUCACAAUUAAACUUGCCAAUAGAGAUACUAUUUCACCAAUUGGAAUUGUUAGAGAUGUUGAAGUCUUGUGUGGGAAAACUAAAUAUCCUGCUGAUUUUCUUGUUCUUACUUCUCCGCAAGAUAGCUUUUGUCCCAUUAUAUUUGGUAGACUCUUCUUGAACACUGUUAAUGCUCAGAUAGAUUGCGAAAAGAAUGUUGUUACUAUUGGCUUGGAUGAUAUGGUUCAUGAGUUUAAUUUCUCUAAAUUUAGUAAACAACAUCGUGAGGAAGAAUUACCUAGUAAGGAUGAAAUUAUUGGUCUUGCUUCUAUUGCCGUACCUCCUAGUGAUCCUUUAGAACACUAUUUGCUAGACCAUGAGAAUGAUAUGUUCAUGAAUGAAAGAAGGGAAAUAUAUGAAGUAUUCUUUAAACAGGAACCUAUUCUGCAACACAACUUGCAUGUUGAAAUUUUAGGGGAUCCUCCUCCACCCAAGGGUGAUCCCGUGUUUGAGCUUAAUCCGUUGCCUGAUAAUCUUAAAUAUGCUUAUCUUGAUGAAAAGAAGAUAUAUCCUGUUAUUAUUAGUGCUAACCUUUCAGAGCAUGAAGAAGAAAGAUUAUUGAAAACUCUGAAGAAGCAUCGUGCUGCUAUUGGAUAUACUCUUGAUGAUCUUAAGGGCAUUAGUCCCACUCUAUGUCAACAUAAAAUAAAUUUGGAAGCAGAUGCCAAACCAGUUCGUGAUCCUCAACGACGUCUGAAUCCUAAAAUCAAAGAAGUGGUAAGAAAAGAAAUACUCAAGCUUCUGGAGGCAUGUAUAAUCUAUCCCGUUGCUGAUAGUCAGUGGGUAAGUCCUGUCCAUUGUGUCCCUAAGAAGGGAGGUAUUACUGUUGUUCCUAAUGAUAAAGAUGAAUUGAUUCCACAAAGAAUUAUCACAGGUUAUAGGAUGGUAAUUGAUUUCUGCAAAUUAAAUAAAGCUACUAAGAAAGAUCAUUACCCCUUACCUUUUAUUCAUCAAAUGCUAGAAACAUUAUGCGAACAUACACACUAUUGCUUUCUAGAUGGUUAUUCUGGUUUCUCUCAAAUACCUGUGUCGGCUAGAGAUCAAUCAAAGACUACUUUUACAUGCCCUUUUGGUACUUUUUCUUAUAGACGUAUGCCUUUUGAUUUAUGUAAUGCGCCUGCUACCUUUCAAAGAUGCAUGAUGGCUAUAUUCUCUGACUUUUGUGAAAAGAUUUUGUGAGGUUUUCAUGGACAAUUUUUCCGUCUAUGGUUCCUCUUUUGAUGAUUGCUUGAGCAAUCUUGAUCAAGUUUUGCAGAGAUGUGAAGAAACUAAUCUUGUCUUGAAUUGGCAAAAGUGCCACAUUAUGGUUAAUGAAGGUAUUGUCUUGGGGCAUAAAGUUUCCGAAAGAGGUAUUAAAGUUGAUAAAGCCAAGGUCGAUGCUAUUGAAAAGAUGCCAUGCCCCAAGGACAUCAAAGGUAUAAGAAGUUUCCUUGGUCACGCCGGAUUUUACAGGAGGUUCAUUAAGGACUUCUCAAAAAUUUCUCGGCCUCUGACUAAUUUAUUGCAAAAAUAUAUACCAUUUGUCUUUGAUGAUGAUUUUGUAGAAGCAUUUGAAAUACUUAAGAAAGCAUUAGUCUCUGCACCUGUUGUUCAGCCACCUGAUUGGAAUUUACCCUUUGAAAUUAUGUGUGAUGCUAGUGAUUAUGCUGUAGGUGCUGUUCUAGGGCAAAGAGUUGAUAAGAAAUUAAAUGUUAUUUAUUAUGCUAGUAAGACUCUAGACAAUGCUCAAAUAAAUUAUGCUACUACUUAAAAAGAGCUUUUAGCAGUUGUAUUUGCUUGUGAUAAGUUCAGACCUUAUAUCGUUGAUUCUAAAGUAACUAUUCACACUGAUCAUGCUGCUAUUAAAUACCUUAUGGAAAAGAAAGAUGCUAAACCUAGACUUAUUAGAUGGGUUCUCUUGCUACAAGAAUUUGAUUUGCAUAUCGUUGAUAGAAAGGGAGCUGAGAACCCCGUAGCAGACAACUUGUCUAGGUUAGAGAAUGUUCUUAAUGACCCACUACCUAUUAAUGAUAGCUUUCCUGAUGAACAAUUAAAUGUUAUAAGUACUUCUCAUAGUACUCCAUGAUAUGUUGAUUAUGCUAAUUAUAUUGUUGCUAAGUUUAUACCACCUAGCUUCACAUACCAGCAAAAGAAAAAGUUUUUCUAUGACUUGAGACAUUACUUUUGGGAUGACCCACAUCUUUAUAAAGAAGGAGUAGAUGGUGUUAUUAGACGUUGUGUACCUGAGCAUGAACAGGAACAGAUCCUACGCAAGUGUCAUUCCAAGGCUUAUGGAGGACACCACGCUGGAGAUAGAACUGCACAUAAGGUAUUGCAAUCUGGUUUUUAUUGGCCUACUCUCUUCAAGGAUGCCCGUAAGUUUGUCUUGUCUUGUGAUGAAUGUCAAAGAAUUGGUAAUAUUAGUAGACGUCAAGAAAUGCUUAUGAAUUAUUCUCUUGUUAUUGAACGGUUUGAUGUUUGGGGCUUUGAUUAUAUGGGACCUUUUCCUGCCUCUAAUGGAUACACACAUAUUUUAGUUGUUGUUGAUUAUGUUACUAAGUGGGUAGAAGCUAUUCCAACUAGUAGUGUUGAUCAUAACACUUCUAUUAAAAUGCUUAAAGAAGUUAUUUUCCUGAGGUUUGGAGUCCCUAGAUAUUUAAUGACUGAUGGUGGUUCACACUUUAUUCAUGGUGCUUUCCGUAAAAUGCUUGCUAAAUAUGAUGUUAAUCAUAGAAUUGCAUCUCCUUAUCACCCUCAGUCUAGUGGUCAAGUAGAGUUGAGCAAUAGAGAGCUCAGAUUAAUUUUGCAAAAGACUAUUAAUAGGUCUAGAAAGAAUUGGUCUAAGAAACUUGAUGAUGCAUUAUGGGCUUAUAGAACUGCAUAUAAAAAUCCUAUGGGUAUGUCUCCGUAUAAAAUGGUUUAAGGAAAAGCAUGCCACUUACCUAUGGAACUAGAACAUAAGGCAUAUUGGGCUAUUAAAGAGCUCAACUAUGAUUUUAAACUUGCCGGUGAGAAGAGGUUAUUUGAUAUUAGCUCACUUGAUGAAUGGAGAACCCAAGCUUAUGAAAAUGCCAAGUUGUUUAAAGAAAAAGUUAAAAGAUGGCAUGACAAAAGGAUACAAAAGCGUGAGUUUAAUGUAGGUGAUUAUGUAUUGCUACACAACUCUCAUUUAAGAUUUUUUUGCAGGAAAACUUCUCUCUAAAUGGGAAGGCCCCUAUGUUAUCGAGGAGGUCUACCGUUCUGGUGCCAUAAAAGUCAACAACUUUGAAGGCACAAAUCCGAAGGUGGUAAACAGUCAAAGAAUUAAACAUUGUAUCUCAGGUAAUCCCAUAAAUGUUGAAACCAAUAUUAUUGAAACCGUAACCCCAGAGGAAUACAUAAGGGAGACUUUCCGGAACGUUUCAGACUCCGAAAAGGAAUAGGUAUGUGGUACGGUAAGUAAACCGAAUCCAAAACAAUUUUUAAGGCAAUAUUUCUCCGUUUUGGAAUAUUUAGAAAAAUAGAAAAAUAAGUAGCAGUCCGGGAAGGACACGAGGGCCUCACGAGGGUGGUGGGCGUGCCCUACCCCCUGGGUGCGCCCCCUACCUCGUGAGCACCUCGUGUGCCUUUCAGACUCCGUUUUCUUACACAAUACGUAUUUUGGUCGGUAAAAAUUAUUAUAUAUUCUCCUGAAGGUUUUGACUCCCGUAUCACGCAAAUCUCCUCUGUUUUUGUUUUCGAGCUGUUGCUGCUGCAGAUUAGAGCAAGAUAUCUUCUCAAGAGUCAAUCGGGGAGAGCCGGGUAUCUAAUCCGGCACCAGAACCAAGGGCAAACAGCGACGCUGACCAUUUUGGGCCAGCAACAGAGGAAGAGAUGGAGGCUGACUUGAUGAGAGUAGAUGCCAUGGAGGAUCAAGAAGUCACCUCUCGUCUCCGAGCUGGGUUCACGAUGGGGGAACUACAGAGCUCAGCUAUUCCAAACUCGGUUAUCCCUUCUACUGUUAGAUUUCUUUCUUAUGAAAAUAUGAAGAGGAGUGUCACUUGUUCUCCCGCAGCUAUGCAACACCCUUGGGUGCAAGGAGCUUUAGCUGUCACAAGGAUGCUUCGUAAGGAAAUAAUGGACCUCAAACAGCAAGUCAAUAAGCUCGAGGAGGAGAACCGCAUCCUGAGGGGAAUCAUCGCCAAGAAUAUUACACCGACAACAAAGAAAGAGAUAUAAUCACAUGGGUAUGGGCACUCCCCUUGGCAACUGCCAAGCUCGGGGGAGGUGCCCCGGUAUCGUAUCACAAUCACAACUCCUAUCUUUACCAUUUUUCUUAGUUUGAUCCUAUUAGUAGUAUCUUGAUCUAGUAGAAUAAAGUUUAUGGCAUGAUCUAGUUUUGAGUUUUGCUUUACAAUCUCUCUUUGUAAUCGAGUCCGUGAGCUAUAUAUAAUAAAGAUUAGUGUUGAGUCAAGGGCUUGAUUAUUUUGCCAUGAUCUUGGGUGAAUAAAAUAAAAGAGAAAAAGAAUAAAAAGAAACAAAAAGUUCAUAUUGAUCUUAUUGAGAGUAAUGACUUCACAUAGAAAGAGUAUGAUGAUUAAAAGUUGUUGGGAGUUGGCAGACAUAACUUUGGUCAUUGUUUCAAUUAAUAGGAAGUAAUAAGGAAAGAGAGGUUUUCACAUAUAGAUAUAUUAUCAUUGACAUAUUUUAUGAUUGGGAGCACUCAUUAAAAUAUGACAUGCUAAAGAGUUGAUGUUGGACAAGGAAGACAACGUAAUGAGUUAUGUCUUUCUUAUAUCUGAGAUAAAGUAUGUUGUCAUGGAUCCUCUAACUCGUUGAGCUUGCCUUUCCCCCUCAUGCUAGCCAAAUUCUCAGCACCAAGUAGAAAUACUACUUGUGCUUCCGAAUACCCUUAAACCAGUUUUGACAUGAGAGUCCACCAUAUCUACCUAUGGAUUGAGUAAGAUCCUUCAAGUAAGUUGCCAUCGGUGCAAAGCAAUAAAAAUUGCUCUAAAUAUGUAUGAUUGAUUGGUGUUGGAGAAAUAAGCUUUAUACGAUCUUGUGAUGUGGAAGUAAUAAAAGCGACGGACUGCAUAAUAAAGGUUCAUAUCACAAGGGGCAAUGUAAAGUGAUGUUCUUUCGCACUGAGAUUUUAUGCAUCCAACCAUAAAAGCGCAUGGCAACCUCUGCUUCCCUCUGCGAAGGGCCUAUCCUUUAUCAUUAUCUUCUACUUAUGCAAGAGUCACGGUGAUCUUCACCUUUCCUUUUUCAUUUUAUCCUUUGGCAAGCUCAGCAUGUUGGAAAGAACAUGAUAUAUAUAUAUAUAUAUAUAUAUAUAUAUAUAGUUGAAUGUAGGGGAGCAUGAACCAUUAUUGUUGACAUUACCCUUGAGGUAAAAGGUUGUGGGGCAAAACUAUAAGCCCCUAUCUUUCUCUGUGUCCGAUUAAAACUCCAUAACCACAAGUAUUGCGUGAGUGUUAGCAAUUAUGGAGGACUAAAUGAUAGUUGAGUAUGUGUACUUGCUUUUUAGCUCUGACAUAGACUCUUUCCGAUAUUAUGAUAAAUUGCAAUUGCUUCAAUGACUGAGAUUAUAGUUUGUCGGAGCCCAAUAAGGUUUAUGAUUUAUACUUUUGCAUUGUGAAUAGAUCAUCACUUGAACAUAAGUAAUCAUAUGACAAAAUCUAUAUAUGUUGCUGUUAUGAGAAUAAUCAUGAUGCCUUCAUGUCCGUAUUUUAUUUUUAUCGACGCCUCUACCUCUAAACACGAGGACAUAUUUAUUGUUAUCGGCUUUUUGCUUGAGGACAAGCGAGGUCUAAGCUUGGGGGAGUUGAUACGUCCAUUUUGCAUCAUGCUUUUAUAUCGAUAUUUAUUGCAUUAUAGACUGUUAUUUCACUUUAUGUCACAAUGGCUAUUCUCUCUUAUUUUACAAGGUUUACAUAAGGAGGGAGAAUGCCGGAAGCUGGAAUUCUGGGCUGGAAAAGGAGUAAAUAUUAGAGACCUAUUCUGCGCCAAAGAUGAAGGCCAGGGGGCCCACACCCUGCUCACGAGGGUGCCCCCCCCCUCCUAGGGCGCGCCCCCUACCUCGUGGACCCCCUGGUGGGUCUCCGACAUCCAUCUUCUCCUAUAUGAAGUAUUUCGAUGAGAAAAAAAUAACAAGAAACCUUUCGGGAUGAGACUCCUCCGCCACGAGGCGAAAUCUUGGCGGAACCAAUCUAGAGCUCUGGCAGAGCUUUUCUGCCGGGGAUACUUCCCUCCGGGAGGGGGAAAUCAUCACCAUCGUCGUCACCAACGCUCCUCUCAUCGGGAGAGGGCAAUCUCCAUCAACAUCUUCACCAGCACCAUCUCAUCUCCAAACCCUAGUUCAUCUCUUGUAUCCAAUUCUUGUAUCAAAGUCCGGGAUUGGUGCUAGUAGGUUACUAGUAGUGUUGAUUACUCCUUGUAGUUGAUGCUAGUUGGUUUAUUUGGUGGAAGAUCAUAUGUUCAGAUCCUAUAUGCAUAUUAUUACCCCUCUGAUUAUGAACAUGAAUAUGCUUUAUGAGUAAUUACGUUUGUUCUGAGGACAAGGGAGAAGUCUUGCUAUUAGUAGUCAUGUGAAUUUGGUAUUCAUUUGAUAUUUUGGUAAGAUGUAUGUUGUCUAGCCUCUAGUGGUGUUAUGUGAACGUCGACUACAUAACAUCACCAUUAUUUGGGCCUAUAGGAAGGCAUUGGGAAGUAAUAAGUAGAUGAUGGGUUGCUAGAGUGACAGAAGCUUAAUCCCUAGUUUAUGCGUUGCUUCGUAAGGGGCUGAUUUGGAUCCAUAUGUUUCAUGCUAUGGUUAGGUUUACCUUAAUACUUUUGUUGUAGUUGCGGAUGCUUGCAAUAGAGGUUAAUCAUAAGUGGGAUGCUUGUUCAAGUAAGAACAGCACCCAAGCACCGGUCCACCCACAUAUCAAUUUAUCAAAGUAUCGAACGCGAAUCAUAUGAACGUGGUGAAAACUAGCUUGACGAUAUUCCCAUGUGUCCUCGGGAGCACUUUUCCUGUUAUAAGAGUUUGCUCCGGCUUGUCCUUUGCUACAAAAAGGAUUGGGCCACCUUGCUGCACGUUAUUUACUUUUGUUACUUAUUGCUCGUUACAAUUUAUCUUAUCACAAAACUAUCUGUUACCACUUAUUUCAGUACUUGCAGAGAAUACCUUGCUGAAAACCGCUUAUCAUUUCUUCUGCUCCUCGUUGGGUUCGACACUCUUACUUAUCGAAAGGACUAUGAUAGAUCCCCUAUACUUGUGGGUCAUCACGGGUCGACUCACAAACGAUGCUCAGCCAGUCCCCUGGGUACACCCGGCAUGUCAGAAGGUUUCCAUGCAAAGAUGUCCCAGUUCUCACGGAGGAAGUGGAUGAGCAUUUCUUCCUAUUUGCUGUCGAGUGAAGUUGAGGUAUGAGUAGGAGCAGCAUUAGGAUCGUUCGGGUGAAUAUGAAUCUGCUUGGUUUCACCGGACGACUGAAAUGCAGAACCAGUGGCAGGCUUCUUGGAGCGUGGCAAAUCACUCGGAUCUGCAUUUUUCUGGUAUUCUUGCAUUUCAACUGCUGCCAUUUGUGCAUCGGCGAUUUUUGAGCCCUUAUGGAAGCACUCUUCUGCUUUCUGCCGAUUGCUAGUGAUAGUGAUCACUCCUCUGGGACCAUGCAUUUUCAAUUUGAAGUACACGUAACACGGUCAAGCCAUGAAACGUGCAUAGGCAGGCCUACCCAGAAUGGCAUGAUAAGCACUCUUGAAAUCCACUACUUCAAAUGUCAACUUUUAUUUGCGGUAAUUUUUGGAAUCACCAAAAACCACAUCAAGGGCAUUCUGGCCGAGUGAUUCAGCCUUCUUGCCAGGUAUAACGCCAUGGAAACUCAUAUUACUUUCGCUGAGCUUGGACAUCGGAAUCCCCAUUCCCUUCAAGGUUUCAGCAUAAAGGAUAUUCAGGCCGCUACCACCAUCCAUCAGCACUUUAGUCAGUCGAGUGCCUUCAACAACUGGGUCGAGUACCAACGCUUGCCUCCCAGGGGUGGCUAUACGUGUUGGAUUGUUAGACUGGUCGAAUGUGAUGGCAAUCUGAGACCACUUCAAAUAACUUGGUGUUGCCGGAGCAACCAUGUUCACUUCUCUGUUGAUAACUUUCAAUCGACUUUUGCUCUCAACAUUAGCAAAAAUCAUCAGAGUGGAGUUGAUGUUGGGAAAACCAUCAUCAUCCUAUUCCUUAUCCUCAUCCUUGCCCGACUCCUUUUCCUUCUCCUUGGUUUGUUUCUCUCGGAGCUGCUGGAUCAGGAGUCGACACUGUCGAGUGGUGUGCUUGGGAUAAAUCAGAUUACCCUCUUCAUCUUUCUUGGUGUGAAUGUGACAUGGCAAAUCCAACACAUCAUUUCCGUCUUGAUAUUUCACUUUCUUGGGAUUACAGGGCCCUUUGGGCUUCCCCUUGAACUUUCCUUGAGCCACAACUAAAGCCUCACCAGGAGCAAAUGGCUCGGACUUACGCUUCUGUUUCCGAUUGGAAGUACCUCCACCGGUGUCCUGGGUGACUGUUUUGCGUUUGCCACUCCGGAGUCGGUCUUCCUAUUCGCCGGUAGCGUAUUUGGUGGCAAUCUCCAUCAUCCGAGUCAGGGACAUAUCUCCUAUCUGACCGAAUUUCAGAUUCAACUCACGAUACUUGACGCCUUCCUUGAAGGCCCAAACUGCUUGAUGAUCUGAUACAUUCUCCACUUUAUGGUGUAACGUGAUCCAUCUCUGGAUAUAAUCUCUCAGGGUUUCAUUCGAUUUUUGUACACAACUCUGCAAUUCAGUCAACCCCGCUGGUCGCUUACAAGUACCUUCAAAAGUCCUAACAAACACUCGGGCGAGUUCCUCCCAACUGAAUAUACUGCCGGGUGCCAACUGGUUCAGCCAUGCCCUGGCCGAACCUUCCAACAUCAGAGGAAAGUGCUUCAUGGCGACUUCAUCAUUGCCACCACCAAUCUGUACAGCUACUCGGUAGUCUUCAAGCCAAGUGUCAGGCUUAGACUCACCUGUAAAUUUGCUGACUCCAGUCGCCAACCUGAAAUUGGGAGGAAUCGCUGCAGCCCUGAUGGCUCUACUGAAACACUCGGGACCUGAAACGUGCACUCUACUGCCAGUCGAAUAAUCUCUAUCAUGGCCUUCUCUGUGUGCUCUGUUCCUGUCAACGAGACCUUGAACGAGAAUAGAUCUCGCAUCAAAGCCUGGCUCCCUUGGGUCGACUGGUAUUCUUCGCUCGCCGCAGUGAGGGCGUCUGUCGUCAUGCCGCCGAGGCACAUAUGACCCACUCCUCGGAGGAGGCGUGGGCACUCGCCGUCGGUCUUCGUGGCCGAGGCGGUGAUCAUAUUGCUCAUGGUUCCUGUACUGAUCUUUGCUGUGCCCAUGUCCUUCUCGCCGCGGGGGCGAUCUUGGGCUGUGGGCCGACUGUACUGUAUCUGCUACCACACACAUGUUAUGAAUCCUAUUCCGCGAAUGAGACACUGCUGUGUUCUGUUCUCCAGCUGCUCGGAGCAAGGCCCGGAUCUGCAUCAAACCCCUGCCUGCCUCCGACAGGGAAGGUUGGAUUGACUCUGCUAUUCGGGCUGCGGCUGUGAGAUUUUGAAUCGGAGUGUGGUAUACCUGAGUUUGAGGCUGAAAAAGCUGUCGUCGACUGGAUUCAGGGAUCUGCUGCCGAGCACGCUCGUUGAGUGCAUGCUGCAGGUUCUGCAGUUGAGUGCACUCAGCCAAGUUGGCCAUGCGCACUUCCUCCAAGGCCCGGGCUUCGGGGGUUUCUCCAAUGAUAGGAGUGUGAAGUGCAUCCAUGUUGCGGCGGCGAAGCUCUUCCCUCUGCUACGAAGAAAGGGGCUCGGGGCGGUACUCCUGGUGAACGCGCGACGGAUCGCCGCCGCCAUCACCAUCGUCGUUGCGGGGGAAGCCAGGAGGACUGGGUGGUCCGUCGACCAUCAAGACUUCUGCCGCGGGAUCGCUGCUGUCGCACUCGGAUGCGGUCUCGACGGAGCCAGUCGACAGGUCGAACAUGCCGUAGAGAGUUUCGUCGGGCUCGAUUAUCGCGACUUGUGAGGUGGCCGACUGGCGGGCUACCGUGUGUCUCACCCACAGCUGGAGCCGCGACUGACCGGAACGCUUGUGCCGGCGAGCGGCGGGGGAUGAGGACACCAUAGGAACCGACCGAUACUGGGUCGACGGUUGCCGGAGAAGGACGCCGCGGACGCACGCGCGAAAGUGCGUCGCCCUGCGGACGGGGAGCGCAUCGACGUCGAGUGGAGCUUCCUGGAGCCAAGCGGAGUCGUCGGCGAUGAACACGAGCGCUCCGAGAUGGAUCUCGCGGCCCUCAACCAGUCCGCCGGCGGAAACCAUGAUGAUGAGAAUCGGAAAAAUCGCAACUCCAUCGAAAAGUCGCUAAGACACCUGCCCCAAGGUGGGCGCCAACUGUCGUGGAUCUAAGAAUGACAGUAGAAUGUGGGGUAGGUAUGAGGAGGCAAGAUCCUAGCUAUGGCAAAGUUGUACACACGAGUUUUACGAGUUCAGGCCCUUCGCGGAGGAAAUAACAGCCCCACGUCUCGGUGUCCGGAGGCGGUCGACUGGAUUAUGUAUGUGUGUGUUUACAGGGGGUGCGAACCCUUGUGCCAGUGAAGGGGGGUGGCUUAUAUAGAGUGCGCCAGGACCCCAGCCAACCCACGUUACAAGGGGUUUAAGGUACAUCAAGAGGGGGCCGUUACUGAUAACGUUAGCAAUUAAGUGAUAUAAAUGCCUAUUAAGUCUAUGGAGUAAACGUCCGACCGUUGUCGUGCAGAGUGACUUUAGGUCUUCUGUCUGUCGAGUGCUAAUUGUUGUGGUCGAGUGAUACUGAAUAUUCCGAAUGGAAUGCUUUGUAGUCGAGUGGAUGAUACUAUCCUUUAAUGCUUCUGGUUUUAAAAUGAUGUCCUAGAAGAGGGUGUCUAUGUCAGACCUAUGACCCUAUCUUAAAUACACAGCUUCAUCAGCAGGAGCGGCAGCCGACCGGCAGCGCGCCAAGGAUGUCGUCAUGAUUGUCGUCCUGUCGCGUUGAACCAUCACACGUGUCAGGCAACACAGAUAUCACGGCCACGAUGCAGACGGAAGUCGAAAACAAAUCAUGGUUACUCAGCAAUGAAAGACGAAACACCUAGAGUGUGUCGUAAUGUGCACGCCUGCUAUAAUGGCUAUCUCACAUUUGCUAAUGCGUCCCUGAGGAAGAGGUCGCUAGUUCGACUCGACGUAAGAAUAUGUAUACGUAGGGCCCGUGCGAGUUACUUUUACAAAUAUGACUAUCGUACCUUUACUAACGAAGAGGUAUUGAAUAAUUUGAACCGUUCAUGUGUUUAAGGAGGUCUACCGAAAUAGAAAUGUUUUUCACAAUAUCUGGCCCUUUGCGAGCCAUGCCAACCGGGCCUGUCGUCGUCGGUCGUCGUCGCUUCUGUCCGCCCCCGUGGAAAAUUUCAAGAACCCAACGACCAGGGCCGCGUGCUGACGAUCGGAUUAUGGAUCCAUGCAUGCAUGUUCGGGGCAAGAUCGUCCUCCGUCGCCGUUGUUGAACGGAUGGAUUGUUUUGCACUGUUUGCAUUUGCAAACUGACAAAAGAUAUUUUGAAAUAGUUUUGCCAACUGACUAUUGGAAAAUGCAGUCGGCCGGCCAGCUGCGGCGACGGGUUGUUUGAAACUCGUUAAACUAGCGACCCUCAUUAACAAGCGUUACCCUAUUUUGGUUCAGCUCCCAAGUGUUGCAUCAUGUGAGACGAGAGUAAGGGUAUCUUCAAGGUGGACUCUUAAAUUGUCCACGUACAUUCAACCAUGCAGUCUAAACAUGGUUUGUCAUCCAACGCGAGUCUGUAUCGGCCGCCGAACGGUCCAGACGUAUUUUUUGGCACGUUACCUCCAGCACCACCACCCCGGCCGCCACGCCACACCCUUGCCUUCACCGCCGCUCCACCACCCCGGCCGCCACGCCACACCCUUGCCGGAACUCUAUAUCUCCAUUACCUCCAGCGUUCUAGCUAGGCUCCACCCCGCUUCUCCUCCGCCGAUGUUCAACCCCUCUCUUCCGACCACCGCGCCAGGUACCAUUUGCUAGUGCUAUAAUCACCAUGCCCGGCAACUGUUUGAUGUAUUGCUGGAGCUGAAUUUUUUCCCUUCUUCUUUCUACCAAUGAAUUCCGAUUUGAAGUACAUAUACGAGCACUAUGUUGAGUUGUCUGAUGGCUCAUCUGGCGAGAAGGACUACACGGAUGAGACGACGAUGAUGCAGGCGGUCCUUGAAGACGCGGAGCGUGCGGAGAAAUGUAAAAUUUGCACUUUUUAAAAUUUGAACUAGUGAUGCAUGCGGCUAUUUGAACAUCCAAACUCUAUGUGUGCGGCUAUUUAAACGUGCGGACUAUAUAAAAAGAAGAAGGCCGGAUGUAUGCAGGAAGCGUUGGAUGAUGGCCUCCUGCACCCAUGUUUGCGGACUGGUCCCUUGUCCAUGAAGGAUGUGUGUCAGUUGCUACAUCCUAUGGGCUGAAUUUGGUCAAUUAAAUUGAAUGGAUGGGUUUAGCUAUAAUGAUAUACCAGCACUUACGAUAAAAAUCUUUGUUGCAUAGAAUAUUAACGAGCUUAACAAGUUACUCUUGAAACUUGUUAGCUCCGUUCGUUUAGGCCGUUAAGUUUAGUGAGCUGAAGGAAACUUUGUUCAUUAAUAAUCGAACUACGAGCUUAACCGGUCGAGCUACCGAGGGAUCAUUUUGAACUCACGAGCUAACAGUGUUUUGGUCCAGCCCUAAAUGCAGAGGCUGAUGUAAUUGAUAUUCUCUUGAUAUUUAUAUAUUUUCUAUUAAAAAAUGAAAAUUCAUCUCUACCGUGGAAUGGAUCAGUUAUAAACUUGUGAUCCCAAGUUUCUAGCAGUCAACAAAAGAUCGAAUGAUAUACACAGUCAACAAAAGUAGGAUGAACACAUGCACGAUACGUCCCUUUAGAUUAGUACCGAUAUACAGUAUAUUACUUUUGCCUCCACCUGCAUAUCUCGAUCACUCAAAUCGGUUCUUGACCCUUCUCGAAGAAAUCCGAACUCCCAGACAAAUAUUUCGCAUGGCUGUCUGGCUGGCAUGCCUGCUAACAACCACAUGUGUUGAGUGGAAGAACUGGAAUUUUCGUUCGCUUAUGAUUCAGGAUAUGUUCCAAGUCCAGGUCUCUUACUGCAGCUAAUUGGCCAUCCCUAAGUUACAAACAUCUUAAAUGCUGGGACUGUUCACUAACCCUCGUAUGAAUACCAUUAGCAGUUGGUAGUCGACGUGUGACAGCAACACUGCAUGCACACGGGACAAAAUUCAGGUUUGUUAUGUAGCAAAGUGUCUAGCUGUCUAAACGCAUCAGUAAUAUUCAAUUGUCUUCGUGCCGAUCGACUUGACCUAUUCAGACUAAAUUUUGGCGAGAUUGUUUUGUUGCCGAAGAUUAAAGAGACCGAACGGAUACAACAGUUUAGACCUACAUGCCUCCUUAAUGUCAGCUUCAAGAUUUUCAACAAAGUAGCUAUGAAUAGGCUAAACUUGAUAGCUGACCGUGUUGUCCGGCCAUCUCAAAGAGCCUUCAUGCAAGGAAGGAAUAUACUAGAUGGUGUAGUAAUCCUGCAUGAGGCCGUCCACGAGAUGCACCGUAAAAACAUGAGUGGAGUGGUAUUUAAAAUUGACUUUGAAAAAGCUUAUGACAAGGUCAAGUGGUCUUUCCUCCAACAUGCCUUAAGGAUGAAAGGUUUCUCCGACAAAUGGCGUCAGUGGAUCCAAAAUUUUGUCAUUGGAGGUAGUGUGGUCAUCAAAGUCAAUGAUAAUGUAGUCCAUUACUUUCAGACAAAAAAAUGACUACGACAGGGUGACUCCAUGUCCCCAAUGUUAUUUAACAUUGUUGCUGACAUGUUGGCUAUUCUGAUUAAGCGCGCUAAGCAGGACGGCCAGAUUGCAGGAGUAGUGCCUCACCUUGUGGAUGGUGGCCUCUUUAUUUUGCAAUAUGCCGAUAACACAAUUCUUUCUAUGGAACAUGACAUGGACAAGGCUCGAAAUCUGAAACUGUUGCUUUCAACGUUUGAGCAAAUGUCGGGUCUCAAAAUCAAUUUCCAUAAAGGCGAAUUGUUCUGCUUUGGAGAAGCCGUUGAGGUGGCGGCCGACUAUGCUGACCUAUUUGGUUGCGCACAUGGCCAAUUCCCAAUUAAAUAUCUGAGAAUACUGGUUCAUUAUCGACGGCUCACUAUUGCGGAGUGGAAGCAUGUGGAGGAGCGUCUAGAGAAACGGUUGAGCAGUUGGAAAGGAAAGCUGAUCUCAGUUGGAGGACAACUUGUUUUGAUUAACUACGUCCUCACUAAUAUGGUUCUCUAUAUGCUUUCUUGUUGGGGAACGUAGCAAAAAUUCAAAAUUUUCCUACGUGUCACCAAGAUCUAUCUAUGGAGAAACCAGCAACGAGGGGAAGGAGAGUGCAUCUACAUACCCUUGUAGAUCGUUAAGCGGAAGCGUUCAAGAGAACGGGGUUGAAGGAGUCGUACUCGUCAUGAUUCAAAUCACCGGAGAUCCUAGUGCCGAACGGACGGCACCUCCGCGUUCAACACACGUAUAGCCCGGUGACGUCUCCCACGCCUUGAUCCAGCAAGGAGAAAGGGAGAGGUUGAGGAAGACUCCAUCCAGCAGCAGCACAACGGAGUGGUGGUGGUGGAGGAGCGUGGCAAUCCAGCAGGGCUUCGCCAAGCACCACGGGAGAGGAGGAGGAGGAGAGGCAGGGCUGCACCAAGAGGGAGAAGUUCUCAUGUCUUUGGGCUGCUCCAAUGCCUCCAAUAUAUAUAGGGGAAGGGGGCGCUGCGCCCCCACCUAGGUUUCCACCCCUAGGGGGCGGCAGCCAGCCCUAGAUGGGACUUGGAGGGGCGGCCAAGAGGGGGGAGAGAGGGGGCGCGCCCUAGGGUGGGCCUAUAGGCCCAUCUGCGCCUAGGGUUUCCCCUCUCCCCUCCUAGUUGCGCCUUGGGCAAGGGUGGGAGGCGCACCAGCCCACUCUGGGGCUGGUCCCUUUCCACUCUAGGCCCAUGCAAGCCUCCGGGGUUGGUGGCCCCACUUGGUGGACCCCCGGAACCCUCCCGGUGGUCCCGGUACAAUACCGAUAUCGCCCGAAACUUUUCCGGUGACCAAAACAGGACUUCCCAUAUAUAAAUCUUUACCUCCGGACCAUUCUGGAACUCCUCGUGACGUCCGGGAUCUCAUCCGGGACUCCGAACAACAUUCGGUAACCACAUACAAACUUCCUUUAUAACCCUAGCGUCAUCGAACCUUAAGUGUGUAGACCCUACGGGUUCGGGAGACAUGUAGACAUGACCGAGACGUUCUCCAGUCAAUAACCAACAACGGGAUCUGGAUACCCAUGUUGGCUCCCACAUGUUCCACGAUGAUCUCAUCGGAUGAACCACGAUGUCAAGGACUCAAUUGAUCCCGUACACAAUUCCCUUUGUCUAGCGGUAUUAUACUUGCCCGAGAUUCGAUCGUCGGUAUGCCGAUACCUUGUUCAAUCUCGUUACCGGCAAGUCUCUUUACUCGUUUCGUAACACAUCAUCCCGUGAUCAACCCCUUGGUCACAUUGUGCACAUUCUGAUGAUGUCCUACCGAGUGGGCCCAGAGAUACCUCUCCGUUUACACGGAGUGACAAAUCCCAGUCUCGAUUCGUGCCAACCCAACAGACACUUUCGGAGAUACCUGUAAUGCACCUUUAUAGCCACCCAGUUACGUUGUGACGUUUGGUACACCCAAAGCAUUCCUACGGUAUCCGGGAGUUGCACAAUCUCAUGGUCUAAGGAAAAGAUACUUGACAUUAGAAAAGCUAUAGCAUACGAACUACACGAUCUGUGCUAGGCUUAGGAUUGGGUCUUGUCGAUCACAUCAUUCUCCUAAUGAUGUGAUCCCGUUAUCAAUGACAUCCAAUGUCCAUAGCCAGGAAACCAUGACUAUCUGUUGAUCACAACGAGCUAGUCAACUAGAGGCUCACUAGGGACAUGUUGUGGUCUAUGUAUUCACACGUGUAUUACGAUUUCCGGAUAAUACAGUUAUAGCAUGAAUAAAAGACUAUUAUCAUGAACAAAGAAAUAUAAUAAUAACACUUUUAUUAUUGCCUCUAGGGCAUAUUUCCAACAGUCUCCCACUUGCACUAGAGUCAAUAAUCUAGUUCACAUCGCCAUGUGAUUAACACUCACAGGUCACAUCGCCAUGUAACCAACAUCCAAAGAGUUUACUAGAGUCAAUAAUCUAGUUCACAUCACUAUGUGAUUAACACUCAAUGAGUUCUGGAUUUGAUCAUGUUGCUUGUGAGAGAGGUUUUAGUCAACGAGUCUGAACCUUUCAGAUCCGUGUGUGCUUUACAAAUCUUUAUGUCAUCUCCUAGAUGCAGCUACCACGCUCUAUUUGGAGCUAUUCCAAAUAACUGUUCUACUUGGAGCUAUUCUAAAUUGUUGCUCCAUUAUACGUAUCCGGUAUCUCUACUCAAAGCUAUCCGGAUAGGUGUUAAGCUUGCAUCGUCGUAACUCUUUACGUCGAACUCUUUAUCACCUCCAUAACCGAGAAAAUUCCUUAGUCCACUAGUUACUAAGGAUAACUUUGACCGCUGUACUGUGAUCCAUUCUUGGAUCACUCUUGUACCCCUUGACUGACUCAUGGCAAGGCACACUUCAGGUGCGGUACACAGCAUAUCAUACUGUAGAGCCUACGUCUAAAGCAUAGGGGACGACCUUCGUCCUUUCUCUCUUUUCUGCCGAGGUCGAGCUUUAAGUCUUAACUUCGUACCUUACAACUCAGGCAAGAACUUCUUCUUUAACGGAUCCAUCUUGAACACCUUCAAGAUCAUGUCAAGGUAUGUGCUCAUUUGAAAGUAUUAUUAAGCAUUUUGAUCUAUCCUUAUAGAUCUUGAUGCUCAAUGUUCAAGUAGCUUAAUCCAGGUUUUCUAUUGAAAAACACCUUUCAAAUAACCCUAUAUGCUUUCUAGAAAAUCAUUUCUGAUCAUCAACAUGUCAACAACAUAUACUCAUCAGAAAUUCUAUAGUGCUCCCACUCACUUCUUUGGAAAUACAAGUUUCUCAUAAACUUUGUAUACACCAAAAUCUUUGAUCAUCUCAUCAAAGCGCACAUUCCAACUCCGAGAUGCUUACUCCAGUCCUUAGAAGGAUUGCUGGAGCUAGCAUACCUUUUAGCAUCCUUAGGAUCGACAAAACCUUUCUAAUUGUAUCACAUACAACCUUUCCUUACGAAAGUUGGUAAGGAAACUCGUUUUGACAUCCAUCUGCCAGAUUUCAUAAAUGCAGCUUAUGCUAACAUGAUUCCGACGGACUUAAGCAUCGCUACGGAUGAGAAGAUCUCAUCGUAGUCAACUCCUUGAACUUGUGAAAAACUCUUCGCCACAAAGUCGAGCUUCAUAGAUGGUGACAUUACCAUCCACGUCCGUCUUCUUCUUAAAAGAUCCAUUUAUCUCAAUGGCUUGCCGAUCAUUGGGCAAGUCUGCCAAAGUCCAUGCUUUGUUCUGAUACAUGGAUCCUAUCUCGGAUUUCAUGGUUUCUUAACCAUUUGUCGGAAUUUGGGCCCACCAUCGCUUCCCCAUAGCUCGUAGGUUCAUUGUUGUCUAGCAACAUGACCUUCAAGACAGGAUUACUGUACCACUCUGAAGUAGUACGUAUCCUUGUCACCCUACGAGGUACGGCAGUGACUUGAUCCGAAACUUCAUGAUCACUAUCAUAAGCUUCUACUUCAAUUGGUGUAGGUGCCACAUGAACAACUUCCUGUGCCCUGAUACACACUGGUUGAAGUGAUGGUUCAAUAACCAUAUCAAGUCUCCACCAUCCUCCCACUCAACUCUUUCGAGAGAAACCUUUCCUCGAGAAAGGACCCGAUUCAAGAAACAAUCCAUAUUGCUUUCGGAUCUGAAUUAGGAGGUAUACCCAACUGUUUUGGGUGUUCUAUGAAGAUGCAUUUUAUCCGCUUUGGGUUCGAGCUUAUCAAUCCUGAAACUUUUUCACAUAAGCAUCGCAGCCCCAAACCUUUAAGAAACGACAACUUAGGUUUCUCUAAACCAUAAUUCAUACGGUGUCAUCUCAACGGAAUUACGUGGUGCCCUAUUUAAAGUGAAUGUGGUUGUCUCUAAUGCCUAACCCAUGAACAAUAGUGGUAAUUCGAUAAGAGACAUCAUGGUACGCACCAUAUCCAAUAGGGUGCAACUAUGAUGUUCGGACACACCAUCACACUAUGGUGUUCCAGGCGGUAUUAAUUGCGAAACAAUUUCCACAAUGUCUUAAUUGUGUGCCAAAACUCGUAACUCAGAUAUUCAUCUCUAUGAUCAUAUCCUAGACAUUUUAUCCUCUUGUCACAAUGAUCUUCUACUUCACUCUGAAAUUACUUGAACCAUUCAAUAAUUCAGACUUGUGUUUCAUCAAGUAAAUAUUCUCAACAUCUACUCGAAUCAUCUGUGAAGUAAGAACAUAACGAUAUUCACUGCAUGCCUCAGCACUCAUUGGACUGGACACAUCAAAAUGUGUUACUUCCAACAAGUUGCUUUCUAGUUCCAUUUUACUGAAACCGAGGCUUUCAGUCAUCUUGCCAAUGUGGUAUGAUUUGCAUGUCUCAAGUGAUUCAAAAUCAGGUGAGUCCAAAUGAUCCAUCUGCAUGGAGUUUCUUCAUGCGUAUAUACCAAUAGACAUGGUUCGCAUGUCUCAAACUUUUCAAAAACGAGUGAGUCCAAAGAUCCAUCAAUAUGGAGCUUCUUCAUGCGUUUUAUACCAUUAUGACUUACAUGGUAGUGCCACAAGUAAGUGGUACUAUCAUUACUAUCUUAUAUCUUUUGGCAUGAAAAUGUGUAUCACUACGAUCGAGAUUCAAUAAACCAUUCCUUUAGGUGCAAGACCAUUGAAGGUAUUAUUCAAAUAAAUAGAGUAACCAUUAUUCUCUUUAAAUGAAUAACCAUAUUGCGAUAGACAUAAUCCAAUUAUAUCUAUGCUCAACGCAAACACCAAUCUCGAUGGUAGAGGGAGCGUGCGAUGGUUGAUCAUAUUAACAUUAGAAACACUUCCAACACAUAUCGUCAGCUCACCUUUAGCUAGUCUCCGUUUAUUCCGUAGCUUUUAUUUCGAGUUACUAACACUUAGCAACCGAACCGGUAUCUAAUACCCUGGUGCUACUAGGAGUACUAGCAAAGUACACAUCAACACAAUGUAUAUCCAAUAUACUUCUAUCGACCUUGCCAGCCUUCUCAUCUACCAAGUAUCUAGGGUAAUUCCGCUCUAGUGACUGUUCCCCUUAUUACAGAAGCACUUAGUCUCGGGUUUGGGUUCAACCUUGGGUUUCUUCACUAGAGCAGCAACUGAUUUGCCGUUUCAUGAAGUAUCCCUUCUUGCCCUUGCCCUUCUUGAAACUAGUGGUUUCACCAACCAUCAGAAAUUGAUGCUCCUUCUUGAUUUCUACUUUCGCGGUGUCAAACAUCGCGAAUACCUCAAAGGAUCAUCAUAUCUAUCCCUGAUAUGUUAUAGUUCAUCACGAAGCUCUAGUAGCUUGGUGGCAAUGUCUUUGGAGAAACAUCACUAUCUCAUCUGGAAGAUCAACUCCCACUCGAUUCAAGUGAUUGUUGUACUCAGACAAUCUGAGCACAAGCUCAAUGAUUGAGCUUUUCUCCCUUAGUUUGUAGGCUAAGAAAAUCGUCGGAGGUCUUAUACCUCUUGAUGUGGGCACGAGCCUGAAAUCCUAAUUUCAGCCCUCGAAACAUCUCAUAUGUUCCGCGACGUUUCGAAAAACGUCUUUGGUGCCUCUACUUAAACCAUUUAACUGAACUAUCACGUAGUUAUCAAAACGUGUAUGUCCGAUGUUCGCAACAUCGACAAACGACGUUUGGGGUUCAGCACACUGAGCGGUGCAUUAAGAACAUAAGCUUUCUACUGUCCGCAUAAUUGCUACUAUCAACUUUCAACUAUAUUUUCUCUAGGAACAUAUCUAAAACAGUAGAACUAAAGUGUGAGCUACGACAUAAUUUGCAAAGAUCUUUUUGACUAUGUUCAGGAUAAUUAAGUUCAUCUUAUGAACUCCCACUCAGAUAGACAUCCCUCUGGUCAUCUAAGUGAUUACAUGAUCCGAGUCAACUAGGCCGUGUCCGAUCAUCACGUGAGACGGACUAGUCAUCAUCGGUGAACAUCUUCAUGUUGAUCGUAUCUACUAUACGACUCAUGCUCGACCUUUCGGUCUCCGUGUUCCGAGGCCAUGUCUGUACAUGCUAGGCUCGUCAAGUUAACACUAAGUGUUUUCGCGUGUGUAAAUCUGUCUUACACCCGUUGUAUGUGAACGUAAGAAUCCAUCACACCCGAUCAUCACGUGGUGCUUAGAAGCAACGAACUGUAGCAACGGUGCACAGUUAGGGGAGAACACUUCUUGAAAUUGUUGGAAGGGAUCAUCUUAUUUACUACCGUCGUUCUAAGCAAACAAGAUGCAUAAACAUAAUAAACAUCACUUGCAAUUAUAUAGUAGUGACAUGAUAUGGCCAAUAUCAUAUAGCUCCAUUGAUCUCCAUCUUUGGGGCUCCAUGAUCAUCAUCGUCACCGGCAUGACACCAUGAUCUCCAUCAUCAUGAUCUCCAUCAUCGUGUCUUCAUGAAGUUGUCACGCCAACAACUACUUCUACUUCUAUUAGUAACGUGUUUUGCAAUAAAGUAAAGUAGUUUACAUGGCGUUCUUCAAUGACACGCAGGUCAUACAAUAAAUAAAGACAACUCCUAUGGCUCCUGCCGGUUGUCAUACUCAUCGACAUGCAAGUCGUGAAUCCUAUUACAAGAACAUGAUCAAUCUCAUACAUCACAUAUAUUCAUUCAUCACAUCCUUUGGCCAUAUCACAUCACAUAGCAUACCCUGCAAAAACAAGUUAGACGUCCUCUAAUUGUUGUUGCAUGUUUUACGUGGCUGCUAUCGGUUUCUAGCAAGAACGUUUCUUACCUACGCAAAACCACAACGUGAUAUGCCAAUUGCUAUUUACCCUUCAUAAGGACCCUUUUCACCGAAUCCGUUCCGACUAAAGUGGGAGAGACUGGCACCCGCUAGCCACCUUAUGCACCAAGUGCAUGUCAGUCGGUGGAACCUGUCUCACGUAAGAGUACGUGUAAGGUCGGUCCGGGCCGCUUCAUCCCACAAUACCAUCGAAACAAGAUUGGACUAGUAACGGUAAGCAUAUUGAGCAACAUCAACGCCCACAACUACUUUGUGUUCCACUCGUGCAAAGAAUCUACGCAAUAGACCUAGCUCAUGAUGCCACUGUUGGGGAACGUAGCAGAAAUUCAAAAUUUUCCUACGUGUCACCAAGAUCUAUCUAUGGAGAAACCAGCAACGAGGGGAAGGAGAGUGCAUCUACAUACCCUUGUAGAUCGUUAAGCGGAAGCGUUCAAGAGAACGGGGUUGAAGGAGUCGUACUCGUCGUGAUUCAAAUCACCGGAGAUCCUAGUGCCGAACGGACGGCACCUCCGCGUUCAACACACGUACAGCCCGGUGACGUCUCCCACGCCUUGAUCCAGCAAGGAGAGAGGGAGAGGUUGAGGAAGACUCCAUCCAGCAGCAGCACAAUGGCGUGGUGGUGGUGGAGGAGCGUGGCAAUCCAGUAGGGCUUCGCCAAGCACCACGGGAGAGGAGGAGGAGGAGAGGCAGGGCUGCACCAAGAGGGAGAAGUUCUCAUGUCUUUGGGCUGCUCCAAUGCCUCCAAUAUAUAUAGGGGAAGGGGGGGCUGCGCCCCCACCUAGGUUUCCACCCCUAGGGGGCGGCGGCCAGCCCUAGAUGGGACUUGGAGGGGCGGCCAAGAGGGAGGAGAGAGGGGGCGCGCCCUAGGGUGGGCCUAUAGGCCCAUCUGCGCCUAGGGUUUCCCCUCUCCCCUCCUAGUUGCGCCUUGGGCAAGGGUGGGAGGCGCACCAGCCCACUCUGGGGCUGGUCCCUUUCCACUCUAGGCCCAUGCAAGCCUCCGGGGUUGGUGGCCCCACUUGGUGGACCCCCGGGACCCUCCCGGUGGUCCCGGUACAAUACCGAUAUCGCCCAAAACUUUUCGGUGACCAAAACAGGACUUCCCAUAUAUAAAUCUUUACCUCCGGACCAUUCCGGAACUCCUCGUGACGUCCGGGAUCUCAUCCGGGACUCCGAACAACAUUUGGUAACCACAUACAAACUUCAUUUAUAACCCUAGCGUCAUCGAACCUUAAGUGUGUAGACCCUACGGGUUCGGGAGACAUGUAGACAUGACCGAGACGUUCUCCAGUCAAUAACCAACAGCGGGAUCUGGAUACCCAUGUUGGCUCCCACAUGUUCCAUGAUGAUCUCAUCAGAUGAACCACGAUGUCAAGGACUCAAUCGAUCCCGUAUACAAUUCCCUUUGUCUAGCGGUAUUAUACUUGCCCGAGAUUCGAUCGUCGGUAUGCCGAUACCUUGUUCAAUCUCGUUACCGGCAAGUCUCUUUACUCGUUCCGUAACACAUCAUCCCGUGAUCAACCCCUUGGUCACAUUGUGCACAUUCUGAUGAUGUCCUACCGAGUGGGCCCAGAGAUACCUCUCUGUUUACACGGAGUGACAAAUCCCAGUCUCGAUUCGUGCCAACCCAACAGACACUUUCGGAGAUACCUGUAAUGCACCUUUAUAGCCACCCAGUUACGUUGUGACGUUUGGUACACCCAAAGCAUUCCUACGGUAUCCGGGAGUUGCACAAUCUCAUGGUCUAAGGAAAAGAUACUUGACAUUAGAAAAGCUAUAGCAUACGAACUACACGAUCUGUGCUAGGCUUAGGAUUGGGUCUUGUCCAUCACAUCAUUCUCCUAAUGAUGUGAUCCCGUUAUCAACGACAUCCAAUGUCCAUAGCCAGGAAACCAUGACUAUCUGUUGAUCACAAUGAGCUAGUCAACUAGAGGCUCACUAGGGACAUGUUGUGGUCUAUGUAUUCACACGUGUAUUACGAUUUCUGGAUAAUACAGUUAUAGCAUGAAUAAAAGACUAUUAUCAUGAACAAAGAAAUAUAAUAAUAACACUUUUAUUAUUGCCUCUAGGGCAUAUUUCCAACAUUUCUUUCUUCCAACUCCCAAAAGGGGUCUUGCAAAGACUGGACCAUUUUAGAUCCAGAUUUUUUGGCAAGGAGAUGGUGAAAAGAAAAAAUACAGGUUGACCAAAUGAAGCGUGGUUUUGUUGGGGAACAUAGUAAUUUAAAAAAAAUCCUACGCACACGCAAGAUCAUGGUGAUGCACAGCAACGAGAGAGGAGAGUAUCGUCUACGUACCCUUGUAGACCAUAAGCGAAAGCGUUAUGAGAACGCAGUUGAUGUAGUCGUACGUCUUCACAAGCCGACCGAUCCAAGUACCGAACGUACGGCACCUCCGAGUUCAGCACACGUUCAGCUCGAUGACGUCCCACGAACUCCGAUCCAACAGAGCUUCACGGGAGAGUUUCAUCAGCACGACAGCGUUAUGACGGUGAUGAUGUUGCUACCGACGCAGGGCUUCGCCUAAGCACCUCUACGAUAUGAUCGAGGUUGAUUAUGGUGGAGGGGGUACUGCACACGGCUUGAAACAAUCAACGUGUGUGUCCUAGGGUACCCCAUGCCCCCGUAUAUAAAGGAGCAAGGGGAGAGGCCAGCCGGCCCUUGCAGGGCACGCCAGGAGGAGGAGUCCUCCUCCUAGUUAGAGUAGGACUCCCCUUUCCUACUCCUACUAGGAGGGGGAAAGGAAGGAGGAGAGGGAGAAGGGAAGGAGAGGAAGGAAAGGAGGAAAAGGGGGGGCCUAGUCCAAUUCGGUUUGGGCUAGGGGGGGGCGCCCUGCCUUGUCCUGCCUCCUCUCUUCCACCACUUGGCCCAUGAGGGCCAAUACUUCUUCCCCCGUAUUCCUGUAACUCCCCGGUACUCCGAAAAAUACCUAAAUCACUCGGAACCUUUCCGAUGUCCGAAUAUAGUCGUCCAAUAUAUCGAUCUUUACGUCUCGACAAUUUUGAGACUCCUCGUCAUGUCCCCGAUAUCAUCCGGGACUCCGAGCUACCUUAGGUACAUCAAAACACAUAAACUCAUAAUACCGAUCGUCACUGAACGUUAAGCGUGCGGACCCUACGGGUUCGAGAACUAUGUAGACAUGAUCGAGACAUGUCUCCGGUCAAUAACCAAUAGCGGAACCUGGAUGCUCAUAUUGGCUCCUACAUAUUCUAUGAAGAUCUUUAUCGGUCACACCGCAUAACAACAUACGUUGUUCCCUUUGUCAUCGGUAUGUUACUUGCCCGAGAUUCAAUCGUCGGUAUCUCAGUACCUAGUUCAAUCUCGUUACCGACAAGUCUCUUUACUCGUUCCGUAAUGCAUCAUCCUCCAACUAACUCAUUAGUCACAUUGCUUGCAAGGCUUAUACUGAUGUGCAUUACCGAGAGGGCCCAGAGAUACCACUCCGACAACCGGAGUGACAAAUCCUAAUCUCGAACUAUGCCAACUCAACAAGUACCAUUGGAGACACCUGUUGAUCAUCUUUAUAAUCACCCAUUUACGUUGUGACGUUUGGUAGCACAAAAAGUGUUCCUCCGGUAUUCGGGAGUUGCAUAAUCUCAUAGUCAUAGGAACAUGUAUAAGUCAUGAAGAAAGCAAUAGCAAUAUACCAAACGAUUAAAUGCUAAGAUAACGGAAUGGGUCAAGUCAAUCACAUCAUUCUCUAAUGAUGUGAUCCCGUUAAUCAAAUGACAACUCAUGUCUAUGGCUAGGAAACUUAACCAUCUUUGAUUCAACGAGCUAGUCAAGUAGAGGCAUACUAGUGACACUCUGUUUGUCUAUGUAUUCACACAUGUACUAAGUUUCCUGUUAAUACAAUUCUAGCAUGAAUAAUAAAUAUUUAUCAUGAUAUAAGGAAAUAAAUAAUAACUUUAUUAUUGCCUCUAGGGCAUAUUUCCUUCUGUCUCCCACUUGCACUAGAGUCAAUAAUCUAGUUCACAUCUUUAUGUGAUUAGUUCACAUCUCCAUGUGACUAAUACCCAAAAGGUUUGCUAGAGUCAAUAAUCUAGUUCACAUCGCUAUGUGAUUCACACCCAAAGAGUGAUCAUGUUUUGCUUGUGAGAGAAGUUUAGUCUACGGGUCUGCAACAUUCAGAUCCGUAUGUAUUUUGCAAAUUUCUAUGUCUACAAUACUCUACACGGAGCUACUCUAGAUAAUUGCUCCCACUUUCAAUAUGUAUCUAGAUCGAGACUUAGAGUCAUCCAGAUCAGUGUCAAAGCUUGCAUCGACGUAACUGUUUACGACGAACUCUUUGUCACCUCCAUAACCGAGAAACAUUUCCUUAUUCCACUAAGGAUAUUUUUGAGCGUUGUCCAGUGAUCAACUCCUGGAUCACCAGUAUACCAUCUUGCCAAACUUAUGGUGACGCACAAUAGGUCUGGUACACAGCAUGACAUACUUUAUAGAACCUAUGACUGAGGCAUAGGGAAUGGCUUUUCAUUCUCUUUCUAUUUUCUAUCGUGGUCGGGUUUUGAGUCUUUACUCAACUUCACACCUUGCAACACAGGCAAGAACUCCUUCUUUGACUGUUCCAUUUUGAACUACUUAAAAAUCUUUUCAAGGUAUGUACUCAUUGAAAAUAUAUCAAGCAUCUUGAUCUAUCUCUAUAGAUCUUGAUGCUCAAUAUGUAAGCAGCUUCAUCGAGGUCUUUCUUUGAAAAACUCUUUUCAAACACUCCUUUAUGCUUUCCAGAAAAUUCUACAUUAUUUCCGAUCAACAAUAUGCCAUUCACAUAUACUUAUUAGAAACGUUGUAGUGCUCCCACUCACUUUCUUGUAAAUACAGGCUUCACCGCAAGUCUGUAUAAAACCAUAUGCUUUGAUCAACUCAUCAAAGCAUAUAUUCCAACUCUGAGAUGCUUGCACCAGUCCAUAGAUGGAUCGCUGGAGCUUGCACAUUUUGUUAGCACCUUUAGGAUCGACAAAACCUUCUGGUUGCAUCAUAUACAACUCUUCUUUAAGAAAUCCAUUAAGGAAUGUAGUUUUAACAUCCAUUUGCCAAAUUUCAUAAAAUGUGGCAAUUUGGUAACAUGAUUUGGACAGACUUAAGCAUCGCUACAAGUGAAAAAAUCUCAUCGUAGUCAACAUCUUGAACUUUGUCAAAAACCAUUUUCGACAAGUCUAGCUUUGUAGAUAGUAACAUUACUAUCAGCGUCCAUCUUCCUCUUGAAGAUCCAUUUAUUCUUGAUGACUCGCCGAUCAUCGGACAAGUCAAUCAAAGUCCAUACUUUGUUCUCAUACAUGGAUCCCAUAUCAGAUUUCAUGGCCUUAAGCCAUUCCGCGGAAUCUGGGCUCAUCAUCGCUUCCUCAUAGUUCGUAGGUUCGUCAUGGUCUAGUAACAUGACUUCCAGAAAAGAUUACUGUACCACUCUGGUGCGGACCAUACUCUGGUUGUCCUACGAAGUUCGGUAGUAACUUGAUCUGAAGUUUUAUGAUCAUCAUCAUUAGCUUCCUCACUAAUUGGUGUAUAGAUCAGUAGAACUGAUUUCAAGUUCUACAUUCCUCCCUACUCACUUCUUUCGAGAGAAACUUCUUCUCUAGAAAGGAUCCACUCUUAGCAACAAAGAUAUUGCCUUUCAGAUCUGUGAUAGAAGGUGUACCCAACUGUCUCCUUUGGGUAUCCUAUGAAGACACAUUUCUUCAAUUUGAGUUUGAGCUUAUUAGGAUGAAACUUUUCCACAUAAGCAUCGCAACCCCAAGCUUUAAGAAACGACAACUUUGGUUUCUUGCCAAACCACAGUUCAUAUGGCAUCGUCUCAAUGGAUUUAGAUGGUGCCCUAUUUAACGUGAAUGCAGCUGUCUCUAAUGCAUAACCCCAACACGAUAGUGGUAAAUCGGUAAGAGACAUCAUAGAUUGCACCGUAUCUAAUAAAGUACGGUUACGAUGUUCGGACACACCAUUAUGCUGUGCUGUUCCAGGUGGCGUGAGUUGUGAAACUAUUCCGCAUUGUUUCAAAUGAAGACCAAACUCGUAACUCAAAUAUUCUCCUCCACGAUCAGAUCGUAGAAACUUUAUUUCUUGUUACGAUGAUUUUCCACUUCACUUUGAAAUUAUUUGAACAUUUCAAAUGUUUCAGAUUUAUUUUCCAUCAAGAAGAUAUACCCAUAUCUUACUCAAAUCAUCUAUGAAGGUCAGAAAAUAACGAUACAUGUUGCGAGCCUCAACACUCAUCGGACUGCAUACAUCAGUAUGUAUUAUUUCCAACAAAUCUGUUGCUCACUCCAUUGUUCCUGAGAACAAAGUCUUAGUCAUCUUGCCAUGAGGCAUGGUUCGCAAGCAUCAACUGAUUCAUAAUCAAGUCAUUCAAAAAGCCCAUCAGCAUGGAUUUUCUUCGUGCGCUUUACACCAAUAUGACUUAAACGGAAGUGCCACAAAUAAGUUGCACUAUCAUUAUUAACUUUGCAUCUUUUGGCUUCAAUAUUAUGAAUAUGUGUAUCACUAUGAUCGAGAUUCAAUAAACCAUUCACCUUGGGUGUAUGACCAUUGAAGGUUUUAUUCAUGUAAAUAGAACAACAAUUACUCUCUGACUUUAAAUGAAUAAUCGUAUUGCAAUAAAUAUGAUCAAAUCAUAUUCAUGCUUAACGCAAACACCAAAUAACAUUUAUUUAGGUUCAACACUAAUCCUGAAAGUAUAGGGAGUGUGCGAUGAUGAUCAUAUCAAUCUUGGAACUACUUCCAACACACAUCAUCACUUCACCCUUAACUAGUCUCUAUUCAUUCUGCAACUCCUGUUUCGAGUUACUGAUCUCAGCAACUAAAUUAGUAUCAAAUACUGAGGGGUUGCUAUGAACGCUAGUAAAAUACACAUCAAUAACAUGUAUAUUAAAUAUAGAUUUGUUCACUUUGCCAUCCUUCUUAUCCGCCAAAUACUUAGGGCAGUUCUGCUUCCAGUGACUAGUCCCUUUACAAUAGAAGCACUUAGUCUCAGGUUUAAGUCUAGACUUGGGCUUCUUCACUUGAGUAGCAACUUGCUUGCCGUUCUUCUUGAAGUUCCCCUUCUUCCCUUUGCCCUUUUCUUGAAACUAGUGGUCUUGUCAACCAUCAACACUUGAUGCUUUUCUUGAUUUCUACCUUCGUCGAUUUCAGCAUCACGAAGAGCUUGGGAAUCGUUUCUGUUAUCCCUUGCAUAUUAUAGUUCAUCACGAAGUUCCAGUAACUUGGUGAUAGUGACUAGAGAACUUUGUCAAUCACUAUCUUAUCUGGAAGAUUAACUCUCACUUGAUUCAAGUGAUUUUAGUACUCAGACAUUCUGAGCACAUGCUCACUAGCUGAGCUAUUCUCCUACAUCUUGUAGGAAAAUUACUUGUCUAAGGUCUCAUACCUUUCGACAUGGGCAUGAGUCUGAAAUACUAAUUUCAACUCUUGGAACAUCUUAUAUGCUCCGCGGUGUUCAAAACAUUUUUGAAGUCCCGGUUCUAAGCCGUAAAGCAUGGUGCACUAAACUAUCAAGUAAUCAUCAUACAGAGCUUUGCCAAAUGUUCAUAACGUCUGCAUUUGCUCCUGCAAUCAGUCUGUCAUCUAGCGGUGCAUCGAGGACAUAAUUCUUUUGUGCAGCAAUGAGGAUAAUGCUCAGAUCACGGAUCCAAUUCGCUUCAUUGCUACUAACAUCUUUCAACUUAGUUUUCUCUAGGAACAUAUCAAAAAUAAACGAGGAGCAACAUCACGAGCUAUUGGUCUACAACAUAGUUAUGCAAAUACUAUCAGGACUAAGUUCAUGAUAAAUUAAAGUUCAAUUAAUCAUAUUUAAGAACUUCCACUUAGAUAGACAUCCCUCUAAUCAUCUAAGUGAUCACGUGAUACAAAUAAACUAAAUCAUGACCGAUCAUCACGUGAAAUGGAGUAGUUUUCAAUAGUGAACAUCACUAUGUUGAUCAUAUCUACUAUAUGAUUCACGCUCGACCUUUCGGUCUCAGUGUUCUGAGGCCAUAUCUGCAUAUGCUAGGCUCGUCAAGUUUAACUCGAGUAUUUCUGCGAGUGCAAAACUGGCUUGCACCCAUUGAAGGAAAUAUGCCCUAGAGGCAAUAAUAAAGUUAUUAUUUAUUUCCUUAUUUCAUGAUAAAUGUUUAUUAUUCAUGCUAGAAUUGUAUUAAGCGGAAACAUAAUACAUGUGUGAAUACAUAGACAAACAGUAUGUCACUAGUAUGCCUCUACUUGACUAGCUCGUUGAUCAAAGAUGGUUAAGUUUCCUAGCCAUUGACAUGGGUUGUCAUUUUAUUGAUGGGAUCACAUCAUUAGGAGAAUGAUGUGAUUGACUUGACCCAUUCCGUUAGCUUAGCAUCCGAUCGUUUAGUAUUUUGCUAUUGCUUUCUUCAUGACUUAUACAUGUUCCUAUGACUAUGAGAUUAUGCAACUCCCGUUUGCCGGAGGAACACUUUGUGUGCUACCAAAUGUCACAACGUAACUGGGUGAUUAUAAAGGUGCUCUACAGGUGUCUCCGAAGGUACUUGUAGGGUUGGCGUAUUUCGAGGUUAGGAUUUGUCACUCCGAUUGCCGGAGAGGUAUCUCUGGGCCCUCUUGGUAAUGCACAUCACUUAAGCCUUGCAAGCAUUGCAACUAAUGAGUUAGUUGCGGAAUGAUGUAUUACGGAACGAGUAAAGAGACUUGUCAGUAACGAGAUUAAACUAGGUAUUGAGAUACCGACGAUCGAAUCUCGGGUAAGUAACAUACCGAUGACAAAGGGAACAAUGUAUGUAGUUAUGCGGUCUGACCGAUAAAGAUCUUCGUAGAAUAUGUAGGAGCCAAUAUGAGCAUCCAGGUUACGCUAUUGGUUAUUGACCGGAGACGUGUCUCGGUCAUGUAUACAUAGUUCUCGAACCUGUAGGGUCCGCACGCUUAAAGUUUGAUGACUGUUAUAUUAUGAGUUUAUGUGUUCUGAUGUACCAAAGGUAGUUCGGAGUGCCGGAUGAGAUCGGGGACAUGAUGAGGAGUCUUGAAAUGGUCGAGAUGUAAAGAUCAAUAUAUUGGACGACUAUAUUCGACACCGGAAAGGUUCCGAGUGAUUCGGGUAUUUAUCGGAGUACCGGGGAGUUACGGGAAUUCGCCGAGGAGUGUAUGGGCCUUAUUGGGCUUUAGGGGAAAGAGAGAGAGGUAGGCCGCACCCCCCCCCCAAAGGCCUAGUCGGAAUUGGUCUAGGGGGAAGGGCUGCGCCCCCUCCUUCCUUCUCUUCUCUUUUCCCUUUCCUUCUCUCCUACUCCUACUACUUGGAAGGGCUCCUAGUUCUACUAGGAAAGGGCGAAUCCUACUCCCGAUGGGAGUAGGACUCCCCUAGGGCACGCCAUAGAGAGGGCCGGCCCCUCCCCUCCUCCACUCCUUUAUAUACGUGGCCAGGGGCACCCCAUAGACACAACAAUUGAUCUCUUGAUCUCUUAGCCGUGUGCGGUGCCCCCCUCCACCAUAAUCCACCUCGAUUAUAUCGUAGCGUUGCUUAGGCGAAGCCCUGCAUCGGUAGACCAUCAUCAUCGUCACCACGCCGUCGUGCUGACAAAACUCUCCCUCAACACUCGGCUGGAUCGAUGUUCGAGGGACGUCAUCGAGUUGAACGUGUGCAGAACUCGGAGGUGCCGUGCGUUCGGUACUUGAUCGGUCGGAUCGUGAAGACGUACGACUACAUCAACCGCGUUGUGCUAACGCUUCCGCUUUUGGUCAAUGAGGGUACGUGGACACACUCUCCCCCCUCGUUGCUAUGCAUCACCAUGAUCUUGCGUGUGCGUAGGAAAUUUUUGAAAUUACUACGUUCCCCAACACCCGUUGUAUGUGAACAUAGAGCUUAUCACACCCGAUCAUCACGUGGUGUCUCGGCACGACGAACUUUGGCAACAGUGCAUACUCAGGGAGAACACUUAUACCUUGAAAUUUAGUGAGAGAUCAUAUUAUAAUACUACCGUCAAUCAAGCAAAAUAAGAUGCAUAAAGGAUAAACAUCACAUGCAAUCAAUAUAAGUGAUAUGAUAUGGCCAUCAUCAUCUUGUGCCUUUGAUCUCCAUCUCCAAAGCACUGUCAUGAUCACCAUCGUCACCGGCGCGACACCUUGAUCUCCAUCGUAGAAUCGUUGUCACCUCGCCAAAUAUUGCUUCUACAACUAUCGCUACCGUAUAAUGAUAAAGUAAAGCAAUUACAAGGCGAUUGUAUUGCAUACAAUAAAGCGACAACCAUAUGGCUCCUGCCAGUUGCCGAUAACUCUGUUACAAAACAUGAUCAUCUCAUACAAUAAAAUUUCGCAUCAUGUCUUGACCAUAUCACAUCACAACAUGCCCUGCAAAACAAGUUAGACGUCCUCUACUUUGUUGUUGCAAGUUUUACGUGGCUGCUCCGGGCUGAGCAAGAACCGUUCUUACCUACACAUCAAAACCACAACGAUAUUUCGUCAAGUUAGUGAUGUUUUAACCUUCAACAAGGACCGGGCGUAGUCACACUCGGUUCAACUAAAGUUGGAGAAACUGACACCCGCCGGCCACCUAUGUGCAAAGCACGUAGGUAGAACCAGUCUCGCGUAAGCAUACGUGUAAUGUCGGUCCGGGCCGCUUCAUCCAAUAAUACCGCCGAACCAAAGUAUGACAUGCUGGUAAGCAGUAUGACUUGUAUCGCCCACAACUCACUUGUGUUCUACUCGUGCAUAUAACAUCUACGCAUAAACCUAGCUCGGAUGCCACUGUUGGAGAACGUAGUAAUUUCAAAAAAAAUACUACGGACACGCAAGAUCAUGGUGAUGCACAACAACGAGAGGGGAGAGUGUCGUCUACGUACCCUCGUACACCGUAAGCGGAAGCGUUAUGAGAACGCGAUUGAUGUAGUUGUACGUCUUCACAACCCGACCGAUCCAAGUACCGAACGUACGGCACCUCCGAGUUCAGCACACGUUCGGCUCGAUGACGUCCCACAAACUCCGAUCCAGCAGAGCUUCACAGGAGAGUUUCGUCAGCACGACGGCGUGAUGACGGUGAUGAUGUUUCUACUCACGCAGGGCUUCGUCUAAGCACCGCUAUGAUAUGAUCGAGGUGGAUUAUGGUGGAGGGGGGCACCGCACACGGUUUGGAACAAUCAACUUGUGUGUCCUAGGGUGCCCCCUGCCCCCGUAUAUAAAGGAGCAAGGGGGGAGGCCGGCCGGCCCUUACAGGGUGCGCCAGGAGGAGGAGUCCUCCUCCUAGUAGGAGUAGAACUCCCCUUUCCUACUCCUACUAGGAGGGGGAAAGGAAGGAGGAGAGGGAGAAGGAAGGAGAGGGAGGAAAGGAGGAAACAGGGUGGGCGGUCCCCUAGUCCAAUUCGGUUUGGGCUAGGGGGGCCGCGCGCCCUGCCUUGUCCUGCCUCCUCUCUUCCACCACUUGGCCCAUGAGGCCCAAUACUUCUUCCCCCGUAUUCCCGUAACUCCCCGGUACUCCGAAAAAUACCUGAAUCACUUAGAACCUUUCCGAUGUCUGAAUAUAGUCAUCCAAUAUAUCGAUCUUUAUGUCUCGACCAUUUCGAGACUCCUCGUCAUGUCCCCGAUCUCAUCCGGGACUCCGAACUACCUUUGGUACAUCAAAACACAUAAACUCGUAAUACCGAUCGUCACCGAACGUUAAGCGUGCGGACCCUACAGGUUCGAGAACUAUGUAGACAUGGCCGAUACAUGUCUCCGGUCAAUAACCAAUAGCGGAACCUGGAUGCUCAUAUUGGCUCCUAUAUAUUCUGCGAAGAUCUUUAUUGGUCAAACCGCAUAACAACAUACGUUGUUUCCUUUGUCAUUGGUAUGUUACUUGCCCGAGAUUUGAUCGUCGGUAUCUCAGUACCUAGUUCAAUCUCGUUAUCGGCAAGUCUCUUUACUCGUUCCGUAAUGCAUCAUCCUAUACCUAACUCAUUAGUCACAUUGCUUGCAAGGCUUAUACUGAUGUGCAUUACCGAGAGGGCCCAGAGCUACCACUCCGACAACCGGAGUGACAAAUCCUAAUCUCGAUCUAUCCCAACUCAACAAGUACCAUUGGAGACACCUGUUGAUCAUCUUUAUAAUCACCCAUUUACGUUGUGACGUUUGGUAGCACACAAAGUGUUCCUCCGGUAUUCAGGAGUUGCAUAAUCUCAUAGUCAUAGGAACAUGUAUAAGUCAUGAAGAAAGCAAUAGCAAUAUACCAAACGAUCAAAUGCUAAGCUAACUGAAUGGGUCAAGUCAAUCACAUCAUUCUCUAAUGAUGUGAUCCCGUUAAUUAAAUGACAACUCAUGUCUAUGGCUAGGAAACUUAACCAUCUUUGAUUCAACGAGCUAGUCAAGUAGAGGUAUACUAGUGACACUCUGUUUGUCUAUGUAUUCACACAUGCACUAAGUUUCUCGUUAAUACAAUUCUAGCAUGAAUAAUAAACACUUAUCAUGAUAUAAGGAAAUAAAUAAUAACUUUAUUAUUGCCUCUAGGGCAUAUUUCCUUCAGGUUUGUAGGCCGAAAGACCAAGGUGGCCUCGGAGUUCAUGGCCUGCAGGUCAAGAAUGAGGCCCUGCUCAGUAAAGGGUUGUUCAAACUUCUUACUGAGAAUGGUGUUUGGCAAACCAUGCUGCGCAAUAAGUAUCUAGGCCAAAAGGCGGUGUCUCAUUCAUAUUGGAAACCUGGUGACUCGCACUUUUGGGCUGGCCUAAUGGCGGCAAAGAAGCAUAUCUUUCUCUUUGGAUCUUUCGCGAUAAAGGACGGGUCGGAGAGUCGUUUCUGGAAAGAGAUCUGGCUAGGCAAUGCCAGUCUCAGAGAACAGUAUCCAACCUUAUAUAACAUUUCCCGCGAUAAGAAUAAUACUAUUGCGCACGUGCUCAGUUCAUCCCCGCCGAAUAUUUCGAUCUGGCGGGAUUUGAUUGGCCCUCAACUUGUGUCAUGGCAUAAUCUUUUAUUCCGGCUGGAUUUGAUUAACCUGACACAAGGGGGAUGAGUUUCGCUGGAACCUUAGUACAUCAGGGUCUUUCACAGUAGACUCUAUGUACCAUGAGUUCACGCAUUCUGAGGUACCAAUCAGUAAUAAUAAGAAAAUUUGGAAGUCCAAGAAUCCACUAAAAGUGAAAAUCUUCAUGUGGUAUCUUCGUAGGGGAGUUGUGUUAACCAAAGACAAUCUCGCACGACGCAACUGGCCAGGGAGUAAGGAGUGUUGUUUUGUAUUCAUAACGAGACAAUCAAACACCUUUUUUGCCAAUGCAAGUUUGCACAUUCUACGUGGUCAGUCAUCCAAGUAGCGUCAAAUUUGUACCCGCCCACAAUUGUUGCCAAUAUUUUUGGUCAUUGGUUAGACAGUAUUCCAAAUAAGUUCAAAACACUAAUAAGGGUGGGAGCGUAUGUCUUAAUUUGGUCGCUUUGGCUAUGUAGAAAUUAUUUGGUUUUUAAUGACAAAAAUGCUUCUCCGCAAUAAGUUAUCUUCUGGUGUACGCACUCGCUACGUAUGUGGUCUAUACUACAACGACCGGAGUACCAGCUAUUGUUCAAGAUGGUGUGUACGCGAUUGGAGCAGGUGGCUAUGGAGAUUUUUUCCCAACAUGGAUGGCAGCAUGACCUACGGAUUGAUCGACCAUCUCCUUCGAUAUAGGCAUAGUGUGUCGGUCUAUAGGACUCUACUAUUGUCGAUUAUCUAUUUUAUUUCAUGAUUUUUAUCAGACAUUUGAAUUUGGCUGUGUGCAUCCUAGUUAUGCAGAGACCGGAUGUUACUCAUAAUGUUCCGUAUCCUCUUGAUGCUACAUUUUAAGAUAAUAAAUUCGCCCUUAUCGGAAAAAAAUAGGUCUGAACUUAGUCUGUGUUUCAGGUGGUGCAUUAACAACCACCAUAAUUUUGCAUGGCUGGCUGGCAUCCUACCUGUUAACAACCACGUGUAUUGGGUGGAAGAACCUUGAACUUCUUUUGCUCCGACACAAUAAUGCUAGCUCAUGAUUAAGACAAAUGCUCGGAACAUCAGACGCAAAGUAUUUCAGCUCGAGCUCAAAUGCGUUUGGGUGAACAGUAAAAUCCAAAAAAUAAUUGAAAACAUGUUAGAAAAUUCUGAGAUAUUUUUGCGGAAAACAGUGACAAAAUGUUUUCAGUGCAUGCAAAAUUUCACCAUGGAGUAACAUUCGUGGUAGUUGUGGCAAAAAAACAAAAUUGAUGCUCCAAAAAAUCUAUUUUCGGAAGCAUUUUGGAUUGCUGGUUUUAUUUUAUUUUUUGCCACCAGUUCCACGAAAUACCAUUCCAGGAAGGAACUUUGCGAGCUCUGAAAAUAUUUGUCAAUGUUUGACAAAAAAAAUCAAAUUUUCCCGGAUUUUACUGUUCAUAACAAGCUCAUUUGAGCUUGCCACCAGGCACCAGAUAAGGACUUUCUCAAAUGCUGCCCAUUUCCCUACUAGUCAUACUUCGUAUUUUAAACAUGCAACAGAGGUGCAGAGUAUCCUGUGCGAUUGUGUUUGUGCAGAACAUGUAUUGGGUGGUGCAAUAUUGGUGCCUCUAACAGCUACUUGGCAGGUCUGCAAGAGGCAUAUGUAUUGAUGAACACUGCCAGGGCCAACCAACUAAUAUUCCGAACCAUUUGGUGAGCUACAAUAAUUGUGAGCUUGUGGUGCGGCUACCACAACCCUAGCCUGCUUGCUAGCCAAUAGAUUUCUCAUUGUUCAUUGUUGCGUUGCACCAGGAACACCAUACCAACCUUACUAGUAUAUCCAUCUCCAACCAAAAUAAACAGUACCGGUUGUCAUGUUCACCAAAUGGACUGUCACGAGCUGCACAAAAAGCUGCCCAGCUCGGCGCCAUGCUAAUUUUUUUUAGGUUGGGCUUGCUAAAACCUAUUGGACAAAUAUUGCAGUGCUUCGGGUCAGAGGAUCAAUAAUGCUAAAUCAUCUAUUUUCUUCAGUAAAGGGUGCCCUCAAGGGGUCAAAGAUAGCAUUAAUCAAUGCCUUAAUGUGCACAAUGAAUCUUUGAGGCUGGUCGUAAUGGGAGUAUCAUAGAUAGUAUCAUGCAUGCCAACUAAGUAAUUUUGAUGAGGUGGCAUAGAAUUAAAUGAAGAAAGAGAGGUUUGAGUAUCAUAUCAUGAUACGGUAUCAUAUUAAAUGAUGUGCUACUUUGUGUCAUGCAUGAAAAUAAAUGUAGUCCUAUAUGAUACCAACACAUGAAAUCAUGCAUUAGGGAUGUAGUAUUAUACAUUAGUAUCAUAUGCAUGAUACUAGUAUAUAAUAAUUUCCAUUACAACCAGCCUGAGUGAUAGAUAUUUGGGCAUACCCAUAGAUGUUGGACAGUCAAAGAUGGGUACUUUCAAGUACUUGAGUGAUAGGGUUUGGGAGAAAGUAAGAGGAUGGAUGGAGAAGCUCCUCUCAGCAGCAGGCAAAGAGGUUCUCAUCAAGUCAGUUGAAGGGACAUUUUGAAGCAAGGCAUUAUCGGGAGGAUUGGGAAUGGCCGCAACACUAAUAUCUGGGAGACCAACUGGCUUCCUAGAAUAGGCCCUUUGCGACCGAUCACUUCGCUAUCGGCAAAUCCACCAACGCUAGGAGCCGAACUAAUCGAUUACAUAUCAGCGUCUUGGCGAGAGGAGCUGAUUCGUGCUACGUUUUUACCCAUCGACGCGGAUGCUAUUAUGGCCCUCCCACUCUGUACGAGGUCGGUGGAGGACUUCUGGGCUUGGUCUGGCGAGCGGCAUGGUAUUUUCUCUGUCAGAUCUGCUUAUAGAAUGAUAUUGAACAAGAAGGAGCACCAAGAAAAUUGGCUAUAUGAGCAUGCAGGGGCGUCAGAUUUGAGGGUAAGCUCUAAUGCUUGGACAGCGUUGUGGCACACUAUAGGGUUCCAUCUAAUAUGAAAUUUUUUAUAUGGCGGCUAGCAAGACAUUCGAUGCCGACAGCGGAUCUUUUCCAACAUCGCAAUAUGUCCACAUCCCACUUAUGCGCCUUAUGUGGGUGUGAGGAUUCAUGGAGGCAUGCCCUGCUAGAUUGUACUAUGUCAAGAUGCAUAUCGUCCUUAGUUGAAAAUUCUCUGACGGAAGUCAUGAGCCAGAACAGGGAUCCUAAUGUGAAGAAGUGGCUUUUUUCAAUGAAUGAUGUACUAUCCCAGAAGGAUUGUGUUCCUCUGGUAGUAACAUUAUGGGCUGUUUGGAAAGCAAGACGGAAGGCCAUAUACGAAGGAGUUUUCCAGAGUCCACAAGGGACGUACCAGUUCAUCCAUUCUUACUUAUUAGUACACUUGCAAACUAUUGAGGAACCAGCAAUAGAUCGAGUAAGAUCUUCUUUGUCCCGUAGAGCUCAAUGGAUUCCUCCGCCUGAGACAUAUCAAAAAAUAAACGUUGGUGCUGCGGUUGCAACCAACCGGUGACGAGAAGUUGCAGCUGCUAUAUGCCGGGAUGACGAUGGUACGUUUCAGGGGGCAUCGGCUAUAGUUAUCAAGGGAAUAUGUGAUCCACAAACUUUACAAGCCCUAGCUGUGCGGGAGGCUCUAGCCCUUGCUGAUGUUCUCAAUCUUCCACGGAUACAUGUUGCUUCAGAUUGUAAGGUGGUUUUGGAUGAUCUCAAGCAGGGGAACAAGGCGAGAUAUGGAGCUGUUCUACAUGAAAUCAUGGAUCAUAACUUUUCUUUUACAGCUUGUAACUUUUGCCAUGAGUUUAGAAGCUCGAAUUUUGAGGCUCAUAAUCUAGUGAAGCAUGUCUUAAGGUUAGGGGUGGGUGGCCAUGUUUGGUUAGGGCACCCCGGUGAUCUUUCUUUUGUACCUAUAAACUUUGCGUCCGGUUAAAUAAGCUUCGGGAGAUUAUCUAAAGAAAAACCUACUUGCAUGAUUACCAAGGAGAACCCUUUCAUACAGGUACACAUUGGCAGAUUUCGACAAAGGUAUUACGGCAGUUGUCUUUUUGCUUGUCCCAAGCUCGAUAUGAUGGCAAGUUUAAUUUCUUGGACUACAUAGUAGUGUUCUCAAUGGCGCCAACUCUUGAUGGUCCUUAAGCUUUUGGUUUUGCAACUAAACCUAAUAUAAUAAAUAGAAAUGUGAGUAAUUUCAAUUUUCUUCGUUUCAGCUUUUACUCCAUUUAGGAAAGGUUUUCUACUACCUGCUCACUAAUAAUGAGCUAAAACGACUUACAAAAAUUUACAGAGGGAGUAGUUUUUACACCAUUUCGUGAUCUAUGAGGUGGGUCCUGAAACGUGGCGUGGUGUGAAAGACAAAUUGUAAUACUGUCUUUUUUCAAAUUUUUCUUAGUUGAGUCGAACAACUCAACUAAAAAAAUCUUCCUAGUUGCAUACAACUUUUUCACACGAUCGUCGGGUCUAUGUACGCACACCUUUGUUUUGACGAGUCCACUUUCUUCACAUCACGCAGCUACUUGUUCGUUUCUUUCACCUCAUUUUUCUUCACAAUAUUUGCUUUCGGUUGUCGCAUCAUAUUAGACAUAAUUCAUCGACGCUUUACCUGACAAAAGAACCACUCGAGGAGUUAUGGCCCCAUGACCCCCAAGUAUAGCUACGGAGGACAGAAGAGGCCUAUUGAUCAUAGGGUGGCUCAAACCUGCGAUUCUGUGUAGCGUAGCACCACUUUUGGGGGGCAAGAGGUAGACUCCUCUUCGUACUCCCUCGGGUUCUGUUUACCUUGUGUAUAACUUUUUCAGUUUUCCCGCAUAUUUCAAAAUCUAUUUUGGCCUUAGUUACCCUGCUCAACUUUCAUAAACGCCCAUGACCUCUCGUAGUGCUUCUCCAUGGGACAAGGAAGGGCUGCAAGUGGGAGGAGAGAGGGCAUUGAGGAGGGUGAGGAGACGUGAUGAUGUACACUACCAGAAUUAAUGUAGUUGCCGACGGCCACAUCUAUGCCGACGGCCCCCGUAGGCAUAGAUGGACAUAUCCCGACGGCCUAGGGCAGGCCGUAGGCAUAGAAAAGUCGUCGGCAUAUGUUGAUCUACGCCGACGGGGGCCGUCGGCAUACUACCGCCGUCGGGACCUCUGGCGGUACGCCUACGGGGGCCGUAGGCAUAGAUGAGGCCGUCGACUUAGAUGAGGCCCGCCUACCCGGUCAGCGGAGACCGUUUGACGGCGUACGAACUAUGCCGACGGGGCUAACGGCGGCGGUCGGCAUUGAAAUCAAACAGGAAAAAGGGGGGAUGAGACAAAAACUAUGCCUACGGCUUUGCCGUAGGCAUAGGGCUACCACGAGCUACCAGAGGGCGCCACGUGGAGCCUAUGCCUACAGCUAGGCCGUCGGCAUACAUCUGAAACUAUGCCUAUGACUAAGCCAUCGGCAUAGCUGGCAUAGAUAUAUUGACAUCCCCGAUCCUGGACGCCUCCACGUCAUCGAUCCGAGGGGCGGGGGUCUAUGGUGUGGCAAAGAUAUGCCGACAGCAUAGCCGUCGGCGUAGACCUGGCCCAUGCCCUCUGCCACGUCAUCAAUCCGCGUGCAUCGCCACGUCAUCGAUCCAUGGCCGUGUGCGCAGCUAUGCCUACGGCCUUACCGUAGGCAUACCUCAGAUCGGUGUGCGCAGCUAUGCCUACGGCCUUACCGUAGGCAUACCUCAGAUCGGUGUGCGCAGCUAUGCCUACGGCCUUACCGUAGGCAUACCUGUAUUUUUUUAGUAUUAUUUAUUAUUUUUCGUUUUUUUACAAUACAAAUGUGCCUUGUCUAAACAAAUAUCAUACCCCAAUGGUAUAUCGAUUGCCCCCCUCAUGAACGUCGCUGCCGCCGUGUCACGGAGGGGGGAACUGGUUGACAACGGAGGGAAUCUGGUUAGAGGGUGGCCUUCGGGGCAUAGCUAUGCCAGCGAAACAUCGCACGGCUCCUGAUGCAUGUGUGAAAGUGUUGUGGCAUGCGUAGACACCCGUCUUGGGGCUCUAUGCUAUGGCCCCCCUUCCACGGAUGGCAGUGCCGUCGUCACUUGGAGUGGGAAUCGUGCGGGUGCGGUAGAACCGGAGGGAAUCUAGUGGUGGGUUGUGUCCAGACCGUGUUCGGGGAUGUUGCUAUGGGCAUACCUGUCACAACAAGGUGGAAGAGACCACUGGUCAAAGCCCGUUCGGCAAAAGUCAAAGGGCCAGAUCUCCUGGUCAACUGGGAUUCGGGGUGGCCUUCGGGGCGUAGAUAUGCCAUCCAAACNNNNNNNNNNNNNNNNNNNNNNNNNNNNNNNNNNNNNNNNNNNNNNNNNNNNNNNNNNNNNNNNNNNNNNNNNNNNNNNNNNNNNNNNNNNNNNNNNNNNNNNNNNNNNNNNNNNNNNNNNNNNNNNNNNNNNNNNNNNNNNNNNNNNNNNNNNNNNNNNNNNNNNNNNNNNNNNNNNNNNNNNNNNNNNNNNNNNNNNNNNNNNNNNNNNNNNNNNNNNNNNNNNNNNNNNNNNNNNNNNNNNNNNNNNNNNNNNNNNNNNNNNNNNNNNNNNNNNNNNNNNNNNNNNNNNNNNNNNNNNNNNNNNNNNNNNNNNNNNNNNNNNNNNNNNNNNNNNNNNNNNNNNNNNNNNNNNNNNNNNNNNNNNNNNNNNNNNNNNNNNNNNNNNNNNNNNNNNNNNNNNNNNNNNNNNNNNNNNNNNNNNNNNNNNNNNNNNNNNNNNNNNNNNNNNNNNNNNNNNNNNNNNNNNNNNNNNNNNNNNNNNNNNNNNNNNNNNNNNNNNNNNNNNNNNNNNNNNNNNNNNNNNNNNNNNNNNNNNNNNNNNNNNNNNNNNNNNNNNNNNNNNNNNNNNNNNNNNNNNNNNNNNNNNNNNNNNNNNNNNNNNNNNNNNNNNNNNNNNNNNNNNNNNNNNNNNNNNNNNNNNNNNNNNNNNNNNNNNNNNNNNNNNNNNNNNNNNNNNNNNNNNNNNNNNNNNNNNNNNNNNNNNNNNNNNNNNNNNNNNNNNNNNNNNNNNNNNNNNNNNNNNNNNNNNNNNNNNNNNNNNNNNNNNNNNNNNNNNNNNNNNNNNNNNNNNNNNNNNNNNNNNNNNNNNNNNNNNNNNNNNNNNNNNNNNNNNNNNNNNNNNNNNNNNNNNNNNNNNNNNNNNNNNNNNNNNNNNNNNNNNNNNNNNNNNNNNNNNNNNNNNNNNNNNNNNNNNNNNNNNNNNNNNNNNNNNNNNNNNNNNNNNNNNNNNNNNNNNNNNNNNNNNNNNNNNNNNNNNNNNNNNNNNNNNNNNNNNNNNNNNNNNNNNNNNNNNNNNNNNNNNNNNNNNNNNNNNNNNNNNNNNNNNNNNNNNNNNNNNNNNNNNNNNNNNNNNNNNNNNNNNNNNNNNNNNNNNNNNNCGUUGCCGUGCCACCGAAACAUCGCACGGCUCCUGAUGCAUGUGUGAAAGUGUUGUGGCAUGCGUAGACGCCCGUCUUGGGGCUCCGUGGUGUGGCCCCCCUUCCACGGACGGCAGUGUCGUUGUCACUUGGAGGGGGAAUCAUGUGGGUGCGGUAGAACUGGAGGGAAUCUAGUGGUGGGUUGUGUCCAGACCGUGUUCGGAGAUGUUGCUAUGGGCAGACCUGUCGCAACCAGGUGGAAGAGACCACUGGUCAAAGCCCGUCCGGCAAAAGUCAAAGGGCUAGAUCUCCUGGUCAACUGGGAUUCGGGGUGGCCUUCGGGGCAUAGCUAUGCCACCGAAACAUUGCAUGGCUCCUGAUAUAUUCCUACUAUAUUAUGAGUUUGUCCCAAAUCAUCUGUCCAUUGUUUUAUGCCAUACUUUUGUAUAUACAUAGAUGAAUGAAUGUUUGUAUUAUGUAUGCACAAAAACAGAAUGUAUUAUUUUCCAUCCCAAUGAUGCAUGUUCAUUUGUUGUUCUUUUGGAUCGUUCCCAACUUGUGAUAUCUAAUUUUUUACAUCAAAAGAACUAAGCAUAGAUGGUUAUGGUACACAUUUAAAAAAAUUAAGAAAAUAACAUCAGAUUGUCAAACGAUUGUCGCAAAAAAAUUUAACUUUUCUUUUCUCCAGAUUUUCUCUUAUUUUAAUCCUUUCCGCACUCGCAGCUCUGUAUAAUUUUUCUACUUAUGAAAUUAAUGUAUAUUAUGUCCAUAGUUUACUGUUAUAUCUACAUUUUAUUUUUCAUGUGUUCCAAGACUUGGCUACAUGAAUUUGAGCAUUUGCGUACAGAUGAGCAAAGCCUCUUUUGAAGUUACUAUAAGUCAACCAUGUACACUAGAGUUAUUUCAGGACUCUUACAGGCCAACCUAACUACUGAGGAUUGGAAUGCAUGUUCAAAUAUACAAUAUUGUUUGAAAUUUCAUGCAAAGCUGGCAUUAUUACCACAAUUUUCACAAAAAAAAAGUCCUCGCAAAAAAGAAAAAGUCACUCACGUGUCUUAUCCACCUCGCCCCGAGCCCCCGACCACUCUGCCUCCACGCCGCUCGAUCCACCCCCGCCGCCGCCUUGAUCUUCGCCGGCGCCGCCCCCUUCUGCGCCGGCGCCGCCCUGGCCCGGGCCGCAUCACGGCGUCCCCGCCCUGGCCGCAUCGCGGUGCCCCCGUCCCCGCCCUUCACCGCGCACGUGCCCCCGUCCCCGCCCUGCGCGCCGUCGUCCGUCCCCGCCCCGCACCGCCNNNNNNNNNNNNNNNNNNNNNNNNNNNNNNNNNNNNNNNNNNNNNNNNNNNNNNNNNNNNNNNNNNNNNNNNNNNNNNNNNNNNNNNNNNNNNNNNNNNNNNNNNNNNNNNNNNNNNNNNNNNNNNNNNNNNNNNNNNNNNNNNNNNNNNNNNNNNNNNNNNNNNNNNNNNNNNNNNNNNNNNNNNNNNNNNNNNNNNNNNNNNNNNNNNNNNNNNNNNNNNNNNNNNNNNNNNNNNNNNNNNNNNNNNNNNNNNNNNNNNNNNNNNNNNNNNNNNNNNNNNNNNNNNNNNNNNNNNNNNNNNNNNNNNNNNNNNNNNNNNNNNNNNNNNNNNNNNNNNNNNNNNNNNNNNNNNNNNNNNNNNNNNNNNNNNNNNNNNNNNNNNNNNNNNNNNNNNNNNNNNNNNNNNNNNNNNNNNNNNNACCGCCGCCGGCCGUCCCCGCCCCGCCCUGCAUCGCCGCCGGCCGUCCCCGCCCGCCCCGCAUCGCCGCCAGCCGUCCCUGCCCCCUUCCCGGCCCCGUCGUCCCCACCCCCUUCCCGCCCCGCAGCUGCUGGUGAGGUGGCCGUGGCCGCGGCUCCGGCGGUCUGGCGCCCCCUUGCCGGCCCUCUGCUACUGGUGAGCACCGGCUCCGGCGGUCCGGCGUCCUCUGCGGCUGAUUUUUUCCUUUUUUUAGCUUUUUACCUACUGUUAGUGCUUGGAUAAUGACUCAAUUUGAUAUAUACCUACUUAUAGUGCUUGGAUAUGUACGUAUUGUUAGUUCUUUUUAGUUUUUUACCUACUGUUAGUGCUUGGAUAUAUAAAAAAGUCAAUUUGGUGCUUCGAUAUAUAUACUGUUAGUGCUUGGAUAUUUUACGUUGUUCUUCCUGAAUGUCGAAUGCAAGGAAUAGCACUACAGCAGCUUUAGUUUUUCAUCACGAAAAAGUAAUGAAAUAUGGUGUGGUGCGUGCACAGGAGAAGGGACUAGAGAGCAUUAGCAAGACCCAAAUUUUACAUCGAUUUGGACCUCCUAUUAGUCACAGUAGUUUACUUGCUUGGAGUUUUCAUUAUGGCUGUCUCCCAAUAUACAAAUGUACCGAGUUUGAUUACCAUGUUAAGAUUACUUAUAUAAUAUAUAAUGAUAUGUAUACUUCCACGGCGAUGAGAUGAUAUAUAUACUUUUGGCACGGUGGAUUAGCAUUUUUUGUUGUGUCACGUCUUCGUGAUGAGUGGUUUUUUGUUCAUGAUGAUCUUGCUACAAAAUAAUGAUGAAAUAUUUUUUGACACUUCAUGGUCUUGCUAAAAAAUCUAUGAAGGCAUCUAGUAAAUAAAUCUAUGAAGGCAUUGGUCCGUGAUCUAAGCUUUUGACACUUGAUGAUCUAAGUUUUUUUGUCGGUAAAAUUUACAGGCUUUCUGGUGUUGCAUAUCUUUGGAGUCAUCGUCGUCGAAGGCAUUGGUCUGUGAUUUCGUCGCUGUUUGACUACUUCGUCUACAGUCGAGGGUGAGCUACAAAUCCAUCUUAAUAAUCAUGUCACUAGAUUUUCUUUUCUCGUCAAGUCGCGUAACCUAGGCGUCUCUCGUCCGAAAUGGUUGCAUCGAUAAAUAUGCAUUCAAUUGCAUAUUUAUCACCGCAGCUCUUUCGGAUUGUCCAGCGUUUUCCACGGACAGCCCGAGGAUGUGUAGAUUGGGUACGUUGUCCAUGCUCUACCCUGUUCCGAGACAGGAUUUCGGCGGCGCCUCCCCGUUGUUCUCCGGAGCACAUCCUCUCGGCUAUUAGCCGCGACGUGUAUCUGGAGAACAGCGGGGAGGUGUUGCCGAAAUUUUGUCUUGGAACGGGGUAGAGCAUGGAGAACGUAUUCAAUCUACACAUCGUCGGGUGGGAUUAGGACCCAUCUUUUUAUUAAUGUGUUUAUUAUUCCUUAUUAUUAUGCCUUUCCUUCAUUUUUAAUGUACUAAUUGUUUAUUCUCUUUUCAAUGCAGGUUUGUGGAACAUGGGCGUGGGUUUCCUAUGCAAGGUCGUCAACAUGCCUAGUCGGAGUGGUCGAGCACGUAAUCCUCCCCCCCCCCCCGACUACUUGAUGAUGACUCCUCACAGGGAGGUCGAGGUGCCCCCAGAGGAGGAGGGAGCGGGGGGAGAGCCCCUAGAGGGCGAGGGGAUGGGGGGAGAGCCACUACAGGGGGUCGCGGCCAGAAACAGCGCGCCCUCACCGACUUAGGGGUGUUUCCUUCAAGUCACUCCUCUAGUGAGGUACCCUCUAACGAGGAGGAAGAGGACGAGGAGGUUCGGGAGGAGGAGGAGGAGGAGGAAGUUGGGGAGGGGGCACUAGUAGAAAACAGGGCUUUGGUCUAGGCCGGGUCAGCCCAUUAGUCCCAGUUCAGUCCAAAACCGGGACCAAUGUGGGCAUUGGUCCCGGUUCGUGAGCCCAGGGGCCGGCCGGGCCACGUGGGCCAUUGGUCCCGGUUCAUCUGGACCUUUUGGUCCCGGUUGGUGGGAUGAACCGGGACCAAUGGGCCUCGCUCCUGGCCCACCACCAUUGGUCCCGGUUGGUGGCUUGAACCGGGACCAAAGGCUCCUCUUUAGUCCCGGCUCAUGUCACCAACCAGGACCAAUGAGGUGCCUAUAUAUACCCCUCGCUCGCGAGCAGAGCACCCCAGUGCUCUGUUUUUCUCUGGCCGAGGGGGAGAGGGCUUGGUGGUGCUCUAGCUCACCUCCUAUGCACACAAGGUGUUCGAUGGAAUGCCCGAGCCACACUACUUAAGCUUUCUCCUCUCCAAGCUCGACAUCCAAGCUCCAUUUUCUAUAAUAUUUGUCUAGGUUUAGUGGUCCGUCACGCCCCGUCCCCGUCUUCACCGCCGUUGAUCACCCGCGCCGAGCUCAUCGCCGGCACCGUCGUGGUGAGCCUCUUGUUUUAUCUUUUUUCUGAAACGAAAAAUAUUCUUACUUGUAUGUUUACAUAGAUACUUGUAUUAUUUUCUUACUUUUAUUAUUGCAUCUUAUAUAGUGCGAUGGUUUUGGUGUCGGCCCUCGUCCUGUCUAUGAUUCGGAUGUGGUAUAUAUAUUAUCUUUAUAGCUAUUGGUUCAUUUAUUGUUUAUGAAAAUUAUGCCGACCAACGUGACAUAGAUUUUAUUUAUGUAGGAUGUAUGUGGAUCGGAAAUGCUAACCGACCCUAUUGUCGAGAGGUUAAAUUUAGUUGAAUAAGAAAACAAUUUGUUGAAAGAAAAAAUAAAAAAAUUGAGGAGGAGACGAUGAUAUUGGAGUUGCAUGUUGCGGAUGUCGUCGAUGAUCACAAGAUCAAGAUGGAUGCAAUGCGCUUGAAGAUUAGAAAGAUUAGAAAAUAUGCCAUUCAUACCGAGGCUUGGUAUCAUUAUGCCGUUGGAUCAAUUGUUACCUUGGUUGCGAUUAUGAUCGCAUUUGUUUUCGCAUUGAAAUGUUUUACAUAGUUUCAAUGUAUGGUUUAAUUAAUUAGAUGCUCUAGAGAGCUAUAUGUUGUUAGAUGAGAACUAUGUAUGCACUUUGGUUUUAAUGUGAUGAUGAACUUCUAUUAAUUUGGACACUUAAUUAUAUAUAAUGCACGCAGAUGAACCAGCAAUGGAUAUACGAUGACAGACACACCCGCGAGUACAUUAAGGGCGUGCAUGAGUUUCUCGAUGCGGCUGAGGCAAACAAGCAGAAUGGUUUUAUGUGUUGUCCAUGCACUGAAUGUGGGAAUACGAGGUCUUACUCUAACCGGAAAAUCCUUCACUCCCACCUGCUUUACAAGGGUUUCAUGCCACACUAUAAUGUUUGGACGAGGCACGGAGAAAUAGGGGUUAUGAUGGAAGACGGCGAAGAAGAAGAGUAUGAUGACAACUAUGUGCCCCCUGAAUACGGUGAUGCUGCAACGGGGGGAGCUAGUGAAGAUCAAGAGGAACCAGACGAUGUGCCCAAUGAUGUUGCAACGGGUGAAGCUGCUGAAGAUCAAGAGGAACCAGACGAUGUGCCCGAUGAUGAUGAUCUCCGCUGGGUCAUUGUCGAUGCAAGGACGCAAUGCAAAAGUCAAAAGGAGAAGCUGAAGUUCGAUCGCAUGUUAGAGGAUCACAAAAAAGGGUUAUACCCCAAUUGCGAAGAUGGCAACACAAAUCUCGGUACCGUACUGGAAUUGCUGCAGUGGAAGGCAGAGAAUGUUGUGGCUGACAAAGGAUUUGAGAAGCUACUGAAAAUAUUGAAGAAGAAGCUUCCAAAGGAUAACGAAUUGCCCGACAGUACAUACGCAACAAAGAAGGUCGUAUGCCCUCUAGGAUUGGAGGUGGAGAAGAUACAUGCAUGCCCUAAUGACUGCAUCCUCUACCGCGGUGCAUACAAGGAUCUGAACGCAUGCCCGGUAUGCGGUGCAUUGCGGUAUAAGAUCAGACGAGAUGACCCUGGUGAUGUUGACGGCGAGCCCCCCAGGAAGAGGGUUCCUGCGAAGGUGAUGUGGUAUGCUCCUAUAAUACCACGGUUGAAACGUCUGUUCAGAAACGAAGAGCAUGCCAAGUUGAUGCGAUGGCAUAGUGAGAACCGAAAGAAAGAUGGGAAGUUGAGAGCACCCGCUAACGGGUCGCAGUGGAGAAAAAUCGAGAGAAAGUACUGGGAUGAGUUUGCAAAGGACCCAAGGAAUGUAUGGUUUGCUUUAAGCGCGGAUGGCAUUAAUCCUUUCGGGGAGCAGAGCAAUCACAGCACCUGGCCCAUAACUCUAUGUAUGUAUAACCUUCCUCCUUGGAUGUGCAUGAAGCGGAAGUUCAUUAUGAUGCCAGUUCUCAUCCAAGGCCCUAAGCAACCCGGCAACGAAAUUGAUGUGUACCUAAGGCCAUUAGUUGAAGAACUUUUACAGCUGUGGAAUGGAAACGGUGUACGUACGUGGGAUAAGCACAGACAGGAGGAAUUUAACCUUAAGGCGUUGCUAUUCGUGACCAUCAACGAUUGGCCCGCUCUCAGUAACCUUUCAGGACAGACAAACAAAGGAUACCAUGCAUGCACGCACUGUUUAGAUGACACUGAAAGUAUAUACCUGGACAAAUGCAGGAAGAAUGUGUACCUGGGCCAUCGUUGAUUUCUUCCGACCAACCAUCAAUGUCGAAAGAAAGGCAAGCAUUUCAAAGGCGAGGCAGAUCACCGGAAGAAGCCCGCCAUGCGCACCGGUGAUCACGUGCUUGCUAUGGUCAAUGAUUUACACUACGUAAUCUUUGGAAAGGGUCCCGGUGGACUAGCUGUUCCGAAUGAUGCUGAGGGACACGCACCCAUGUGGAAGAAGAAAUCUAUAUUUUGGGACCUACCCUACUGGAAAGACCUAGAGGUCCGCUCCUCCAUCGACGUGAUGCACGUGACGAAGAACCUUUGCGUGAACCUGCUAGGCUUCUUGGGCGUAUAUGGGAAGACAAAAGAUACACCUGAGGCACGGGAGGACCUGCAAUGUUUGCACGAAAAAGACGGCAUGCCUCUGAAGCAGUAUAAAGGUCCUGCCAGCUACGCUCUUACGAAAGAAGAGAAAGAAAUCUUCUUUGAAUGCCUGCUCAGUAUGAAGGUCAUGACUGGCUUCUCGUCGAAUAUAAAGGGAAUAAUAAAUAUGCUAGAGAAAAAGUUUCAGAAUCUAAAGUCUCAUGACUGCCACAUGAUUAUGACGCAACUGCUUCCGGUUGCAUUGAGGGGCUUCUACCGGAAAACGUCCGAUUAGCCAUUGUGAAGCUAUGUGCAUUCCUCAAUGCAAUCUCUCAGAAGGUGAUCAAUCCAGAAAUCGUACCAAGGCUAAGGAGUGAUGUGGCGCAAUGUCUUGUCAGUUUCGAGCUGGUGUUCCCACCAUCCUUCUUCAAUAUCAUGACACACGUCCUAGUUCAUCUAGUCGACGAGAUUGUCAUCCUGGGGCCCGUAUUUCUACACAAUAUGUUCCCCUUUGAGAGGUUCAUGGGAGUCCUAAAGAAAUAUGUCCGUAACCACGCUAGGCCAGAAGGAAGCAUCUCCAUGGGCCAUCAAACAGAGGAUGUUAUCGGGUUUUAUGUUGACUUCAUUCCUGGCCUUAAGAAGAUAGGUCUCCCUAAAUCGCGGUAUGAGGGGAGACUGACUGGAAAAGGCACUCUUGGAAGAGACUCAAUAAUAUGCAGGGACGGAUAUUCUUGGUCUCAAGCAAACUACACAGUUCUACAGAACUCUACCUUGGUGACCCCGUAUGUCGAUGAACACAAGAACAGUCUGCGCUCCAAACACCCGGAGCAGUGCGACGACUGGAUUACAUGUGAACACAUCAGGACUUUCAGCAGUUGGUUGGAAACACGUCUCAGAGGUGACAACACUGUUUGUGAUGAGUUGUACUUGUUAUCCAGGGGACCAUCUUUGACUGUAUUGACUUACAAAGGAUACGAGAUAAAUGGGAAUACAUUUUACACGAUCGCCCAAGAUCAAAAGAGCACCAACCAAAACAGCAGUCUCCGCUUUGAUGCAGCAACCGAGAGCGGAAAGGACACAUAUUAUGGUUACAUAGUGGACAUAUGGGAACUUGACUACGGACCUGAUUUUAAGGUCCCUUUGUUUAAGUGCAAAUGGGUCAAUCUGUUAGGCGGCGGGGUACAGGUAGACCCAUGGUACAGAAUGACAACAGUGGAUCUGAAAAAUCUUGGGUACACUAACGAAUCGUUCGUCCUAGCCAAUGAUGUGGCACAGGUUAUCUAUGUGAAGGACAUGUCUACCAAACCGAGAAAAAGAAAAGAUAAGGAAGCGAAUACAUCAUACGAUGAGCGAAAGCGCCACAUAGUUCUUUCAGGAAAAAGGGACAUCCUGGGAGUGGACGGCAAGACACACAUGUCUGAAGAUUAUGAAAAGUUUCAUGAAAUUCCUCCCUUCAAUGUCAAGGUUGAUCCAAGCAUCCUGAUAAACAAUGAAGAUUAUCCAUGGUUACGGCGCAAUAAGCAAAUGACACAAGCGAAGAAAAAGUGAAGACUUUCUCCCGCAACUAUUAUGAUGAUACCAUGCCAACUUUGUAACACACGAACAUGCUACCAUUGUCCGUUUUGUACAUGCACAUGCUAUGUGGAUGAAAUUAUGAUACCAUGCCAACUUUCAACUUUUUUAGAGUUCAUUUAAAAUACUUUCAUGUCUUAUGGUUCAGCCCUCGUAAUACCAUGACCAUUAGUCCCUGGCCCAUGCCAACUUUCAACUUUCAACUUUCUAAAACUAAUGGCACUAACAGAAAGUUUAUAAUUUUGCUCCUCGCCCCUGGCCCAUGACCAUUAGUCCCGGUUUGUGCCACAAACCGGGACUAAAGGGUUGGUCCUCGUUGCGGGCAGAGUUUAGUCCCACCUCACCAACCGAAGGGGGCUCACACCGCUUUAUAAGCUCUUCCCUCUCUGCCUUGUUGAGCUCCUCUCAAAGUGAAAAUAGAAUGCCCUAGUAGAGAAAAGUUUAACCUAAAUUCAUAGUGAAUUUCUCUGAAAUUCAUAGAAAUUUACUAGGAAUUUAGGUUGAAUUUUCUCUAUAAGCGCAUCUAUUCUCAUUUUUUAGUAAGUUAAUCGCAAACUUGUGAUUCAAACAUUUUUCAAAGAAUUCAAAUUUUAACUAUUCAAAUUUGAAAACUAAUGGCACUAACAGAAAGUUUAUAAUUUUUCUAAAACUAAUGGCACUAACAGAAAGUUUAUAAUUUUGCUAACCUAAAAGCAAGCAGAAUUAANNNNNNNNNNNNNNNNNNNNNNNNNNNNNNNNNNNNNNNNNNNNNNNNNNNNNNNNNNNNNNNNNNNNNNNNNNNNNNNNNNNNNNNNNNNNNNNNNNNNNNNNNNNNNNNNNNNNNNNNNNNNNNNNNNNNNNNNNNNNNNNNNNNNNNNNNNNNNNNNNNNNNNNNNNNNNNNNNNNNNNNNNNNNNNNNNNNNNNNNNNNNNNNNNNNNNNNNNNNNNNNNNNNNNNNNNNNNNNNNNNNNNNNNNNNNNNNNNNNNNNNNNNNNNNNNNNNNNNNNNNNNNNNNNNNNNNNNNNNNNNNNNNNNNNNNNNNNNNNNNNNNNNNNNNNNNNNNNNNNNNNNNNNNNNNNNNNNNNNNNNNNNNNNNNNNNNNNNNNNNNNNNNNNNNNNNNNNNNNNNNNNNNNNNNGGAAAAAAUAGCAACAAUAAGUAUUUUGUUGUAAGUAGAAAUAAAAUAAAAUAAAUAAAGCAACAAAGAAAACAAAAAAACAAAAAAAAGUGUUUUCCUAUUUGAAAACUAAUGGCAUUAACAAAAAGUUUAUAAUUUUUCUAAAACUAAAAGUAUAAAGAAUUAAAAAAUAAAGCAAAAAACAAAAGAAAAUAAAUAAAGCAACAAAAAAACAAAAAAAUGCCACCUACUGGGCCCCCACGGCGUGAAUACGACUAGAAACCCAUCCAAGGGCCAGGAUUCAGGCCCGCAGGAGGCCGAGUAGGCCCACAGGCAUAUCAGUGACAAUUAGGCCUGUAAGCCUACAAUGGAGAGGAGCUCGAGAGGGGUGCGGCAGUGGGGGCUUAUAAACCACUGCGCACCCCUCUCAACUAGCGAGGUGGGACUAAACUUUUGAUGCAGCAACCGCACAAGGCCUUUGGUCCCGGUUGGUGGCACCAACCGAGACUAAAGGGGGGCAUUGGUCACGGUUCGUGGCACAAANNNNNNNNNNNNNNNNNNNNNNNNNNNNNNNNNNNNNNNNNNNNNNNNNNNNNNNNNNNNNNNNNNNNNNNNNNNNNNNNNNNNNNNNNNNNNNNNNNNNNNNNNNNNNNNNNNNNNNNNNNNNNNNNNNNNNNNNNNNNNNNNNNNNNNNNNNAGAGGCCUUUGGUCUCGGUUGGUGGCACCAACCGGGACUAAUGCCCACCUUUAGUCCCGGUUGCUGCCACGAACCGGGACUAAAGGCUCUGCUAUAUAAGUCCACACUUUGGAAAUUUUCGCCAACUGAUCCAUUCCCCAUCGCCGAUGCUGCCAGGCUGCUCGUCCUCCUCGUCACCGUCGCCGCGCCCUGCCCCAUCCCCGCGUGCUUGCCGUCGCUACGCCCUGCCCCAUCGCCGUCGCCGCGCCCUGUCGCUGUUGUCGUCGUCGCGCCCUCCUGCCCGUCUCCGGCCGCCCUGCCCCGAGCUCGCUGUCGUCCGCCCUGCCUUGAGCCCCACCUCCUCGCCCCCGUCGCUGUGUGCCGCCCCGAGCCCGCGGCCGUCCCCGUCGCCGUGUGCCACUCCGAGCCUGUCGUCCCCAUCACCGCGUGCCGCCCCGCGCACGCCGUCCCUGUCGUCGGCAUCCCCGAGCCCGUUGUCCUCCUUCCCGUCGAUGGCCUCCUCUCCCCGUCGCCGCCCGCCCCCAGUGAGCUCCCCCCCUUUCCCAUCCCCGUCGCCGACGACGCCACCCAUUGCCGCCGCUGCUCUCUGUUUAUAGAUAUGGCUAUAUAUGCAUGUAUUUUCUCUAUGUAUAUAUGUUCAUAUAUGCAAAAGUUACAUUUUUAGAAAAUCAUUUAUAUAUGUUCAGAAAAGUUCUAUAUAAAUGUGGCUAUAUGUAUGUUCAUGGAAAAUAAUUUUGCUCGAUGAUCUUUUUGUUCACGAUGUACAUAUAAUUUUUUUCAUGUAUGUAUAAAUGUCGAUAUGAAUUGUACCUAUGAUGUUUUUUUAUUCAUAGAUGAAUAUGUAUGUGGCUAUGUAUGUGUAUGUGGCUAUGUGAAUAUGCAAAGAAGAGGAGAUGAAGAAGAUGAUAUAUUUUCUUAUUCGUGGGUGUGUCGAGAGGGUNNNNNNNNNNGCCUAGGGGUCGAUGGUCGAGAGGGGGUCUAGGGUCGCCGAGAGGGGAGAGGAAGAAGAGGAGAAAUAAAUAAGAAGAAGAAAAAAGAAGGAAAAGAAGAGGAGAAGAAGAAAGGAAUAGUGGAGAAGAAGAGAAAACUCCACUAUUCCUUUCUUCUUCUCCUCUUUUUUUUCUUCUUUUUUUCUUCGAUCUUCUCCUCUAGCUAUUCCUUUCUUCGAGGGUUCUAUAGGGUCGAGGGGUCGAGGGUCGAGGGUUCCAGGGUUGUCUAGGGGUCGAUGGUUCCAGCGUCGUCGAGGGUUCGAGGAUCGCCGAGGGGUCGAGAGAUGUUUCAUAGUGUCAAAGUAUUGAAGAAAUCCAUGGCUUCAUCAUUAGCCGGAAGUAACCAGGGCAUGACGAAGUCCUCCAAAGUUAUUUUGGAAUGGUGUCCCGGAUAGGAUAAUUUGCCUUUUUGUAUGAAUUUCAGCAAAGGCCUUCCAAAUAACGAUAUUUGGAAGGUUCUUGCUGAACUUUGUACCAAAAAGCAAAUUAUCUUAUCUGGGACUCCGUUCCAAAAUAACUUUGGAGAGCUUCGUACCAUCAUGCACAUGGUACAUUCGCCUAAUGAUGAAGACAUGGUUUUGUUGAAUCCUUUGACACUAGGCAACCUCCCGACCCCUCGGCGAUCCUCUCGAACAUGAGAGGAAGAAGAGGAUAAAAAAAGAAGAGGAAGAAGAAAAAAAAAGAGGAGAAGAAAGAAUCGGCGAUCCUCCCGACCCCUUGGCGAUCCUCUUUUUUUUAUCGGGAACGAGGGUCGUCGAGGGUCGCUGAGCGGUAGAGGAGAAACCCUAAAUAGAAAGUAUCGUCGGUGUGAGAUACAUGUACCGUCGGUGUCGGACACUACAUCCACGUCCCACAAGUGGCGCGGGCUUCGACGCCCACNNNNNNNNNNNNNNNNNNNNNNNNNNNNNNNNNNNNNNNNNNNNNNNNNNNNNNNNNNNNNNNNNNNNNNNNNNNNNNNNNNNNNNNNNNNNNNNNNNNNNNNNNNNNNNNNNNNNNNNNNNNNNNNNNNNNNNNNNNNNNNNNNNNNNNNNNNNNNNNNNNNNNNNNNNNNNNNNNNNNNNNNNNNNNNNNNNNNNNNNNNNNNNNNNNNNNNNNNNNNNNNNNNNNNNNNNNNNNNNNNNNNNNNNNNNNNNNNNNNNNNNNNNNNNNNNNNNNNNNNNNNNNNNNNNNNNNNNNNNNNNNNNNNNNNNNNNNNNNNNNNNNNNNNNNNNNNNNNNNNNNNNNNNNNNNNNNNNNNNNNNNNNNNNNNNNNNNNNNNNNNNNNNNNNNNNNNNNNNNNNNNNNNNNNNNNNNNNNNNNNNNNNNNNNNNNNNNNNNNNNNNNNNNNNNNNNNNNNNNNNNNNNNNNNNNNNNNNNNNNNNNNNNNNNNNNNNNNNNNNNNNNNNNNNNNNNNNNNNNNNNNNNNNNNNNNNNNNNNNNNNNNNNNNNNNNNNNNNNNNNNNNNNNNNNNNNNNNNNNNNNNNNNNNNNNNNNNNNNNNNNNNNNNNACGAUACUUGCUAUUUAGGGUUUCCUCUAUCGCUCGGUGACCCUCGACGACCCUCGUUCCCGAUAAAAAAAAGAGGAAGAAGAAGGAAAAAAGAGGAGAAGAAAGAAUAGAGGAGUAAGAACUCCUCUAUUCUUUCUUCUCCUCUUUUUUCCUUCUUCUUCCUCUUCUUUUUUUAUCCUUGAAGCGUUGUCGAGGCCACCCCAAACCCUAGAGAAGCUGCAUCGAGGCCACCCCAAACCCUAGAGAAGUAGCGUCGAGGCCACUAAUUAAUAUUAGUUCUACGUUUUUGCCACUAAUAUAUCCAUCUGUCAUGUUUGAAUAAUAAUUGCCAUGUUGUCAAUAUUUGCAGAAACUAUGGACACCGCCUGAGACGAAGUACAAGAAGAGUUGUUGGGGGACAUAAUCGCACGAGGAAGUGAUGCCAUCUGCUCGUUGUUUCUCAACAAGAUCAAUGGUCUGGAAGCAGCUGAUUAUGAUGGCUCCGGUGACCUAAUGCCGGUGCAAGAAGGAGAUCGUGAGGACGGCUCCGGUGACCCAAUGCCGGUGCAAGAAGGAGACCGUGAUGACGUCUUCGGUGACCGAACCGAGUCCGGCCAGGUAUAUAUAUUAGUUAAGCUUCUGCUGACUAGCUAAUUGAUGCAUUCAUUGUUUUGGUAUGUACACAUAUUAAUUAAGUCUUUGUUCUUUUUUCUAGCCCUCCAGAUCAAGCACAACUUCGGUAAAGAGACGAGGCCUGAAGAAAAAGUUGAGCUCGGAUGAAAAGUUUGAGAUCAUAGCAAUCGCGCCCGGCGGCCAACCGAUUGAACCCCUCCGGACAAAGAGCGCAUUUGUUGCUCAGUGCGGGGGUUUGGUUAGGGACAAGAUCCCGAUCAGCAUCCAACAAUGGUUUAAGCCGGCUACAGAAGACCUUCAGGAGUCUUAUGUCAAUGAUAUGCAGAAAAAUGAUCUUUGGACCGAGCUGAAGUCAAAUUUCACCCUACCGCCAGAGGAUAAUCCAGAGAAGCCAGUUAAAGAGCAAUUAAUCAAGUCUUUUGCUCUUAAGAGGAUGGCAGAACUAUUUAGGAGGUGGAAGAAAGAGCUAAAUAAGUUUGUCGAAAAUAAUGAGACACCAGAAUUCAAGGGCGGAUAUGAGAAGAUCAGAGAUCACUGGCCCGCAUUUGUGGCCCACAGGACAUCGGAAAAGAGUAAGAAGAUGUCGUCGACAAACAAGCAAAAUGCUGCGAAGAAGAAGCAUCACCAUCGCACGGGGUCAGGUGGCUACCUCGUAGCCCGGCCUAAGUGGGCCAAGACUGAGAAUGAUCUGGUUGAUAAAGGGAUCGCACCAGAGACAAUUAACUGGCCAGACCAUUGCCGGACUUGGUUCUUCGGGGCUGGCGGAACCUUGGACCCUGUAAUAGGGAAGUGCAUUUGGACGAACGAUCAAAUGGACAUACCAGUCAGGAAGCUUCAGCACUAUAUCGAAGCAGCGCAGCAAGGGACGUUCUUUCCAGACAGAGAGAACGACGAGCUCACAAUGGCCCUCGGGAAUCCUGAGCACCCUGGACGGAUACGAGGCACGCCAGGCUCCAUUCCGUGGAAGGUUGGGUUUCCGGACGCAGGCGGUUACAAAUCCCAUGAGAGGAGGAAAAAGACCCAAAUGCAGGCGCUGCAAGCAAGGGUACAAGCGAUAGAGGAACGAGAAGCAAAUCGCAGCAAACGUACUGCCGAAGCUUCCCCCGAAGCUACCCCGCCAUCUCAGCGGAGAAGCAGCAUGGCUUCCACCGAGCUGCUUCAGCCGGAGCAUGCCUUGACGGCUCCUGCCAGCUAUCUCGUGGAUGCUAUCACGGAGUCUCAAAAUUGCCACCUUAUGAGGCAAUGGAUGAAUUUGAAGGUUAAGGCGGCUGUUGGCUCUAUUUAUCCUACUGAACCCGACGCAACUUUUCACUGCCGGCCGAUUCCAGAAGGAUAUGCUAGGGCGAUGGCGGAUGAAAUAACGGAGGGAUUUGAGGACCUCCAGCUUGACCACCCUACCGGUGAAGGGGAGACUAGGCUGGGGUCUGCUCUGAAGACUCCAUGCCUAUGGCGGAAGGAGCUCAUCAACCUUUCGAACUGGACGCCUCCGCCUCCUCCUCCUCCUCCGGCAAGUCAGGGCACUCCGCCUCCUCCACCGUCUCCUCCUCCGGCGAGUCAGGGCACUCCGCCUCCUCCACCGCCUCCUCCUCCGGCGAGUGACGAUCAGGGCACUCGACUGGCUCCUUCUCCAGUGCGUGCCGGCACUCCGCCUCCUUCUCCGCCUGCGCCGACGCGCCCGAGCAGCCAGCCUCCUCCUUCUCCGCCUCGUCAGCAAGGGCGGAAGAGACCUGCCGCCGCUCCGGCUACUCCGGCGCGUCGUAGUCCUUCUCCUCUGCCUCGUAAGCAAGUAAAGAAUACAACGGCUCCGUCUGCUCGGCCGGCGUCUAGCAGUACAGCCAGAGGUGGGAGGACAUACAGAUUCGGUCCUUCUCUGAAGACUCCAGAGAAGUUACCAUACGAGAGGACCCCAGAGGAGAACGCCAAGAUCGCACGAACCGAAGUGGAUGACUGGUUUCACUACAAGAAAUAUGUCAACUUGUGACCUUCUGUUAGUGACCCUGGAAGAAUUGGUCAUAGAUCUAUGACCAUUUCAGACCAAUUGGUCAAAAGUUAUUCGGGGGGCUCCAAAACCUAAACUAUAACGACCAUUUUGGUCAGAAAGGUCGUAAUUUCCUUACACGAAAUGGUCAUAAAGCAGAUAGCACUGGUUUGCUGCCUUAUUUCUAGUUGAUCAUGACCAAUAUAGAUGGUCAUAACCUUGUAAAUUGUGGUGGGUUGCUGUGACUAGGCGCCACCUCAUCAGUUUUGCCUAUGUGUCAUGUCCAUGUGGCAGUUUUUGCCCUAGGUUGUGAAGCAACCUAUAUUUUUGUCAUUCCCAAAAUUCCCAAAAAAAUCUCAUAAAUUUUUGGGUCAUAUAUUCAUCAAAUAUGUAAAAAUCCUUCCUUGCCUAGUUCAAAACUAAUUCAACAAUAUUUAUUUUCCUAUUCUGUUCACAACAGCACUUUAUGAAGGAAGUGCUAUUUAUAUAUUCUUGAUUGCCCUCAGAAUUGUUGGGCACUCUUUCCUAUCCAAAUCAUUACCGCAUGACAAAAUUCACCUCCAUUUGCCUAGCAAAUAUUCCUCGACAAAUUUCCAAAGUUUUUGUCCACAUAGAAGCAUUGUGAAGGAAGUACCUUUUUUAUAUAUCGAAAUGACAUGAAAUUUAUACAGUUCCUUCAUAUGCCCAAAUUAUCACCCUCCUCCAAAUCGCAGCUCAGUCAGAUCAUCUAUGUGAGCCCAGGUUCAAUUUAUAUUUUAUGGCCAAAUUGGCACGUUGCAAAGCAAGUGUUAUAUAGACCCCUCCUAUUACCCUCAAACUUUUCGGGCACUCUUCCAUACCCAAAUCAUUGCCACAUGAUAAUAUUCAGCUCAAUUUUCCUAGUAAAUCUUUCUCAAGAAAUUUCCAAAGUUUCUACCUCGAGAGAAGCUUUGUGAAGUAAGUACUAGCUAGGAUUACCCAAAUGAUCUGAAAAUUACCAGUGCAUGACCAUACCUAUGUAACUUACCUACACCAAUUUUUAGCUCAUUUAAUUCAUCCAAUCUCUCUCACUAGUUUUCCCAAGUUUUUGUCCAUAGAAGAGCAUUGUGAAGGAAGUACUACUUUGGCAUGUCCAAAUGGUAUCAAUUUUCUACAAUGCUUUCGUAUGCCCAAAUAACCAUCCUCCACCAAAUUUCAGCUCAAUCCAUUCAUUAUUUUGAGCCCAGCUUCAACAUUCAUAUUUUUGUCCAGCGUGGUACUUUGCAAAGCAAGUACCACCUAGGAUCCUCCUUUUGAGCUAAAAAUUUGUGAAGACAUUAUCCUUAGUAGAUGAUCAUCCUCAGCCAAAACUCACGCCCAUUGGCCAUGUGCAUUUCCCGUACCGCUAAUCAAACACUUGGCUGCUAAUUCAUCUUUGAGCAUAGGUCAGUCUCCUCGUGAGAUUCUUCUGUUGUAAUUUUCUUCCUAGCACCUACCUGGGGAGUGCCCAACCCACUAGACAUGCCUAGACCUCCCAGAAAGCAUGUCAAUGCCAAGGUCACGCGGUGACCACGCGGCGGGCAUGCGAGUUUACGCGCUUUGGAGUUGGGGCCCUGGGCCACAUCAAAACCUCGACGUAUCGCCACCAAACCAUGUAUUUAUGAUUAAAUAGAUACUUAUGUAACUAGAAAUGAUUUUUGGAAAAAAUAAAGAGCAAACAAUAACGUAGAUGCAGUUCAAAAUUGACCCACUUCCUACUGAAUCGGCAAAAAUUUGUCUUUUUCACAAGUGGUGGAUCAAAACUUUUGACACCAAACCAUUUUGUCAAUUAUGCAUUAAAUAUGGACUAAUAUUUUAUAAAAAUGAUUUGGUCCAAUUUUGCAACAAAUAUAUGGUAGCUCCUUCACAAAAAAAAAACUCAUUUUGGGCAUUCAAAAAAUGGAAAAUGAAUUUUUCGUGCAAAGAAAAUGAAAACUCCCUUAGGCAACAUUAUUUGGAAUUCCAAGAUGCACCCUUUUGCACAAUAUGAGAUCAUUUGAACAAACUAUGCCAUGAAUGUGGCCAUAAGAUUGAUCAUUUGGCUUGAAACCAUGAAUCUUCACGCAUGAUAGCUCAUUUCUGAGAACACUUUUUUAAAAUAAUUGUCGUAUUACAAGUUUGUUAUUUUCCCUGGAAACUUGGUCACAUAUAAUGACAGAAUGCGAAGGUUUCCCAAUUUUUUGAUUUUUUUUUUGAAUUUUUAUGCCCGUUUCGAAAUGCGAUGAAAAUGGCGGGUUUGACCGUUCCUAGCUAGUGGUUGAAUCUUGGAAAACUUUUGAUGUUUCUCUGAUUAAACAGAUACUUAUGUAUCUAGAAAUGAUUUUUUGAAAAAAUAAAGAGCAAACUAUGAGGCAGCUGCAGUUCAAAUUUGACCCGCUUCCUACUGAAUCGGCGGGAAUUUGUCUUUUUCACCAGAGGUGGAUAAAGGCUUUUGACACCCAACCAUUUGGUUAAUUGUGAAUCAAAUAUGGCCUGGUAUUUUAGAAAAAUGAUUUGGUCCAAUUUUGCAACAAAUAUAUGGUAGGUCCUUCACAAAAAGAACUCAAUUCGGGCACUCGGAAAAUGGAAAAUAGAUUUUCCGUGCAAAGAAAAUAAAAAGUUCCUGAGGAAACAUUGUUUGGAAUUCCAAUAUGCACCCUUGUGCACAAUAUGAGAUCAUUUGAACAAACUAUGCCAUGAAUGUGGCCAUAAGAUUGAUCAUUUGGCUUGAAAGUCAUGAAUCUUCACGUGUGAUAGCUCGUUUCUGAGAACACUUUUUUAAAAUAAUUGUCGUAUUACAAGUUUAUUAUUUUUCCUGGAAACUUGGUCACAUAUAAUGACAGAAUACGAAGGUUUCCCAAUUUUUUUUUGAUUUUUUUGAAUUUUUUAUGCCCGUUUCAAAAUGCGAUGAAAACGGCGGGUUUGACCGUUCAUAGCUAGUGGUUGAAUCUUGGAAAACUUUUGAUGUUUCUCUGAUUAAAUAGAUACUUAUGUAUCUAGAAAUGAUUUUCUGAAAAAAUAAAGAGCAAACUAUGAGGCAGCUGCAGUUUAAAUUUGACCCGCUUCCUACUGAAUCGGCGGGCAUUUGUCUUUUUCACCAGAGGUGGAUCAACGCUUUUGACACCCAACCAUUUGGUCAAUUGUGAAUCAAAUAUGUCCUAGUAUUUUAUAAAAAUGAUUUGGUGCAAUUUUGCAACAAAUAUAUGGUAGGCCUUCACAAAAAGAACUCAAUUCGGGUACUCGAAAAAUGGAAAAUGAAUUUUUCGUGCAAAGGAAAUAAAAAGUCCCUUAGCCAACAUUGUUUGGAAUUCCAAUAUGCACCCUUGUGCACAAUAUGAGAUCAUUUGAACAAACUAUGCCAUGAAUGUGGCCAUAAGAUUGAUCAUUUUGCUUGAAAGCCAUGAAUCUUCACGCGUGAUAGCUCGUUUCUGAGAACACUUUUUAAAAAUAAUUGACGUAUUACAAGUUUAUUAUUUUUCCUGUGAACUUGGCCACAUAUAAUGACACAAUGCGAAGGGUUCCCAAUUUUUUGAUUUUUUUUUGAAUUUUUUAUACCCGUUUCAAAAUGCGGUCAAAACGGCAGGAAUGACCGUUCCUACCUAGUGGUUGAAUCUUGGAAUUUUUUUGGUGUUUCUCUGAUUAAAUAGAUACUUAUGUACCUAGAAAUGAUUUUUGGAAAAAAUAAAGAGCAAACUACAAGGCAGCUACAAUUCAAAUUUGACCCGCUUCCUGCUGAAUCGGCGGAAAUUUGUAUUUUUCACAAGAGGUGGAUCAAAACUUUUUACACCCAACCAUUUGGUCAAUUGUGCAUUAAAUAUGGCCUAGUAUUUUAGAAAAUUGAUUUGGUACAAUUUUGCAAUAAAUAAAUGGUAGGUCCUUCACAAAAAACCCUCUUUUGGGGCACUCGAAAAAUGGAAAAUAAAUUUUUUGUGCAAAGAAAAUGAAAAUUCCCUUUAGCAACAUUGUUUGUCAUUCCAAUAUGCACACUUAUGCAAAAUAUGAGAUCAUUUGGACAAACUUUGCCAUGAAUUUUGACAUAACAUUAGACAUUUGCCCUAUAAGAGAAAAAAAGGAAAAAAAACCCCUACAAAAACUUAAUUCUGAUUGGUGGAAUUACUUGUGGCUUGGAUCGGUGACAUGGCAUCCAUCUGACCGUCCAUCCGUCCAUCCAUCCAACCCACGGCAGCAAACCCCCCCCCUCUCUCGAACCCCACCCAACCCCACCCCUCGUGACCUCCUCUCUCUCGCGCGAACCCUAGCGCUGCAUUCCUCCCUUGCCGCCGCCACCUCAAGCGGGAAUCCUGCCGUCCUCCUCUCACCCCCACCGCCGUUGAUCCUUCCCCGGCCAGCACUCUGUACCGCACCUCUCCCUCUCUCCCAUGGCACUAGAUCGAGCCGACGAGGCCAGUCCACGGCCAGAUCCGCCACCGCCACAGCAACCUCUCUCUCUUCCUCUCCCCGAUCCAGAUCGAAGAUGGCAGCUCCCACCGCAUCGCUCUCCCAUCGUCUCCCACCGUCCUUCCACACCGGCCGUUUCACUCUCUCUCGCACCCAAUCCAGAUCCCAACCUCCGGCUCUCCGUCCUACAUCCAGAUCCCGAUCCGUGGUGGCGCCCUCCGAUCCAACCCCUCCCUUCUUCUUCAACCGCAUGCGCCCGCGUCCAGCACCCGGAGUCCCAAGCCUCGACCUCCUCCUCACGACCAGCUCCGUUCCCGAGCGCCUUAGCCUCCCUGUCCCGCUGGAGGACAGCGACGACAUCUCCUCGGUCUCCUCUGUCUCAUCCACCACCACCACGCGUCCGCGGCCGCCACCGCCGCUGCGGGGGGCAAGACGGAGAGGCCGUUCCUGUCUCCAGGAGAAGAAGGGCGGAGCGCCGAGGAAGGAGGAGGUUGUCACGAGGGAGUACAUCGUCAACCUCCACAAGCGCCUCCAUGGCUGGUAUGCGUCCUCCCAACCCUGCUACUUCUGCUCACCGCUCUGGUCCCGCUACAAGAUCUGACUCGAUUGUUCACGCCGUCCUGCUGUAUUUGAUUUGCGGUGCCAAGAUCGUGCUCGAUGUUCUCGCUCGUCUUGGUUCGAAUAGAAUGUGCCCUUUCAUACUGUUCUGGCUGAACAAUUUCCUGAUGCUGCUGUGACUGUUAUCAACUUAUUAUAGAAUGUGCCCUUUCAUACUUCUCUAGUCUCAUUUAGACAUGAGCUGAGAGGUAUAUACUUCUCUAAUCUUGUUCAGACGCACUGGAAGCGGGUCAAUCACGCUCCAAGACGAGUACAGCUCUAUCACGCUCCAACUUGACCCAAUUCUCAUGCAGUCCUUCAGGUUCAGACACACUGGUUUCGGUAGUUAGUGACUGGAUGUUAACUAGCCGGGUUCUUGCACGGGCACGAAAGUUGGUGGUAAUAUACAGUAGUGGCGUGAGUGGUACUACUACUGCCCAUAUCAUAGUUCUCGAUUCAUGAGAUAUAUGAACUAGCCCGGUUCUUGACUUGCAUGAGAAUUGGUGUUAUAAUUACCGUACUAUAUGCAGAGUGAUGUGAGUGGGACUACUCCUGCUCGUGUCAUAGUUUUCAGUUCCAAGUAAAGUAAAGGGGUGAUUUUAUCCUUGUUCCAAAAAAUGUCAAUUGCUAAACUGAUAGAUCCGUAGUGAUGUGGUGUGAAUGUCAAAUUGUGAGCCUGUGUAUUGGAGCCUAAUAACUUAUGUUACGCUGACGGCUUUGAUUCGCCGAUUGCCGUGUAGGAGGGGCUGGUUCUGCUGCUGGAUGUCGGCCUGUCGAUGCACCGGGCGCUGCAGGAGGUUGAGAAUGUCUGCACCACCCUCGUGCGCAAGAAGGCAAGCAACACGCUCUUUCCAUCCGAAAAUCUGUGAUUGACCUAACCCAAUACAAAUGCAAGCGUCUGUUAAUCUGCCUUUGCAUUUUUUGUACUCUACAGCUUGAGUCCUGAUAACAUCCAAGAACAGUAUCUAGGACUGGCUUGCAUUUAUGCUUCUUAAAAUUGAAAACUGUGCUACUUAACUUUUUACCUGAUGUGACUAGCUUCCUACUUAUCAGUUUUUGCCCUGUUAAUAACUAGAAAACCUUUUCUUGUUAUUUUUCACUACAUCAUGUAGGUUUUAAUGCAACGGUGAACUGAAUGUAACUUCUAUUUCCAAGGGCCUGUAUAUGUUUGGUCCUCAUUAAUGUCACUUCAGGGAAGCCUUACAGUACAUAUAUAUGCACUGAACAAGUGUACAUAUAUAAUUUCCUAGUAUAUGUGAACUACACGUCAGCUUACAUGCUUGUGUUUUCAGUUAUACAUGAUUAAGUAGACCAGCUUGACACAAGUACUACUUUAUUGUCUGUAUUGUGUUGAGGCAUGUUGCAUAGUAGGUUUCUCGUGUCGAUUUAUUCAUGUCUGUGUUUAAGAGCUGAAUUUAGAUGUUGGGUUUGGCAGGAGAGCGAGGGGGUGGUCAUCAAGAAGGAAGGCAUUGACUUUAUGUCUAUCUGGAAUGCAUCAUGAAGACCAAAGUGAAUGUGGAGUAGUGCUUUGAGGAGGUUGUACUGAAGGUAUAUGUAUAUGUUACCACUUUCAGCUCCGUAUUUAUAUAUUUGGCUUCUUAGCAACAUCAAUAUUGGGCUGUGAAACUGUCCCUGCUUAAACAGUUACUUGUCCACACUUGAUUGAAGUGGAAGUACUUGUUCGGUUUUUAUGCUAGUAUAUAGUAGGAUUAUUAAUUAGCUCUUAUUAGUUGGUAUUGUUGUUGUACAAGCGGGGCCCUCUCUCCUAGAGAUAUAAUUCUGGGUGCAGGUUCAUCAUAGUUUUAGUGCAAAUAUUUGCAUCAGAUGGAUGGAUGGAGUGUUCCUUUCUUCCUUAUAAAGCUAGCCUACUAUGUUCAAACUGACACACUUGUGCAUGCAUGAUGAUGCAGAUUGUAGGCACGCUAAGCCUGCCGGCGGAUGCUUCUUCAGGGGCAAAGAAGAAAUCUUCAAGAAGAAGGUGCCUGAAGCUGAUGCCGCGUCGAGUGACUGAUCUUCCCUCGGGGUCGCCUGCUGUAGUCAUAUUGUCGCUGGAUCUCCCCCCUUCUCUCUCUGUGUGUUUUUCUGUCAAUAGCUAGUAGCAUAAGUUGGAGUUGGCUGUACCAGGAACUUAAUCUGCAUUUAUUCAACUAGAUCAAGUACAAGUACAUUAGUUCGUAAUCUUCUAUUAAUACAUCUCCUAGUCAUAAAUUUCCUGAAGUAGUGCAUGUAUAUAUUUAGGUGUUGUUUAAUUACAAAAUGGAUGUGAUUUCUAACUUGAUUGUUGUAGGCUACAAGAUAUAUCUUUGUUGGUUCAUCUUGCUGUAGAAUAUGCCCCUGUUCAUUCAUUUAUGUGUAUUGCUAUUUACCUCUGGUUACAUGUGAGAAGCACUCAUCUAUAUGUUUAUAUUUUGAGCAGCUGGGUACAACUACAGUUGCAGAAUCAUCUAGCCAAAUUUUGGGAGGAUGGCAUAAAAGAUUAGAUAACCCCUGCUUUUGAAAUCAUGGUAAGCUUCACAAGCUUGUAAGGUGUUUUCUGUUUUCAAGCGACUUUACAUCAAGUUACUGUUUCUAAACCGAAAUUCUAGACUAUAUAGCUCUUUAUUGUUCUCUCCACUUAUUUGUACAGCCAAGGAUGCUUACUUAACUGUAUAGCUCUUUAUUGUUCUUUUCCAGGAAUUCUAUUUAAGCUCCAUCACGAAAUCUAUUGUGCACUGCUAAGUCCAUGAGGUGAAGCGCUCACUGCUUGACCAUUUCUUUACUGAACUGGGAGCAACAGAGGCAAGAUAUUCGAAACAAGUUGAAGUCCUUUCGAUUCUUGAUUUCUAGCAUACACAUGCAACCUGAUUGGUGAUGUUACUGUAGAUAUGAUGUAGGUUCAGUGCUUACUAUUUUUUGAUGUGAUGCAUGUUACCUUCGUUUCUGUCUAUGCCUUCUUUAGUAUUUUGAUAGCUAACUAGUCUAUUGGUCGUUUUGAAAUAUGAAGAUGCAUGCACUGUUGCAGGCAAUCUGGCACAUCAUAUUAGUCCUAUCCCUUGUUUUGUCACUAGCAUACACUACAGUUUUAUUAAAAGGGGGGCAUAUCAUUUGCUCUAUAUAAUAGUGCUGAUUUUGCGCUGAUAUGAACUUACAACAGUAUUACAUUGUAGUGUUUUCUGCAUGUUGUAUCACUAGUUUCAUGAUGCCUUCUCAUUUGAACCUAUUCUUCAACAGUAUUACUUUGUUUGUAUGAUUGAGGGCAAUUUACUUGGUUCUUUGAUGGAGCACUAAAAUUGCCUUCCUGUGAUGUUGCAGGUGGCCAGUUUGUGCCGAAGGAGCUCCACGUUGAAGAAGAUUGAAGACACAUAGAGCUUGUAAAUUCUGUAGCUGUUACACAUAGAGCUCCAUACUGAUUCUGUUGUUGUUACAGAUAGAGCUUGUAAAACAGUGAUUGAAGAUGUAUUAUGUGUUAUUUAUAGAGUAGUAGCUCCACACUGAUUUUGGCUGCUGUUAUUUUAAGUACUACUUGUAUUUUUUUGUCUGCCAAUUUAAAUACUGGCUAUUUUUUACUAUGAAAUUGAAAUCUGAAGAAUAUGACCUUGACAAUUGGGACCCACUUACUAGAACCUGACAACUGGGACCAAUUACCAGAACUUACAAUUGGGACCCAUCUCAAUUGACCCAUCUUAAAACAAGAAAAGAAAAAUGUAAUUAUAAAAAAAAUCUGGAAUUGUUGAGCCAAAAAGGCCAUGGCCCAGAAAAUAAAAAGGCUAUAAUGUUGGGCUAGGCCCAUGAAAUCGAAGAAAAAUUGACAGGAAAAAAUAUUAAAAAGACUGAAUUAAUGGGCUCGGCCCAUCUAAAGCACUGAAAUGGACCGGGCUGAAUCUUGUGCCACAUCAGCUUGCCACGCUGGAUGCCUACAUGGCCUGGGGAGGCUGCUAGUGACCAAAACAGAACAGUAGGCAUAUUUUGGUCGUAAACGUCUUCGACCAUUCUAGAAGAAAGGUCGCUAUAGUCAGUUUAUGACGGCCAGCUUUUGACCUUAUGUUUUGGUCACGAAAAGGUCACAAAUGGAAAUUUGUGACCAUUCAGUGACCAAUAGUGGUGGUCACAAGUUGACAUAUUUCUUGUAGUGUUUCAAGGGUUGAAAGCAAAGAGACAUCCACUUCCGGAGGAGAAGGUAGAUCCGGUGAAAGCGAAGCGCACUCUGACUGCCCUGACAAAACCACCCAAGUCUCCGCCCGAAGGAAACUAUGAGCGCAUUAUUGGAAAGGAAUUUGCCGAAGUGGAGCGGUCGGGAAGUACUGUCAGUGAUCAAAGGCUGAAAGAAUGACGAGCUGGGAAACAAAUUGCCCAGCUCGGCGAACAAGCGAAGCAAUCGUGCCCCCCGCUAAAGGUGCCUAGCCACAACGUCGCUAAUGAUCCGAGGAUGGUGCCCGGUUAUAGCAAUCUUGCAGAUUACCUGCCCGACGAUGUACAUUAUGAACCCAUGGAGGUGCAGAUACAAAGAUACGAGUACGGGAAGCCUCUCGUCAAAGAUGAAAGAUCUCUAUCAACGAUGAUGCGAAGAUUGCAUGAUUGGUACUUGAAAAUCUGCAGAGACUCUGGGGGGGAGGAGUACUUUGUAUGUGAAAGUUAAAAAGGAGCAUGACCUCGUUGGAAUUGAACUGUUGCCUGUUCCAUUUGAGGAGUUCUAUCAGUUUUUCAAUCAAUUGGCCCUCGAUAAAACAACGGUCGCCUGCUACUGUUUGUAAGUAGUACUACUUAUGUCACUAAGUCUCUCUAUAUAGCUCAGCUCUUUCAUUGCAUGUAUUUAUAAUCAUCCUCACUAUAUUAUGCAGAUUGAAGAUCGCCGAAUUGAAGAAAAGACAAGUCGGUGAUAUUGGGUUCAUUAACACAUAUCUCAUAGAUGCAACUCAGGUUAAAUUUCAUGCCGCAGCUACCGAGGCCAACUUGCUACGAUCGUUGGUAAUAUAUGAAAACAAAGAUAUAAUACUCUUUCCUUACAACUUCAAGUGAGUGUUACUGUCGUGUGCGUAUUCGGUUUCCCUUAUAUAUUAGUCAAGGUUAUAGUAAUGUAAUUGAUGAGUUAUGCAUGCGUGUGCAGUUUCCACUAUAUUAUCCUAGAGAUUAAGCUUGAGCAGGGACUAGUAACCGUCUUAGACUCAAGACGAAAAGAUCCCCAGGACUAUGCAGACAUGACUCAAAUACUCGAGAAGUAAGUUAAAUCGAUCAUUAUCCACCAUAUCAGCAACUUUGUUCAUUUCCUGAUAUAUCAAGUAAUUGUUUUCUUUGUCCGGCAGGGUUUGGAGAAAAUUCACCAGAAAAGCUCCGGGACUGCCGAAGGAGCUGCAAUUUAGACACCCGAAAGUAAGUACUAUAGUAACAUGUUCCGCGCAUCUACUAGUCAUUCAAGCGCUAGUUUCAUCAAUACCAUUUGGCAUUCUUGCUUAUCAAUUUGAUUGACCUAUAUUUCUUGUAAAGUGGUUGUGGCAGGAACAAGGGAAUGAUUUAUGUGGAUACUACGUUUGCGAGUCCAUCCGCCACACGACCUAUGAGCGGGGCUACACUGACGAACAAUAUGAAGUACGUAAAUAACAACAUUCACAAUUUUAUUUUAUUACCAUCAUUUGUGUUGAGUUUCAUUCAUUCAUAUAUAUAUGUAUUGACCCCCUUCUUUAAAUUAGAUGUUUCGGAAGCAGGAUGAACUCCUAGCACCAGCUCGCAUGCGAGCAAUUCAAGAGGAAUUGGCGGCAUUCUUUCUUGACCAUGUGAUCCCUGAAGACGGAGAAUACUAUGUGGACCCUGAGUCCGUAUGAUUAUAUUUGUAAGAGAUAAUUAUUGUAUAUAUGUAGCCAGUAGUGUCGGAUAGAUAUACGAGAACUUGUUGUUCGACCAAUCUCUCGGAGAAGGAGAGGUGGUCGAUAUCACUUCUCUCUGUAUGCAUAUAUGUUCAUGACAAUCUUCUGUUUCCUUCGUUUGCUUACUAGCUAGCUAGCGUGUCUAGUCCUCUCUAUACGUAUGUAUAGUACGUAGCGUCGACCAAGCACGGACAUAAGAGAGGACACUUCUCUCUAUUAAUUAUAGCUAGCUAACACAAUAUAUGAAACACCUAAAUUAACCCCCCAAAACCCCCAACCCCCCCCNNNNNNNNNNNNNNNNNNNNNNNNNNNNNNNNNNNNNNNNNNNNNNNNNNNNNNNNNNNNNNNNNNNNNNNNNNNNNNNNNNNNNNNNNNNNNNNNNNNNNNNNNNNNNNNNNNNNNNNNNNNNNNNNNNNNNNNNNNNNNNNNNNNNNNNNNNNNNNNNNNNNNNNNNNNNNNNNUCUCCUGCCUGGGCUCCGCGCACAGGCCACGUGGAGGCCCAUCUGUUCCGGUUCAGGAUUGAACCGGGACUAAAGGGACAGGGCAUUAGUACCGACCCUUUAGUCCCGAUUACAGAACCGGGACAAAAGGCCCUUACGAACCGGGACAACAGGCCCUUUUUCUACCAGUGGGGAUGAGGAGGAGGAGGUUGGGGAGGGGAACGAGGAGGAAGAGGAGGCAUGCGAGGAGGAGAGUGGUGGCGACGGGGGUGAUGGUGGUGGCGGGGAGGGGGUUGGCAACAAGGGGUGGCUGCGUGGUAACGCAAAGGUACCAAAGCAGAUUCCUACUACCGAGGAGCAGAAGUGGCUCAUCGAGCCCACGGGGAAAGAGUAAGUGCCACUUUAUAAUAAUUUCAUUAUUUUGCUUGUCACAUGCUUAUAUUUCUCUUUUUUUGCUUGUCACAUGCUAAUAUUUCAUUCUUUUGCAGCAACUGGAUAUAUCCUAAAGGGGCCCGUAUUCCCAACGGCCUCAUCACCGUCUUGCUGAAGGUAUACUGGCCGGGGCUGUAUUGUCCGGAUCCAGUCAGGCACCCGGACCGCCUGGUUUUGGCCACGAGCUGGGACCACUAGGUAGCGGCCCCCACGCGGAUUAUGAGACCCAUGCUAAGGCCUUGAUCACUUAUUUUUGGGUGAGUUCUCUUCAGAAGCACAAGUCCAUUCUGGUUUCAUGAAUGAUUUAACUCAUGGCUUCUUCCAUUCUGGUUUCAUGAAUGAUUGUAGAAAUACUAUCGAGUUCUUCCGAAGCACAAGGCCAUUGCCGACAAGAUCGUGCUUUGCCAAGCCAAGAGUAAGGCCCGCUAGAUGCAGUACGAGGUGCGUUGGGUGGCCAUCUCGACAUACUAUCACAACGCUCUUGGUGUGAAGAUGACCAAGGAAGAAGCGCGGAGGACGGACAUUACCUUGGAGAGGCACCAGUACUUGGCGGUAAGUAUAAAAGAUUUUUAUUUCCAAUGUUUGUGGUACAUUUCAUCAUUUCGUGUUGACAUGUCAGUAUGCUUUCAUUAUGUAGGUAUGUCCAAAUUGGUGUUAUGGAAAAGACGAGUCCUGGGCAGCAUUGGUGGAUCUGUGGUGUGAUAAUGAUGGAGCUUGGGCGGCUACGAGCAUCAGAAACAAGGCUAACAGAGGCAGGGAGGGAGUACAAGCUCAGGGAAACCGAAACCACUUUCUUCACAAGACACUUGAGGUAUAUCUAUGUACAUUAAACAUUUUUCUUCUUUUUACCAUCACUUUCUUAUGUAUGACUAACCUCUGUUUGGUUGUUUGGUGGUGUAGGAGGAGAAACUGAAGCGGCCGCUCUCACACAUGGAGGUGUGGGAGAUCGCCCAUACACGAAGGAAUCCCAAGCCUGGCGAGGCCAAGUACUACGGCAAGACCGCGGAGUAUAAGAAGGCCUACUCCGAGGGGUAUCUGAGUUUACAUCCUGGCACACCUGACCCCAUUGCGGCGGAUCUGGACGAGAGGGUGGUGGUGAGCAUGGGGAAGAAGCACGGUCGGUCAUCGUUUCUGGAUGCUGUGAUCACUCCUUCUAUCUCCUACACAUAGCUCCGAGCAACCAACCCGAGCCUGUGGCAGCGCACGAGCACGUCCAUGACCAGUGCGCGGUCACAGUCCCUCUUUGCUGAGCGAAACUCUGUAAGUAUUUUCCCUCUUAUCUUCAUUGCUCACUUUAUUUUCUGCAUUGAGAUGUUUUGUGAGUACCAUCAUGUCAUACCGUAGGCCUACACGGAGUACACACGCCAGGAGACCAUGGCGUGGCACGAGAGCCUUCAUGCAUACCAUCAGCAGAGGGAUCUCAUGAUGCAACACUUCCUUGAGGAAAUGGCGGCCGGUAGGGUUCCUCAAUUGCAACCAGCACCAUCUCCUCCACCACAACCAGUGCUUCUUACUUUUGAGGAGUUUCUGACACAGAACCCUGGCCCCUCGCCGGUUAGUACAUCUCAAACUAUUCACCCAAAGUAUACUGUUUAUUCAACACAAUCAUAUAUCCCCUUAACAUGUCUUUUCAACAUCCAGGGAACCGGUGGAUCUACCGUUGGUGGUGGUGCUGGUCUUGGCAUCACUCCCGAGUCACGGAGCCCGGUCACUCCUAUCCACGGAGGCGGUGGCGGUCUUGGCGGUAGCGCUGCCGCUAGCAGUGAUGACCUAGGCUUCGGCGGACUUGGCGGUGACGACCUUGGCGGUGGUGGUGGAUGUCCUGGUGCUUAAGCCUUUGGGUGACGGUGGUCGUGAUCAUAAACUUGUGUUCUUUAGAUGACUUGUGGUCUUUUAUGGUCUUUUAGAUAACUUGUGUGAUUCUUUAGAUGCUUAUGUUUGUGAUGAUGGUUAUGUUUGUCAUGAUACUUAUAUUGUUGUGAUGGUGUUUGUUGUGAGGAUGAUACAUAUAUAUGUUGUGUAUGUCUAUUUCAUCAUAUAUAUAUGCUGUGAAUUUGAAUUGAAAUCAAACAAAAAAAAACAGACGAAAACUAUGCCUACGGCUUAGCCGUAGGCAUAGGGCUACCAUGAGCUACCAGAGGACGACACGUGGAGCCUAUGCCUACAGUUAGGCCGUCGGCAUACAUCUAAAACUAUGCCUACAGUUAGGCCGUCGGCAUAGCCUGGACCUAUGCCUACGGCACGGCCGUAGGCAUAGUUUUAGAUAUAUGCCGACGGCCAAGCCGUAGGCAUAGCCCUGCAUACGGAGCUUGUAGACGCCGCCACGUGGCAGGGCUAUGCCUACAUCAUAGUCAUCGGCAUAGAUUUGAAACUAUGCCUACGGCUAGGCCGUAGGCAUAGCCCUGCCACGUGGCGUCUCCUCUAUGGGCAGCACUUGACGGUGGCCACCGUUAGCGUGGAACUUUGCCGACGGCCCUGGCCGUCGGCAUAGAUGUACGGACACCGUCGGCAAAUUAUCUAUGCCGACGGCUUUUCUAUGCUGACGGCAUCCCGAGAUACACCGACGAAUAUUAUGUCGACGGCCCUAUGCCUACGGGGGCCGUCGGCAUAGGCCUAUCCCGACGGGAAUCAAGGCUAUGCCUACGGCCUGGGCCGUAGGCAUAGGGGUUUUUUCUGGUAAAAAUAACAACGUAAAUUGGGGUGCCAUAAUGCUAGCAAGCGUCACAGUCGGCAUUUGUAACAAUGGGCGUAUAUGGCAGCGAUUUAACGGGUUGACGUAUACUUGCGAGAUCACACAACGUUAUUGGUUUGACCUUGUUCGGCCACUACUCCAUACUGUGGCCUUGUCCCUUUGAGGGAUGUAGCCUCGAUUACAAUUUGUCUACACGAUACAACUUCAAUGGUGACCCUUGUUGCUCGACUGGGGUGAUCGGUGAAAACUUACCCAAACCCACUAUCCAAAUAGAAGCGUAGAACUCAACAUUCAUCCGAGUCUGUUUUCAACUAGAAACCUAAACCUCAUAGAUAACCUCACGAGAGCGUGGAGUAGAAUUGGAUGAUUUCUUUGCGUAAUUCUGUUUUGUACGAAAAACUAGCUUUUAUUAAUUUUAAAAUUUCAUGUACUUCGAAGCUAACAUUCAUGACUACAUAAAUUCAAUAUAUCUCAAAACGAUGAUUAUGUGUUUUAGACUAAAAUAUGCAUAUAUUUGAAAACAAAUAUUUGUUACUUCUAAAAAAUGGUUUACAUGCAAAAUCAUAUGCGAUGAUAAAAAAGACAAAGCUAUAUCAAAUAUUUAAAAAAUAAAACCAAUAAGUGGAGUAAAUAGUGAAAAAAGCGAAAAGGAGGAGUAAAGAAAAUGAAAAUGAAAAAUGACCUGAUAGUGGACCGACCCAACUAUGCAGGACACAGGAUUCUUGUGUAGUGCGGCUUGCAAGAAAAAAUAUUUGAGAGAGAAGGUUUGCAAAAUUUGGGGAAACGUUGAACCCGUGUGAGAUUAGACUGACCACUCUGGCCCAGUAAUUCAUAUAUAUUUUACAAAAGUAAUCACUGGUUUUCUAUUAAUGGAAACAAUUAUUUUUAUUAAUGGAGGAAAUUUAAAUAUAUAAUGAAUAUUCAUGCAACUGUAAAUAAACGUUUAUGAAAUUUUAAAACAUGUGCAUCUCAUAUUUUAAAAUUGUUCGCUACAUAGAGAAAAAUUCAUAUAGUCCGUCCUCGCCAAAUUGUGGUGCAUAUAUUUGUUUUCCAAAGUCCAACUCAAUGAGUUAUAGUAAAAUAAGAACAUUUACAAUACUGAAUACAUAGCAUACAAAAAUAUAUUUCAUGACAAAUCCUUUGGUACUGUAAUUGUCGAUAGUUUUUAUAUGAAUUUGGUCAAUGUUUGCAAAGUUUGGCUUUUCAUAAAACUUAUCUGCAUUAUUAUUUGGCAAGAAAAUUCCCCACAAAAAAAACUUGGCUAGAAAGAAAGUAUAUUAAUCGUUUCAAAGACCGAAAAUCCAUCUUUGCACCCGAGCUCAUCUGCACCUGCGCUAACAAAAAAAAUCGAAAAAAGCUAGAAAAAUUAAAAAAAAACUUUUUCCUGUGGUAAACAAUUUGAUGCAUGAGGUACGCUCCAAUUUUUAAAUUAUUUGAACAUCUAAGAAGCUCUCAGAAAAAAUGGGGGUUUGUAAAAAUGUUUACUGUUCAUGUAAUGUUUUGACCCAAUUUGUCUUUUUUGCUGAGAGCUGCUUAGCUGUCCAAAUGACUUGAAAUGUGGAGCGGGCCUCACGCAUCAAAUUUUCUACCGCACAGAAAAAUUGUGGAAUUUUUUGAUUAUUGUUUGAAUUUGUUACGAUUUUUUUCUAACCAGGUGCAGGGCACCGAAACGCCCUACUCAAGCUUUGAAGACAGGUUUUCGCGUAAUUUGGAAAAAUUUACAUAUUUUAUCCUAAAAAACAAAAAGGGAAAGGGAAAUGGGAGAAUAUUGAGAACCACAGAGAAGAAAGAACACGGGACAAAUGGAAAAAGAAAAAACAAAAACAUUUUGCACCUAUGAGGCGCUUCUUUCUUCCGCAAUGGGUGAUAUAUAGGAAUCGGAAGCGCAGCGCAUACGAUAGUUCACAUGCUCGAGUUUUCUCCUAACAUUGAAAAAAAAUGUUUUCUCCUAAAAUAAUCGAGCACGGCUACCUCCUGCCAAAUGUCGAAAGAGAAGUGUAUAUAUCUUCACUAUGUAUACAAGUGUUACGAUUGAUAGUAGUUCUCCUUGCCCACGUCAUGCCAAAUGUAAAAGCAGAAGUUUAUAUCUCAUUAUUAUGUAUACAACUAUAAGUAGGAUUGAUAGUAAUUCUCCAUGCCUUUGCAUGAGAAAGUGGGAAUUCGAUUGUUACAUAAUAUGUGGAUGCAUGCAUGAUUUGCUGCUGCUCGUACAUAAAAUACACAUUUCAAGUUCUGGUAUUUAUAUUGGCCAUUGGUUCUGUGGCCUUAUUCAUUCAUCAGGUGUCUGUGCUGGCGAGCGCUGCCGACCAGGUAUUAGGUAGUAGCUCGUCAUUCAAUCACGAGUUCACCCUGGAGCAGCUGAGCCUGAUCUGCCCUUGCGUCCCCGUCUUCGGCGCGAUGUUGCCCAUCUUGAUCAUGGCCGUCGUGAACGCGCUGCUGAACGCUGCCGGGUUGGACGCGAAGUUCCGGACGGUGUUGUCGGUGGUGUCGUUGUUGAACAGCACCUGGUCCGAGUGCAGGAGCCCCUUCUGUGACACGAGGUUGGUGUAGUAGGCGUUGUCGAACGUGUUGGCCGUCGUCGUGUCGAGGUUCGCCAGGCUGCCGUCGCCGCCGGACCGGGGGCAGUUGGCCCGGAGAGAUGUGGCGAAGGUCGUGUCGAUGUUAGUCUCGUUGUAGAUCCUGUCCUUGAAGGUCCCGCACUGCGCCUGGCCGAUGGUGUGCGCGCCGGAGAGGGCCACCAUGUCGACCGUAAGGAGGCCCUUGUUGCUGAAUGCCAGCUCAAGAUCUGACCGGCUAGACGUAGGGCCUGGGAGGUCGCUGUUUGCCGCCGCCUCGUUUGCAUCUAUGGAAUCCCUUCUUCCCAGAGGGACUGUCCAUGAUGGCCCUCCGAGCUGCACGCGAAGGAUACGAAGAAAACGGUUAACGAUGGCAUCCAAUCGAUGAUGUACACGAUCGUAAGAUGAUAUUCUUACGGCGACAACGGAGUCACGGGCAGCGACGGUGAGGAUGUCGGCGCAGGAGACGGUCUGGGCGCAGAUGGCCUCGAUCUGUGUCUUGAUGCUGUCGAUGACGCCGAAGCCCCGCAGUGACCCGUUGUUCGGGAGAGCGUUUUGUUCCAUGCCAGAAAGCAGAACAGACGCGUCACAGCCCUGCACAUCACAUGCUUAUAGUGUUUAGCAAGCAAAACCUAUACAAAACAGGGUACGUGACGGCUAUCGGGAUAUGCAUGCAUGCAUGUGGCCAACUUACUUGGACGAAGCAGUCGUGGAAGUGCAGCCGGAGCAGCGACGCGCCCAUCCGAGGAUCGCUGCUCACGGCGGCCAUGACGCCGCUCUUGAUGGUGGCCAGGGCCCUUGUGCAGGAUGUGUCGUAGAACGUCGGCGACAGCUGCCCCGACACCACGGCGGCCAGAGCCACGAGCACCACCAGAGAAAGGUAAGAGGCAGAGGCGGCCAUGGUUAGCUAGCUAGCUACAAGAGCAAAGCUACGCCGGCUUACUAGCUACCUGGUGGUGGUGGAGUGGUGGUGCUUAGUGGAUUGUGCAAGAGAGUGGUGCAUCGCAUGCAUAUUUAUAGACAAAGAUUUAGCUCACGUGCACCUGCAGAUCGAUCCCGGUCAGCUCAUCCAAAAUUUAGGUCCCAUUAGUCCAACGUUAGUCUCCGACACCUGUUCGAUCGGGUAUACCGCGAGCUUCCUGCUUGAGCGAUCUCUCUUGGCGUAUUCAAGGCAGCUUCCAGCUUGAGCCGCUACCGCCAACACCAACACCUGAAUUUUCCUUGCAACAGGGCCAACUUGAGCGAUCUCUCUUGGCGUUUAUCACGCAAAAAUCGGCAAAACAUGGAACGAUCUCUCUUUUUUCAUCAUUUCCAUGCUAGCGGGCGCCUGGAGCCAUGUGUGCGUGGACACCAACCAUUUGACCUUACGUACGAAUAGUGGUGGGGAGUCGGCGUUGUUCCAAGGCGAUUCACGCUCGUUUUGACCGGUGCGCAGUCAUCUUGCGCUCCCGUCGCCUUCGGCCAACACGAGAUAAUUCGGCAGCUGAGACAGUACUGAGAGGAAAGAUCUAAAAAAACAAUCAUUUCAUAGCCUUUUCCGAGCUUCUGAGAGGAAAGUGAGGCCAAGCCCGGUUCGACUGCCGGGUUGCCCACGCCCAGGGGCGGAGCCAGGAUUUAGGCAUAAGGGGGGCGAGAACGAUAAUAAUCGUUUCUGAUACACACAACACACACAAAAAAAAUAGUCUCAAAAGUAGAAUUGAUAUGAAUGAAAAUAUAUGUUUGAUAAUAACAUGGGUUCAAAUUAUCGUGCAGAAUAGCUUGCUCCUCAAGUGGAUUUGUGUUCUAAGUAAUAUUUCGAAACAAUGAGCUUUUACAAUGAAUCUAUAUUUGUAAACAAGAAGUGAAACUAUAUUUGUAAAUUACAAUCUUACCUAAUUAGUAAAUAAAAUCAUUGAUUUGAAACAAAUUGUAAUGACUCAGGAUUACUCCCUCCGUUCUUAGAUAAAAGUCUUUAUAGAGAUUCCAUUAUAGACCACAUACGGAAUAAAAUGAGUGAAUCUAUCCUUCAAAUGCAUCUAUAUACAUCCGUACGUGGUUUAUAUUGGAAUCUUUACAAAGACUUAUAUUUAGGAACGGAAGGAAUACUAUAUACCAGAAUUCUUUCGAAGUCAAUCUGUUGAUGUGUGACGCGCUGUAGCAGACGAGUAGUUGUGAUCUCCCUCAAUUGCCCGGGAGAAUGUAGUGCCCUCUGCCAUGUGCGGCUGUGCAACAACCAGAACGGCGGAAGCAGCGGCAGGCUAUGCCGCGACUGGUGACGGCGACGGCGACGGCGGCGCAAAGACGUACGUAUGGAGGGAGAGCACAGACCUAGAAGGCAGGAACGUAAUUACGGGAAGGAUUAGGGAAUUAACUACACGAUCUCACGGCUGGAUCUGGAUGUAAUCUUUUUUUCUCACGCGUAUGUACACCUAGGGAUGCUUUGGGCCUUUGGGUUGAGAAGUUGCCAUGCUAGGCCAUUAGCGCCGCUACACACACGUAUAACUAAAACAACAGGUCAGCCAUAAUAUACGUAUAAACUACAACUACUAANNNNNNNNNNNNNNNNNNNNNNNNNNNNNNNNNNNNNNNNNNNNNNNNNNNNNNNNNNNNNNNNNNNNNNNNNNNNNNNNNNNNNNNNNNNNNNNNNNNNNNNNNNNNNNNNNNNNNNNNNNNNNNNNNNNNNNNNNNNNNNNNNNNNNNNNNNNNNNNNNNNNNNNNNNNNNNNNNNNNNNNNNNNNNNNNNNNNNNNNNNNNNNNNNNNNNNNNNNNNNNNNNNNNNNNNNNNNCCCCUGUUCGCACCCCCCUGUCUCCGCCCCUGGUCAACCCAGAACCAUGUCGCCAGACGAUCGGUCAACUUGAUACGAAUUCCAUGGUGGUCCUUGUCUGAAUCAACCGAUGGAAGAAAAUUAACUGAACCCUACUCUCCGAAUGGAAGCCCGAAGCUCAGCCUUCACCGAGUAUGUUUUUAAUUGGAAGCCUUAAUCUUGAAGAGAUCCUUUGUUUUCCUAGUACAAAUCUCUUCAUGAGUUUUUGUAUUCGCGUCCUAAAGAGGGAGAACCUCCCACUGCAAAAAUAACCAAUUCUUCAUGAUUCCUUUACGGGUGGAAGAAACCCAAACAGAUUUGAUGAAAUAAUAAUUAUUUUUAAAUCUGGGUAGCAAUCGCCAUAAACAAUUUUUUAGCUCGUGUACUGUUCCUCAAUCUACAAUGUUUCUUCAAAUCUUUACGGCCACAACAAAAUCAUCAUCCCAUCUAGUUAAGAUAUAUAAUGAUGAUGCAUUAACCCAUUUUUUGCAAAAAAUGAUGCAUUAACCUUGACCCAUAUGAAAAAAUAUUUCAACAUCGAAUAAACUCAGUUCUUAUGUAGGUGCGUUAUGACGUACACAUUUUGUCACAUGUCACUGACGGAGAAACUAGAUUUUGUCACUGAAAUUUUUUCAUUUCAUGUAUACUAAAUAAAUGUCCAUGCUACUAGUAAGUUUUUUUUGGGGUAGAAUUGGACAAUUUCAUUUGUAAAUUUUCAUAUGCAAAACUAUCUUUUAACUAAUUUUGAAAUGUUCAUGUACUUCAAAACAACGUUCAGGACUAUAAAAAAGUCCACCUCUCUCAAGAAACUGAUUAUGUAUUUUAUAAUAAAAUAUUCAUGUGUUUGAAAACAAAUAUUUACAACUUCUAAGAUAUGUUUUCACAUUCGCAUGAAUAUUUUUAUAAAACUAUCUGAAUUGUAAAUGGAAUUAGUUAAAUAACAAUGUUAAAUAUAAUACAAUUAAAAUAAAAAUGAAAUAGAAAGCAAUAUGUAAUAUUUUUAUGAAGAACCAAAUAAUAAGUGAAGUUAUAGUGAAAAAACAAAUAAUGAUGUAUAAUGUUAGUUAAAUAAUUUAUUUGCUUAGUCAAUUUUUAGAAAGUUUGAAUAAUGAAAAAACUUACAUACACUAUAAUUUGGAUAGGUGGAAGUAUGUCAAAAAAAAGUUGACGAGAUUGUUUAAAAAAACUUACAAAUAUACACUAGAAUUUAUUUUUCUAAAUAAUUUACUAAGCUUCUUUUCGAAGAGGUCUUCGAUAUUUUUUGUAUUCCUUGUUGGUGAGCUUGCGAUGAUGAAUUGGAAUCCUGAGGUACUUGAACGGUAGGAAUCUCACUUCACAACCAAAGGGUUGCUUGCAUUGACUCACCUCCUCUUUUGCCAAAUGAUCAUUUGUUUCAUAUUAUCAUUGUUUUCAUGAAGUUGUAUGAUCAAACAUGUGUUUACAAAAACAUGGUUAUGUAUUUUAGAAUAAAAAUAUAUUCACGUAAUCCCUCCAUGCUAAAUUCAGUGCAUAAUUUGUUUUCAAAAGUCAACCUUUGGAAACUUUGACAUAGUUUAUAGAAAACAUAUGAAUAUUUACAAUGCUGAAUGUCUAUCAUAUUAAGAAUUAUUUCAUGACAAAUCUCGGGUAAUGUUAUCCAGCGAACGUUCGCUGGGAUUGUACGGCAAAACCAAACGGCAAUUUAUGUGUUGGGAGCAUGGCAAUCCAUUCAAACAAACACGGCAAUUUCGCAGCAAAAUCCUCUAUUUGCCACAAGUUGCCAUGUGUUUGUGAAGAAAUUGUCAUUUUCUUCCGAAUAAUUUCCUAAAUCCUCGGGGUGGUGCCCGGUCAGGUGGCUCCCUUGAACCUCGGCCCCGUAGGCGACGGCCUCGGAAGGGUUGAUCCCGUCGAUGUUGACGGGCUCCUUACCGUCCAAGUAGUUCUUGACAAGUUGUUGCACCAUGGGGAUCCUGCUGCCACCGCCCACAAGGAUGACAUCGUGGAUGUCUCCCUUCUCCAGCUCGGCGUCCACCAGGGCCUUCUUGAACGGAGCCAUCGUCUUCUAGAAGCGGUUUUGUUGAGCUCCUCAAAUAGGUUGACACUGUCCAACAGGGCCUUGACCUCCACGCCCACCUGGUGCUGGUCGUGGUCGCUCAGCGCCCUUUUGGCACGCUCACAUUCCCGUAGCAGCCUCUGCAUCGCAUGGCCAUCGCCGGUGACAUCCCGACUGUGCUUCCGCUAGGUCAGCUCGGCAAAGUAACCCACGAGUCGCCGGUCGAAGUCGUCACCAUCGAGGUGCACAUCGCUGCGGGUCAUUAGGACAUCCAACACGCCCUCCUCGAGAGUGCUGACAUUAUCAUUUGUUUCAUGUUAUCUUUGUUUUCAUGAAGUUGUAUGAUCAAAUAUGUGUUUACAAAAAAAUGAUUAUGUAUUUUAGAAUAAAAAUAUAAUCACAUAGUCCCUUCAUGCUAAAUUCAAUGCAUAUAAUUCGUUUAUGAAAGUCAAUCUUUGGAAACUUUGACAUAGUUUAUAGAAAACGUAUGAAUAUUUACAAUACUGAAUGUAUACCAUAUUAAGAAUAUAUUUCAUGAUAAAUCUCGGGUAAUGUUAUGCAGCGAAUGUUCACUGGAAAUGUAUGGCAAAACCAAGUGUCAAUUUAUGUGUUGGGAGCAUGGCAAUCCAUUCAAACAAACACGACAAUUUCGCAGCAAAAUCCUCUAUUUGCCACAAUUUGCCAUGUGUUUCUGAAGAAAUUGACAUUUUCUUACGAAUAAUUUCCUAUGGAAAACAUUCACAAUUGCCAUGCCCCACAGCAAAACGUUCACUGGCUAUUGGGGUCCUAAAUCUAAUGGUCUUGAUCUGGUAUUAUUGUUGUCGCUAAAAUAAUUUAUGUGCUUAGUAAUUUUUAGAAAGUUUGACUACUAAAAAAAUUAUAUACAAUAUAAUUUGGAUAAGUGGAAGUAUGUCAAAAUAAAUAAAUUCAUGCAUGCAUUUGAGGAAAUUUGUCAUGUGUGCUAUAUUAUAUGAUCUUGUUAUCUCUUAGAGAAUUCAUACAUAUUUCCUCCUAAAAAGGUGAAAAAUGGGAAAAGUGAUUUCUUUUAUGAGAAUUAAGAGAAACAAAAGAUGGGAAAGAGUAGAAACGAAACAAUGAGAAAAAACAGGGGAAAAUAAUAANNNNNNNNNNNNNNNNNNNNNNNNNNNNNNNNNNNNNNNNNNNNNNNNNNNNNNNNNNNNNNNNNNNNNNNNNNNNNNNNNNNNNNNNNNNNNNNNNNNNNNNNNNNNNNNNNNNNNNNNNNNNNNNNNNNNNNNNNNNNNNNNNNNNNNNNNNNNNNNNNNNNNNNNNNNNNNNNNNNNNNNNNNNNNNNNNNNNNNNNNNNNNNNNNNNNNNNNNNNNNNNNNNNNNNNNNNNNNNNNNNNNNNNNNNNNNNNNNNNNNNNNNNNNNNNNNNNNNNNNNNNNNNNNGCUAUGUUAUACGCAGUGGGUGGUAUAUAGGAUUCGGGGAGCGCAGCACAUACGCGCCAUUUCGUGUAAUUUUCUCCUAACGUGGAAAAAAAGUGUUCUCGUACAAUAAUCGAGCACGGCCACUUCACGCCCAAUUUCACAAGAGGAGUUUACAUCUUCAUUCUGUGUACGAGUGUAAUAAGGUAGGAUUGAUAGUAAUUCUCCUUGCCUUUUGCAUGAGAAAUUGAGGAUUCAACCGUCGUUACAUACGUUGAUGCAUGCAUGAUUUGCUGCUGCACAUGCUUUGAAAAUACACGAUUCAAGUGCUGGUAUGAUAAGUGGUACUGGCCACUGUUUUGGGGGCCUUAUUCAUUCACGUGUCGUGCUGCCGACGCAUACGUCCAUCACGAGUUCACCUUGGAGCAGCUGAGCCUGAUCUGGCCCUGCGUCCCGGUGAGCGGCGCGAUGUUUCCCAUCUUGAUCAUGGCCGUCGUGAAGGCGCUGCUGAAGGCCGCCGCGUUGGACGCAAAGUUGCGGACAGUGUUGUCGGUGGUGUCGUUGUUGAAGAGCACCUGGUCCGAGUGCAGGAGCCCUUUCUGUGACAGGAGGUUGGUGUAGUAGGCGUUGUCGAACGCGUUGGGCGUCGUCGUGUCCAGGUUCGCCAGGUUGGUGUUGCCGCCGGACUGGGGGCAGUUGGCCUUGAGAGACGUCGCGAAGGCAGUGUUGAUGUUGGUGUCACCGCCGUAGAUCCGAGUCCGGAAGUUGGAGCACUGGGCCUUCCCGAUGGUGUGCGCGCCUGAGAGCGCGACCAUGUCGACCGUGUUAAGGUUCUUCUUGAGGAACGCGGCCUCGAGCUGUGACCGGCUAGAGCUCGGGCCAGGGAGGUCACUGUUCGCCAGCGAGGCACUUGCGGUGGUGGAGUCCCGUCUCCCCAGCGGGACAGUCCACGAUGGCCCUCCAAGCUGUAUGUGAAAGAUAGCAGACCAAGUAGGAAAUUAAGUAUGUACUAAAUCAGCGACAAUUUAUAUGAAUCGGAGGGGAUAUAUGUUCUAUCCUUCAGGUAGCAUCGAUCAUGUAAAUGAGUGUAGUACUAAGAUGUUCUUACAGCGACAACGGAGUCGCGGGCGGCGACGGUGAGGAUGUCGGCGCAGGAGACGGUCUGCUUGCAUAUACUCUCCAGCUGGGUCUUGAUGUUGUCGAUGACGCCGAAGCCCCUCAGCGACCCCACGUUCGGACCCGCGUUUUGUUCCAUGCCAGACAGAAGAACAGAUGCGUCACAGCCCUGUAGCCAACAUAAACGUAUUAGGUCGGAAUAUAAAUUUUGUUAAAUCCGGGAGUUCAAGAAAGUUGGUUAAGGGAAAAAGAGCUGAUAUAUUAUGUGAAACUUGCUUGGACAAAGCAGUCGUGGAAGUGCAGCCUGAGCAGGGAGGCGCCCAUGCGGGGGUCGCUGCUCACGGCGGCCGCCACGCCGCUCUUGAUGGUGGCCAGAGCCCUGGGGCACGACGUGUCGUAGAACGUCGACGACAGCUGCCCGGACGCCGCCGUGGCCAGAGCCACGAGCACCACCAGAGAAAUGCGAGAGGCAGAACCCAUGGCCAUGGUUAGCUACCUAGCUACAAGCCCAGAGCUAUGCGUGCUACCUGCACUUGUUAUCUGGUUGUGGCUGUGGCUGUGGCUGUGGCUUGCAAGAUAACGCAGUAUUUCAUGCAUAUUUAUAGGGAAAAUUUGAGCUCACGUGCAGCUGCACAUCAGUCCCCGUCUCCCAGUUGGGAGAAAGCAUCCAAAUUUUAUGUCUGAUUAGUCUAGCAAGCAUCCAAAACAGAUGGUCGAUUGGUCUAUGAUGGCUGACGAUCGACGUCGACCCGGCAUCCACGAUCUGCCCAGCGCCGUCGUCUGGCCAGCUAGAUGUUGGAUAGGGAAUACGGGUACUGACAAACCCGCCGAUUUUUUAGAAGGGUCAGACGCUUGCAUCCAAGUGUGGCAACCUCCAGCUUAAGCGCUUAAAUCGCUACGGCCAACACCGGCCCUACAUAUUUUCCCCCGGCAAUAGGGCAUAUCAUGUACUCGAAUAAUUUCCCGUGAUCUGCCUUGGCCUUAUCAUGUAUCCGUUAGGUGCCCGUGGGGGAGAGAAACGUAUAUCUGUGAAUCAAUAAUGGCAUACAGCAUCUCAUAAUAAUGUUCAUUGUUUUUGAUAUAGCUUACCACUGUUGCCAAAUGGUUCAUCUCAUAAUAAUGGAGUAAUAUAUUCUUCAUCAUUUUUUUAGGUAUAGCUAUGGUCGUGAACCUGCUUUGAGGGAAUAUAAGAUUGUUAGGCUUUUCAAUUGUAAAUAAACUUAACAUGCUUUUUUUGUCAAGUGACUCCGGGCCGGCAAAACAAGUGUUAUUGCGUCAUAGGCUCAUAGCCCCGCUACAUGAGCAUUUCGUCCUACGAUCAGGCCCAGCUGAAGAGCAACAGAUGUUUUAUAAGAGGUUUUGAAUCAUCGAUCACGUCAAAAGAAUAACCUUACACGAUACCAUCGCCUUUAAAUUCAUGAUGUGUCUCCACUCCCGCAACUAACCUGCGGGUAAUUAAACCCCAACACAAAUUUCACUUUGCACGGUAAAAGAGCUAACAUGCACUCUACUAUCGGAGUAAACAGGAGCAUACGUCCACAUGCACCAUACAUAGGUUCAUCUCCAACUACAUGGAACGAGCUCCAUGGAUGCUAUUGCAGAUGGUGAUACAGCCCGAGCCUGAAGCUACGCAUGGACGCACCAUUUGACCUAGCUAAUACUCAUUUCGUUCCAAAAUGAGUGUCUCAACUUUAUAUUAUUAUAGUAUAAAGUUAUAUUAAGUUUGAGGCACUUAUUUUGAGACGGAGUGAGUAGUAAGGAGUCCGCUUCUGUCCAAGUUAAUUCAGCCUCGCUUUGACCGCAGCGCAUCAUCUUGCGCACAGGUUGUGUUCGAUGAAAGUGACACGAUGCGAUUCAGCAGUGGCAGUUUCUUUCAUGCUCUGUACUACAGUUGAGAGGGACUUGGCUCAUACGCAGGCCUGCGAGGAAACAGUUUGGGUCAAAUCAUCCUCUAGCCGCACGCCAUUUGGGCUUCUUCUGUUCCCUUGGUGUUGUUGUUGGGUGCGUCUAAAUGUCGCCUACUACAUGCGACUCACCUCCAGCAUUCUAUAUGGGCCCGCCCAGCAGCAUGAGGCCUUGAGGCGUGCCUAGUUCGAGCGCACAAGUCUCACAAUCACUUUCGCUCAAAAACAAACGAGCAGCACGUUAAGUCACAAUAAAAAAUGUUACAAUUUUUAUCUAAAAUAACUUAAGGCACAAUUUUAUUUCUAUUUUUCUGUCUUUUUUUCAAACACAAUACAACACAGAUGUUCCGGUAAGUGUGUCUGAGUAAAUGAAAAACUGACCAAAAGUGGUUGGCGGGUCCCAGCCACUUUCCUCACAUAUUACAAAUACGGGCAGUUUUGCAGGCACAAUACAUCUGAUAUACAAGGACGUGGGCCAGCACUAACACGAAUCGCGGAGUAAACGGCCGGUCUAGGAUCUACCAGUACAUGACGGAACCGCGCAAUAUGACUUUGCAGGCAUAUCAUGUACUCGAAUAAUUUUCCAUGGUCUGCCUUGGCCUUAUCAUGUAUCCGUUAAGUGCCUCAGGGAGAGAGAAACAUAUAUCUGCGAAUCAAUAAUGGCAUACAACAUCUCAUAAUAAUGUUCAUUGUUUUAUUUUGAUAUAGCUUACCACUCUUGCCAAGUGGUUCACCACGUAAUAAUGGAGUAAUAUAUUCUUCAUAAUUGUUUUUUAGGUACAGGUGUGGUGGUAAACCUGCUGUGAGGGAAUAUAAGAUUGUCAGGCUUUUCAAUUGUAAACAAACUUAACAUGCUUUUUUGUCAAGCGACUCCGGACCGGCAAACCUGUGUUAUGCGUCGUAGCUAGGCUCAUAGCCCCGCUACACCAGCAUUUCGUCCUCCUAUCAUGCCUAACUAAAGAGCAACAGAUGUUUUAUAAGAGGUUUUGAAUCAUCACGUCAAAAGAAUACCCUUACGGGAGAGGAUACCUUCGCCUUUAAAUUCAUGAUGUGUCUCCUCUCCCGCAACUACCAUGGGUAAUUAAACCCAACACAAAUUUUCACUUUGCACCAUAAAAGAGCUAACGUGUACUCUACUACGGGAGUACACAGGAACAUACGUCCACACGCACGAUCCAUACAUUGGUUCAUCUCCAAUUGGAUGGAACGAGCUCCAUGCAUGCUAUUGCAGAUGGGGAUACAGCCCGGAGCUAUGCAUGGAUGCACCGUUUCGCCUAACUAACGUAGGGAGUCCGCUUCUGUUCAAGGCAAUUCAGCAUCAAUUUGACCACAGCGCCGUCAUCUUGCGCACAGUCGUGUUUCAAUGAAAGUGACACGAUUCCAUUCAGCAGUGUGACAGUUUCUUUCAUGCUCUGUAUUGCAGUAGAGGGGGUUGACCUUCUUUUCGAAAAAAAGAAAAGUAGAAGGGCACUCGGUUCGACGCAUGCCUGCGACGAAACAGUUUGGGCCAAAUCAUUCUCUAGCUGCACUUGGGCUUCUUCCGUCUGCUGGGUGUUGUUGUUGGGUGCGUCCAAAUGUCGCCUAACAUGCGACUCGCCUCCAGCGUUCUACACGGGGCGGCCCCAGCAUGAGGCCUUGAGGCGUGUGUAGUUCCAGCGCACAAGCCUCACGUUCGCUUUCGCUAAAAAACAAACGAACAGCACAUUAAGUCACAAUAAAAAAAGUCCCAUCAAAACAAAAAAAGUCACAAUAAAAAAGUUACAAUUUUUAUCUAAAAGAACUUAAGGCACAAUGUUAUUUCUAUUUUUCUGUCUUUUCUCAAACAAAAUGCAACAGAUGCUCACAUGUUAUUUCUGUACUUUCAGAAAUGCCAUUCUGACCAGCCGCUAAUGGAGUGUAGUGCCAAGUGCGAGAGCAUAAUGUUUUUAUUGCAUAGUAAUUUUAAUCUCCUAGGCCUACUAGUCCAUUCUGACGAACGAACAAGUGAUUACAAAUUGACUUUUGAUCAAUGAAAUGCAUGCAUGUCUGCCCUUUUAUCGCAUUGACCCUUUUAUCUGGAGGUUGGGUAUAACAUUUUCCAGUUGUAUCGCGUUGACCCUUUUAUUGAAAAAAGAGAGUAUGAGACAUGGCAAUCAAUUGCAAUCACGAUUAAACUGUAAUAAAAUAAAGACAAUAACUUUAGAAGCACCACGUUUAAUGCCUCUAUCAUGUAAAACUGACAUUGUGAUUGUUAUGUGGCUAUGUGUGGCUAUUUAGCUAGUACUACCUCUAAGCGAUGAAUUGAUUAAUUAAUAAUCACUAGCAAAAGAGCCUGUACGUUGCAAUUGGAGAAAAAUUGCACACGCUCUUAACCCCGUAACCAUCAUUCAAGACCACAAUAGGUCCACGUCGUUUUUUUAGGGGGGGGGGGGGCAUCACAUUUGUUCUGCCGCUUAUCCUCCUUCUCAACCUCGCUGGCGGUGCGCUCAAGGUUCACACAAACCAAAAUGUGUUUGAAUGUGGUUUAGUCCUAAGAUCUCUCGUGCACGCGCGGUGAGAAAUCUUUUGUUUUUUUCCUCUACAUCAACACCAUAGCCUCUCCGAUGAAGUGUGAGUACCUCAGACCUUCGGGUCCAUAGUUAUUAGCUAGAUGGCUUCUUCUCUCUUUUUGGAUCUCAAUACAAUGUUCUCCCCCUCUCUUAUGGAGAUCUAUUCGAUGUAAUCUUCUCUUUGCGGCGUGUUUGUUGAGACCGAUGAAUUGUGGGUUUAUGAUCAAGAUUACCUAUGACCAAUAUUUGAAUCUUCUCUGAAUUCUUUUAUGUAUGAUUGGUUAUCUUUGCAAGUCUCUUCGAAUUAUCAGUUUGGUUUGGCCUACUAGAUUGAUCUUUCUUGCAAUGGGAGAAGUGCUUAGCUUUGGGUUCAAUCUUGCGGUGUACUUUCCCAAUGACAGUAGGGGCAGCAAGGCACGUAUUGUAUUGUUGCCAUCGAGGAUAACAAGAUGGGGUUUUCAUCAUAUUGCAUGAGUUUAUCCCUCUACAUCAUGUCACCUUGCUUAAGGCGUUACUCUGUUUUCAUGAACUUAAUACUCUAGAUGCAUGCUGGAUAGCGGUCGAUGAGUGGAGUAAUAGUAGUAGAUGCAGGCAGGAGUCGGUCUACUUGUCUUGGACGUGAUGCCUAUAUACAUGAUCAUACCUAGUAUUCUCAUAACUAUGCUCAAUUCUGUCAAUUGCUCAAUAGUAAUUCGUUCACCCACCGUAAAAUACUUAUUCUCUUGAGAGAAGCCACUAGUGAAACCUAUGGCCCCCGGGUCUAUCUUCAUCAUAUUAAUCUUCCAAUACUUAGUUAUUUCCUUUGCUUUUUUACUUUGCUUUUAUUUUACUUUGCAUCUUUAUCACAAAAAUACCAAAAAUAGUAUCUUAUCAUAUCUAUCAGAUCUCACUCUCGUAAGUGACCGUGAAGGGACUGACAACCCCUUAUCGCGUUGGUUGCGAGGAGUUAUUUGCUUUGUGCAGGUACGAGGGACUCGCGCGUAGCCUCCUACUGGAUUGAUACCUUGGUUCCCAAAAACUUAGGGAAAUACUUACGCCACUUUGCUGCAUCAUCCUUUCCUCUUCAAGGAAAUCCAACGCAGUGCUCAAGAGGUAGCAAGAAGAAUUUCUGGCGCCGUUGCCGGGGAGUCUACGCAAAAGUCAACAUACCAAGUACCCAUCACAACCCUUAUCUCCCGCAUUACAUUAUUUGUCAUUUGCCUCUCGUUUUCCUCUCCCCCACUUCACCCUUGUCGUUUUAUUCGCCCUCUCUCUCUCUAUCCUCCCUCUCUUUCUCUAUUUACCUCUUUUUGCCCGCUUGCUUUUUGUUUGCUUGUGUGUUGAAUUGCUUGCUUGUCACGAUGGCUCAAGAUAACACUAAAUUGUGUGACUUUACCAAUACCAACAACAAUGAUUUUAUUAGCACUCCGAUUGCUCCUCUUACCGAUGCUGAAUCUUGUGAAAUUAAUGCCGCUUUGCUGAAUCUUGUUAUGAAAGAUCCGUUUUCCGGCCUUCCUAGUGAAGAUGUCGCUAGCCAUCUAAAUAUCUUCGUUGAUUUGUGUGAUAUGCAAAAGAAGAAAGAUGUGGAUAAUGAUAUUGUUAAAUUGAAGCUAUUUCCUUUUUCGCUUAGAGAUCGUGCUAAAGCUUAGUUUUCGUCUUUGCCUAAAAAUAGUAUUGAUUCUUGGAACAAGUGCAAAGAUGCUUUUAUCUCUAAGUAUUUUCCUCCCGCUAAGAUCAUCUCGCUUAGAAACGAUAUUAUGAAUUUUAAGCAACUUGAUCAUGAACAUGUUGCACAAGCUUGGGAGAGGAUGAAAUUAAUGAUACGUAAUUGCCCUACUCAUGGUUUGAAUUUGUGGAUGAUUAUACAAUUUUUUUAUGCCAGAUUGAAUUUUGCUUCUAGAAAUCUUUUAGAUUCGGCCGCGGGAGGCACUUUUAUGGAAAUCAAUUUAGGAUAAGCUACUAAACUCCUAGAUAAUAUUAUGGUUAAUUAUUCCCAAUGGCAUACUGAAAGAUCUACUAAUAAAAAGGUGCAUGCGAUAGAAGAAAUUAAUGUUUUGAGUGGAAAGAUGGAUGAACUUAUGAAAUUAUUUGCUAGUAAAAGUGUUUCUUCUGAUCCUAAUGAUAUGCCCUUGUCUACUUUGAUUGAGAAUAAUAAUGAAUCUAUGGAUGUGAAUUUUGUUGGUAGGAACAAUUUUGGUAACAACGCGUAUAGAGGAAAUUUUAAUCCCAGGCCUUAUCCUAGUAAUUCCUAUAGCAAUUCUUAUAUAAAUUAUAAUAAGAUGCCCUCUGAUUUUGAAUCUAAUAUUAAAGAAAUUAUUACUUUGCAAAAGAAUUUCAAUGCUUUGAUUGAAGAAAAAUUGCUUAAGAUUGAUGAGUUGGCUAGGAACGUUGAUAGAAUUUCUCUUGAUGUUGAUUCUUUGAAACUUAGAUCUAUUCCUCCUAAGCAUCAUAUCAAUGAGUCUCUCAAAGCUAUGAGAAUUUCCAUUGAUGAGUGCAAAGAAAGAACCGCUAGGAUGCGUGCUAAGAAAGAUGCCUUUAUAAGAGCGUGUUCUUCUAGUUCCUAUGAAAAUAAAGAUGAAGAUCUAAAAGUUAUUGAUGUGUCCCCUAUUAAAUCUUUGUUUUGCAAUAUGAAUCUUGAUAAUGAUGGGACUGAAUAUGAUCCACCUUUACCUAGAAGGCAUUCCAAAAAUUCGGAGUUUUUAGAUCUUAAUGCUAAAUUUGAUAAAAGUGGGAUUGAAGAAAUUAAAACCCUAGAUGUUGCUAAACCCAUUAUUUUGGAUUUAAAGGAAUUUAAUUAUGAAAAUUGCUCUUUGAUUGAUUGUAUUUCCUUGUUGCAAUCUGUGCUAAAUUCUCCUCAUGCUUAUAGUCAAAACAAAGCGUUUACUAAACAUAUUGUUGAUGCCUUGAUGCAAUCUUAUGAAGAAAAACUUGAGUUGAAAGUUUCUAUCCCUAGAAAACUUUAUGAUGAGUGGGAACAAACUAUUAAAAUUAAGAUUAAAGAUCAUGAGUUCUAUGCUUUAUGUGAUUUGGGUGCUAGUGUUUGCACGAUUCCAAAGACUUUGUGUGAUUUGUUAGAUUUCCGUGAUUUUGAUGAUUGCUCUUUAAACUUGCACCUUGCGGAUUCCACUAUUAAGAAACCUAUGGGAAGAAUUGAUGAUGUUCUAAUUGUCGCAAAUAGGAAUUAUGUGCCCGUAGAUUUUAUUGUUCUUGUCAUAGAUUGCAAUCCUUCAUGUCCUAUUAUUCCGUGUAGACCUUUCCUUAGAACGAUUGGUGCGAUUAUUGAUAUGAAGGAAGGAAAUAUUAGAUUCCAAUUUCCGUUAAAGAAAGGCAUGGAACACUUUCCUAGAAAGAAAAUUAAAUUACCUUAUGAAUCUAUUAUGAGAGCCACUUAUGGAUUGCCUACCAAAGAUGGCAAUACCUAGAUCUAUUCUUGCUUUUUAUGCUUAGCUAGGGGCGUUAAACGAUAGCGCUUGUUGGGAGGCAACCCAAUUUUAUUUUUAUUCCUUGCCUUUUGCUCCUGUUUAGUAAUAAAUAAUUUAACUAGCCUCUAUUUUGGUUGUGUUUUUUGUGUUUAAUUAGUGUUUGUGCCAAGUAGAACCGUUGGGAAGACUUGGGGAAAGUCUUGCUAAUCUUGCUGUAAAAAGCAGAAACUUUAGCGCUCACGAGAACUGAUGCCAUUUUUAUUUGGAAAGUUAUAUUUAGUUAAUUAUUUUUUAAUAUGAUUAAUAGAUAAAUUCCUCACGUCCAGCAAUUUAUUUUAAAAUUUUUGGGGUUACAGAUCUUGCACUAGCUACAGAUUACUACAGACUGUUCUGUUUUUGACAGAUUCUGUUUUUCGUGUGUUGUUUGCUUAUUUUGAUGAAUCUAUGGCUAGUAAAAUAGUUUAUAAACCAUAGAGAAGUUGGAAUACAGUAGGUCUAACACCAAUAUAAAUAAAGAAUGAGUUCAUUAUAGUACCUUGAAGUGGUCUUUUGUUUUCUUUCGCUAAUGGAGCUCACAAGAUUUUCUACCUUAAGUUUUGUGUUGUGAAGUUUUCAAGUUUUGGGUAAAGAUUUGAUGGACUAUGGAACAAGGAGUGGAAAGAGCCUAAGAUUGGGGAUGACCAUGGGACCCCCAAGAUAAUCUAAGGACACCUAAAAUCCAAAGCUUGGGGAUGCCCCGGAAGGCAUCCCCUCUUUCGUCUACUUCUAUAGAUAACUUUACUUGGAGCUAUAUUUUUAUUCACCACAUGAUAUGUGUUUUAACAGGAGCGUCUUGUAUUAUUUGAGUCUUUAUUUGUUAGUUUACCACAAUCAUCCUUGAUGUACACGCCUUUAGAGAGAGCCAUACAUGAUUUAGAAUUUGUUAGAAUACUCUAUGUGUUUCGCUUAUAUCUUUUGAGUUAUAUAGUUUUGCUCUAGUACUUCACUUAUAUCUUUUAGAGCACGGUGAUGGAUUUUUUUAUAGAAACUAUUGAUCUCUCACGCUUCACUUAGAUUAUUUUGAGAGUCUUAAUUAGCAUGGCAAUUUUCUUAAAUAAUCCAAUAUGCUUGGUAUUCAAGAAUAGUAAAAACUUUCUUAUGAGGGUGUUGAAAGCUAUGAGAAGUUUGAUGCUUGAUAAUUGUUUUGAGAUAUGAAGAUGGUGAUAUUAAAGUUGUGCUAGUUGAGUAGUUGUGAAUUUGAGAAAUACAUGUGUUAAAGCUUGUGAUUCCCGUAGCAUGCACGUAUGAUGAACUGUUAUGUGAUGAAGUCGGAGCAUGAUUUAUUUUUUGAUUGUCUUCCUUAUGAGUGGUGGUCGGGGACGAGCGAUGGUCUUUUCCUACCAAUAUAUCCCCCUAGGAGCAUGCGCGUAAUAUUUUGCUUUGAUAACUUGUAGAUUUUUGCAAUAAGUAUAUGAGUUCUUUAUGACUAAUGUUGAGUCCAUGGAUUAUACGCACUCUUUGUCCCUCCACCAUUGCUAGCCUCUCUAAUACCGCGCAUCUUUCGCCGGUAUCAUACACCCACCAUAUACCUUCCUCAAAACAGCCACCAUAUCUACCUAUUAUGGCAUUUCCAUAGCCAUUCCGAGAUAUAUUGACAUGCAACUUUCCACCGUUCCGUUCAUCAUGACACACUCCAUCAUUGUCAUAUUGCUUAGCAUGAUCAUGUAGUUGACAUCAUAUUUGUGGCAAAGCCAAUUCUUUCAUACAUGUCACUCUUGAUUCAUUGCAUAUACCGGUACACCGCCGGAGGCAUUCAUAUAGAGUCAUAUUUUGUUCUAAGUAUCGAGGUGUAAUUGUUGAGUUGUAAGAAAAUAAAAGUGUGAUGAUCAUCAUUAUUAGAGCAUUGUCCCAGUGAGGAAAGGAUGAUGGAGACUAUGAUUCCCCCACGGGUCGGGAUGAGACUCCGGACGAAAAAAAAGAAAAGAGGCCAUAAAAAAAGAGAAAAGGCCCAAAUCAAAAAAUGAGAGAAAAAGAGAGAAGGGACAAUGUUACUAUCCUUUUACCACACUUGUGCUUCAAAGUAGCACCAUGAUAUUCAUAUUAGAGAGUCUCUCAUUUCGUCACUUUCAUAUACUAGUGGGAAUUUUUCAUUAUAGAACUUGGCUUGAAUAUUCUAAUGAUGGGCUUCCUCAAAAUGCCCUAGGUCUUCAUGAGCAAGCAAGUUGGAUGCACACCCCCUUAGUUUCUUUUGUUGUGCUUUCAUAUACUUAUAGCUCUAGUGCAUCCAUUGCAUGGCAAUCCCUACUCACUCACAUUGAUAUCUAUUGAUGGGCAUCUCCAUAGCCCAUUGAUACGCCUAGUUGAUGUGAGACUAUCUUCUCCCUUUUUGUCUUCUCCACAACCACCAUUCUAUUCCACUUAUAGCGCUAUAUCCAUGGCUCACGCUCAUGUAUUGCGUGAAGAUUGAAAAAGUUUGAGAAUGUCAAAAGUAUGAAACAAUUUAUUGGCUUGUCGUCGGGGUUGUGCAUGAUUUAAAUACUUUGUGUGAUGAAGAUAGAACAUAGCCAGACUAUAUGAUUUUGUAGGGAUAGCUUUCUUUGGCCAUGUUAUUUUGAGAAGACAUGAUUGCUUUGUUACUAUGCUUGAAGUAUUAUUAUUUUUAUGUAAAUAUUAAACUUUUAUCUUGAAUCUUUCGAAUCUGAAUAUUCAUACCACAAUUAAGAAGAAUUACAUUAAAAUUAUGCCAAGUAGCACUCCGCAUCAAAAAUUCUGUUUUUAUCAUUUACCUACUCGAGGACGAGCAGGAAUUAAGCUUGGGGAUGCUUGAUACGUCUCCAACGUAUCUAUAAUUUUUUAUUGCUCCAUGCUAUAUUAUCUACUGUUUUGGACAUUAUUGGGCUUUAUUAUCCACUUUUAUAUUAUUCUUGGGACUAACCUAUUAACCAGAGGCCCAGCCCAGAAUUGUUGUUUUUGCCUAUUUUAGGGUUUCGAAGAAAAGGAAUAUCAAACGGAGUCCAAACGGAAUGAAACCUUCAGGAACGUGAUUUUCUCGCCGAACAUGAUCCAGGAGACUUGGACCCUACGUCAAGAAACAAAGGAGGAGGCCACGAGGUAGGGGGCNNNNNNNNNNNNNNNNNNNNNNNNNNNNNNNNNNNNNNNNNNNNNNNNNNNNNNNNNNNNNNNNNNNNNNNNNNNNNNNNNNNNNNNNNNNNNNNNNNNNNNNNNNNNNNNNNNNNNNNNNNNNNNNNNNNNNNNNNNNNNNNNNNNNNNNNNNNNNNNNNNNNNNNNNNNNNNNNNNNNNNNNNNNNNNNNNNNNNNNNNNNNNNNNNNNNCUGUUGCUCCACCGACGUACUCCUUCCUCCUAUAUAUAUCUGCGUACCCCCAAACGAUCAGAGACGGAGCCAAAACCCUAAUUCCACCGCCGUAACUUCCUGUAUCCACGAGAUCCCAUCUUGGGUCCUGUUCCGGAGCUCCGUCGGAGGGGGCAUCUAUCACGGAGGGCUUCUACAUCAACACUAGCCUCUCCGAUGAAGUGUGAGUAGUUUACCUCAGACAUUCGGGUCCAUAGUUAUUAACUAGAUGGCUUCUUCUCUCUUUUUGGAUCUCAAUAUAUACAAUGUUCUCCCCAUCUCUUGUGGAGAUCUAUUCGAUGUAAUCUUCUUUUUGCGGUGUGUUUGUUGAGACCGAUGAAUUGUGGGUUUAUGAUCAAGAUUAUCUAUGAACAAUAUUUGAAUCUUCUCUGAAUUAUUUAAUGUAUGAUUGGUUAUCUUUGAAAGUCUCUUCGAAUUAUCAGUUUGGUUUGGCCUACUAGAUUGAUCUUUCUUGCAAUGGGAGAAGUGCUUAGCUUUGGGUUCAAUCUUGUGGUGUCCUUUGCCAGUUACAGUAGGGGCAGCAAGGGACGUAUUGUAUUGUUUCCAUUGAGGAUAACAAGAUGGGGGUUUCAUCAUAUUGCAUGAGUUUAUCCCUCUACAUCAUGUCAUCUUGCUUAAGGCGUUACUCUGUUUUCAUGAACUUAAUACUCUAGAUGCAUGCUGGAUAGCGGUCGAUGAGCGAAGUAAUAGUAGUAGAUGCAGGCAAGAGUCGGUCUACUUGUCUUGGACGUGAUGCCUAUAUACAUGAUCAUACCUAGAUAUUCUCAUAACUAUGCUCAAUUCUGUCAAUUGCUCAACAGUAAUUCGUUCACCCACCGUAAAAUACUUAUGCUCUUGAGAGAAGCCACUAGUGAAACCUAUGGCCCCCUGGUCUAUCUUCAUCAUAUUAAUCUUCCAAUACUUAGUUAUUUCCUUUGCUUUUACUUUACUUUGCAUCUUUAUCACAAAAAUACCAAAAAUAUUAUCUUAUCAUAUCUAUCAGAUCUCACUCUCGUAAGUUACUGUGAAGGGAUUGACAACCCCUUAUCGCGUUGGUUGCGAGGAGUUAUUUGCUUUGUGCAGGUACGAGGGACUCGCGCGUAGCCUCCUACUGGAUUGAUACCUUGGUUCUCAAAAAUUGAGGGAAAUACUUACGCUACUUUGCUACAUCAUCCUUUCCUCUUCAAGGAAAUCCAACACAGUGCUCAAGAGGUAGCACCCCUCCAUAGUUCAACACCUCAGUCAUAUCGUCGUAGUGCUUAGGUGAAGCCCCACGCCGGUAACUUCAUCAUCACCGUCGCCACACAAUUAUGCUGAAGGAACUGUCUCUCACCCUCAACUGGAUCAAAAGCUCGAGGGACAUCAUCAUGCUGAAUGUGUGCUAAACACGGGGGUGCCAUACGUUCGGUACUUGGAUCGGUUGGAUCGUGAAGACGUUCGACUACAUCAACCGCGUUACUAAACGCUUCCGCUUUCGGUCUACGAGGGUACGUGGACACACUCUCCCCUCUCGUUGCUAUGCAUCUCCUAGAUAGAUCUUGUGUGAUCGUAGGAAUUUUUUGAAAUACUUUGUUCCCUUCAGUUACCAGCGUGCCCAAGCCAUUGCACCUCUCACCUCCAUGAUUGCCUCUUUUCCUCUACCACCAAAUUGAAUUUUCUUCUUAAGAUAUAGUUUUAAAUCUUAAUCAUGCAAUCGGCUCAAAACUACACUAAUUGAUUGGGAAAGGAAAAUAAAAUGUAAAACAUCAACCCUGCAUUAGUGCAUCUUUCCUGACUCAAGAGCAUGACACCAAGUAGACGAACACCUUUCAGGCCAGGGAAGAGCGAGGAUCCUCCCAGGCUCCUUCGAUGAAAGAUGAUUGGAAUACAAAAGAAGUUAAUCAUCAGUAAUGGAGAGGCCAUCUACAUGUGCACUGUCAGUUACAUAUGUUACAACCAAGUGAUAGGGGUUCUUUUUAGAGAGAAAAGAAAAUCGGUGGGGGUGUUCAUUAAUUCGGUGGAGGGCUAAUGAAACGAAACGACCUACAUACUCCCCUUUAAUAGUAGAUAUUUUAUAACGUGCUUAUCUUAGCAACGAUGAUUCAGUAGAUAUUGCAUGUGGAAACCUGUGGGGAAUUGGAUUGAGGUACAUCAACAUUAACACUUUUUGAGGAACACUUAAUUUUAGCUACCAAAUGGUAGUACAUGUCUGUUUGAAUGUUACUGGAAGUCUGCUACAUCAAGAGCGAGACAACAAUAGCCAACUACAACUAAUUGAGACAAUAUAUAUCAACAUCGACGGAUACAUAUAUUGCCAAAUCCCAGCAAAAUGAGAGAGAAAAAAAGGUGGCAUUCAAGAAAAUCUAGUGAACAUCUCUUAAAUGCUUGUAAGAAAUCUGAAUAGACUCUCAAAAAUAUCCUUCUCAAGAUAAAAAACAAACUGGUCAAGAUUACCUUUCAUACACAAAUACAGGAGUAGAAGUAGACCAGAUGUGCUACAACCAAACAACAACCCCGAGAAGCCUAUUUCGAGGGGAAAUGAACCGAAAUGAAAACAGAGAUUCAUGGCAGUUAUAUACCUCUCUUUUGGCGGUCAUGGUGGUGUGCCGCUCCACCUUUGGGCUUCGCAUAGUGGGAAACUUGGUCACCAGCAGAAUCCAGGAUGGCCCCAUCUUGUUUGCUCCGAGGGGAGACCAUUGGGUAAGGUGCUCCACUGAGCCAUUCCUUCAUGGCAAUAACAAGUACAGUGAGUCAGAAACCUCAAAAAAGGAAAAAAAAUCAUAAGGCAGUGGAAGCUCAGGGUGAAGUGAAGUUCCUUGCUUCACGGCUAUACUGCUUGAAUAUAACCUGAGAAAAUGCAUCUUGUUCAAGCAGCAUGGCUAGAGGAGGCAUGAGGUUUUAGUGCCUCCCUUCAUCCCAAAUGCAGGGGGAAACCAAAGAUGAAUCCACUCCGAAGUUAUGAUGAGAAAGCUAUAUUGAUCAUGUUACUACAUUUUUAAACUCUUUAACAAGCUUGAUUUGUCUUCAGUUUUAUCCAGUGUAUGUCUUCUCUUCAUAUUUAUCCAGUUUACAAACUAUGAAAAACUCAGGUAUGUGAAACAGAUAGCACACAUAGAUCAAUGUCAAAAUCCGAAGCAACACACAACUCAAAACAGAUAGCACAUGUGGAUCAAUCUAUCAUCUAUGCCCAAACAAAUAGCACAUGUAUGUGGAUCAAUCUUGUUAGGAAUCAAAUUUAGCAGUGGUCUUUUAUUAAUUAGCACAUACUAAUUAGUGAACCAACAUUAGCAAUUAGCAACCAUCAAUAACACUUGGAUUUUGUCCAACACCUAACCAACAAACCUUGUAAGUGACCUACACCUUAUAUAAAUACUCAGAUUCAUCAUCAAUGAAAAGCUGUUGAUUCAUUCAUUUAUCUAUCUCUCUAUUUUUUUACUUCUAAACACGUUAUCAUGCACUUUGCUCUCCAAUUGAGCAAUUUGACCGGGAAAUAAAAGAGAAGAACAAGGAUGAAUAGGGGACUUCAAUCCACAUUGGUUUAAAGAUCAUCCUCGAAUAGAACGGAUAGAUCAAAACAAAAGAAGAAACCAACUGAUUAUACUCCAUACAGGAACUUGAAAUUGGUCAGAUUUUUCAAUCAAGUAACCACAACGGAUUGAUCCUUGUUUUUCAUCAUUAUCAGUGGCCAGGAAUUAGGCAAUGUUCGCAUCUUUUCAUGGGCGAAGACAUCAUAAAAGAAACGGACGAACGGAAAAGGAGAACAGAGCUUGUCUAUCUGGCUUCAAUCAAGAAAAUACUAAUAACAGAGAUUACCUGUUUAAUCUAGUAUUCUUGUUAUCAACUAAUAAUCUAACAAUGGAUUGCGUUUCCCAUGUAUGUACGUACUCACGCAAAUCACAAGAAGAAACGAUCGAUCAUGUAUUACGAAGAAGAGGCAGUGCUCUCAUGCGCACGUCGCCAUCCGGCCGGCGCAACUUCCCACGAAUCCUUGCUCAACUGGAACAUGGCAUGGCGCGUCUCAGUAGUGGCAGCCGAUGGGUCGCUCCACCCUCCGGCAGAGCACAACCACGAUGUGGGGGCGAAGCCCUCAGGCACGCGGCGACGUCGCCUCGGCUCCGAUCACACAUGCACAAGCACUACUAGGGAAAAGCCUAGUAGUAAUGUGGAUUUAAUUCCUACACACUACUAGUAAGGUGCUACAUCUAUUCCUUAGCAGUAGCGCGUGUAACACACACUAAUGCUAAGACAUAUAGCCGUUUCCAGCGCUACUGCUAAUCUAACUAGUAGUAGCAUGCUUCUUGUCCAGUGCUACUACAUUUUUAGUGUAUUUAUAUGCCGUUAUACAAAUUUUGAUACAGUACCAAUUAAGAGGUUGUUAUAUCAUUAUGUCCAUGAUGAAUUAAUAUAUCAUUGUAAGGAAGAAACAUGGAUUAGAUUCAUUUGGAUGAAUCAAAAGUUGAAAUAGGAUGACGAUCCUACUAAUUCAACUUUUGGUCACUUUUGAUCCAUCCACAUGAAUCUAAUCCGCGUUCCUUCCACCAAUGAUAUAAUAACUAAUCAUGAUCAUAAUAACAAAUAAUCAUGAUCAACAUCAUCAUCAUAUUAAUAUAAAAACUCUUGCAUCAUGUCAUCACCAACAACACUAGCUAAUAAUCAUCAUAGUCAUUACCACCAACACUAUUUAAUCAUCAUAGUCAUAGUGUAGCUAUCUAAUCACCCCCAACACUAGCUAAUAAUAAUAAUAAUCAUAGUCAUUACCACCAACACUAGCUAUUUAAUCAUCAUAGUCAUAGUGGAGCACAUCAUCAUCUUCAAACUCAUUCUAGCUAGCUAAUCACUCCUGCUGCUCUCUCUCAGGUAAAAUAGCAUAAAACAUGUGUAGCACUCCUGCUUCAUCAUAUUGGAGAAUGCAGAUGAACCAGACUCCUAAUUGUGGAUUGCGCUUCUGAUUGCUGCCCCCUAGUACUUCUCUUUUGUGGCCCUUCACAAUUUUGCUCCAGUCUUUCACUAUUAAGACUUACUCGCUUUGAUAAAUCAUGAAUGCACUCAUGUGUAAUGCAGGAUAUUUUGGUCGUAAGCUAACCAUUGUCAUGCGACCUUUAGGCUCGAUCCAACGAGGCACAACAUUCAUCGGGAGUUCCUGUUGAAAAACAUCGUACUAACAUACUUAGCAAUGAAGUUUAGCUUAAAAAUAAUGUAUGCAAAAGUUGCACUAAGGAUAAAUAGUAAAAAUCUUACCAUCUUUCCUAAAUAGAUGUGAUUGUAGUUCAAUAGGCACACUAGUGGUCGCACGUAUUGAGUACUAAUAUUUCGAAGUUUAGGAAAAUAACCUGUCUUGACAGUAUUAAGAUCCUCAAGCCAUGAAACAUAAUGACUUAUCUCCUCACAGUUUAGUUCAUUUCCGGGACAGUAGUAGGUGAUGUCUACCAAGCGUCGGACAUGUUUGCUUGAAUGGAAAUAAGCUGUCAACAGAAAUUAGUUGUCAACUAUUUUUAAAUAAACAAUAUAAAUUACUUAAUAAAUAUGGUUGAGAAACUCACAUAAUGGUAGAACUAGGGGCGUCUGCACAUCGACCCAGAUGUCGAUAUUACCUUCAAUUUAAUCUUCCAGAUGAAUAUCAAAGGUGAUAAGCAUAUUAGGCUCAAAUGCAUAAGCCUUGCACAGUGCUCUCUAAUUUUUGCAUUCAAAAUAGGACUAGGUGUCUGCAUUGUAUAAUUUUUCGGCAAAAGUAUAACCAUACUCGGUCCUCAACUGAACUCUCUUUGCCUCCAUACUGUCCAUAGUAUUGAAACCAAUAUUAUCCAAGACAUAAAUUCUUCCAUGGCAGGGGAUACGCUAGUAGAAUGCUAAAAAAAUUAAAAUUAUAAGUUGAAGCAAAAGAAGCAGAAGUCAUACUUAAUUACGAAAAAAAGACUUGUCAUUGUGACUUACUAUAUCCACUUCGAAGGUCUCAUCCAACAUGAUGUUGAAGCGCCUACCACCAACUAGGUGAGGCCUAUCGCAUAGGCCGCGCUCGCCUUCGCAGUAUUCGCACAUAACGAAUUCCUUUUCGUUGUUAGACAUUUCCUAUGUUCAUAGUUGAAACAUUGAAAAUCGAUCGAAGACAACUACCAGGAAACUCAACACAUAGAUCACUAUUACUCAAUAUGAAACGGGUUAACUUUAGGUCUGUCGAGUCUUCCUUCCUAAACUCUUAUCUCACAUAUUUAGUCGGGAUUCUUUCACUCUCACAUUUUGACCGUCGGUGAUAGUCACUACUCCUCCUUUUCCUAGUGCAUUACAAAUAUCUAGCACAAGGAAAGAAGGAGAAGCGACCCGCACGACAACAGUCGGGAUUCUUCCUCUCUCAAUGGUGGACCCUCUCCCUCAUUGAAAGACACACAAGGAGCCGAAAUAGACAUGAAGUCAACUUGUUCCAUAUAUCGAGCAAUGAUAUUGAAAAAAUGCCCUAUGUUUUGCCGAAAUAUCGUUGAAUUCCUGUUCUAGCAAAUCACAUGCACUCGAUAUGUCCUACAUUGUAGCAUAAGUCAUGCUAAAAUUCAUGAAAAAAUUCGGCAUCGCCUUUGCUAAAGACAUGACAUAUCGAGCACCUGAAAUUGCCAGAAUGGAAACGAAUCAACAUUCUAGCAAAACAUAUAUAGGCCACUCGGAGGUACAUUGCAAACAAGAACACCAAGACAUCCUCUAUAUUCAGAAUGCAUCAUCAUCGACAUCAAUGACAUGGCGACUAGCACUAGCAUUUUCAUCAUCGACAUUUACAACACAUUAUCAUUUGGCUAUUCUCACCUAGAGGUCUUAAGGGGUCGACGAUGGGGACGACUGUGGGGAUGACGCGGGGGCAAAUACUUGAUUUCGGUAUAAACAAAAUAUAUUAACCACUUACUAUAAAUAAACUAGUUCUAUUAAGCACUUACUAUAAAUAAACUAUUUCUAUUGAGAACUUACUAUAAAUAAACUAGUUAUAUUAACCACUUACUAAAUAACUAUUUCUAUUAAACACUUGCUAAAAUUUAAACAUUGUUAACUGAUAAAUCUCCAACGUAUCUAUAAUUUUUGAUUGCUCCAUGCUAUAUUAUCUACUGUUUUGGACAUUAUUGGGCUUUAUUAUCCACUUUUAUAUUCUUUUUGGGACUAACCUAUGAACCGGAGGCCCAGCCCAGAAUUGCUGUUUUUUUGCCUGUUUUAGGGUUUCAAAGAAAAGGAAUAUCAAACGGAGUCCAAAGGGAAUGAAACCUUCGAGAACGUGAUUUUCUCAACGAGCAAGACCCGAGAGACUUGGACCCUACGUCAAGAAAGAAAAGAGGAGGCCACGAGGUAGGGGCGCGCCUACCCCCCCCCCCCCAGGCGCGCCCUCCACCCUCGUGGGCCCCCUGUUGCUCCACUGACGUACUCCUUCCUCCUAUAUAUACCUACGUACCCCCAAACGAUCAGAUACGGAGCCAAAACCCUAAGUCCACCGCCGUAACUUUCUGUAUCCACGAGAUCCCAUCUUGGGUCCUGUUCCGGAGCUCCGCCAGAGGGGGAAUCGAUCACGGAGGGCUUCUACAUCAACACCAUAGCCCCUCCGAUGAAGUGUGAGUAGUUCACCUCAGACCUAUGGGUCCACAGUUAGUAUCUAGAUGGCUUCUUGUCUCUUUUUGGAUCUCAAUACAAUGUUCUCCCCUCUCUUGUGGAGAACUAUUCGAUGUAAUCUUCUUUUUGCGGUGUGUUUGUUGAGACCGAUGAAUUGUGGGUUUAUGACCAAGUCUAUCUAUGAAUAAUAUUUGAAUCUUCUCUGAAUUCUUUCAUGUAUGAUUGGUUAUCUUUGCAAGUCUCUUCGAAUUAUCAGUUUGGUUUGGCCUACUAGAUUGAUCUUUCUUGCAAUGGGAAAAGUGCUUAGCUUUGGGUUCAAUCUUGCGAUGUCCUUUCCCAGUGACAGUAAGGGCAGCAAGGCACGUAUUGUAUUGUUGCCAUCGAGGAUAACAAGAUGGGGUUUUCUUCAUAUUGCAUGAGUCUAUCCCUCUACAUCAUGUCAUCUUGCUUAAGGCGUUACUCUGUUUUUAACUUAAUACUCUAGAUGCAUGCUGGAUAGCGGUCGAUGAGUGGAGUAAUAGUAGUAGAUGCAGGCAGGAGUCGGUCUACUUGUCUCGGACGUGAUGCCUAUAUACAUGAUCAUACCUAGAUAUUCUCAUAACUAUGCUCAGUUCUGUCAAUUGCUCAACAGUAAUUUGUUCACCCACCGUAGAAUACUUAUGCUCUCGAGAGAAGCCACUAGUGAAACCUAUGGCCCCCGGGUCUAUCUUUAUCAUAUUGAUCUCCUACUACUUAGUUAUUUCAUUUGCUAUUUACUUUGCCUUUAUUUUACUUUGCAUCUUUAUCACAAAAAUACCAAAAAUAUUAUCUUAUCAUAUCUAUCAGAUCUCACUCUCGUAAGUGGCCUUAUAGGGAUUAACAACCCCUAUUUGCGUUGGUUGCGAGGAUUUACUUGUUUUGUGCAGGUACGACGGACUCAUGCGUAGCCUCCUACUGGAUUGAUACCUUGGUUCUCAAAAACUGAGGGAAAUACUUACGCUACUUUGCUGCAUCAUCCCUUCCUCUUCGGGGAAAACCAACGCAGUGCUCAAGAGGUAGGAUUAACCUAGCCAACCAGACUGCUAUGCUCUAAACCCUGCUGCCCUAGUUAAACCUACUGCCCUAACUACAUUUUUGCUCUAAACUAAAUUUUUGCUCUAACCUAGCUAGUUAACCUAAUGAACCUAGCUAGUUAACCUAGUUGGUUAACCUAGCUAGUUAACCUAGUUGGUUAACCUAGCUAGUUAACCUAGUUAAUUAACCUAAUUAAACUAGUUAACCUAGCUAGCCAACCUAGUUAACCUAGCUAGUUUGAAUUUUUACUAAUUUACUAAAAAAUCUACUCUAUGCAAGAACAGAGUGAGGAGAGAUGAGGGAGGGAGAAUGGGAGCAGGGGGUGGGGGAGGGAGGAGGAUCGGAGGAGGGAGGAGGGAGGGGUNNNNNNNNNNNNNNNNNNNNNNNNNNNNNNNNNNNNNNNNNNNNNNNNNNNNNNNNNNNNNNNNNNNNNNNNNNNNNNNNNNNNNNNNNNNNNNNNNNNNNNNNNNNNNNNNNNNNNNNNNNNNNNNNNNNNNNNNNNNNNNNNNNNNNNNNNNNNNNNNNNNNNNNNNNNNNNNNNNNNNNNNNNNNNNNNNNNNNNNNNNNNNNNNNNNNNNNNNNNNNNNNNNNNNNNUGGGAGGAGGGCUUGGCCGGAGGAGGAGGCGGAGGGCUUGGUGGAGAAGGAGGAGUGCCCUUGGCCGGAGGAGAGGAGGGAGGAGGGCUUAGCCGGAGGACGAGGGAGGAGGGCGGUGGGAGGAGGAGGGAGAGGAGGGAGGAGGGCAUACCGAGGAAGGAGGAGGGAGGACGACGGCGGCAAUGCGUUGGCGACAGCAAUGCAGCGGUGGCAGAGGAAAAGUGAGGCAACGGGAAGUGAGGGAAGGAAGAAGAAGGUCGGGUGCGUGUCGGCGUUUUGGGAACGGGGGUCCCCAGACUUGCCUGCCUGCGGCCUGCGGUGUGGCUCAAGCGGGGGCCCAGCGCGGCCCAUCUUCAUCAGCUCAAGCUCAAGACCCUCGCGAGGGGCCAAGCCUCGCGGGGCGGACGACAGGAAGCUUCCUCAGAGGCAGCCUCAUCAGGCAGGCUUGCAAGGAGGCGGAGAGAUCAAGGCAGGGGUACCUCGCGAGGAACCCGUGAUGCAAGCCAUGACGAUCGAGACCAGGCGGGCGCCAGGCGGGCGCCGGCCUGCGCAGUGUCCUUGUUUCCCCUUUGGUGCAAAGGGGGCAAGCACAGGCCAAGGAAUCAGGCAAAGGUUACCAUUCCGGUGCAACGAGACCAAGACCAGCCGGACGGUUGGACGGAGGUCACCGUGGAGUCCAAGAUGGCAUCAUCACCAGUGCUUUUGGCAGCCGAAGACCACCUUUGGUCAGGAUAACUUGUACUAGAUGUUCCCCUUCGAAAUGGCCAAUUGUUGGCGCCCUUCCCGCUCAUUAUUUGGGGAGAGGCCCAGGGCCUCUAUAAAUAGAGCUAGCCACCACAGAGUAGGGAGGAGACACCCGAGAGAGAUCGAGACACCCCGGAGAGAUCGAGACCCCCGAGAGAGAACGAGACACCCCGGAGAGACCAAGGCACCGAGGAAGGGAGAAAUCUGGAGACGGCUAGAAAUCUGGUAGAACCAUAGCAGAGAGAGAGGAAGAGGCGACUGAACUCACCCUAGCAGUUCAUCGCACCAGCUCAAAAACACCUCUCACGAGGCUAUUCUUCCCUUGUACUGUCCAUCAUCAGUCCCAGAGGCAAUCCACCACACCACACACUGGAGUAGGGUAUUACACCACAACGGUGGCCCGAACCAGUAUAAACUUCGUGUCUCUUGUGUUGUUCAUCAUUUUCAUCUUAGUACGCACGAGAGGAUCGGACGUAGAUCGGUAGGGGAGAGAUCUCCGCGCGCACCCUAGUGUUCGAACCUCAAGGGUUUGCCGGAACCCGAAACCCGACAUUUGGCGCGCCAGGUAGGGGUGCGCCGGAAUCUUCCUUCCGCUGUUCGCGUGUGAUCUUCCGUCGUGUCCAUGGCUGACGCUCGUCGGGCUCAGGCCGAGCGCCGGGCUACUCACGCCGCUCGCGUCGCCCAGACGGCGCCCGUCGGCGGCCCCCCUCGUUGUUCCCCGUCGCCCGCCGCCAACGCCGCCAACGUACCGGCGGGGAACGAGCAGCAGGCCUUGUCCCAGCACCCCUCGGUGCGGCGGGAUGGCCGCAUCGCCACCACGUCGCUGACUCCAGCUGGCUCGUCGUCCCACGCCCGUCGCGCACCCAUGGAUGCGCACGCCUCACUGCUCUUGGCGUGGGAGCUCCUGCACUAUCGCCCCAUCAACGACCUCUACGAGGACUGGCUCGCCCCAUCACCGAGCUCGUCAGUGCCGCAGGGGGCUCCCCCUUGCGGUCCCUCUCGCUGCCUCGCCCUCCAUCCCGUGCAGGGGGCGAUGAUCAGGAGGCGCCUCUGCCGCCUCCUCCCCAAGAAAGUGCCUUGGCUCCAAGGCGCGCAACCCCAGGGCGAGACCCUCCAUGUCCGGCGCCUGCGCAGCAAGAAGGGAGCUGCCAAGAGAUCCCACGUCCCCGGGAAGGUGCUCGCGCGCUCCCAGCACCGGCGCGCCAAGAUCGCGCCCCAGCGCCUCCACGACAAAACCCCACGCUGCUCCCAGUGGCGGCGCGUGGUGACCCGCAAGAACGAGUCCAACACCAGCAAAGCACGCCGGUGGCCACGGCGGGCUGCCUCGCCUUCACCCCCGAGCUGCGAUGCAUCACAUGGCCAGGCAAGUUCAAGCCUGACCUCCCUCCCUGCUACAAUGGCACAGCGGACCCCGCAGAGUUCCUGCAGCUCUAUGAGCUGGGCAUCGUAGCCGCCAACGGAGACGAGAAGGUCAUGGCAAAUUGGUUCCCCAUGGCUCCUGAACCUGGCUCCCGGCAUGAUCUCCUCCUGGAGCGAGAUGCACACCCGCUUCAUCGCCAAUUUCCAGGGCACUCGCGACCGGCCCCCGGCCGUGAGCGACCUGCGCCGCAUCAAGCAACAGCCAGCAGAAACCUUGCAGAAGUACAUCCAGCGCUUCAACUACGCUCGCCUCAAGAUCCCCAAGGUGACUGAAGAAGCCAUCAUCUCAGCCUUCUCCGACGGCGUGCGCGAGGUCAAGAUGAAGGAAGAGCUAGCAAUCCAUGAAGACCUGUGCACAUCCCUGGAGCUGUUCAACUUGGCGACCAAGUGCGCCAGGGCUGAGGAAGGGCGUCUCUCCCUCCUCGAGCUCCCGGCAGCCGACCCGGAAGAAAAGAAGCUCAAGGCCAAGGACGUGAAGCGCAAGGGGGCUGCCGUUCUAGCAGCGGAACCGGACACCAAGCGAGGCAUGGAUCAGCCUUAGUCAUCCUAGGGCGGACGGCACUGCAUGUACGACGACCUCCACACCCACAACACCAACGAAUGUCAAGAGCUCAGAGCCGUGCGAGAUGGGCGUAUCAGCCGAUGCCCAGAGCGCAACGACAGGGGCUAUGGCCGAGGAGGAGGAAGAGGUGGUGGACGAUGGGAAGAUCGUGGCCUUCGCCAGGGAUGCGUGACCGCCCUCGCGAGGACCGCUGGCAGGACCAGCCUCGUGAGGGAGGUUGGAAGGACCAUCCUCGUGAGGACCGUCCCCACGGCAACGUAGGCCUCCCUCCUCUGCCACCUUCACCAAGGAGGAACGAAGACCAACACCAAGACGAUGGGGCUGGGGGCUUCCAAGAUCUGCGUGCAAUUGCUUGCAUCUUGGGCGGCGCCCAGGCCCCAGCCUCACAAAGCAUCUUCGAGCAGUUUGCUCGCGAGGUGAAUGCAAUCCUUCCCAAGCUUGAGGCCACGCGCCCUCUCAGGUGGUCUUCAUGCGCGAUCACAUUCAGUUCCGCAGACUAGCUCAAGUGUGCGGCAACGGCCAGAGUCCUCCCGAUGCUUUGCUCCCCAGUUAUCAGCAACGUGCAGGUCACCAGGACCCUCAUCGAUGGCGGGGCAGGACUCAAUGUCCUGUCCGUCGAGACAUUCGACAAUCUCCAAGUGCCAUACGACCAGCUUUAGCCGACCAAGCCUUUCUCAGGAGUCACCGAUGGUUCCACUGUUCCAAUUGGGCAGGUUCGCCUUCCGGUCACCUUCGGGCAACGCAACAACUACCGCACCGAGCUCAUCGACUUUGACGUCGCCCACAUCCGCCUGCAGUACAACGCCAUCCUCGGGUACCCAGCCCUAGCCGAGUUUAUGGCAGUGACUCACCAUGAUUACAAUGUCCUCAAGAUGCCAGGAAGCGGUGGAGUCAUCACCGUACCCUGUGAAGAAAGGGACGCAGUGUGCUCGCUCGAGCGUGCAUUCCAAGCCGCAGCAAUCGAAGACCCAGAUCGCAGGAGCGGGAAGCCUCUCGAGGCGACCCUCAAGAAGAAGAAGACCUCACCUGGCCAGAGCCACAAGGAAGCAGGCACCUCCAGAGGUAUUGUGUCAAGAUUCGCGCCCGAUCAGGGAGCGCCGCCCUCUUGCACAUAGGAAGGAGCGCCCGGCGCCCUCCUCAUGCAGGGCUCGGGGGCUCUCUCUUGGAGAGCCACCGACCUUGCCAAGGUUGCAGGGGGGGCGCUCGGGCACCACUUGGAGGGGUGCUUUCAGGCACGCUUCCCUCAGAAAGGUACAAGUCAAAGGAGACAAAACCCUCAGGAGUUCAUCGCAAGGAACACCCAAGAGCUACAAGAGUCCAUAGUCAUGCGCGGAAGCCGCCUCUUACCUGUCGUGGCCGCACAUCCAGGCGAGGAUGGAGGACUGUGCGUCUGUGUCGACGUACCAGGGCUCAACCGAGCUGCGUCCCAGGAACGCCUAUGGCCUUCGGCCGUAGGGCGCUGUGUGGGAGCACCCCACAGCUACGUUCGCAUGCCCUUCGGCCUGCCGAGCGCAGUCGCCGCACAUCAGUGCCUGUUGAGGAGCAUUCUGGAGGCUCAGGAGGUCAGGCAUGGCGCGGUCCUGGCGGAGGUGGCGAUGGUCCCCGAAGACCUGCACGUGCCAUCAGAGCCUCCUGAGGCCUGGGGGCUCAUGAGGGCCGACGUCUUCACCGCGCAUCGCUCACUUCCUCAGCAUCACUUUGUCUUCAACAACACCAGGUGACAUCUUUCAGAGUUCUACUUUUAGCUGGGAGCGCCCACAGGGCUGCACCAUUCCCAGGCCGCGUGGGUCCGUCCCUGCGGCAUGUAUCUAUUUUGGUUAUGCUCUUUACUUACCCUGUUGGGGGCGCCCCUCGGGCUGCAUCAUCCCCACACCGCUCAGGCCCGACCCAGCGGCAGUUGCUUUUCCAGCAUUUACCCUAGGAUGAAGUUGUUCUUUCAUGCUUAAUCUAAUUCCCAUAGUUAUCACCUACUUCUUGUCGUCGUGCAAAGCGCUUGCACGUUAAAAGGGGGCGCCUAAGCAUCGCGACUCAUGGGCUCUUACUGGCUCUCCAUCCCUCACCCCCUGGCCUUGACCCAUAGCAUCGUGACCUGUCAUACUAGUGACGGCUGAGCUCGCUUGGGGGCCGGGACCUGAGGACGUAGAGCAUUUGCAUUCUAAUAACCCUGCAGGAACACACCAAUUGAUAAAGGCCCAGACCCAGCCGCAACCCGCCUCGAGGUAGGGCCUCGUGAGUCCCGCGCUGGCUCACGGGUGCCCAAAUACACCUCUCCUAGCCCUACCGUGCCGACCACGUGUCAGGGCGGGGCUAUACAUGCCCCGGGGGCUCCUCCCAGAGGGGAGCCCCCUCCCACGCACCAGUGCAAGCACCAUGCUCCGCGCUGGCUGACGACACUGCCGGGGAGCGGCUAUGCCCGUACACAUACAGAAGCGCUAUGCUCCGCGCUGGUGAUAAACAACUAAGGGCGGCCCAUGGCCGUACCAACCUCAGGGAGCCCAGAGCUCAGUGUCCGGCACCAUCGCAACACCUCCCCUCGGGAGUGCCGCGCGAGGGGGCUGGACACGGGGGCUACGCCCGGGCCUCGCCUGAGCGCACGCCACCCAGCCAGGUCCCUUGGACCUGGUCGCCGCGCGCCACUCCCCGAGCGGAGCCAAGGUACGAAACCCGUUUGAGCGUCUAGGGGGACUCCUGAGCAUCGCGACUCAGGAGCCUAACUUUCCAUGUAGCCCCUCACUCCUUAGUCCCGUCCUUGGUUUCCGAUCGGGGCUAACACUGGGUGAGGUAUGCGCGGGGCCGGGCCCUGCCGACGUAUAACGAUCAAUCCACUCCUCGCUCCCCCCUUCCCUACUUGUUGCUCACGCGUCAAGGGGGACUCCUGAGCAUCGCGACUCAGGAGCCUAACUUGCCACGUAGCCGCUCACUCCUUAGUCCCGUCCUUGGUUUCCGGUCGGGGUUAACGCUGGGUGAGGUACGCGCGGGGCCGGGCCCUGCCGAUGUAGAGCGUAAACAAGUAGGUGAGGAAAAUGCAAAUUCCUGGAAAUUCAAAGCAAAUAUUACAAACCAUAAGAUUGUUCCACAAUGCCAAACACAAGUUUUAACGCCUCCGCGAGGCAUGGUGCAUGUGCAGGAAUAAAACAGGAUGGAAGUCGCGAAGGAAUCACUCCCCAGUAACGCCGUCACCGGUGGCAGAGUCAAGCUGGACGGCUUCGCCUCUCGAGGUCGCAAGGCCGACGGCACCGCGCCCGGGCAGGACGCUGGGGGAACGGAACUUCCCCAGCAAAACCUCGGCUCGGCCCCUCACAGCCUCGGCGGCGGCGGCGGCAGCACGAUCGCCGCUCACGGGCUCCAGCAGGCUGUCGAAGUCGACGUUGGGGUCGCGCAGGUAGACAUGGCUGAGGACACGCGUCAGCACCGCAGAAGACAGGGCACAUGCCUCGGCCUCGACCGUGGGGCCAAGGCCGUCUGCGACGUCCUCAAGCGCAUCAACCAGGAAGGGGAGCAGCUUGGCGGGGCCGUCCUCCGCACCAGCCAACGGCUCCUCCAGGACGCUCUCAUACAUCGUAUUCAGUAUGCCUCGAGCCUUCUUCUCCAGCUCCGCGAAGGCCGUCCGGUCCUCCAUCAGGACCUUUGCCUUGGCGUCCAUCUUGGUCCUCUUCGCCUUCAGCGACCGCUCCAGCGUCUCCAGCCGGCUGUGGUGGUCAUCAAGCUUGGCGUCCCGGUCCGUGGCGGCGGCCUCCCUAGCCUUCAUCUCCUUCUCCUGGCGGCUGCGCACCUCCUUGGCGAGCUCGUCACGCAAGCCCUGCAGCUCGGCCUCAAGCGUCUUGCAGCGGCCCUGGGCAUUUGCGACGUCGCCUAGGGUAGCAUCGCGAGCGGCCAUGGCUUGGUUGGCGGCCCGCCUCUCCUCGUCGGAGGCAUAGCUUGGCUCAACACCACUCGGAAGGAGGCAGCAGAACUAGCCCAGCCAGAGGCCAACUCUAGGCGCCCGGCCACCAGACGAGGGUCCGCACUCAGGAGAUCCUCCCGCAAUUGGCUCAGCUCAUUGGCAACCUGGUCCAGGACAGCGGCGGAGGGAGCAGAAGAGACAAGAACCUAUGGAGCAGGCGGAGAGGAUGGCAGCGUGGCCACGGCUUGGCAGGAAGGGACCUCCUGAGCCUUGGCCGCCAUGGCCGCAGCAUCGGGCACAGUCGACUCCAGGUCUAGUGGGGCCACGGGGGUUGACUCCUCGCCGGGGUGCCCCAGUUGGCCUCGCGAGGGCGGUUGGGUCGAAGAGGUGCGGGCCUCGCCGUCCUCUCCCCCAACAGCCGAAGGUGUCGCCCCGGCGGACGGAUUCGCCCCAAGCAUGGCCGCAGAAGCCUCCUUCAACCUCUUGGCCGCAGGUGUCGGCCUGGUAAAAGAGCGCAAACAUCAAGCCUCAGUGGCAGAAACCAAGCAGAGCAUGAAUCGAGCACUUACUGGAUGUUGUCCGUGGGCUCAAGCAACCUCCGGCCAAACUUGAAGCCCGAGAGCCUGCAGCGGGGGUCAGCCUUUGGCGGCCCGAAAGCAGAAGGCGCGUCAGGAGGGAUGGAGCUGGCCUUGGACAUCCCAGGGACUAGAGCAGACCCUGGGGGAACCAGGCUCGACCUGCCCUUCCUCGUGACCGAGGAAGAGCCCUCCUUUCCUCGCCUGGUGUCGGCCUCGUCGUCGUCCAGCAUGGAGCGAAGCGCCUGGGACCUGCGCCGAGGGAAGGACUCCCCUCAAUCCUCGCCAGUCUCCUCCGAGUCAGACGCUUCCUCCUCCGCCUCUUCUUCCUCCUCUUCCCCGCUGGAGCUGUCGGAGGACAAGUUCACCAUCGCCAAGACCGCCAGAUCUUCGGGAGCUGCCGCGGGCACCAGCCCCUCACCGUUGAAGGUGGGCAUGGCGUUCACCACCAGCUCCCAGUCGUCACGAAGGAACAGGGGGACGGGGGCACCCACCGGGCUCGCCACGUCUCCCCCAACCAAGGAAUGGAGGGCCGCAGCCAGAUCCUCGUCAGUCAGGGCCUCGGAGCUCAGGCGCAGGGUGGCGUCUGCUCCUCCAAGCCUCCACAGUGGGAGCGGGUGCUCCUGGAGCGGAGCCACCCGGUGCUCCAAGAACUCCCUCAGGAGCGUGGCCCCGGUCAGCUUCGCCGCCUCCGAGUUGCUUGGUCUCAGGUCCGCGUCCACCCUCCUCAACACCGCCUUCGCGCGAAGGUCGACGAGCUCCGCGCGGGACCAUGCGUCAACGGACUUAGGUUGCCCCGUGGGCAAUACCAGACGAGGGUGGAGGCGCCCAACAUCCAUCAUGACCCACUUGCUCCGGUAGCCUUCAAUCCUCUUCCCAGGCUUCGAGAUGGCGUUGGAGCUGGAAUAUGCAAUGAAGCUCGCGCAUGCGGAGACCUGAGCACCAGAAACCCGGAGGGAGAAAAAAGUGGCGUAGCAAGACCACCGAGGGCUUCACACCAACAUGAGCCUCGCAAUAGUAGGUGAAAAUCGCCAGGAGAAGGACAGAGUUGGGGUGGAGAUGCAGAGCCUGCAGGUUGUAUUGGCGGAGAACGGCAUGGAAGAACUCAGAGAAAGGAGGCACCAGACCAGCGACAUUGGCGCUCACGAAAAACGGGUAGAAGGUGCUCCCCUUGCCCUCAAGCUGAUCGGAGCCGACCUUGAGCACAGUCGCUCCCUCGCUGCCCUGCGCCAUCGUCAUCAGGCGCACGAGGGCGAGGUUCUUCUCCGACAAAUUCAGGGAAUCCAAGGCCGGCGAGUACCAAGCAUCAGCCGGGGACUUGCGAGGCGCCAUGGCGUGCCAGAUGCGAAGGAUUGAGACGGAUCUGGAGGAUUUCGGGAGCAAGAGGAAGGAGAACGAGAAAGGGGAUCUAGGGCAAGACGGACAAGAGCGGGACAAGUAAGCCUGGCCAGGGCACCCCCUUUUGUCAGUCGUGCAGUUGCCAAGGCGUCGUGGGAAGUGCAGACCCCCACGCCCAAUCAACCGCCACGCGGCGCCCAAGGCCGUAGGCUGUUAGGGCCCGCGGUGCUUCGCACUUGCCCCUUCGCUUCUCUGCUAAGCCAAGCCCGCGCACGCCUUGGGCCCGGGGACUACUGUUGGCGUUCUGGGAACGGGGGUCCCCAGACUUGCCUGCCUGCGGUGUGGCUCAAGCGGGGGCCCAGCGCGGCCCAUCUUCAUCAGCUCAAGCUCAAGACCCUCGUGAGAGGCCAAGCCUCGCGGGGCGGACGACAAGAAGCUUCCUCAGAGGCAGCCUCAUCAGGCAAGCUCGCGAGGAACCCGUGACGCAAGCCAUGACGAUCGAGACCAGGCGAGCGCCAGGCGGGCGCCAGCCUGUGCAGUGUCCUUGUUUCCCCUUUGGUGCAAAGGGGGCAAGCACAGGCUAAGGCAUCAGGCAAAGGUUACCAUUCCGGUGCAACGAGACCAAGACCAGCCGGACGGCAGGACGGAGGUCACUGUGGAGCCCAAGACGGCGUCAUCACCAGUGCUUUUGGCAGCCGAAGACCACCUUUGGUCAGGAUAACUUGUACUAGAUGUUCCCCUUCGAAAUGGCCAAUUGUUGGCGCCCUUCCCGCUCAUUAUUUGGGGAGAGGACCAGGGACUCUCUAUAAAUAGAGCUAGCCACCACAGAGUAGGGAGGAGACACCCGAGAGAGAUCGAGACACACGAGAGAGAUCGAGACACCCCGGAGAGAUCGAGACACCCGAGAGAGAUCGAGACACCCCGGAGAGACCAAGGCACCGAGGAAGGGAGAAAUCUGGAGACGGCUGGAAAUCUGGUAGAACCAUAGCAGAGAGAGAGGAAGAGGCGACUGAACUCACCCUAGCAGUUCAUCGCAUCAGCUCAAGAACACCUCUCGCGAGGCUGUUCUUCCCUUGUAUUGUCCAUCAUCAGCCCCAGAGGCAAUCUACCACACCACACACUGAAGUAGGGUAUUACACCACGACGGUGGCCCGAACCAGUAUAAACUUCGUGUCUCUUGUGUUGUUCAUCAUUUUCAUCUCAGUUCGCACGAGAGGAUCGGACGUAGAUCGGUAGGGGAGAGAUCUCUGCGCGCACCCCAUUAUUCGAACCUCAAGGGUCUGCCGGAACCCAAAACCCGACAGCACGGGGGAUAGAACUUGGGAUAAGGCACCCAUAGCAGUAGCACUGGCCCAGGAAGCGCGCUACUGCUAAGUGGAUAGCAACAGCCCGUUUUCACAAAACGUGCUACUACUAUACCUAGUCUGGCGACAACCUCUUCCCAACUGUAGUAGUAGCUCUGUUUAGUAGAGACGUGCUACUGCUACGUGGAUAUCAGUAGCGCGGUUUUCCUCACACGCUACUGCUAAGUAGCAGUAGCGCCUUAUUUUAAACCGCGCUGCUGGUAAGGUUCUGUGUAUAAGAUUUUUCCUAGUAGUUACGGGAGCCGACGCAAGGAACCCUCAGCCCUCCUCACCUCAGCCCCGAUCUCCAUCCCGGCGUGGCAUCUCCGUGGGCUGGGGAAGCAGCAGGACGAAGCGGGGGAGGGGCGGUGGCGGACAUAGAGAUAGAUCGAUUGGAUUUAGGUUAGGUGUGCGUAAAGUACUCCGGUUUUCUUUGCGGAGGAAGGAAAAAAACCAGACGAAGAGGAAGGGGAUGAAAAAAAAACAGACGAAAAAAUCAGAAAAAAAACCAUAUCGUGGACGCAAUCCCACCAACUGCUCCACAUGUGGUAAGCAAUCCAAACAACUCAAAAAAAGGAGUAGAGAUAUGUGUACGUGCUGCCCGCAUGUAUAGUAAUCAGAAAUCAGUAUAUCAACCCAGUAAAAAAAUUAGAUAGGAAAAAAGAGAGAAAACGAGAUGGGCUAGGCCCAAUUGUUGGUGAAGGGUCGCACCGCCGUAGCCUGCACACCUCGAUCGCGAUCGCUUCGUCGCUCUGGCUGCCGGCAACCGUUGCUUGUGAUUCUUCUCCGUUGCAUGCGGCACUGUUGCCGGCUUGCCGCCUUGCCGGUGUUGCGCACCUACCUUUGGCGGCCUGCUUGACCGGUGGCCACUUAAACACUCGCGUCCGGUCGUCCGCGUCGUCUAGUCUCUUUGUCUCUGUAUUCGCCCAUCCCCAAUGUGUACAUUAGAAUUUCGAUGCACAAAUUUCUAAUUCUAUGGAUUCUCUUUUGGACAUAAUUUUAGGACAUUAGCCUGCCAUACAAUGUUUCCUAAAAAGCAUUUGUUUGGUGGUUAAAAAAAGGAGAAAAAAAACAAAGCGAUCUGAAAGUUCAAUCACGAAAGGGUCCAAAAUGUUCUGAUUUCUGAAAAUUCAAUGUUGCGCAAGAAGCAUUAUUAUAGUUGAUGGUGUCACUUAAAUUUGGUCCUAAUUUGAGGUUGAGGUAAUCAUGUUAGUUUCGUUUUGCUAUCAAUUUAGUCUUGCUGCCGUGAUAUGGCAUUGUCCAACUAGAUGUAUAUACGGAAGUUUAUUCUUAAUACUAUGCAAAUAAAAUAAUAUAAUUUAUGUAGCGCACGUGCGCACACACACACACACAUGUACUCUUAGGACUUAGGGGCCCGUGUCGUUGAGUUAGCCCUAGGGCCUUCCUGAACAUAGGGUCGGCCCUGUAAGCUGCCCAGCUCGGCGCCAUGCUAAGGUCUUUUUGGGUUGGGCUUGCUAAAAUCUAUUGGACAAAUAUUGCAGUGCUUCGGGUCAGAGGAUCAAUAAUGCUAAAUCGUCUAUUUUCUUCAGUAAAGGGUGCCCUCAAGGGGUCAAAGAUAGCAUUGAACAAUGCCUUAAUGUGCACAAUGAAUCUUUGAGUGAUAGAUAUGUGGGCAUGCCCACAUAUGUUGGACAGUUUAAGAUGGGUACUUUCAAGUACUUGAGUGACAGGGUCUGGGAGAAAGUAAGAGGAUGGAUGAGAAGCUCCUCUCGGCAGCAGGCAAAGAGGUUCUCAUCAAGUCAGUUGUUCGGGCUAUACCAGUAUAUUCAAUGGCAUGUUUCAGAUUACCUCAGAGGCUGUGUGAGAACAUUACUUCUAUAAUUAGGCAGUUCUAGUGGGGCAGCAAACAAGGAAGAAGAAAACCAGCUUGGGUCUCUUGGGAUGUCAUGAAAAAGCCAAAGUACCUUGGUGGGAUGGGCUUCAGAGACAUUGAGAUUUUUAACCUAGCAUUGCUUGCUCGUCAGGCAUGCAUGGAGGCUUCUCAUGUCCCCACAAUCUCUCAGUGCAAGGAUGCUGAAAGCAGCUUAUUUUCCAAAUGUUGAAUUUUUGGAGGCAGAAUUGGGUAACCAACCUUCGUAGACACUAGUGCAUAACCGGGCUUUAGCACCGAUUCGUAAGGCCCUUUAGUGCCGGUUCUACAACCGGCACUAAAGUGUGGGGACUAAAGCCCCCCCUAGUACCGGUUCAACACGAACCGUCACUAAAGGGCCAUCACGUGGCACGAGGCGCGCCGUGGUCUGGGGGACCUUUUUUUGAAUUUUUUUGAAACAAAGCAAAAAUAGCUCACCUACUGGGCCAGCACGGCCUGCAUACGACUAGAAACCCAACCUCUAGUUGGGCCAGGGUGCAGGCCCGUACGGCCCAGUAGGCCCCAUAGGGCAGAAGACUUGCAAUAGGCCCACAAAGGCCUGUUUAGAGAGGAGCUCGACACGGCAGCCGCGGCGGGGCUUAUAAACCGGUGCGAGCUCCUCUCAACUAGCGAGGUGGGACUAAACAUUGUGCACUGCGGGUGGCAGCACACCCCUUUAGUACCGGUUGGUGGCACGAACACGUACUAAAGCGGGGGUCUUUAGUACCGGUUGGAGCCGCCAACCCAUACUAAAGGCCACCACCUCUUUAGUACCGGUUCGUGGCACGAACUGGUACUAAAGGUUCGCCACGAACCAGUACUAAUGAAUGCCGCCCACCUAGCCAUUAGAACCGGCAUUAAUGGUCAUAUUAGUGUCGGUUCAAUUACAAACCGGGACUAAUGAGUUUUACAUUAGGCCCUUUUUCUACUAGUGAGAUAUGGCGAGUGAGGGAGUCCUGGAUUAGGGCGUCUCCGGACAGCCGGACUAUCUCUAUUGGUCGGACUGUUGGACUAUGAAGAUACAAGAUUGAAGACUUCAUCUCGUGUCCGGAUGGGACUCUACUUGGCGUGGAAGGCAAGCUAGGCAAUACGGAUAUGGAUAUCUCCUCCUUUGUAACCGACCUUGUGUAACCCUAACCCUCUUCGGUGUCUAUAUAAACCGAAGGAUUUUAGUCCGUAGGAUAACAACCACAACAUACAAUCAUACCAUAGGUUAGCUUCUAGGGUUUAGCCUCUCUGAUCUCGUGGUAGAUCUACUCUUGUACUACCCAUAUCAUCAAUAUCAAUCAAGCAGGACGUAGGGUUUUACCUCUAUCAAGAGGGCCCGAACAUGGGUAAAACAUCGUGUCCCCGGCCUCCUGUUACCAUUCGGCCUAGACGCACAGUUCGGGACCCCCUACCCGAGAUCCGCCGGUUUUGACACCGACAUUGGUGCUUUCAUUGAGAGUUCCUCUGUGUCGUCGCCGUUAGGCUUGAUGGCUCCUACUAUCAUCGAUACCGAUGUGGUCCAGGGUGAGACUUUUCUCCCCGGACAGAUCUUCGUAUUCGGCGGCUUUGCACUGCGGGCUAAUUCGCUUGGCCAUCUGGAGCAGAUUGAAAACUACGCCCCUGGCCAUCAGGUCAGAUUUAGAAGCUUAAACUACACGGCCAAUAUCCGUGGAGAUUUGAUCUUCGACGGAUUCAAGCCUCUGCCUUGUGCGCCACGCGGUCACGAUGAGCAUGACUUAGCUCUCCCAUUGGACAGUGUUAAGGAGAUCGCAUCGGCAGCCGCUCCGACCCUCAAUUCAGAGCCAGUCGCGCCUUCCGCGGACGGGUGGAUGGACCCCUCCACGGAGGCCUUACCCUCAGCGGCGAUCGAGCGGAACAUCGACCUUGCCUUGCACGAGAGUCGUGUUGUUAAACUACCGGAUCCUUCUCCGGCCACGGACUCCGAACCGCCUGCGCCCGUUCCUAUCGAAUCCGAUUGGGCGCCGAUCAUGGAGUUUACCUCCGCAGAUAUUUUUCAGCACUCUCCCUUUGGAAAUAUACAGAACUCAUUAAGGUCUCUCUCCUUGUCAGGAGAAUCUUGGCCGAACUAUGUCCGGCAAGAUCGGGAUGCGGACGACGAAGAAAUUCGAUGCCCACCCACCACCCACUUAAUAGCCACUAUCGAUGACUCAACCGACAUGCUCGAAUUCGACUCCGAAGACAUCGAUGGUAUGGACAACGAUGCAGGAGACGAAGAGGAACCAUCGCCCACAGGGCGCUGGACGUCCACCUCAUCAUAUGACGUAUAUAUGGUGGACACACCAAAAGAAGACGACGACGAGGAACAGAAGGACGCAACGAAGGCUUGUUCCCUCGAGAAGCAGUCAAAGCGGCGGCGUAAGCGCCGCCCCAAAUCCCGCCUCGGCAGAAAUAACGAUCAUACAGACCUAGCGUUGGAGCAGGGUGAACCACCGCCGGACCACGACAAUACGGAGAAUCAAACCGAACAAACCAAUUCUGUCAAAGAUAAUAGUCCGGACGACAUAACGCCGGACAGGCACCCGGAGCAGCAGAAUGCCCGUCAAAGGCUUGUUGCCACUGCGAGGAGUCUAAAAAAGAAGAAGCAAAGGCUCAAGGCUGCGCAGAACACACUCCAAAUCAGAUGGAGUAAAGUACUCAACACAGCAGCGAAGUACGGCGGCAAUCGCCCCACCAAGAGCUACCCAAAGCGGAAGUUCCUACCUGAAUUCGAUGAGGAGGCCUUAGACCCCCCACAACCAAAAAUUAAAACAACCAUCUAGCCGGAUAGACGACCUCACGGCCAACACAAAGCGGCAAGCAAUGCCGCACAUGAGCCAAUACGCGGUCUACGCGAGGGCUCGCAUUAAAAGGACGGCGAAACCAGAUCCAUCUAUGGACCACGCAAGCGUGCUCCAGCAUAUGAUGCAACACAACAAACAUCCGAACAACGCGGUACACCCAGAUAUAGGGGUGCCGCACACCCCCUAUGUUUUACCGAUGAGGUGUUGGACCAUGAAUUUCCAGAGGGAUUCAAACCCGUAAACAUAGAGGCAUACGAUGGAACAACAGACCCUGGGGUCUGGAUUGAAGACUAUAUCCUCCAUAUCCACAUGGCUCGGGGAGAUGAUCUCCACGCCAUUCAGUAUUUACCCCUCAAACUCAAAGGGCCAGCUCGGCACUGGCUUAAGAGCCUCCCCAAAAGCUCCAUUGGAAGUUGGGAAGAGCUCGAAGACGCCUUUCGGGCAAAUUUUCAAGGGACUUAUGUCCGACCUCCGGACGCGAAUAAUUUGAGUCAUAUAACUCAACAGCCCAGAGAGUCAUCCCGAAAGCUUUGGAAAAGGUUUCUUACUAAAAAGAACCAAAUUGUCGACUGUCCGGACGCCAAAGCCUUGGCAGCUUUUAAGCAUAGCGUCUGUGACGAAUGGCUUGCCAGACACCUCGGCCAAGAAAAGCCGAGAACAAUGGCAGCAUUAACAAGCCUCAUGCCCCGCUUUAGCGCGGGUGAGGAUAGCUGGCUAGCCAGAUGCAGCACCAGCGACCCCAGUACAUCGGGAGUUAGAGAUGGAAACGGGAAAUCACGGCGCAACAAUAAUAACAAACGCCGGAAUAAAGAAGACAGCACGAAGAGCACGGCAGUAAACGCCGGAUUCAAAAGUUCUCGUCCAGGUCAGCAAAAGCCGCCCUCUAAAGGCGCCAGAGAUGAACCGUCCAGCCUAAACAAAAUUCUGGACCAAAUAUGUCAGAUCCAUAGCACCCCUGGUAAACCCGCUAAUCAUACCCACAAAGAAUGUUGGGUCUUCAAGCAGCCCGGCAAGCUCAACGCCGUACACAAGGGGGAGGAUACACCAAGCGAAGAUGAGGAUGAGCCUUUCAAGCAAGACACUGGGGAACAAAAGAAAUUUCCACCAGAAGUCAAAAUAGUAAACGUGUUACACGUGAUCAAGGGGAGAAACAAAACGGCACUCCCAGAAAAAUAUGCCCAAGGGCCUAUCACCGCGGAGUCUUGCCACUGGUCGUCUCAACCGAUCACUUUCGACCAUCGUGAUUACUCAGUAAGUAUCUGGCGUGCACGAUGGGCUGCCCUGGUAUUAGACCCAAUAAUUGACGGAUACCACUUCACACGAGUCCUGAUGGACGGUCGCAGCAGUCUAAACCUGAUAUACCAGGAUACAAUCCGCGAAAUAAGGAUAGACCCAACGAAAAUUUGCCAUAGCAAUACUACCUUUAAAGGAGUGACGCCAGGCCCAGGGGCUCAUUGCAGGGGCUCCCUGCUACUAAAGGUUAUAUUCGGAUUCCCCGAUAACUUCCAUAGCGAACAUUUAACCUUCCGCAUCGCUCCGUUCCAAGGUGGCUAUCAAGCACUACUUGGACGCGAAGCUUUCGCUCGCUUUAAUGCAAUACCACACUAUGCUUCCCUCACACUCAAGAUGCCCGGCCACGUGGCAUCAUUACAGUGAACGGAAGUAUUAAGCGAUCUUUGCGCGCCGAAGAGAAUGCGACUGCCUUGGCAGCCGCACACUAAAAACGGCCUCACCAACUAAAGCAUUUGAUAGGUCGUCAAGACCACGGGCGCGGUUAGACAAGUCCGACGCUGCUAUAUGUAAAUUGUAACGGAUUAAUGGCCACACCCCUAUUACAAAUACAAGGGGCCCAACACACGCAGACAAGUGGCAAUUUAUACUCAUUUCUAGUUAUACAUGGUUUCUUUAAAAACUAUCUCUCUGCACGACAACUUUUUCACCUAAAUUCCUCUCUUUUACAGAUGACCAUUGUGCUACACCCGUCCUGGAUACGGCACAACGGAGACACAGGCGCAGACGUGCAGCAGGGACCCGUUCCAAGGAUUCUUUUUAGAUUAAGACCCUGCGUAAACCUUUUUUACUGUCUCUUGUUGAUACACAUCCACCGAAUUCUCAGCACAAUUGAUAAUGAUGCUGACGUCUUGGCAUGUGGCCACGUCAGAAUAAUGCACGUACCUGGACACAAGGGGCUUCUUACAAAGGGCACUAUUUAGGCCCGGUUUAUACCAUAAAGACCGAACACCUUAGGGAGUGUUCGGCGUCGUGAGUUUGGCCUUAUAUGCAUCAGCUCCGAAUCAUUGUCUUUGGUCAAAUGUUGGGUUUUCCCGGCUCCUGUGUUUUGGUGCCUUACAUUCCGCUUUAUCGGCUAAGGCAGCACCAGGAGAACUACUGCGAUUGUGCCCUGGUUCAUCCGGACGAGCACCUCAGUAGAGAAAGCCGAAAACUGACUGUCAUGAUAUAGCGUGAGACUGGUCAACCACUCGAUGACCUAUCGAAAUGCUAGAAUUCCUCCGCCUUAACGAAGGGCCAUUUUCCGGCCAUGCAUGUACGCACCCCGAGAUCAGGAGAGUGCGGAGCCACCAGGGGCUAUCAAGUAGCCCCACUGUCAAACUCCUAUGGCUAAGUAAAAGUGUUAAAUCAUUAUAGUCCGGUUGCCUCGUUCGUUGCGCUAUCACCUUCUUAAUAGGACCAAGACGUUGGGUUAAGUGUGAACAAGCGUUUUUUGCGAGCACCUCCGCAUUAUAUGCAUGGGGGCUGAAGCCGACGACUGCAAUCUUUCAGGUUAUACACAUGUAUACAUAAACGGCUGCACAGGAGGCAUCAUAUUGCUUUCAGGCAAAAGUAUAAACACAGCCUUAAAAAAUUUCAUAAAAACAUUGUGUUUACAAUGGGAAUACAUGUCACUCAAACAUAAUAUUCUUCAAGCACUGGGACUCUAUCAAACGAGCACCCUCAAGAACCUCCUCGAAAUAGUGCUCGGUAGCCACUCGGCCUAUGGCCGAACCCUACGCCGCAACAACGGUAGCAUCCAUCUCCUCCCAGUAUGCUUUAACACGGGCAAGGGCCAUCCGCGAUCCUUCUAUGCACGCCGACCUCUUCAUCGCAUUAAUGCGCGGCACCGCACCAAGGACCUGCUGCACUAAGCUGAAAUAACUGUUCGGCUUAGGCUUUUCCGGCCAUAGCUGAUCCACAACAGACUUCAUGGCAAGUCCGGACAACCUAUUCAGUUCAGCCCAUUCGGCUAGUUGGUCAGUCAAUGAAAGAGGACGCUCUGGAACGUUGAAUUACGACCAGAAUAGCUUGUCCACUUCACGAUCUGUUUGACCUUGGAAGUACUUGGCCGCAUCGGCAGCGCUCGCCGCCAAGUCCAUAUACGCAUCUGCUGAACUCCACAGCUGAUCCAGAGGGGCAUACUGUGGAUCUCCGAACUUCCUCCAUAGCAUGAAGGGCUUCCCAGCCGCAAUAUCCCCGGCUUCCCACAGCUCCUCCUUCUUCGCUCUCAUAGCAGAGGGGGUGUCUUUUGUCUGCCAUCGUGGCCUUCUCAAGGUCCGUUGCCUUCGCUCGGUUUUCUUUUUCAAGGAGCCGGCAACGGUCGUCGGUGUCUUUUAAUUCUACGGCCAUCUUGGCCAUCUUCUCUUGGCUCUCGCAAUGUGCAGCCUUCUCGGCUUUCAACUCUUCGGCCACCUUCAAAGCAGCUGCAUUACUAAUCCUCGCUUGUUCCUUGGCUCGGGCAAGUUCUGCCCGCAUGGUUUCCACGGUGGCAGCUCCAUCUGCAGUCACAACAUAUUAAAGAUACUGGCAUCAUGCUGCUCUUACUACGUGGUAUUCACCAGAAAAUAACACUUACCAUGUGCCUCGUCAAGCCUCUUGUUAACAAGCUCAAUGUCGGCGUCCGCCGCAUCCAGUUGCCGUUUUAAUUCGGCAAACCCACUAGUCCGGCUAGCCACCGGAGCUUCCACCGCCUGCACAUAAAGGCAGUCUGGUUAUUGCCUGGGACUAUGAUCCUCUGUUCGCCGCCGUUCUCGUCGACAACCAGAGUCUCAGGGGCUACUAUCUACACAGGGCACACCUAACAUGUGCGGUACUAUCACGUACCUCAAAGCCUGUUAGUAGACUCAUAAAGGUUUCAUGUAAUCCGCUUUCGGCAGACGAAAUUCUUUCCAUCACCGUACCCAUCAGCGUACGGUGUUCUUCUGAGAUGGUCGCUCGCCCUAACAGCUCCCUCAGAACGUCCGACCGCAUACCAGACGAUGCCGGACUCUUUUGUUCGCUCUCCUCGAGAGCCGGACACUGGGGACUUCAGGGGUCUAUGGGAUUAUCUUCUGGCCUCACCGGAUCCGGAGAGGCCCUCCGUGACGACACUUCGGGGUCGCCCGCUUCUUGAGCGGAGGAGUCCAGGGGAGGCGUUUCGCUCUCCAUCAUCUCCGAAAGAAGAUCCCCUAAAGACGAGCUCAGCUGAGAAGGGCUAAGACCCGAACUGCAAGAUAUAUGCGGCGGUUAUUUUCUCAGAAGAAAGAUAGUAUACCUUCACUAUUAAAGUAUUUUUUGGAUCACUUACGACUCGUUGGAGGUCUGAUCCCCCCGCGGACUUUAUGCGGCAAAAGCNNNNNNNNNNNNNNNNNNNNNNNNNNNNNNNNNNNNNNNNNNNNNNNNNNNNNNNNNNNNNNNNNNNNNNNNNNNNNNNNNNNNNNNNNNNNNNNNNNNNNNNNNNNNNNNNNNNNNNNNNNNNNNNNNNNNNNNNNNNNNNNNNNNNNNNNNNNNNNNNNNNNNNNNNNNNNNNNNNNNNNNNNNNNNNNNNNNNNNNNNNNNNNNNNNNNNNNNNNNNNNNNNNNNNNNNNNNNNNNNNNNNNNNNNNNNNNNNNNNNNNNNNNNNNNNNNNNNNNNNNNNNNNNNNNNNNNNNNNNNNNNNNNNNNNNNNNNNNNNNNNNNNNNNNNNNNNNNNNNNNNNNNNNNNNNNNNNNNNNNNNNNNNNNNNNNNNNNNNNNNNNNNNNNNNNNNNNNNNNNNNNNNNNNNNNNNNNNNNNNNNNNNNNNNNNNNNNNNNNNNNNNNNNNNNNNNNNNNNNNNNNNNNNNNNNNNNNNNNNNNNNNNNNNNNNNNNNNNNNNNNNNNNNNNNNNNNNNNNNNAAUACCGGAUUUUCCAAACCCUCAGGGAGGGGGGCCAAACACCGAAUCAUCUUCGCCUUUGUUAGCCAGUCCUGGUCAAAGAGCGAACUCUCAGGAAUAACUUCAUGAUGAAUAAAAGACUGUGUGUUCGGCUAGAGGAUUUCUUACUUGUUCGGCGGCGCGGUUACUGCUCAGGCCCACGUCCUCGGUAGUAUCUGGACACUCUAUUUGAGGUUCGAAGAAUGACUUGUACAUCUCCUCGUGCGUCAGGCCGAGGAAACUUGGAAUGGCACACGGUCCUUCUGGGUUGAACUCCCACAAGCGAAGGGGCCGGCGUUUGCAAGGCUGGACUUGACGAACCAGCAUAACUUGUAUUACCACGACCAAAUUAAAAUCUCCCUCGAAGAGAUCUCGAAUGCGGCUUUGCAGUAUAGGCACGUCCUUGGCUGGACCCCAGUUCAGACCUCUGCUAAUCCAUGACAUUAGUUGUGGUGGGGGGCCCGAGCGGAAAGCGGGGGCAGCCGCCCACUUGGCACUUCUGGGAGCCGUGACGUAAAACCACUCCCGUUGCCAUAAUUCGGACACCUCUGGAAAGGAACCUUUCGGCCAUGAAGCUCCUGCCAUCUUGCCUAUUGAUGCACCUCCGCACGCUGCAUGUUGCCCCUCGAUCAUCUUCGGCUUCACUUCAAAGGUCUUGGGCCACAGGCCGAAGUGAGGGGUAAUGCAGCGGAAGGCCUCACACAUGAUAAUAAAUGUCGAGAUGUGGAGAAAGGAGUCCGGAGCUAGAUCGUGGAAAUCUAGCUCGUAAUAGAACAUCAAACCCCUGACGAAGGGAUCCACAGUGAGGCCUAGGCCUUGGAGGAAGUGGGAGAUGAACACGAAGUUCUCGUUGGGUUCGGGAGUAGGGACGACCUGCCCUCGAGCAGGUAGCCGAUGCGAAACCUCGGCGGUCAGGUAUCUGGCUUCCUUCAACUUCUUGAUGUCCUCUUCCGUCACGGAGGAGGGCAUCCAUCGGCCUUGAAGGCUGAAUCUGGACAUGAUUGAAGAUCCGGAGCACCUAACCUGGGCUUUGGGUAUUGGAACUCGAGACGGGGGAAGGGUUCGAUUGAGCACGAGAGGGAAAAAGCGAAAACCUUGUCCCUUUAUAAAGAGGGUGAAUAUCAAGCGUCCUCUCCAUAGCCGUUUAGGGCUUGCCUAUAAUCUAGGAGUCCUAGACACGGUUGGUGUUGGAAGCCUACCGUUGCUGGCUCAACUAGAGGACCGAGUCCCACGUAGUUCAUGCACCGGACAUUCCCUCCUUUUCUGUUACACGAUGUGCAUGACCUCCUGUAGAGCUGGGUCGUUACCAGCCUCUGUACCUGUAUAUUAACCCCUUCGUGGGCAUCAAUGAUAAUCACCAGUGUAUUCAUUCUCCAUCUUGGUAAUCAGAGCUCUCUUUCCUAUCCCUGUCUCUCAUGGACACUGGCAACAGCUCCGGCGGCCUUUCGAGCGGCGACCUGACGGGCGCCAUCCCUCCCGCUCCCGCUCCGGUGCUCUCCUCUUCUGAACUCUCCACCCCCGUCCUCUCCGCUCCGCCAGCAACCGCCCCUAGCACCAUGAGCUUGGUGACCCUGCCGUCGCCUCCCACCCUCCCUGACAUAGCGUCGUCCUCUGCCACCACUACCCCCUCCAUCCACACCCUCAACAACAUCCACAACCUCAUCCCCUUCAAGCUGGAUGUCCAAACCGGCAGCUAUUCAAAGUGGCGUGAACUCUAGCACUGCAUCCUCAUCAUGUACGCCGUCGAGAGCCAUGUCGACCACUACUCCGACCCACUGCUCCAAACUCCGGCGUGGCGCCACACCGAUCUGACACUCCUGCUUCUGCUCUACUCCACCAUCACCGACGGCCUGUACGAGGUCAUCCGUGGCGCCGGCAACACCAUGCAUCGCGUCUGGAGCCAACUCCACAAGUUCUUCCUCGCCAACCAACUCGCCCAGGCCGUGCACCUUAGUGCGGAAUUCCGCGCCCUCACCCAGGGGGAUCUCCGCAUCGCCGAGUACUGCGGGCGCCUCAAAGCGCUCGCGGACGCUCUGGCCGACGUCGACGAGCCCGUCACCGAUCGCACCCUGACACUGCAGCUUCUCCGCGGCCUCUCUCGUAGGUACCAGGUGAUCGCCACGGUCAUCCCGAUGCAUACUCCCUUCCCAUCCUUCAACCAGGCCCGUUCCCGUCUUCUUCUGGAGGAAAUCACCCAGGACGCCCAUGAUCGCUCCGACGGAUCUACCGCUCUCGCCAUCGGCCACGGCGGCGGCGGCGGCCAUGGCGACGGUGGCGGCGAGGGCUCCGGCGGCUCCUCCGGCCCACCUCCCUCAUCUGGCGACCGCGGCAAGGCUCCCAUGGAGCGCGGCAACAGCAGCACCGGUGAUCGCGGCCACGGACACAACGGUGGACGCGGGCGUGGCCGCGGGCGCGGACGCGGGUACAAUGACGGCCGCGGUUCGCCUGCUCUUCCUCCCGGCGGCUCCACUCCAUGGAUGGGCUACUUCGCACCGUGGGGGACGCCCUUCCUGCCGCCGCGCGCUCCCUGAGUUCCACCCAACGCAGCCGGGGUCCUCGGGCCUCGCCCCGGUGCUGCCCAGCACGCCUACCCCGCGCUGUACACUGGACCCGGCGUGCCACCCCAACCCUCUUGGGAUUAGGCGGCGCUCUAUUCCGCUAUGAACCAGAUGUCUCUCCAGUAGCCCGGCAGUGGCAACGGCGACUGGAUCUUUGAUUCCGGUGCCCCCUCCCAUGUCACUGGUAAUGCAGGUAACCUCGCCACUUCUCAUCCUGUCUCAAAACAUCAUGCUCCCAUCAUCGUUGGCGACGGCAUUCGUCUGCCGGUAGUUGCCACCGGCACCGCCUCCAUCCCCACAUCCUCUCGCCCCUUGCUGCUUCAUAACGUUCUCGUAGCACCUGAUAUUGUUCAAAACCUACUCUCUGUCCGUCAACUAUCCACUGAUAAUAAUGUAUCCGUUGAGUUUGACCCCCUCGGCUCUUUUGUGAAGGAUCUAGCCACCCGGACCCCCCUCAUGAGGCGCACUAGUUUCGGGCCUCUCUACCGCAGCGGCGCAUCCAGCUCUUCGGCGUUCUACACCAACUCCGGCGACCUGUGGCAUCGCCGUUUGGGGCACCCCGGCAGUGCCUCUCUUUCCCGUUUAGCACACAUUUUCUUCCCGAUUGUAAUAAUCUCCCUGCCGCCUCUGGAUCAUGUGAGGCGUGCCAAUUAGGGAAGCAGCCACGUCUGCCUUUUUCUUCUUCUUCUACCUCUGUUACUUGUUUUCCUUUUCAGCUUGUACACUGUGAUCUUUGGACGUCUCCCGUCCCUAGUUGCUCUGCCUGCAAAUAUUACUUAAUAAUAAUGGAUGAUUUUUCCCACUUCGCAUGGACUUUUCCCCUCCGUGCCAAAUCCGAGGCCACUGAAGUUCUCAAACGUUUCUUUCGCUUCGUACUCACACAAUUCCAUGUCGAUAUCCAGAGCGUCCAGUGCGAUAACGGCGGCGAGUUUCUUAACAUCUCUCUCCACUCUUCUCUAGGUGAACAUGGCACUGCCCUACGCCUCUCCUGCCCGCACACAUCACCCCAAAAUGGGAAAGCUGAGCGCGCCAUCCGCUCCACAAACGACAUACUUCGCACACUUCUUGUCCAAGCCAGCAUGCCCCCAAAAUUCUGGGUGGAAGACCUUCAUACUACCACAUACCUCCUCAAUAUACGACCCUCCCGAGCCAUCAACCACAACACACCAUACUUCAUGCUUUACGGUACUCACCCCAACUACGACCACAUUCGCAUAUUUGGCUGUUUGUGCUACCCCAAUCUCUCCGCCACCACUCCCCACAAACUUUCCGCACGCUCCACACCCUGCGUUCUUCUCGGCCUACCCCUCGAGCACAAAGGAUACCGGUGCCUCGACAUCUCCACACGUAAAGUUAUCACCUCCCGGCACAUGAUUUUCAACGAGCAUAUUUUUCCCUUCGCCACAGAAAAUCCCACUGCCCCCAGCCCCGUAUCCACCUCGGGAUCCCUCCCACCUACCUGGUCCAAUCCGACAGGAUUGUCCUCGGGAUUCCCCGCCCCAGUCGCCCCACCCCACGCACCCGAUCGCGUCACUCCCAACCAAUCCGCCCGCUGCGCCCCCACCGCUGCGCUCACUCCCGCUGGCCCACCACUCACCACCACCACUCCGGUCCCAACUCCCAGACCCCCCCAGUCGGCAGCUAGCUCACCAUGCAGCCAAUCGCCUGCCCGCUCACCAUGCAGCCAAUCCGCGACAUCCUCGCCAUGCACGUCGCCCCGCGCUCUCGCCCCGCCUCUGGCUGCCUCCCCACCAACCUCCCCGCCUCNNNNNNNNNNNNNNNNNNNNNNNNNNNNNNNNNNNNNNNNNNNNNNNNNNNNNNNNNNNNNNNNNNNNNNNNNNNNNNNNNNNNNNNNNNNNNNNNNNNNNNNNNNNNNNNNNNNNNNNNNNNNNNNNNNNNNNNNNNNNNNNNNNNNNNNNNNNNNNNNNNNNNNNNNNNNNNNNNNNNNNNNNNNNNNNNNNNNNNNNNNNNNNNNNNNNNNNNNNNNNNNNNNNNNNNNNNNNNNNNNNNNNNNNNNNNNNNNNNNNNNNNNNNNNNNNNNNNNNNNNNNNNNNNNNNNNNNNNNNNNNNNNNNNNNNNNNNNNNNNNNNNNNNNNNNNNNNNNNNNNNNNNNNNNNNNNNNNNNNNNNNNNNNNNNNNNNNNNNNNNNNNNNNNNNNNNNNNNNNNNNNNNNNNNNNNNNNNNNNNNNNNNNNNNNNNCCCUCCAUGCGCGGUGCCCGUCCUACCACCCAAAAACAGCCACCCCAUGCGCACACGAGCCAAAGCCGAUUUCCUCCAACCAAAAUCCCUCUUCACUCUCGCAGCCACCACCGAUCGCAUCUCUCCUCUCCCUUCCUCCUACAAACACGCCCUCAAAGACCCAAACUGGUACAACGCGAUGCUUGAGGAGUAUACUGCUUUGUUACAAAACGAGACUUGGCCGUUGGUUUCUCCCCCUGCAGGUGUCAACGUGGUGACGGGGAAAUGGAUCUUUCGCCACAAGCUGAACCCCAACGGCUCCCUCGCUCGGUACAAGGCGCGUGGGUCCUGCGUGGCUUCACUCAACAACAUGGCGUCGACUUCGAGGAGACCUUCAGCCCCGUCGUCAAGCCGGCGACCAUCCGUGUCGUCCUCAGCCUCGCCGUCUCCGCCGGCUGCGCCAUCCAUCAGCUGGAUGUGAAGAACGCAUUUCUUCACGGCCACCUCGACACCGUCGUCUACAACCAGCAGCCAUCCGGGUUCGUCGACGCUGCGCACCUGUCUCACGUGUGUCGCCUGCAUUGCUCACUCUACGGGCUCAAACAGGCCCCCCGGGCAUGGUUUCAGCGCUUCACCACCUACCUCGCGCGUCUCGGCUUCGUUGUAUCCAAGAGUGACAACUCUCUCUUCAUUCUUCAUCGCGACGGCGCCACCGCUUAUCUCCUCUUAUACGUCGAUGACAUUAUCCUCACUGCCAGCUCCGCCUCCCUGCUCCACCAUGUCAUCUCCCAACUCCACCAUGAGUUUUCCAUGACUGACCUCGGCGAGCUCCAUCAUUUCCUAGGGAUCAAUGUCACACGCAGCUCCCGCGGCUUGUUCCUCUCGCAACACCAAUAUGCUCUCGAGAUACUUGAGCGCGCCCGCAUGAGCAAUUGCAAGCCCAUCGCCACCCCCAUCGACACUCGCGCAAAACUUUCCGCCACCGACGGUGCUCUUGUUUCUGACCCGUCCCUCUACCGCAGCUUGGCCGGCGCUCUACAAUAUCUCACUCUCACACGACCCGAUAUCACCUAUGCCGUUCAACAGGUCUGCCUCUUCAUGCAUGAUCCCCGGGAGCCGCACUUCAUCGUCCUCAAACGCAUCUUGCGCUACAUUCGCGGUACCCCGCAGCUCGGCCUUCACCUCCGGCGCUCCUCCAACCACCGCCUCGUCGCCUACUCUGACGCCGACUGGGCGGGUUGUCCUGACACCCGCAAGUCCACGUCGGGCUAAUGCAUCUUCAUCGGCGACAACCUCGUCUCUUGGUCCUCCAAGCGGCAACAGACCGUCUCCCGGUCCAGCGUGGAGGUGGAAUACAGGGCGGUGGCCAAUGCUGUGACCGAGGCGUGCUGGCUGCGUCAACUUCUGCACGAGCUACGGCGUCCUCCGGAUCGGGCAACAAUCGUCUACUGCGACAACGUGAGCGCCAUGUACCUCUCCACCAACCCUGUGCAGCAUCAGCGCACGAAACAUAUCGAGAUCGAUCUUCAUUUCGUGCGUGAGCGGGUUGCUUUUGGCGAUGUACGCGUCCUCCACGUCCCGUCUGCAUCGCAGCUCGCCGAUAUCUUCACGAAGGGGUUGCCAUCGACCGUCUUCCUCGACUUCCGGUCCAGCCUCAACGUGCUCGACGACCCCGUUGUGGCUGCGGGGGGCUGUUGGAAGCCUAUCGUUGCUGGCUCAACUAGAGGACCGAGUCCCACGUAGUUCAGGCACCGGACGUGCCCUCCUUUUCUGUUACACGAUGUGCAUGACCUCCUGUGUAGCUGGGUCGUUACCAGCCUCUGUACUUGUAUAUUAACCCCUUCGUGGGCAUCAAUGGUAAUCACCAGUGUAUUCAUUCUCCAUCUGUUGGGUUACCCACGACCGCAUUAACGAGAAUCCCGUAAUUGGGGGAACACGAUCUCUGCUUUGACAAGACGUGUCAAGAAACCGCCUCGCAUUAUGUGUGGAGCUGGUUGAAGAAAAAUGGUUCGAAUAAUCACCGGGCCAUGACAUAACGUCAUGCUGCCAAAACAAGUCAGCAAAUUAGAAUUGCAAAAAUAUUAUUCUCUCUACGGUGGUAUAUGGAACUUAUUUUGCAGAGUCGGACACUAUCCUCGUUUUCAAAUUCUUCUGUGAUGUAUUCAGAGAAGGAACCCGCCUUGCAAUGCCGAAGACAAUACCGCGCGCCGGACUCAUCGUCAUUGAAGCCUGGUUCAGGGGCUACUGAGGGAGUCCUGGAUUAGGGGGUCUCCGGACAGCCGGACUAUCUCUAUUGGCCGGACUGUUGGACUAUGAAGAUACAAGAUUGAAGACUUCGUCUCGUGUCCGGAUGGGACUCUACUUGGCGUGGAAGGCAAGCUAGGCAAUACGGAUAUGGAUAUCUCCUCCUUUGUAACCGACCUUGUGUAACCCUAACCCUCUCGGGUGUCUAUAUAAACCGAAGGGUUUUAGUCCAUAGGAAAACAACCACAACAUACAAUCAUACCAUGGGCUAGCUUCUAGGGUUUAGCCUCUUCGAUCUCGUGGUAGAUCUACUCUUGUACUACCCAUAUCAUCAAUAUCAAUCAAGCAGGACGUAGGGUUUUACCUCCAUCAAGAGGGCCCGAACCUGGGUAAAACAUCGUGUCCCCUGCCUCCUGUUACCAUCCGGCCUAGACGCAUAGUUCGGGACCCCCUACCCGAGAUCCGCCGGUUUUGACACCGACAGCGAGCUAUGCUUGAUGGAAGGGACAUUUUUAAGCAAGGCAUUAUCAAGAGGAUUGGGAAUGGCCACAACACUAAUAUCUGGGAGACCAACUGGCUUCCUAGAAUAGGCCCUUUGCGACCGAUCACUUCGCUAUCGGUAAAUUCACCAACGCUAGGAGCCGAACUAAUCGAUAACACAUCAGCGUCUUGGCGAGAGGAGCUGAUUCAUGCUACGUUUUUACCCGUCGACGCGGAUGCUAUUAUGGCCCUCCCACUCUGCACGAGGUCGGUGGAGGACUUCUGGGCUUGGUCUGGCGAGCGGCAUGGUAUUUUCUCUGGCAGAUCGGCUUAUAGAAUGAUAUUGAACAAGAAGUAGCACCGAGAAAAUUGGCUAUAUGAGCAUGCAGGGGCGUCAGAUUUGAGGGAAAGCUCUAAUGCUUGGACAGCGUUGUGGCACACUAGGGUUCCAUCUAAAAUGAAAGUUUUUAUAUGGCGGCUAGCAAGACAUUCGAUGUCGACAGCGGAUCUUCUCCAACAUCGAAAUAUGUCCACGUCCCACUUAUGCGCCUUAUGUGGGUGUGAGGAUUCAUGGAGGCAUGCCCUGCUAGAUUGUACUACGUCAAGAUGCAUAUCAUCCUUAGUUGAAAAUUCUCUGACGGAAGUCGUGAGCCAUAACAGGGAUCCUAAUGCGAAGAACCGGCUUCUUGCAAUGAAUGAUGUACUAUCCUAAAAGGAUCUUGUUCCUCUAGUAGUAACGUUAUGGGCUGUUUGGAAAGCAAGACGAUGCUGUGGUUGCAACCAAUCGGUGACGAGGAGUUGCGGCUGCUAUAUGCCGGGAUCACGAUGGUACGUUUCAGGGGGCAUCGGCUAUAGUUAUCAAGGGAAUAUGUGAUCCACAAACUUUAGAAGCCCUAGCUGUGCGGGAGGCUCUAGCCCUUGCUGAUGUUCUCAAUCUUCAAUGGAUACAUGUUGCUUCAGAUUGUAAGGUGGUUUUGGAUGAUCUCAAGCAGGGGAACAAGGCAAGAUAUGGAGCUGUUAUACAUGAAAUCAUGGAUCAUAACUUUUCUUUUACAACUUGUAACUUUUGCCAUGAGUUUAGAAGUUCGAAUUUCGAGACUCACAAUCUAGCGAAGCAUGUCUUAAGGUUAGGGGUGGGCGGCCAUGUUUGAUUAGGGCACCCCGGUGAUAUUUCUUUUGUACCUAUAAACUUUGGGUCCGGUUAAAUAAACUUCGCGCGAUUGUCUAAAAAAAACCUACUUGCAUGAUUACCAAGGAGAACCCUUUCAUACAGGUAUACGUCGGCAGAUUUCGACAAAGGUAUUACGGCAGUUGUCUUUUUGCUUGUCCCAAGCUGGAUAUGACGGCAAGUUUAAUUUCUUGGACUACAUAGUAGUGUUCUCGAUGGCGCCAAUUCUAGAUGGUCCUCAAGCUUUUGGUUUUGCAACUAAACCUAAUACUCCCUUCAUUUUUGUAUACAAUGUCAUUAUCAAAAUUACAAUUUGCAACUAUACAAGGCCACUAACAUUAAUCGAGGCAAAAUUGAUGGCGUUUGUCUCGUAGUAGCACCCAAGAACAUUAAUAUCCCUUGUGUGAAUGCGGGAGUGAGAAGGUUGGCUUGCAUUCCCAACAUUAAUCAACCAACGAGAAGUAAGAGGGUUGGCUUGUUGUGCGUGGGAGAGAAAAACUACAUUAAUUAACACGACAAACAAGGUGACAAGCUAGCUUGCAACAUUGACUUAAACAUUGUAUUGAUUUUUACCUUGGUAUCUGUAAUAUGGGUCUGUGGCCUUGUAUACAAAAAUGGAGGGAGUAUAAUAAAUAGAAAUGUGAGUAAUUUCAAUUUUCUUCGUUUCAGCUUUUACUCCAUUUAGGAAAGGUUUUCUACUACCUGCUCACUAAUAAUGAGCUAAAACGACUUAUAAAAAUUUACAGAGGGAGUACUUUUUACACCAUUUCGUGAUCUAUGAGGUGGGUCCUGAAUUUGGAGUGGUGUGAAAGACAAAUUGUAAUACUUUCUUUUUUCAAAAUCUUCUUAGUUGAGUCGAACAACUAAACUAAAAAAAUCUGUUUAGUUGGAUACAACUUUUUCUCACGAUCGUCGGGUCUAUGUAACGCACACCUUUGUCUUGAUACACCAUUUUCUUCACAUCACCAAGCUACUUGCUCUUUCUUUCACCUCAUUUUUCUUCACAAUAUUUGCUUUCGCUUGUCGCAUCAUAUUAGACAUAAAUCAUCGACGCUUUACCUGACAAAAGAACCACUCGAGGAGUUAUGGCCCCAUGACCCCCAAGUAUAACUACGGAGGACAGAAGAGGCCUAUUGAUCAUAGGGUGGCUCAAACCUGCGAUUCUGUGUAGCGUAGCACCACUUUUGGGGGGCAAGAGGUAGACUCCUCUUCGUACUCCCUCUGGUUCUGUUUCACAAAAUUUUCUGAAACUAAACCUAAUAUAAUAACUUUUUCAGUUUUCCCACCUAUUUUCAAAAUCUAUUUUGGCCUUAGUUACCCUGCUCAACUUUCAUAAACGCCCAUGACCUCUCGUAGUGCUUCUCCAUGGGACAAUGAAGGGCUGCAAGUGGGAGGAGAGAGGGCAUUGAGGAGGGUGAGGAGACGUGAUGAUGUAGGGUCGUCUUUCAUAACAGGUGCUCCAGGAUGCCUCAAUGUUGUUCUAGUACAAAUAACAACGUAAAUUGGGGUGCCAUAAUGCUAGCAAGCGUCACAGUCGGCAUUUGUAACAAUGGGCGUAUAUGGCAGCGAUUUAACGGGUUGACGUAUACUUGCGAGAUCACACAACGUUAUUGGUUUGACCUUGUUCGGCCACUACUCCAUACUGUGGCCUUGUCCCUUUGAGGGAUGUAGCCUCGAUUACAAUUUGUCUACACGAUACAACUUCAAUGGUGACCCUUGUUGCUCGACUGGGGUGAUCGGUGAAAACUUACCCAAACCCACUAUCCAAAUAGAAGCGUAGAACUCAACAUUCAUCCGAGUCUGUUUUCAACUAGAAACCUAAACCUCAUAGAUAACCUCACGAGAGCGUGGAGUAGAAUUGGAUGAUUUCUUUGCGUAAUUCUUUUUUGUACGAAAAACUAGCUUUUAUUAAUUUUAAAAUUUCAUGUACUUCGAAGCUAACAUUCAUGACUACAUAAAUUCAAUAUAUCUCAAAACGAUGAUUAUGUGUUUUAGACUAAAAUAUGCAUAUAUUUGAAAACAAAUAUUUGUUACUUCUAAAAAAUGGUUUACAUGCAAAAUCAUAUACGAUGAUAAAAAAGACAAAGCUAUAUCAAAUAUUUAAAAAAUAAAAUCAAUAAGUGGAGUAAAUAGUGAAAAAAGCGAAAAGGAGGAGUAAAGAAAAUGAAAAUGAAAAAUGACCUGAUAGUGGACCGACCCAACUAUGCAGGACACAGGAUUCUUGUGUAGUGCGGCUUGCAAGAAAAAAAAAAUUGAGAGAGAAGGUUUGCAAAAUUUGGGGAAACGUUGAUACCGUGUGAGAUUAGACUGACCACUCUGGCCCAGUAAUUCAUAUAUAUAUUACAAAAGUAAUCACUGGUUUUCUAUUAAUGGAAACAAUUAUUUUUAUUAAUGGAGGAAAUUUAAAUAUAUAAUGAAUAUUCAUGCAACUGUAAAUAAACGUUUAUGAAAUUUUAAAACAUGUGCAUCUCAUAUUUUAAAAUUGUUCGCUACAUAGAGAAAAAUUCAUAUAGUCCGUCCUCGCCAAAUUGUGGUGCAUAUAUUUGUUUUCCAAAGUCCAACUCAAUGAGUUAUAGUAAAAUAAGAACAUUUACAAUACUGAAUACAUAACAUACAAAAAUAUAUUUCAUGACAAAUCCUUUGGUACUGUAAUUGUCGAUAGUUUUUAUAUGAAUUUGGUCAAUGUUUGCAAAGUUUGGCUUUUCAUAAAACUUAUCUGCAUUAUUAUUUGGCAAGAAAAUUCCCCACAAAAAAACUUGGCUAGAAAGAAAGUAUAUAUUAAUCUUUUCAAAGACUGAAAAUCCAUCUCUGCACCCGAGCUCAUCUGCACCCGCGCUAACGAAAAAAAUCAAAAAAAUGCUAGAAAAAUUAAAAAAAUCCUUUUUUCUGUGGUAAACAAUUUGAUGCAUGAGGUAUACGCUCCAAUUUUCAAAUUAUUUGAACAUCUGAGAAGCUCUCAAAAAAAGGGGGGUCUGUAAAAAUGUUUACUGUUCAUGUACUGUUUUGACCCGAUUUGUCUUUUUUGCUGAGAGCUGCUUAGCUGUCCAAAUGACUUGAAAUGUGGAGCGGGCCUCACGCAUCAAAUUUUCUACCGCACAAAAAAAUUGCGGAAUUUUUUGAUUAUUGUUUGAAUUUGUUACGAUUUUUUUUCUAACCAGGUGCAGGGCACCGAAACGCCCUACUCAAGCUUUGAAGACAGGUUUUCACGUAAUUUUGGAAUUUUUUUUACAUAUUUUAUCUUAAAAAACAAAAAUGAAAAGGGAAAUGGGAGAAUAUUGAGAACCACGGAGAAGAAAGAACACGGGACAAAUGGAAAAAGAAAAAACAAAAACAUUUUGCACCGAUGAGGCGCUUCUUUCUUCCGCAAUGGGUGAUAUAUAGGAAUCGGGAGCGCAGCGCAUACGAUAGUGCACAUGCUGGAGUUUUCUCCUAACAUUGAAAAAUAAAAGUUUUCUCCUAAAAUAAUCGAGCACGGCUAGCUCCUGCCAAAUGUCGAAAGAGAAGUGUAUAUCUUCACUAUGUAUACAAGUGUUACGAUUGAUAGUAGUUCUCCGUGCCCACGUCAUGCCAAAUGUAAAAGGAGAAGUUUAUAUCUCAUUAUUAUGUAUACAACUAUAAGUAGGAUUGAUAGUAAUUCUCCAUGCCUUUGCAUUAGAAAGUGGGAAUUCGAUCGUUACACAAUAUGUGGAUGCAUGCAUGAUUUGCUGCUGCUCGUACAUAAAAUACACAUUUCAAGUGCUGGUAUUUAUAUUGGCUAUUGGUUCUGUGGCCUUAUUCAUUCAUCAGGUGUCGUGCUGGCGAGCGCUGCCGACUAUUAGGUAGUAGCUCGUCAUUCAAUCACGAGUUCACCCUGGAGCAGCUAAGCCUGAUCUGCCCUUGCGUCCCCAUCUUCGGCGCGAUGUUGCCCAUCUUGAUCAUGGCCGUCGUGAACGCGCUGCUGAACGCCGCCGGGUUGGACGCGAAGUUCCGGACGGUGUUGUCGGUGGUGUCGUUGUUGAACAGCACCUGGUCCGAGUGCAGGAGCCCCUUCUGUGACAUGAGGUUGGUGUAGUAGGCGUUGUGGAGCGUGUUGGCCGUGGUCGUGUCCAGGUUCGCCAGGCUGCCGUCACCGUUGGACCGGGGGCAGUUGGCCCGGAGAGAUGUGGCGAAGGUCGUGUCGAUGUUAGUCUCGUUGUAGAUCCUGUCCUUGAAGGUCCCGCACUGCGCCUGGCCGAUGGUGUGCGCGCCGGAGAGGGCCACCAUGUCGACCGUAAGGAGGCCCUUGUUGCUGAAUGCCAGCUCAAGAUCUGACCGGCUAGAUGUAGGGCCUGGGAGGUCGCUGUUUGCCGCCGCCUCGUUUGCAUCUAUGGAAUCCCUUCUUCCCAGAGGGACUUCCAUGAUGGCCCUCCGAGCUGCACGCGAAGGAUACGAAGCAAACGGUUAACGAUGGCAUCCAAUCGAUGAUGUACACGAUCGUAAGAUGAUAUUCUUACGGCGACGACGGAGUCACGGGCAGCGACAGUGAGGAUGUCGGCGCAGGAGACGGUCUGGGCGCAGAUGGCCUCGAUCUGUGUCUUGAUGCUGUCGAUGACGCCGAAACCCCGCAGUGACCCGUUGUUCGGGAUAGCGUUUUGUUCCAUGCCAGACAGCAGAACAGACGCGUCACAGCCCUGCACAUCACAUGCUUAUAGUGUUUAGUAAGCAAAACCUAUACAAAACAGGGUACGUGACGGCUAUCGGGCUAUGCAUGCAUGUGGCCAACUUACUUGGACGAAGCAGUCGUGGAAGUGCAGCCGGAGCAGCGACGCGCCCAUCCGAGGAUCGCUGCUCACGGCGGCCAUGACGCCGCUCUUGAUGGUGGCCAGGGCCCUUGUGCAGGAUGUGUCGUAGAACGUCGGCGACAGCUGCCCCGACACCACGGCGGCCAGAGCCACGAGCACCACCAGAGAAAGGUAAGAGGCAGAGGCGGCCAUGGUUAGCUAGCUAGCUACAAGAGCAAAGCUACGCCGGCUUACUAGCUACCUGGUGGUGGUGGAGUGGUGGUGCUUAGUGGAUUGUGCAAGAGAGUGGUGCAUCGCAUGCAUAUUUAUAGACAAAGAUUUAGCUCACGUGCACCUGCAGAUCGAUCCCGGUCAGCUCAUCCAAAAUUUAGGUCCCAUUAGUCCAACGUUAGUCUCUGACACCUGUUCGAUCGGGUAUACCGCGAGCUUCCUGCUUGAGCGAUCUCUCUUGGCGUAUUCAAGGCAGCUUCCAGCUUGAGCCGCUACCGCCAACACCAACACCUGAAUUUUCCUUGCAACAGGGCCAACUUGAGCGAUCUCUCUUGGCGUUUAUCACGCAAAAAUCGGCAAAACAUGGAACGAUCUCUCUUUUUUCAUCAUUUCCAUGCUAGCGGGCGCCUGGAGCCAUGUGUGCGUGGACACCAACCAUUUGGCCUUACGUACGAAUAGUGGUGGGGAGUCGGCGUUGUUCCAAGGCGAUUCACGCUCGUUUUGACCGGUGCGCAGUCAUCUUGCGCUCCCGUCGCCUUCGGCCAACACGAGAUAAUUCGGCAGCUGAGACAGUACUGAGAGAUAAGCCUGGCUUCUCAAACGCACGGUGGGAAUGUUGAGGCAGAACUGAGGCCGCACAGCCGCAGGCCAGCACCGACGGACGUUUAGGCCGGCCGUAACGUGGCCCGAUCUGUAGGCCAGAUGCAUUUUCUUAGGCUUCCUUGCCUCCGAAGAAUUGCUGGUUAGAUUUGAGUUUCUGAAGCAUGGGCAGGAUGAACAACGGAAGUUGAGGCGGCAUUACCGUGUGUAUUUUUUUCCCAGAAACUAUAACUACAAUUGGUCGAACAUUGCUUGUUAAGUCGGUUGUUUCCUCCCAAGCGGUGUACUCCAUCACACCUCUCAUCGUCCAACCGAGCACUCUCCAAAACCUCAACAAAAUUGAGCGGGAUUUUCUUUGGUCUGGCUCUGACAAGACGACAGGUGCCGAGUGUAAGGUCAACUGGAAGAUUGUAUGCUAUCCCAAUGAGUACAGUGGCCUUGUCGUCCUCAACAUUGCCAAAUUUACGAGAGCUCUGGGCCUUUGUUGGCCGUGGUAUGAAUGGAAAGAGCCUAACAAGUUGUGGGUGGGGCUUGGAAAUCCAUGCACCUAGUAGGACCUAGAUUUUUUAUAUGCUUCCACCACUAUCAUUGUGGGCAAUGGCGCGAAGACACCAUUUUGGGACUCCCCAUGGCUCCUUGGCCAUAGGCCUAAGGGCAUUGCGCCGCUCAUUCUUGAAGCCUUGAGAAAGAAGAAUUGUAAGGUGCGCGAAGCCCUUAAAGAUAACGCUUAGAUCCUCAAGAUCAAACGAAACAGUAUCAUCUUUGCUGCCCACAUUUGGCAGUUUUUUACUAUUUGGAUGCUUGUGCAUGAGUUCCCUCUUGAUGAACUUGUGGAGGAUGACAUUCGCUGGAAGCACUCGAAUGAUGGAAUAUAUUCGGCAUCCACUGCAUAUAAAAGCACAAUUUCUUGGGAUUACUCUUUACCCAAUGGAUCGCAUGAUAUGGAAGGUUUGGGCUCCACCAAAAGUCAAGUUCUUUUCUUGGCUCGCGAUCCAAGAUCGGAUUUGGACGGCCAAUUGCUUGGAGAAGAUGGGAUGGGCAAACUAUGGGCUUUGCCCACUGUGCAAGAGAGAGCAGGAAGCCAGACCGCAUCUUUUCUAUAAAUGUUGCUUCUCCUUCGACUCUGGCGUUUGGUCCUUGAGAAAUUUGGCCUUCCUCACGAUGACACUUUGACUUGGCACAACGAGGACUCGAUGUUGGCUUUGGUGAGACAAGAGGACAGAUGCUAGAACCGCGAAUAGACGUGCGAGGACGUCCCUAACCAUGCUUGUCUAAUGGACCCUCUGGAAUGAGAGGAAUGCUAGGGCCUUCUGACACAAGAGUGCGCCGCCCCCAUCGUUGUUGCGCUUAAUUGUUGAUGAGGCUAGAAUUUGUGUUACCACGGGUGCUAAACACCUAGGGCUUAUUGUGUUGAGUGAGUAAUUGUCAGGACAUGAUAUCGAGUUACUUGUAAACCUCUAACUUCUUCUUAUUUAAUAGAUGAGGCAAAUAUUAUGCCGCCGUUUCAAAAGUAAUAAUAAUGAGAACUAGGCUAUAGCCUAGUGGCAAGGGAGCGCAGUGGCGUCUCCAGCAACCAGGGUUCGAGCCACGUCGGGGAUGAAUUUCUGGUUUCUCACAAGGGAUGCUUCUCCUAUAUCAAUAAACCAUGGGUGCUAGUGCCCAUGAGUUUCAUCUUUUUAAAAGUAAUAAUAAUAGGGUUACAAUCGGCUACCACGAGAACCAUGUACUACAAUCGGGGAUAUGGUGCAACAAACAUGAGGCGUACCAUGGGAUCUACCAUAAUUAGUUAGGGGCAACCCUUGUCUGUUCAUGACUAAUCUCCUAAGGAUAAACACAUGACCUUUAAGGAGCUUUCUGAUAUCAAACAACAUGUAACCAUACAUGCAUCUUGUAAGACGAUGUGGUUUCUUUUAAAAGAAAUCGGAGAGGUGACUCUCUUUAUUAAAAAAACAUACAUGCGUCGAUCAAAGCUAGACUUAGCUGACAGAGUAACGGACCAGUCCGACUGAAUAUGAAGGUGUCAUUGGACCACUGUAAAGCUGAGAGCUAAGCUUUCCAUAAGCACACUAAUUUCAGCCUCUAAUGCGUCAUUUCAAUUGAGUAGAUAUCGACAAGAUGCAAAUAUAGUCCAGCCUGUUGGGUUCCGCAAUAACUGCCUGUAUAACAAAUAACUAAAUUCGUACUCAAGAUAUUCAUUAAAGCUAAUUCCACAGACCCAAGCAUGCGUGUACAGAGACAACUCCAAUAAUAGCCAAGCCCUGUUAGACUGUAGGGUUGCCCAUGCCUAAGUCUAUCUACUUGUAGUUGGGUUCUCUAUACGACCAUCAACACUGUUUUGGUCUAACUUAACCUUCUCAACUCGCAUAGAGGAAGGCCGAGGUAAAGACAGUGUUUUGCCUCGUGAAAGCACACGAUGUCGAGGAUCGGCUGCAAGUGGCAGGAGAUGGCGGUGGAGGGUGAGGAGAUGAGGCACGUAGGGUCGGGAAAGUAUCCGGUGCUCCCAGCCUUGGAGUACUCCCGGUACUCCAAUGUCAAUAAACAUUUUUUUAAUAUUUCAAAAAAUUCCGAAAAAAAUUAUGAAUGUUCAUAAUGAAUGUGACUACAAGCCCGAAAAGUUUCAGGUCCAAACUCGGAUCACACAUUGAGAAACAAAAAUGUGAAAUCUAGGAUGAAUAGUGUAAAGAAGAGACAAAAGCAACAUUGAUACUAUUCAGAUCUGUAUUUUUCUUUUUUUUUCUCAAUGUACAUUUUGAUGUUGGACCUAAAUAUUUUAUGGGAUGUAGUGACAUUCCUUGUGAACAUUCUCAUUUUUUUUCUGAAUUUUUUUGAAACAUUUAAAAAUGUUUUUGACAUUGGAGCACUGGGAGUACCCCAAGGCUGGGAGCACUGGAUACUUUCCCACAUAGGGUCUUCUUAAUACCAGGUGCUCUAGGAUGCCUCAGUUUUGUAAAAGGCAAUUGUAAGAAUGGGCAUAUACGACAAUUAUGCAAUACGUCGAUAUGCGAGAGUGGGAUAACGAUGUUUAUUAAGUAGUUACACGCGUGCAGAACUACUAAUUGGGUGUGUCGCCGACCCUUGAUGGGUGGUAUAUCAUAGUGGUAUAUCAUAGUGUAGCCUCCGGUAUAGAUUGAGAGUGUCGAGAGAAACAAAAGAUGAAUAUGGGGAAAAUGGAAAAUCAAGAAUCAAGAAAAACAAAAGAAGGGAAAUAAUAGAAAAGGAACAAGAAAAAACAGGAAAAGAUGGAAACAAAUAUGGGGGAAAUGCGUCGCGUGUAUUGGACAGGGCCAGCAACACAAGCGGAGCUAUGCCAUCUCCCGCAGUGGGUGGCUUACAAGAUUGAGUAAUGGUACAUGUACGUACGAGCUCGUGUUUAUGAAGAUUAAAUACAAGAUUUGUUGGAAGCUUACGAUUGUUAGAAUUGUGUCGAAUAUUAUUGUACAAGGUAGGUUAUAGUUGGACUUGGUUUUAGACUAUGUGUAGACAGAAUAGGAGUUGUGUCCUAAUAUGACACUUGUAUCCUAUGCCUCUCAUAUAUAUCGGGGGUAGACACACGAUGUAACCUAUGCCAACAUAAUAGCACGGGCACGCGGGGGAGCCGGCGGCGUGUGCCGGCGCCCAGGCGGCCAGGGUGCGGUAUUGUAACGGUGUCAUGGAAAGGAGCGCCCGUAGUCAUGCCCCGGGGGUGUAGCCAUAUCGAUGAACCUCGUUAACAAAUCUCGGUGUCGUGCUGGUGUGAUUUCUUGAUCCUCGAUAGAUUGAUGGAACGACUCGGAUUUAUUCUAACAAAUGGUAUUAUGAGCUAUGGUUGUGAAGAGGCUGUUUGAUUGAUCUAGAGAAGGGCGACGAAGGACGUCUGAUAACUCGGCCAUGGUGGUCGGAAGAGUUUUCGAUGGACGUGAGAAUUGUUGCAGGAAAAGCAAUCGGAAGUGGCAUGCAAAGAACGCGAGCAAGCAGCCGGCGCGGGUUUCUCUACCUGAUCGAAGUCGUAUGGUGAGGCGGCGGCCAAGGCAGGCAGAUGGGAGCAGCAGGAGUCCGCCUGCAGCGGCGACAUCAAGCUGCUAGAUCGGGCGUGCGGGGCAGGGCAGCAAGGCGUGCAACAGAUCGGAUCGAGAUGCGGCGGCGUAAUGCUAGGGCAGCGAUGCAGGUGCAUGCGCAACCAAAGCAGGAGACGGUGCUAGCGGGCCAAGGCGCAGGCAAGUUUCCAGGCGCAUAGACGUGCGCGCGCUGAGGCCAAGGCUUGGCAGGAGCCAGCGGCAGGGGUACGUGGCAGUACGUCGGUACGUGAGGCUAGGAAUUGGAGCUGGCUCGUUGACGUGUGGCACGCGAGGCAACAUGUGCAUGCAAAGCUGGAGCUGCGUGUGAGAUUUGUUUGGAUUAAAAAAAGAGCACGAGUGUCUAGGCUUCACAAUUGAGAUACGAGUUUGUGUUUGUGUACGUGGGCAGCUAGGAGAUGGAUUUUUUUUUCAAGUCUUUGUUGCUAGAGGUACAUGGAGAGCACACGCAAAUUGUGACGAGCAAAGAUAAUUGUGCAAAGAAUUCUUGGGGUCAGGUUUGCAUGAAAGUUUUUUUUCUGUCAAGUUUGCGAAGAGGGCUCGAAGAGUGUGUGAAGACGAGGACAGUGUGUCGUGCGGAUCAUGCAUACACAGGGCGUCAAGCAAGACACGAAGAUGUGCGGGCGGACACGACGCAGGGUGGAGUAUGGUUGCAGUUGGAUAGUUUCGGCUGAGUCAGAUUGGACUGUCUGACGGAUCGACAGGAAGACGGCGGUGAUUUCGGCGACGACGACAUAGGAGCGUGAUGCCGAUGGUGGCCGACUUCUGGGGCGUGGAAAUACGUGGUGCAGGUCUGAGGGCUUGUGCGGCUUCGACAAGACUAUGGCGCAGGGUUGAUUCAAGGAAGUGUACACAUGAGAGCUUGAAGUCGACAGGGCGCGGGGUAGCACGGCCAGCUACAUGGAGUCAUGUUGAAGGUGGAGCUGGAGUCUAACGUAAGACUUCAAUCUGUGCUGAUGGAGGGGCUACGGUGUAAGAUAUCGGAGAAUCGAAGCCUAUUUCAGUGGGAUAGCGAGAGACACGUGGAUCGGACUGGGGCCCAAUGGUCUGAUGGAGACGUGAUACUUGACAUCGGUCGGUGAUGAUCGGUGGUUCUCUGCAGUGGGGGUUGAGGCAGUGUGGGCUAGCUACCCGGGAGACUCGACAAGGACAGCAGAGGCUUGACGCGGUGAUAGCGGCGAGGCGUGCGGUAAGCACGGGACACAGCGACGGACCAAGGCACUAAUGGUGAGACGUGUGGUCAGACAAAGUGUGCAGGGGGUGCUGAAGCAGUGUUGACGAGUACCGGAUUCAAGUUGGUGACUGGGUCUAUCGGUGCUAGUUGAUGGACAGGAGUUGACCAUGGAGAAUCUGAGAAAGUGGCGGAAAGUCUGGAUUUGUCAAAACAGAGAGAGUACAUGGCCGUAGAUUCUGUGGUGUUCGGUGCACAUGGCAAAGUGCGGAUGACAAUACAGAUGGAGGCGGAGUGCUAUAGUUGUGGGACAUGUCAGAGACUAUCUGGGGAAAAGGGUGGGACAACUGUGAAUUUGACUCAAAGUGACAUAGGGCGAUGGUGAAAUUCCUUCAAGUUUCAGACAGACGAUCAUGAAAGAGCGGUGAUGUUGAGUUCAGGUAACUCUUAUAUGUGACACCCAAUAUGUGAGUUGUUCAUUUUCACGCAGAUUAAUGAUCAGUGUGUGAUGGCGUUGAGCGGAUACUCUGAAAGUUGGGAGCACAAAGUAGAGUAACGAAAAACUUAAUUUUUGCUCGAGUGUUGACUGUGAUGAAGACGAGAAGGGACUACAGUUGCAGGUGGAGUCACAUGGAGUCUGGAAGUAGCAGCGGUGCUCAUGGCGUAUCUCAAGUCCAAUAUACAUGGAGGUUCGACGCAUGAAUAAAUUCAAGGUGGUGGAGAAUAUUCGCCAAGGUGGAGUUUGUUAGAAUUGUGUCGAAUAUUAUUAUACAAGGUAGGUUACAGUUGGACUUGGUUUUGGACUGUGUGUAGACAGAAUAGGAGUUGUGUCCUAAUAGGACACUUGUAUCCUAGACCUCUCAUAUAUAUCGGGGAUAGACACACGAUGUAACCUAUGCCAACAUAAUAGCACGGGCACGCGGGGGAGCCGGCGGCGUGUGCCGGCGCCCGGGCGACCGGGGUGCGGUAUUGUAGUGGUGUCAUGGGGAGGAGCGCCCGUAGUCAUGCCCCGGGGAUGUAGCCAUAUCAGUGAACCUCGUUAACAAAUCUCAGUGUCGUGCUGGUGUGAUUUCUUGAUUCUCGAUAGACCGACGAAACGACUCGGAUUUAUUCUAACAACGAUUAGGGAUGAACCCCACUCUGAAUUUCCCGGUGGGGGCAGGGAUUGUUAUCAACGAAGGGGCACCAUUCUCCUCGUAAUAGGCUUGUUAGGCUUGAGAUCCUCUGCAAUACCAUACGGUGUUAUAGUACGGAUGACAUAUGGGUUCAGGUCUCAUAUGGCAGUGACUGUACUACAUCGUAUAGUACCGUAGAGGAUCCUAACCCCUCUUAACAACCCGGUACGUCUAGGAUUACUCUUACCUAGGGGAUGAGUCCCACNNNNNNNNNNNNNNNNNNNNNNNNNNNNNNNNNNNNNNNNNNNNNNNNNNNNNNNNNNNNNNNNNNNNNNNNNNNNNNNNNNNNNNNNNNNNNNNNNNNNNNNNNNNNNNNNNNNNNNNNNNNNNNNNNNNNNNNNNNNNNNNNNNNNNNNNNNNNNNNNNNNNNNNNNNNNNNNNNNNNNNNNNNNNNNNNNNNNNNNNNNNNNNNNNNNNNNNNNNNNNNNNNNNNNNNNNNNNNNNNNNNNNNNNNNNNNNNNNNNNNNNNNNNNNNNNNNNNNNNNNNNNNNNNNNNNNNNNNNNNNNNNNNNNNNNNNNNNNNNNNNNNNNNNNNNNNNNNNNNNNNNNNNNNNNNNNNNNNNNNNNNNNNNNNNNNNNNNNNNNNNNNNNNNNNNNNNNNNNNNNNNNNNNNNNNNNNNNNNNNNNNNNNNNNNNNNNNNNGCUUAAGAUUACUUAGGGGAUGAGCACCACUCUUAAAUUCAUGCCGGGUGGGGUUAUUAACGAAGGGGCACCACUCUACCGUAACAACCCUGCACGUCUAGGAUUAUCGUAUAGGAAUCGGGGAACGUGUAAUACAUAGUUGUUCGUGUGCUUCAAUUUUUUCUUAACAUCGAGUAAAAAAAGUUUUCACAUAAAAUAAUCGAGCAUGUACACUCUUCUUGUGAAAUUUUGCGUGAAGUACCUACUUCAUGCCAAAUUUCCCAAGAGUGUACAUCUUCACUCCGUGUACAAGUGUAAUUAAGUAGGAUCGACAGUUUUUUUUUUUGAGAAAGAUCCUUGCCUUUGCAUUCCGUGUGCUCCAUUUUUCUCCUAACAUUGAAAAAGAGUUUUCUCGUAAAAUUAUAGAGCACGGGUCACUUCAUGCCAAAAUGUCACAAGACAAGUGUACAUCUUCAUUCCGUGUACAAGUGUAGAGGGUUGAUAGUAAUUCACCUUGCCUUUGCAUUAGAAAUUGAGGAUUCAACCGUCGUCACAUAUGUAGAAUUGUAGAUGCAUGCAUGAUUCGCUGCUGCACAUACUUUGAAUUUGAAAUACAUGUUUCAAGUGCUGGUAUGAUAAUCGGUACUGGCCACUGCUUCUGGGGCUUAUUCGUCGACGUAUCGUUCUGGCGAGCUGCCGACGUGUAGCCGUAGGUCAAUCACGAGUUCACCUUGGAGCAGCUGAGCCUGAUCUGGCCCUGCGUCCCGGUGAGCGGCGCGAUGUUUCCCAUCUUGAUCAUGGCCGUCGUGAAGGCGCUGCUGAAGGCCGCCGCGUUGGACGCAAAGUUGCGGACAGUGUUGUCGGUGGUGUCGUUGUUGAAGAGCACCUGGUCCGAGUGCAGGAGCCCUUUCUGUGACAGGAGGUUGGUGUAGUAGGCAUUGUCGAACGCAUUGGGCGUCAUCGUGUCCAGGUUCGCCAGGUUGGUGUUGCCGCCGGACUGGGGGCAGUUGGCCUUGAGAGACGUCGCGAAGGCAGUGUUGAUGUUGGUGUCACCGCCAUAGAUCCGAGUCCGGAAGUUGGAGCACUGGGCCUUCCCGAUGGUGUGCGCGCCUGAGAGCGCGACC
rnacentral:lncRNA from 1 species